rnacentral:lncRNA from 1 species
AGAUUGAUUAUGCGGAGAUAGUACGAAAAAGGCGGGAACCUUUUGUUUUCCGCAGCCUUCACCUUGUUGCUAUAUAUGAAUGCCACAAAUUGAAAGAUUUGACAUUCCUCGUUUUUGCUCCAAGCCUUAAGUCUCUUUCGCUAUACGGUUGCAAUGCUAUGGAAGAAAUAAUCAGCGUUGGAAAAUUUGAUGAGACUCCUGAGGUGAUGGGACAUAUAAGCCCUUUUGGAAAUCUCCAAACGCUUGAUCUAUCAAGAUUGCCAAUUUUGAAGAGCAUCUACUGGAAGCCAUUGCCUUUCACUCAUCUCAAAGAAAUGGCGGUGACACAUGGGUGUAAUCAGCUUAGAAAGCUUCCACUCGAUUCCAACAGUGCAAAAGAGCGUAAAUUUGUUAUUCGUGGAAGAGAAGACUGGUGGAACCGACUUCAAUGGGAGGAUGAAGCCACUCAAAUUGCUUUUCGUUCCUGUUUCCAACCUCAUUCCUGGUGAGUGCGUUUGUCUUUUAAAAGAAGAAUUUAAAAGAAAUUUAUUCUUGUCAUUUUCUUCUCUGUAUUUAUUUCAGUUUCUUUCUCUCUCUCUCUCUCUCUCUCUGUCUUCUGCAAAUCACAGUUAAAUGUUGAAUUAAUCGAAUUAAUGCUUCAUAAAAUUUGCCGGCACUGCCAUUACUUUUUUAAUUUCCUGUCAAAAGACGAGCGAGAAGAACAUAUAUAUGACUUAAACCAAUUGAUACUUUAUUUAUGUGCAUCGUAUGUAAUAAAUAUUAAGUAUACUUUAUUUUGCCCUGUUCUCUGUUUUUAUUUCAGUCUCUCUCUCUCUCUCUCUAAAACAUUAGAGUCAAACUAAUGCUCACAUAAAUUUCCCGUAAGAAUAUAUAUAUUAUUAGACUGGAAUGCACACCUCUAGAUUGAACAGAAUUAAAGCUGAGGAAUAAAUGACGCGAAAAAAUAUAAACAUAUAUACAAAAUCAUAGAUUAUAAAUCUUUUUUUUUUUGGUUUUAAGAUCAACAAUACUACAUAUCAUAAAUGGUAUCUUUAAAUACUCUUCCCUCAUGAAGAGAUUAAUUGAAAUACAACAUUGAUUUUAUGAUAAAAAAAAAUUUCUUAUAUUUUUUAGACAAGUUUGAGAAGUACAUUUAAAACUUUAUUGCAAUGCACACCUCUAUAUUUUUCUGUAUAGUAGCCCUCUUUACAGAAAAAGACGCGAAAGUUAAUUUAGAAAGAUAUAUUCUUGAUUAAUCCAUUUUCUGAAGUUUUUUUAUUUUGUAUGGUCAAUUAUACCUUCAUACUAGAAAUUUCUGAAGUUAUAAAUUAGUGCAACUUGACAAUUUUUACUGAUGAUAUCUUCUAUUUUUCCUUUUUUUUUUUUAACUCUCAUAGAAUGUUACUGUCAUUUUACUUACAAAUAGGUUUGAAUUUGAGCCCAUGAAACGAUAAUGAGGAAUAAAUGAGACUGAGGAUCUGCAAUAUGAUCUGCAAUAGUAGUUAAAAUAUCAUUGAUGACUUUUCUGNNNNNNNNNNNNNNNNNNNNNNNNNNNNNNNNNNNNNNNNNNNNNNNNNNNNNNNNNNNNNNNNNNNNNNNNNNNNNNNNNNNNNNNNNNNNNNNNNNNNAGUAUGUUAAGUAAAACAUAAUCAAUUAUUUGUGUUUUAUCUCUAAUUAGAACAUCAAUCAGUUCAGUACCUCACAAAUAAUUCGUAAUAUCUACAAAAUACUAUAAUGGCUACAAAAUAAAUCCUGCUUGCAAAUUGUCAAGGAUACCUAUCCGUUCGCUUCACAAGUCAUUUGAAUAAAUAUUGUUCACAUUCCUUACUAAAACAAUAAAACUCUGGAGGACGAUUUGUUAGCCUCAGUUUUCUGUCAGGUUCAUAUCACAUAUAUUUCACUUAUAUACAAGCUAAGAAUACAUAUGAUAAACAUUAGCUUACAAGAUAACUACAAGGAUAAUUACAAGACUAACGAUAACUACAAGGAUAAUUACAAGACUAACGAUAAGAAUAUUUUAAGUUUUAUCUUUAUCGUUAUCACUUACUCUGUCAAUUAUCCAAUGGUCCUCAACUUUAGUUUGAACAGUAUACAUGCCAUCACCAUUACCAAGAAUCAAGCAUGGAAGAGUCAUUCUAUAGAGUUAAUCGAAGCAAGGAAUGAUGUAUCAGAAAAUAUUUGGUGGAGAAUUCAGCACAAACAUAUUUCGGAUGAUCAGAAUCAAUAAAACCUGGUGGUUGCGCCAUAUAAACAUCUUCGGAAAGCUGGCCUUGAAGAAAGGCGUUAUUGAUAUCCAAUUGAUGAAGAGGCCAGCCAUGACUAACAUCAAUACUUAGAACAAGCCGUACUGUGGUGGGCUUAACAACUGGACUGAAAGUGUCAUAAUAGUCCACACCACGCCGUUGAUUGAACCCUUUGACAACAAGACGAGCUUUAAACCUGUCAACAGAACAGUUAGAAUGUCUUUUAAUACAAAAAUCCAUUUGCAGCCAACAAUAUUGGAAGGGAUGGGAGGUGGAACAAGCUUCCAUGUCCCGUUACGAACAAGAGCAUCAUACUCUUCUAACAUAGCUUGACGGUAGUGAGGAUUUUUGAUAACUUGCGUCACAAUUGUAGGUUCACAAUCAGAAGAAAGGCUGAAAUGAGCACGGAGGUUAAGUUUUUGUAACGGCUUGUGAAUCUUAUAUUUAGCUCCGGUAGUCAUAUCAUGAUGAUUUGUGUGGAGGUAGAAGUAGGUUGGGAGGAUUGCUGCGGAGAUGUUACCGGUAGAGAAGAAGGAGCAGUACACGGUGGCAACUCCAGAGGGCCCACAAUAGAUGGAGUAGGUGCCGACGAUGGAGUACUAGGAAAUGAAACAGAAGAAUUGGUGGAACACUUGCGUAAUUAGGAGUGGUAGAUGAGCUUGUAAUGAUUUGUAUGGAAAAACAAACUCUACAAAUUUAACGUGACGUGAAAUAAAAAUUUGAAAGGUGGAUGGGUCAAAACAUAAAUAAGCACUUUGAGAUAAAGGAAUAUCCUAGAAAAACACAAGGCUUAGAGGGUGGUUCGAGUUUAUGUGAUGAAACACAAACAUUCAAAAAUUUUAAGUUUAUAUUAAGAGUAAUGAUACAGCCACAAACUCUUGUACAAACUUAUUUUGUACAAACUGAUGUGGCAUGAUAAGAUUAGUUGAAUUGAAUAUCACUUGGCCCACAUGAUUUGUUUUUAUUAAUUUAUAUUUUCAUUCAACCAAUGAAAUCAUGCCACGUCAGUUUGUACAAAAUAAGUUUGUACAAGAGUUUGUGGCUGUAUCAUUACUCUUAUUAAUUAGGAGUGGUCCGCGGGACAUGUAGCUAUGGGGUUGUUGGAUGUGUUUUGGAUAUUUACAGUUAAGUUUGAGUUUAUAUCUCAACUUAAAAUUUGUAGUUUUCACUUGAAAAAAUUCAGUUAAAAAUUGAUUGGUAGAGUUGUGAAAAAGUUUAAAUUUUUAGUUCAACCCGAUUGCAUAUUUAAGAACAUCUCAAAUGAAUUGCUUACUGCUAUCAUCAUCGUUAUUGUAAGAGAUGGUUAAUUGAUAGACUAUGUGCCUGGGUCGAGCACUGNNNNNNNNNNNNNNNNNNNNNNNNNNNNNNNNNNNNNNNNNNNNNNNNNNNNNNNNNNNNNNNNNNNNNNNNNNNNNNNNNNNNNNNNNNNNNNNNNNNNNNNNNNNNNNNNNNNNNNNNNNNNNNNNNNNNNNNNNNNNNNNNNNNNNNNNNNNNNNNNNNNNNNNNNNNNNNNNNNNNNNNNNNNNNNNNNNNNNNNNNNNNNNNNNNNNNNNNNNNNNNNNNNNNNNNNNNNNNNNNNNNNNNNNNNNNNNNNNNNNNNNNNNNNNNNNNNNNNNNNNNNNNNNNNNNNNNNNNNNNNNNNNNNNNNNNNNNNNNNNNNNNNNNNNNNNNNNNNNNNNNNNNNNNNNNNNNNNNNNNNNNNNNNNNNNNNNNNNNNNNNNNNNNNNNNNNNNNNNNNNNNNNNNNNNNNNNNNNNNNNNNNNNNNNNNNNNNNNNNNNNNNNNNNNNNNNNNNNNNNNNNNNNNNNNNNNNNNNNNNNNNNNNNNNNNNNNNNNNNNNNNNNNNNNNNNNNNNNNNNNNNNNNNNNNNNNNNNNNNNNNNNNNNNNNNNNNNNNNNNNNNNNNNNNNNNNNNNNNNNNNNNNNNNNNNNNNNNNNNNNNNNNNNNNNNNNNNNNNNNNNNNNNNNNNNNNNNNNNNNNNNNNNNNNNNNNNNNNNNNNNNNNNNNNNNNNNNNNNNNNNNNNNNNNNNNNNNNNNNNNNNNNNNNNNNNNNNNNNNNNNNNNNNNNNNNNNNNNNNNNNNNNNNNNNNNNNNNNNNNNNNNNNNNNNNNNNNNNNNNNNNNNNNNNNNNNNNNNNNNNNNNNNNNNNNNNNNNNNNNNNNNNNNNNNNNNNNNNNNNNNNNNNNNNNNNNNNNNNNNNNNNNNNNNNNNNNNNNNNNNNNNNNNNNNNNNNNNNNNNNNNNNNNNNNNNNNNNNNNNNNNNNNNNNNNNNNNNNNNNNNNNNNNNNNNNNNNNNNNNNNNNNNNNNNNNNNNNNNNNNNNNNNNNNNNNNNNNNNNNNNNNNNNNNNNNNNNNNNNNNNNNNNNNNNNNNNNNNNNNNNNNNNNNNNNNNNNNNNNNNNNNNNNNNNNNNNNNNNNNNNNNNNNNNNNNNNNNNNNNNNNNNNNNNNNNNNNNNNNNNNNNNNNNNNNNNNNNNNNNNNNNNNNNNNNNNNNNNNNNNNNNNNNNNNNNNNNNNNNNNNNNNNNNNNNNNNNNNNNNNNNNNNNNNNNNNNNNNNNNNNNNNNNNNNNNNNNNNNNNNNNNNNNNNNNNNNNNNNNNNNNNNNNNNNNNNNNNNNNNNNNNNNNNNNNNNNNNNNNNNNNNNNNNNNNNNNNNNNNNNNNNNNNNNNNNNNNNNNNNNNNNNNNNNNNNNNNNNNNNNNNNNNNNNNNNNNNNNNNNNNNNNNNNNNNNNNNNNNNNNNNNNNNNNNNNNNNNNNNNNNNNNNNNNNNNNNNNNNNNNNNNNNNNNNNNNNNNNNNNNNNNNNNNNNNNNNNNNNNNNNNNNNNNNNNNNNNNNNNNNNNNNNNNNNNNNNNNNNNNNNNNNNNNNNNNNNNNNNNNNNNNNNNNNNNNNNNNNNNNNNNNNNNNNNNNNNNNNNNNNNNNNNNNNNNNNNNNNNNNNNNNNNNNNNNNNNNNNNNNNNNNNNNNNNNNNNNNNNNNNNNNNNNNNNNNNNNNNNNNNNNNNNNNNNNNNNNNNNNNNNNNNNNNNNNNNNNNNNNNNNNNNNNNNNNNNNNNNNNNNNNNNNNNNNNNNNNNNNNNNNNNNNNNNNNNNNNNNNNNNNNNNNNNNNNNNNNNNNNNNNNNNNNNNNNNNNNNNNNNNNNNNNNNNNNNNNNNNNNNNNNNNNNNNNNNNNNNNNNNNNNNNNNNNNNNNNNNNNNNNNNNNNNNNNNNNNNNNNNNNNNNNNNNNNNNNNNNNNNNNNNNNNNNNNNNNNNNNNNNNNNNNNNNNNNNNNNNNNNNNNNNNNNNNNNNNNNNNNNNNNNNNNNNNNNNNNNNNNNNNNNNNNNNNNNNNNNNNNNNNNNNNNNNNNNNNNNNNNNNNNNNNNNNNNNNNNNNNNNNNNNNNNNNNNNNNNNNNNNNNNNNNNNNNNNNNNNNNNNNNNNNNNNNNNNNNNNNNNNNNNNNNNNNNNNNNNNNNNNNNNNNNNNNNNNNNNNNNNNNNNNNNNNNNNNNNNNNNNNNNNNNNNNNNNNNNNNNNNNNNNNNNNNNNNNNNNNNNNNNNNNNNNNNNNNNNNNNNNNNNNNNNNNNNNNNNNNNNNNNNNNNNNNNNNNNNNNNNNNNNNNNNNNNNNNNNNNNNNNNNNNNNNNNNNNNNNNNNNNNNNNNNNNNNNNNNNNNNNNNNNNNNNNNNNNNNNNNNNNNNNNNNNNNNNNNNNNNNNNNNNNNNNNNNNNNNNNNNNNNNNNNNNNNNNNNNNNNNNNNNNNNNNNNNNNNNNNNNNNNNNNNNNNNNNNNNNNNNNNNNNNNNNNNNNNNNNNNNNNNNNNNNNNNNNNNNNNNNNNNNNNNNNNNNNNNNNNNNNNNNNNNNNNNNNNNNNNNNNNNNNNNNNNNNNNNNNNNNNNNNNNNNNNNNNNNNNNNNNNNNNNNNNNNNNNNNNNNNNNNNNNNNNNNNNNNNNNNNNNNNNNNNNNNNNNNNNNNNNNNNNNNNNNNNNNNNNNNNNNNNNNNNNNNNNNNNNNNNNNNNNNNNNNNNNNNNNNNNNNNNNNNNNNNNNNNNNNNNNNNNNNNNNNNNNNNNNNNNNNNNNNNNNNNNNNNNNNNNNNNNNNNNNNNNNNNNNNNNNNNNNNNNNNNNNNNNNNNNNNNNNNNNNNNNNNNNNNNNNNNNNNNNNNNNNNNNNNNNNNNNNNNNNNNNNNNNNNNNNNNNNNNNNNNNNNNNNNNNNNNNNNNNNNNNNNNNNNNNNNNNNNNNNNNNNNNNNNNNNNNNNNNNNNNNNNNNNNNNNNNNNNNNNNNNNNNNAUCAUCAUACCUGUGCACUGGAUUUUUAAUAUCAAUGCCACUGCAGCUGUGAUCAAGAAUAUAAGAGCGUUUAACAUCUUUUCUCCAUCGAGAAAGAAUGUACUGAGAUGGGAUCUCCUGCAUGCCACUCUGGCUUAGAACACAAAGAAUGUGUCUGCAUAAAUAUCCUCUGAAAUUGAACAACCCACAAACACAAAGCACCUCUAAGUCGGAGGCAUUGUACAAAACAAUGAAAGCCCUUGAAUCUUUCUCAUUGCUACCAACCUCGAAUUCUUCCUUCACUAUGUAUGUUAUAGGUCCAUCAGCACUAACAUGUUUUGUGCUAUAGCAAGAGUACAUAGCCUCCACCUCCGUCUGAAACUUCCUUAACAUUUCAUUUGUGUACAGUUUUGAGAGUUGAAAUUCAUAGUAGCAUCUUGGUUUCUGGAUACAACUUGAAUUUCUUGAAUCCAUAUCUGCCAAGGCUUCCAGUUGAUAAUUCGCCCGCAGUGCUUGAUCAUACUUGUCUAAGAAUUCUUUCAAAGGAGUAUUCGUAUCAAGAUAUCCUUCAAAGUAUAAAGUAGAAACCUCAUUCUGCAGGAACGAAAACACUCCUGAUAAAUAAGCUUCCUUCAAAUAAACAGGAGCCCACCCUUUACGAUCUUCAUAUAACGUUUGAAUCCAUCCGUGAUCCUUUAUUCCAUGACGUUGAAUCAUGUCUUCCCAAGCUGCUUCAAAUUCCUCAGGCCUGAGACAGUGAUAAAUUGCUCUAUGUAAUGCAGCUCUAAUAGCUUCUUAUUCAAACAAUCCUUCGAGUUUCUCUGGAAUUUUUUGCAUGAUGCAUGACAAUGAAAAGCAAUGAUAAGCUCUUGGGAAAACAUUGCCAACAGCAAUUUGCAAGAUUCUACAUUGGUCAGUGAUGAUUGUUUGUAGAGAGCGUCCUAACAUACAUGUAAGCCACGCCCUAAACAGCCAUGUAUAUGAUUCUAUAGUCUCACUGGCAAGUAAACCACAACCCAACAACACUGAUUGUCCAUGAUGAUUCACCCCAAUGAACGAAACCAGUGGCACAUUAUAUCUUUCUGUCAAGCACGUAGUAUCAAUUAAGACUACAUCACCAAAGUACCUAUACGCAACUCUUGACCUGGUAUCAGUCCAGAGCAGGUUUCUCAGGCAUCCCUUUUCAUUUAGAUCCACCACAUUAAAAAAGUUUGGAUCUGUCAACUGCCAACGACAAAAGAAACUCUGGAUAGCUUGUGCAUCUCCUGGUUUAAGCUUCAAUUGAUUUGAGCUAUUAACAUUAUUUUCAAAUACUCCACUAACAUCUACAUUACCAUUUCCCUUGGUAUCAAUGAUAAGAGUUCGAAACAGUCUAACUUUUUGAACUUCUUCAGCACCAUCUAAGUGCAACAUUCUUUUGGUUCCAAUACCUAUGUGCUUAUGUGACUUGUAAAACUUUCCGCUUCUUGGGCUUAACAAGUGGUUAUGGUCAAGCUCAACUUCAAUGAUUCUCCACCUUUUGGUUUCCAUCAACCUAAACUUUAUCAUUGCUGGACAGCCAGUUCUUGUUUCUGGUCUUGGGCGGUUUGCCUCGCUUUUCUUCUUGAAGCCUGCACUACUACAGCUCAGCUUUCCUCUAUACUUUUCUCUACUCUUUCGGUACCAUGUAUUGCUAACUCUAACACCAAAACCCUGUUCCUUGGCAUAGCAAUUGUAAAAGUAAUAAACGUCAUCAUAUGUCUCAAACUCCAUUCCAACAGCAGGAGGCAAUGGAUUUUGGAUUAUCCCAGUUUGUCCAACAUAUUCAGUAAUUGCACAAUCUCCUACGACCUCAAAAUCAUCAGCAUCAUCAUCACCUACUGGUUCAGUAUUCAGAGAAACUUCAUCCAUCUACAAUAGAUGUUUAAUGAAGUGAGCUUUAAGGAGAAAAAGCAAAAUCAGUAAGGAACGAUAAUAUAACCAUACAGUUACUUUCACAAAGCGUCGUAUUUCAUCACUGCUUUACCAACAUGCAACUGCCAGAGAACAAACAGACAUGUCAUAGACGCUUGAAUUAAGUAUUGGUACAAAUGAGCACACAUCAUGUGGGACAAAAUUUCAGUCACCAAACCCAAUACGACUUUUUACAUCAUACCAAGGAACAGAUUAAACCCGACACCUUCUUUUAAACCAUACCAAGGAACAGAUUAAAUCAUCAAUGAAAACUUAAUCACAUAAUAACUUAACCAGACAAAUGAAGGGCCUGAAACAGCAUAAAACUUGAAUCUGAUUAUGAUAAUUGUUGAGUCCUUGUAUCUACAGCUUUCCUUCAAUGAUAAGACAAUGAACAUAAACGAGACACAAAAAAUUUAUUUUAAACUGACAGCCCAUGAUAUAAAUCAAACAAAAUCAACUCCUUUUUUUACACAUCACAUCUCAUAUUCAUUUACAUUGAAACAAAAAAAGGAAGCGGGAGUGGGAAAAAAACAACAGCAGAGGAACUUAUUUCUAUAAGGUUUACGAAAUAAGGAAUCUAUUAAAACCCAAAACUUGAGGUCACCCCAAAGAAUUUGGUUCUCAUUAUUUUUUUCUUCAUUUUUCACCAAUUGAUGAACUUAAAAUACAAUCAUAAAUGAUAAAACCCCAUCUCAAUCUUUUUGAACUAGAGCUAAAGCAAAGCAUUUUAAGAUGUUUCAUCAUUUUUUUUUAAAAAAAAACCUCAAUAGUACAAUGUUUUUCAAUGUUAAAUGCACAAUUCAAUCUUCUCCUAAUUUACUCUAAUAAUCUCUUAAUUAAGGAAGAUUAAGCUUUAGUUGUAAGCUAAAACAAAUUUCUUAAAUCAAGCCCCAAUGCUUUAUGCUCUUCAACAAGGGCUCAUAAAUGAUAAAACUACUUCUACAAAGAUACCCAUUUUCUAAAUUAAUUUCAAAAACUGAAAUCAAACUCCUGAAACGUAACGAGCAUUAAUAUAAUCAAACCCGAACAAGAAUUGAAAAAUGACACAUAAACUCGUUUACACAUUUCGACAGACACUUUGCAAUCAAUGGGCAAAAAAUUAAUGGAGAAGAUAAAAUUCAAACGAAACAUGCCUUACAUUGAUAAAUUAGAAGGGCCAAAGAAAUUUUAGUACGAUAUGGGAUCAGGGUCUUGCCACGGUGAUGUUAUUUGUGAUGUUCGAGCGACUCAGCAACCUUCGAGGUUGAAAAUUUGAUUGACCAAAAGCUUCCCGUUCGUUGAUUCUCUAAUAGCAGAAACAAGACUGGCAGUAUACACAAGAAUGUGUUCGAUGAAUAUCAAAAUCUCAAAAACCUUUUGUUUUUCAUUUUUUUGGAAAAAACCAUUGAGAUCCUUACUAUUCUUUCUUAUAUAUUAAACAUGCAAAUAUACACACUAAUUUAGAUGUGUGAAUAACAAAUAUGGAACAACACAUGCAAAGUCAUCUGUAUAAUUGAAGUUGCUCCAAUGGUUACUGUUCAUUUAUUUUUAUUUAUGAAUUUUUUUGUAAAAUUUAAGAAAUAUGUAGAAAUGUUGCCAGCAAUGAUUUUGGAACUUUGCAUAAUAUUUUUAUCAUUAUUGUUUUUUGUAUUAAGAAAUCCGAGGCGGUGAUUAGACGUAUGUUGCAACAAUUAAGAAAUUUCUUAUUGGAAAUAAUUUGGUAGGUUGCAACAAUCAGAGAAUCAUUUUCCUGUCAGUUAAUCAAUCAAUAAUAAAUUUCAAAUUGCAGAAAAUAAAAUAAUACUGUAGCACUUAGAAUCAUCUUUUCUAUCUCUUUCAAUUGUGGCAAUCAUUUGUAACAAAUAAAUCAAUUUGAUGCACAUCAUUUCCCCAAUUCAAAGUUCAAGUCACUGCCCAAUUCAAAGUUCAAGAACUGCAAAUGAAGCCACAGCCGUGGGAUAGAAGCUGCUACAAUGCUGCGAGUUGUGGAGACUUUAAUGGGUGAAGGAUCAUUUGAAUUGGUGGGUGAGAGGGUGCCAGAAGAUGCAGCAGAGGAGAUAAAUUGUGAGCCAACAAUAAUGGGCAUGUUGUCGACUUUUGAGAAAGCCUGGAGAUGCCUUGAAGAAGAAUCGGUUGGAAUUAUUGGCCUAUAUGUCAAUGGGGGAGUUGGAAAAUAUUUACUCAAAUCAACAAGUUCCUUGAUAGUCCAAAUAAUUUUGAUGUUGCGAUCUGGGUGGUUGUCUGCCAAGAUUUGCAACCCCAGAAGUUUCGGGGAAAAGUUUGGGAAAAAAAAAGGCUUGUUCGAUGAGUCAUGGAAGAACUGAAGUUUUCAAGAGAGAGCACACGAAGUUUGUAUUACUGAUGGAUGAUAUAUGGGAGCAGGUUGAUUUAAUUAAAAUUGGUGUCCCUCUUCCAAGCACAAAAAUUACUUUCAAGAUAAUCUUCACAACUCCUUCUAUUGACAUUUGUGGCCUCAUGGAAGCUCACAACAAGAUUAAAGUGGAGUGUUUAAAUGACGAAGAAGCAUGGGAAUUAUUCUGCAAGAAGGUUAGAGAAGAUGUGGCGACUCUGUCCAAGUGCUAAGGAGCUCAACCUCAGAAUUUCUAGGUACGGAAAAAUAAGUAUAUCCUCUUUUGAAAUUCAGUUAUGAUAAUUUACGUAGCGAUAAAAUUAGAUCGAGUCUGUUAUACUGUAGUUUGUUUCCGGAAGACUUUCCAAUUAGCAAAAUGGAAUUGAUACAUUGUUGGAUAAGCGAGGGCCUUUUGGAUGAAACUAAUAGUUCUGAGAUAUGAAAUCAAGGAUACUACAUUAUUGGUGUUCUUGUUCCUUUAUGUUUAUUGGAAGAAGAGGCUCCACUUUAUGUAAAAGUGCAUGAUGUGAUACGCGAUAUGCUUCUGUGGAUAGCAUGUGAAGUUUUUUUUUGAUAGGGAUAGCAUGUGAAGUUGAGAAGGAGAAAGAGAAUUUUUUGGUUCGUGCAGGUGCAAGGAUUAACUGAAGUACCAGACAUUUGGAAAUGGGAAGGGUUGAGAAGGGUGUCUUUGAUGAGCAACAAAACUGAGAAGGUAUCAGAAAUUCCUUCAUCUCACGAUCCACUAACUUUGUUGCUUCAACAUAAUUAUUUAGAGAUGAUCAAUAAUGACUUCUUUCAAUCUAUGCAUUCCCUAAGAGUUUUGAACUUGUCAUGUAAUCAUUCUCUAACUGAUAAUUUCAAAGUUAGUUUCCCUACAACAUCUUAAUUUAUCAAUGACUAACAUACGAGAGUUGCCGAAUGAGUUAAAGUUUGUAGUGAAUCUAAAGUUUUUGAAAUUGGAGUAUGCACGGUUUCUUCAUUCAAUUCCAGGGCAAGUGAUAUCCAGUUUUACGAUGUUACAAGUUUUGAAGAUGUUUGGUUGUGGGAGGUCAUCUUCUGAUCAUGAGCCACACCAGAAGAUAGAGUUUUAUUUGAAGGCUGUAAACUUUUGAUUGUGGAGUUGUUUGGUUUGAGAGACAUUUAGAUGUGUCGACCAUCAUCCUAACAAGUUCCCAUGCUCUGAAAAGAUUUUUGAGCUCCAACAAACUUCAAAGUCGUACUCAAUCUCUCUAUCCUAAAUGCUUUGAUAAAAAUUUAAUUUAAUUCAAUCCAACUAAACUUAUCAAACAUGAGAAAAAAAUUUAAUUCUAAAAUUAGUCCAAUUCCAUAUUUAAUCCUAGCAUUCAAAUAUAGCCCAAGUUGUUUGCUUAAAGAAGCUACCAAAUUUGAAGAGCGUUUACGGGAAGGCCUUGCGUUUCCCAGAUGUAUGUAGAUUUUUUGUAUCUAAAUGCCCAGAACUUAAGAAGCUGACGCUGGAUUUUGAAAGGGCGGGCCAAGGUAAAAUUCUUAUCAAGGGAAAGGAAAAUCGGUGGGAACAACUUCAAUGGGAGGAUCAAGCAACUCAGGAUGCAUUGCUUCUGUUUUUCAAAUCAACUGACAAGUGAUUGAAGGGGGCAUCAUCAACAUCAUCAGCCUGGAUGGGGAGAUUCUGGAGCAGAUCUGUAGGGUUUGAAUCUGCAUCAUCAACAUCAUCAGGGUCUGUAUUUCUAUUGCUGGUCUUAAUGCUUGCUUACUGUUGCUUGACAAAGUGAGCCAGUUUUUUGUUUAUUAAAUUUUGUCUUGAAGAGACAGUCACAAAGUAUUUUUCUUAGUUGUUCUAUAUGAGAGUGAUGUGAAUCAAUGUUUCAAUUAUAUAUUCUGUGGUCAUUUUGAAUUUUGUUUAGAGAUGCAAACUUAGAAUAUGGAAAAGUUCACCGGCAAACAUUUUGUAAAAGGUUCCAACUGAAAUAGGGAAUGCACUUACUGCUAAGGACAUUUGGUGGCCAGCUAAUGCAUUCAUUUUAUAUCCAUUCAUCAUUUUAAUUAUUGAAAACAAGUGGCUCAUCGCUUUUACUUUAGGUAAAAUUCAGAUAAUCUCUAUUAUGAAAUGAUAAUAUUCUAUUAAAUUAUUAUAAACCUCAGCCAAUCUUAAUUUUAUUUAAAAGAUAAAAGAAAUAUAGGUUAUGUUGGUGACUUUUUUCUUAUCUUUUUAAUAAAAAUAAAAUAAAAUGAUGUUUAUAAUUGUUUAAAAUACUUUAAAGAUUGUUAUUUUAUGAGAGAGUAAUAUUUUACUUUUUUAUUGUGAAAGGCUAAAAAGGACAAAGCAAGUGUCCCUGGUUUUUAUUUUAUUUGAAAUUGGUCAUCUCGUAUACUUUACAUUUCAACACUACAAUUUUUUUUGUUAUAUUUUUAUUAUUUUUUUCUUUUUUACACAUGCACGUGAAUUUCUUUUCUUUAAGCUCCUGAAUAUUUAAGACAAAUCAUGGAAGAGAUGAAAAUAUAACAAGAUGAUCAAAAUACGUAACAAAAAAUUUACAAGUGAAACAUACGUUAGAGUCGAAGUAAAACUCUGAAAAUAGAGAUAUUGAUUAAUUUAGAAGAGAUGCAAGCAAAAGAUAUUCUAAAAAAGAAGAAAAGCAAUCUGUCACUUUCGAGGGCAAACUUGUUAGUCUCAAAAAGGUACAUUUUGUUGUUGUGCAUUAGUUGGAGAAGUCAAGCCUAGUGAAAAAUGUUAUGAAAGAGCAAAUGAUAUUUCUGACAGCUUUAUUUGAUUAUGUAUUCAUUUAAUGGAUGUAUUGUUAGAAGAUAUCUAAGUGCAUUAGUUUAUCGGUGUCUGUCGAUGUGCUUUUAGUGAUUUUUCCAGCUGUUUGCUGUAAAAGAUGAUUGUAAAUUGAAAUGAACUUGAUGUUGUAAUAUUUUCUCUUUAGUGGAAUCUCCAUUGUGUUGUCAAUAAUUUUGGUCAAAAUUAUUGUUAUUAUUUCUUACUAGAGGUAAAUUUUUUUGUUAAACCUCAUUAACACAAUUCUUAAUUAGAAGUAUAGGUUAGUGUCGGUGCAGGAUUUGCAGCACCAAAUCCUGCCUAGCUACGUGUCAAAAGUGCAAAAUAAAUGAAGAGAAAGCACAAAUACAUGACUUGGAUUAGGAUAGAAGGAAAUUUAAAUCUUAGAGAAAAGGACAGCUAUAUCCCAAUAUUUGAAAAAAUUGUCAUAUAGAUUUUUAAGAUUUCAAUAAGGGACGGAGAUCUUCUUUUGAUAAAUAAUAUCUUUUAGCUCUCUCAAGUAAAAAAAAAUUAAAUUAAAUAUUUUAUAAUAAAUAAAAAUAUAAUAUUAAAAUAUACGUGAUAAUAUAUACAUUUUAAAUAAUUUCAAUCUAAAAAAAUAGUUAUGUUUUACAGGAUCCACCUAUGUUACAAUAGUGGUAUAGUACCACAGUUUUUGUUCUUAUCCAAUGUAAUAAUUGGAUGAUUUAGAGCUUAAUCUAUCGGCUUAAAUUAUUUUUCUGAAUAUUUGAAGCAACAACUUGCAACCGUUGGAGCCGGUUGCAUAUUAAUUUAAUAUCAUUUGGGGAAGCGUACGGUCAGGAAGUUUCUUAGUAUGCCAACAAUGGAAUUUGAUUUCAUCUCAAAUCGAUCUGCAGGCAGCAAUUGGGAAAUUACACUCACGAUCUUCCUCUUCUUCACUUCCUCUCUACUCUUCACUUUUCUCACUCUCGCGAUGUUUACAGCAUGACAAAUACAAUUACAAACCAGGAAAUGCCAUUAACAAUUUUCAUUUGUCUUAGUCCGUUUUUUUUUUUUUUUUUUCUAGUAGAAAGCCAAAAAAACAAAAAAGAAAACGGGUGGGAGGUUGGGGCGCCGUGAUGAGAUGGUUUUGAGUUUUUGACGGAAUGUUUGUUUUUGUGAUUCAUUUAGGGUUUGAAUUCAGGCUUGUACGAACUCGGAUCUAUUCGAGAUCCGUAUUGGCGCUGAAAUCAGAUCCUUUGAAGCCUUGGUUUGAAUUCAACCUUGAGAACUCGAAGCUUGUUAGAAUCUUCAUUGAUCUCUCCAGAAAUUACACGGAUCUUAUUACUAAACCCUACAUAUCGGGCUGCAAUGGAGUCCGAUUCUCUCACAAUUAAUGAAUCAAUAUUGAGACAGUUCGAAAAGGAAGUAAAAAAGAGAAUCAACUUGACUGGCUAUAUAAUUGCGGAGGCCAAAGAGUCUUUUGAUAAUCAAUUGAAGAUUUAGAAGUUAAAAGACACUAUUUUUACUAUGAAUGAACAAUUGACUAAGGCGAAAAAGCAAGGAGCAUUUUUGAGUUUGAUUGCUGCGAAAUCGAUGCCUUAGAGUUUGCAUUGUUUGGCCAUGAGGUUGAUGAAAGAGCGAAUUGUUCAUCCGGAGAACUAUAAUGAAGAAGGGAAGCCCACACAUGCAGAAUUCGAGGAUCCCAAACUUUAUCAUAAUGCUAUUUUUUCUAGGUAAUAUGCUUGCAGCUUCGGUGGUGGUGAUUGGUGAAUUUAGCUGUUAAGAACUCGAAGGAGCCUUGGAAACAUGUGUUUCUUGUUGUGAUGGAUCAAAUGAAUCUCGGGGCAAUACAGGUUAUGUUGAAAUUUAAGGAUUAUAAUGGAGCACAUUUAGGCACGAAGGCUGUUGGGGAUUAUAAGUUUUUGAAUUCUCACAUGUCCCUGUGUUAAGGCAGCCGGCGUUUGCUAAUUUGCAAAGGUUUUAGUUCGGGAAGUAGCUUGAGAAUGCUACCAAAGAUGCUACUAACCUGAAGUUUAGGAAUCCCAAUUACUUGUUGAUACUGUAUCAUUUGAGGUUCUGGAUAAGAUUUCAAUGAUGGCCGCUUAAAACAAAUAAAAAAAAGAACUUGUACUGUAUUGGAUCUUUACUUAUUUGAUAUAGUUUUCCGCAAUCUCUCUAUGCAACCGGUUACUUUAAUUAUCCACUAACUCAUCUCAACCGUUUGAUGAACUCACUUUAUAUCCAACGAAAGUUUUAAAUGAAGACAAAAAGUGUGGUAUGUUGCAAUUGUUGCAACAUAUGUGAGUCCUGUUUUACAAUCUAUUUAACAUAUUUUAUUAAAUUAAUAUAUUUCUAUGAUAUAGGAACAUAAUAUUAAAAUAAAUUUACAAAAAUUUAAAGAAUUUUGAAUGUAAAACAAUUUCAAUAUAUUAAUAGUGAGAUUUUUUUAUUAUUAUAAAAAUUAUUUAACCCAUAGAUUUUUUAAAAUCUUUACAAUAAGUAUAAAUAUAUUAUCUUCAUUUUAAAAUAUUUAAAUAUUAUUAACCUAUAAUUAGGUUUGCAUUUAUUAGAAAAUUUUAAAGUCAAAUAUAUUGCACUUUUGCAUUAUUAGAAUCAUCACAGAGAAAGGAACAUAUAUAUUGUAUAGCUUUAGAAAUUGGUUUCUUUUACGUCUGGAAACAGAGAUGAUGAUUAUUAUAAGGAUGAAAAAAAAAGAUAAAGAAUAUUAAUGAUUAAUGAAACCUUUAUGCAAAUUGAUUUUAGUAGGGAAAGAGUCAGAUGAAUGGCUUCUUUUACAGCUAAAAACAUAGAUGAUGAUUAUUAUAAGGUUGAAAAAAAAAGAUAAAGAAUAUUAAUUAUUAAUGGAAUCUCUAUGCAAAUUGAUUUUAUAGGAAAAAAGCGAGCUAAAUGAUUUAGACAUUCAUAGUGUAUUUAUUUUUUGAAUUGGUGAAUAAGAAUUAUUGACAACGCUAACUUCAUCUUCACCGUUGGCUAUCCAAUAGCGGCAAUUGUCGCCGAUAAUGAUAUCUCCAAUGAUGAUGACAAUUUUUUUUAUUAUUAUUAUUGGUGGCCCCUUGGAAAGUUAACUGCAAGUGCCAAUCAGAGAAAAGUCGUCAUGCACAAUCCUCAAUCGGACCAAUCUACAUUACAGAUUCUGUAACGUACACACCAAAUGGGAAGCAGCACACGUGUUCUGAGGAGAGAGAAAAACCGUGCAAAUGCAGGCAAUAGGAGUUGGCUACAGUUGGAUCUGUAAGUUACAGAAUCUGUAACUUAGCCAACUCCCUCAAUGAUCACUAUUGUUUCCGAUAUUUAUAAAUUGGUGGCCCCUUGGAAAUUUAACUGGAAGUUUGCAAGUGCCAAUCAGGAAAAAAUCGUCAUUCGUUGUUUUUUUUUUUUCUGCAUUCCCUUUCAUGUUCUUAAUAAUUGAAGACAGGUUGUUCAUAACAUGUAUACUUUUCAAAUGUGGAGCCGCAGUUAAUGUUGCUAUUUUAAUUUGGGAUUAAAUUAGGGGAACACUAACUUUUAUAUUUAUCUAAACUCCUUAAAUUUAAGACAGAUUAUGGCGUAAAUAAGAAUAUAAUAAUAACAAAGGAAUUAAAAAGUAUAGUGAAGAUCUUGCAGAAAUAUAAAUAUUAGCGUUGAAUUAAAUAACACAGAACACAUGAAUUGAAUAGUGAUUAUCAAGACGGUGUUACUUGCACUCCUAUUUAUAGAAAAUCUUGGUUCUGUUCCAUUAGAUUUUUUAUCUUCAAAAUCUUGCAAAGUUUUGACAACCCAAAGGCUCAGUUUGCUUGUUCUAUAUUUGUAUGAUAUGAAUUCAAAUUUUUGUGUUUUGUUUUUCUUAAUUCUGAACACGGAUUCUUCUCUUCUCGUGCAAACCAGAAAGAAAUGUUGUCUUACAAAAAAAGGGGAAUAACUUCAUGAGAACAAAAAUUCAGAAAAAUAAUAUAAAGUUUAUAUUUAGACUUUUGAGGUAUAUUUUAACUUUCAACAAUGAGUUAAAGAAAAUAAAUAUUUUAAAAGAAAAUAAUAAAUAAAGUAAAUAAAAGUUGGAAAAAUGACACAUACACCCCCAACGUAUAAUAAAGGGACACAAAACUCCCUAAUAUUUGAAAAAAGACAUACAGACCCCAUUUAAUAACCGAAACAAUUUCGUUAAAUCAGUCAAAUGUUAAUAUCGUAAUUGCAUAUUAAUAACAAAUGAAUUGACCAAAAACCCACACACGAACAAAACGCUUAACACACAUGCACUGACACUGCUCCUCCCAGAUCUUGACAUAACGGACACACUCACACGAUUCGCCGGAAACUGCUGGAAUUGCUGGGGUUGCCGGAAGUCGCUGGAACUGUGGGGCCUGCCGGAAGUCCAGCCGCUGGAACUGCUCGCGCUGCCGCAAGCCGCUGGAUCUGCUCGCGCUGCCGCAAGUCGCUGGAUCUGCUCGCGCUGCCGCUGCUGCGUCGAUCGAGACCGCGUCUGGCUGCUGCUCGUUCGUGUGGCUGCUGCUCGUGCGUCGUUGCUGCUCGUUCGCGUGGAUGCUGCUCGUUCAUCUUCAAUCCACGGUUCACUUCUCUUAAACUAGUUUUUCCCUCUUUAAUUUUCAUUUUUUUACUAAAUUAACAAAUUAACAACUUGAGCGGGGAAGUUCCUCCUUCCCAAGGUCAAUUUGCUACCUUUGAUUCAGACUCUUAUAUCGGCAACGAAUAUCUGUGUGGACUUCCACUUCGAAAAUUGUGUGCGGGGAAUGUUUCAACACAUGUAUACGAACGUGGAUCAGGUGGAAAACAUGAACUGAGCUGGCUUAAUGUUAGCUUGUCACUAGGAGUUAUAUUGCUGAUUUUUGGAGUGUAAUUGCUCUUUUUUCUCAAUAAAAGAUGGUCAACAAUGUUGUGAAACUUAAUAACUAAUUUUAUUUAUUUUUAUUCUUGAAUAAUGGAUUAAAAUUAUUUGGCUUGAAGAGAAUUUGAUAAAAAAUUAUUAAUAAUUUUAUUAUAUGGACAAAAAAUUUAAUAGAGAAAUUGGAUAAUGAGGAUAUAUUCGUAAUUUUAUUAAUAAUAUAUGGGUAAAAUAGAUAAUGAAUAAUUUUUUUUAUAUGCUAGAAGGAUAUAACAAUAAUUACACGUUAAAAUUAUAAUUUCCGUUAAAACUAACGGUUUCGUUAAGAAAUUGGGGUCUGUAUGUCUUUUUUCAAACAUUAGGGGGUUUUAUGUUCCUUUAUUAAACGUUGGGGGUGUCUGUGUCCUUUUCCCAUAAAAGUUUAGAGAUUCAAAUUUUUUGUAUUGGAUUCUUUAAUUCAAAUACCUCUUAAUUAAUUAACACUUAAAAGAGAGUUCACUAUUAUAAUUUUAAGCUUUUUGAUUUAUUAUUGAUAUACAAAUUAGGAGUUUAAGCUUACUUUUUUAUUUUUCCAUUUUUUUUCAAAUUUGAAAUUAUUAUUUAAAUUUAUAAUUUUUUUUAAAAAAUAAAGGGCUUGAACCUGGCUUGGUAUUGUUUCCUAAACCCUUAUCCGGCCCGGCUUUUUUGCCAACCCCAAUGAUGAUGAUGAUGAUUAUUUUAUUAUUAUUAUUAAUGAUGAAAAAUAUUAUAAUUAAUUAAUAUAUUAUUGUAUUGUUAUUAAGAUUAACAAUAAUUAUUAAUAAUAACAAUUUUUUGAAUAAAAAUAAUCACAAUAAUUAAAAUAUAAAUUAAUAAUUAUAACAAUAGUUAAUUAAUGUCUUUUUAGCAAUUUGUAAUAAUUUAACUCAUUUUGAUUUCGAUUAUUAUAGUUAAGUAAACAACUUAUUAUAAUUCUCAUUCUCCAUUUUGAUUUCAGCUUAUUUCGAUUUCAGUCCAUUCCGAUUUUCAUUUAAUAAACGUUCCAUUAAUGCUAUAGUAAUAUUUCAUAUAGAAAAAAAUAAAAACUACAACUAAGGUUAAGGGAAAGGACUUAAAAAUUCUCUUUGGUCAUAAUACAUUUUUUCCUAAUUAACUUAAAGAGUUUGAAUCUAAUAUUUUAUAAUAAAUAAAAAUAUAUUUCAAAAGUAAAUAUAAUAUAUCUAUUUUAAACUAAUCUCAAUAUUUAAAAUAUAUUUAAUAUUUUACAAUCUAUUAGACAUAUUUUAUUAUAUUAAAAUAAAUUUUACAAUAAAUAUGAACGUACUGUUAAAAUGAAUAUAUAAAAAACUUAGAGUAUUUUGAAUAUUAUAUAAAAUAAUUUUAGUAUAAUACGUGAGAUAUAUUUUAUUAAUGUAAACUGCUAUUUAAUCUAAAGAUUCAUUUAUGAUAAAUUAAUAAUUAUAUUUUUAAAAUUAUUUUAAAUAUUAAUUUUUAAUAUUUUUAAUUUAUUAGACAGAUAAAAUUAUUUAUAUUAUUUUGUAUUUGUUAAAAAAAUUUAAAGUCAAUUUUUUUAAUUACUAUUCAAAGGAUAUAAUAAUUAAAAAAAUCUUAGCGUUUUUAUUAAAAAUUUAAAAAUUUACAUGCUAUUUCUAUAAAUAUUUAAGGUAUAUAUGAACUUCGGUGGAGAAGCUUCAUUUAAUAUUAUUGAUUUAAAUAAUAUCUCAAUUAAAAAUGUACAGAGAACAAAUUUCGGUGGGUAUUUCAGUCUUUUUAGCAAUUAUCAUGGUUAGCCCUUGGCCUUGAAACGUCUGUCAGAAAGGUUUCAAAUGCUUUAAUUGUUCUUAUAAAAAAAAAAAAAAAAAUGCAUUAAUUGUUUUUUCAUUUUAACGUCAGCGGCCUUGAAAGUGCUUUAUCUUAUAACAAAUUAAUUAAUGCUGACGAGAAAAUAUCUCUUCCACAGCCCACAGCAGCUUCUGUUAAUCAAACUCAACCAAUUUUCUCUCUUAACAAAAUUCCAAAGAUGGGUAGCGUUUUUCAGAUCACAUGCGACGGCGCUUUUUUCAAUCGUUGCUUGGAUUGCUUUCUUGGAAAAGCAGCAUACAUAAGCAACAUCCAAGAUAAUCUUGCAGCCUUGGAGACUGAACUGGGAAGACUAAUCGCAGCAAAGAACGAUGUGAUGAUGAUGGUUGUCAAUGCUGAACGGCAACAAAUGAAAAGGCUAGGCCAAGUGGAAUGGUGGGUGUCGAGGGUGGAUGCUGUUAAAAUUGAAGCUGAUGAGCUUAUCAGAGACGGCUCUCAAGAAAUUGACAAAUUAUGUGUUGGAGGCUACUGUUCUAAGAACUGCACGUCAAGCUACAAGUUCGGGAAACAAGUGGCUAAAAAGCUACGAGAUGUGGAGACUUUAAUCGCCGAAGGAGUUUUUGAGGCGGUGGCUAUCGAGGUGGUGCCUGAGAGAGCUCCGGAGCCUGUAGCAGAUGAAAGACCUACCGAGCGAACAGUAGUAGGCUUGCAAUCACAACUUGAACAAGUCUGGAGAUGUCUUGCAGAAGAAUCAGCGGGAAUCAUUGGCCUAUAUGGUAUGGGCGGUGUUGGUAAAACUACACUAUUGACCCAUAUCAACAAUAAAUUUCUCGAGAGUCCAACCAACUUUGAUUGUGUGAUUUGGGUAGUAGUUUCAAAAGACCUGCGACUUGAAAAAAUUCAAGAAAAUAUUGGGAAAAAGAUCGGUUUGGUUGAUGAUUCAUGGAAGAGUAAAAGUGUAGAGGAGAAAGCUCUCGACAUCUUCCGGAGUUUAAGAGAGAAGAGAAUUGUAUUGCUGUUAGAUGAUAUAUGGGAGCGGGUUGAUUUAACAAAAGUGGGCGUUCCACUUCCAGGACCACAAAAUACUACCUCAAAAGUCGUAUUCACAACCCGUUUGAUCGAUGUUUGUGGUAGCAUGGAAGCUGACAGGAAGUUCAAAGUAGCAUGCUUAUCAGAAAAGGAUGCUUGGGAACUGUUUCGAAAAAAAGUUGGGGAAGAAACUCUUGGAAGUCAUCAUGAUAUCGUUGAGCUAGCCCAGACUGUGGCCAAAGAGUGUGGUGGUUUGCCACUCGCACUUAUUACUAUUGGUCGAGCUAUGGCCUUCAAAAAGACAGCCGAGGAGUGGAGUCAUGCAAUUGAUGUGCUAAGAACAUCAGCUUCUGAGUUUGCAGGUUUGGGAAAAGAGGUGUAUCCUCUUUUAAAGUUUAGCUAUGAUAGUUUGCAGAAUGAGACUAUUAGAUCUUGUUUCUUAUAUUGUUGUUUAUAUCCCGAAGAUUAUGGAAUUCUUAAAUGGGAUUUGAUUGAUUGUUGGAUUGGUGAGGGAUUCUUAGAGGAAUCUGACAGGUUUAGUGCAGAAAACCAAGGAUACUACAUUGUGGGCACUCUUGUUCAUGCAUGUUUAUUAGAAGAGUUAGAAGAUGAUAAAGUAAAAAUGCAUGACGUUAUUCGUGAUAUGGCUCUAUGGAUAACCAGUGAAAUUGAGAAGGAGAAGAGAAACUUUUUGGUUCGUGCAGGUGCUGGAUUAAAAGAGGAACCGGCUGUUAAAGAAUGGGAAAAUGUGAGAAGAUUGUCAUUGAUGCAAAACCAUUUUAAAACUCUGUCAGAGGUUCCUUCAUGCCCUCAUCUCCAUACUCUAUUUCUUGCCUCUAAUGAUAAUUUGAGGAUGAUCACGGAUGGCUUCUUUCAAUUUAUGCCUUCUCUCAAAGUUUUGAAGAUGUCAAACUGUGUGGAUUGGCCAGUUUCGAAAUUACCUUUGGCGAUGUCAAAGUUGGGUUCACUACAACUUCUUGAUAUUUCACAUACCAGCAUAGAAGAGUUACCAGAAGAGUUGAAGUUGUUGGUAAAUCUGAAAUGUUUGAAUUUGAGGUGGACAUUUGAGUUAAAUAAAAUUCCAUGGCAACUAAUAUCAAAAUUUUCAAGGUUACGUGUGCUGAGAAUGUUCGCUACUGGCUUUGCACGUUUUGAUGAAGCAUCAGAAGACAGCGUUUUAUUUGGUGGGGGUGAAGUUUUAGUACAGGAAUUGGUCGGUCUGAAAUAUUUAGAGGUAUUGGAGUUGACCUUGGGAUGUCAUCAUGCUCUCCAAAUUUUUUUGAGCUCAAAUAAGUUAAAAAGUUGUAUUCGAUCUCUUCUCCUCCAAUUGGCCGGAGAUACAAUGUCGAUUAUUGAUGCUACGGCUUUUGCAGAUCUAAAGCACCUCAAUGAAUUAUGGAGUGAUAGGGCUAAGGAGUUGGAAGAAUUGAAGAUUGAUUGUAAAGAAAUAGUACAAAAAAGGCGGGAACCUUUUGUUUUCCGCAGCCUUCACCGUGUUACUAUACAUAGCUGCCAGAAGUUGAAAGAUUUGACAUUCCUCGUUUUUGCUCCAAACCUCAAGUCUCUCGAUCUAGACCGUUGCGAUGCUAUGGAAGAAAUAAUCAGCGUCGGAAAAUUUGCUGAGACUCCUGAGAUGAUGGGACAUAUAAGCCCUUUUGAAAAUCUCCAAAUGCUUGAUUUAGAAGAUUUGCCACAUUUGAAGAGCAUCUUCUGGAAGCCAUUGCCUUUCACUCAUCUGAAAGAAAUAUCUGUGGGUUAUUGCCGUAAUCUUAAAAAGCUUCCACUCGAUUCCAACAGUGCAAAGGAGCGUAAAUUUGUUAUUCGUGGAGAAGAAGACUGGUGGAACCGACUUCAAUGGGAGGAUGAAGCCACUCAAAUUGCUUUUCGUUCCUGUUUCCAAUCUCUUUUUGAUUAACUCUUAUACAUUUUCUCGUCGUUUGCUUCGUGCAAAAGACUACGUCUUUUGUUCUCCGUUUUUAUUUCAGUUUCGUUUUUUGUCUCCUGCAAAUCACAAUUAAAUGUUGAAUUAUAUGGAAGUAACGCUUUAUAAAUUUGCCGGCACUGCCAUUUCUUUUUCCUCUUUUUUUUUUUUUUUGGGUCGAAUUGAUGCUCUGGCUUUUUUACUUUUUGUCAUCGAAUUUUGCUCUGUUUUUCAAAUUGAUGCUUGAAUAUGUGAAUUCAAUUAAUGCUCACAUAAUUUUGUUUAGUUGCCGUAAAAGAAUAUAAUUAGACUGAAAUUCGCACUCCCAGAAUGAAUAGAAUCACAACAGAGAAAAUAUUAAGUAUGCUAGCCCUCUUUACAGAAAAUCAAAUGAAAAUAAAAUUUUUUUGGAUAUUUGAUUUUCUAUGGUGUACUAAAUACACUUUAUAAAUUCUUCUGUUCUAAGGAUAACCAAAUCCUUUGUUCAAGGAUUUUUAUUUGGGGUAUUGAUAAUAGUCCACCAAAAUAGUGAAUGCUUGGAUGCUGAUUAAGGAUCUGUAAUCAAUAAGCUGGAAGCAAACGAGAAGGCGGUCGCUACUCUGUACAAAGCCAUGCAGCAAUUGCUAUUCAUCUUAAAUUCUUAAUAAUUACGAAGCUUUGGUAAAAUUUUCAAACAAAGUUGACAUGUUAUUUUGAGAUUUGGUUCCUGAUUUUGGUUGAAUUUCGCUGUUUCGUUUGAGUUGGAUGUGAAUUCAAAUCCAAAUAUUCUUUGUUUUUCAAUUCUGAACUCAAUUUCUUUUUCUCAAGAAUGUUAUGCAGAAAUGAUUUUUACUAAAUCAUUUUUGAUGAAUUGUUUAAAUUAAACAAUUGGGAUAAGAAUUGUAACGAUUUAUCAUAAGCGUGCUAAUAUGAUAACUUGUUUUACAAAUGAUUAAUUAAUCAAUUAAUAUUAAAUUAUAUAUUAGUCAAUUAGAUAUGUGUUACAUUUGUCAUGUUUUGUAGGAGCGAUACUACAUAAUUUCUAAAAGAAUAUAAUAAAAACACAUUAAAAUGUUAUUUUAAUGAAGAAAAAAUUAUAAUUUUAUUAAAUAGGUGACACAAUAAUAAAUGGAUUUCUGUAAGAAUUGAGAUUCUUGAGAUAAUUUUGACAUGAUAAGAAGACAACACAGCACAGAAAACCCAAAUUGCCACUUCUACUAAUAAAAGAUAACCUGUUUGAAAAGUAAUUAUAAACUACCUUCUUUGCGUUAUUUCUCAAAACUUUUGUGGCACAAAUGUUAUUUCCAUUGACAACAGUACGAAAUACCGCCCCUUUCACUUGAGCAGGAGCAAAGCAAAGGUAUGAUGAGCUAUCUCUGUAUAAUUGAAACGCCAUUACUAAACGAUUCUUGAUGAUGGGAGCCACCGUGCCAGCUUUGUCGCUGAUUUGCAUGAUUUAUUAGUUGUCCAGAUGGCGGAUUUUGUACUGUUACCUUCUUUUCAUUCUUCAGAGCCAUGUACAGUUCUAGGAUACCAGAGAAACCAAGGUGGCAUUGAAGUUGCCCCGGUGGUUAGUUUUCAGAUCAUUUUUUUUUAAUUCAAUUAUUUAUGUUUUUAGAAAAAUGUAGGAAAUAUGUAGAAAUGUUGACAGCUAUGAUUUUGAAACUUUUGCCUAAAAUUAUUAUCAUUACUUAUUGUUUCUUAUUUAAAGAGAAAUCCUAGAAACAUGAAAUGAUUAUUCUACGCUUGUUUUAAUAUUAUACUAUGAAGAUUAUGAAGGUUUGAUUAUAUGUCACUAUCAAUUGCCUUAAUCGUUUGUCGUAAAUCAAUUAAGCAUUUUGAUGCGAAUGAUUCCCUAUUAAAAAAUUCAAGUCAGAGCUGAAUUGCAAAGUAGUUAGUCGUGCUUGCAAUUCAAAUUAAGUAUUGUAUUUUCUCCCUGAUUUGGUUGAUUCAACUAUGUGCAUUUGCUUAUGAAUGUUGUAGUAUAGAAAUCGAAACAUCUUGUCUUUUGCUAAGCCCAGAAGCAAAUUCUUUGUAUUCUACUCAUCAGUUUUCUUCAUUCUCUUCGUUGAAAUUUUAUCCAAACAGCGGUUUCGAAAUUGUUUUCACUACAAUACCUUAGUCUUUCAGAUGCUCCCGUCACUGAGUUGCCAGAAGAGCUAAAAGCCUUGGUAAAUCUUAAGUGUUUGAACCGGAGUACACAAAUUAUCUCUCUACAAUUCCGAAGCAACUGAUUUGUUACUUUUUGAUGCUACAUGUUCUGCGAAUAUUCAGUUGUGGUUAUCUUGUUCAAAUACCAGAAAAUAGCGUUCUAUUUAGUGGUAAUGAAUUCUUGGUUUGGGAGUUGCUUAGUUUAAAACGUUUAAAUGUAUUAAGCAUCAUCUUGAAAAGUUUUUCUGCCGUCCAAAAACUUAUGAGCUCCCAAAAGUUUCAAAGCCGUACACAAUGCUUGGAGCUUCUAGACUGUGAUGAUCCAAAGUCAUUUGCCUUGGCAGAGUUGAAGCAUCUUGAAAAACUAGGUUUUUCGAGUUGUGGAAAUUUGGAAGAGUUAAAGUUCUGCUGUGUCGAAGUUGCAAAGGCUCGAGAAUGUUUUCGUUUGAACGGCCCUCACUGAGUUAAGAUGAAGGCUUGUCAUAAAUUGUGGGUCUUGAAUCAAAUUUCAAUGCAUGAAUUAAUAUUUUUUAAAAAAAUUACUACACGCAGUUUAGGUUACAAACUAUUUUUUGCAAAGUUGACUAUGAAAUUGGAGAAAUUAAGUAAUUUAUAAUGUUUGCAAAGAAAGAGACUAACAUACUUCCAAUUACACUAUAUCUCUAUUAUCAUAAUGUUAAGACUAAACUAACUUAAAAUAAAUUUUAUUUGAAAAGUUAUAUCAAACGCAAUCUAAUUUUAUUAACUUGAAGAGAUAAUAGUUAUAGAAAUUAUUGUUCUAACUUAAUUAGUAUAAGUGGUAUAAAGGUUAAGUGUGCACUAAAUUCGUUUAAAUUUUUUCCACUAUAACUAACAGAGGUCAUUACUAGAAUUAUAUUACUAGUCUAUUAGAUAGAAAAAAUUAUUUAUAUUGUUUUAUAUUUAUUAAAAAAAUGUAAAGUCAAUCUUUUUAAUUACUAUUUAAAGGAUAUUAUAAUUAGAAAACAUUUAAUGUCUUUAUUAAAAAUUUAAAAAUUUACAUGACCGUUCUAUAAAUAUUUAAAGUGUAACUGUCAUUUUCUCAUAUAUAUAUAUAUAUAUAAACCAUGGUGGUGAAGCUUUAUUUAAUAUUAAUGAUUUAAAUAAUAAUAUCUCAAUUAAAAAUGUAGAGAGAAGAAAUUUCGGUGGGUAUAUUAGUCUUUUACAAUUAUCAUGAUUAGCCCUUCCUCUUGUAAUGUUGGUAAGAAAAGUUUUAAAAUGCCUUGAUUUCUUUUACUUUUAACGUUAGCGGCCUUAUAUUUUAUUACAAAUUAGUCCUAACAAGAAAAAGCAAGAUCAUAUUCCACAAAAGCAAAAGUGACAAAACAACCAACUGGAUUAUUUUUUUAAACUACAAAUUGUAUAGUCUUUUUCAAAUUGUUAUAAAUUGGUGGCCCCUACAAUUAUCAACUGUGCAAGUGCUCAUUCACAAUCUUCCAGGUCAUGCUCUUAAUAAUUGUUUUUUUUUUUUUCUGCAUUCCCUUUCAUGCUCUUAAUAAUUGAAGAGCAUACUUUUCAUUUUCAAAUGUGGAGCCGCAGCUAAUGUCGCUAAUUUAAUUUGGGAUUAAAUUAGGGGACCAUUAUAUUGCAGUGUGCACUAAUUUUUGUGUUUAUCUAAACUCCUUAAAUUUAAGACAUAUUAUGGCAUAAAUAAGAAUAUAAUAAUAACAAAAGAGUUAGAAAGUGUAGAGAAGAUCUUGCAGAAAUAUAAAUAAUAUCUAUUUUAAAAUAAUAUCAAUAUUUAAAAUAAUUUUUAGUAUUUUAUGAUCCAUUAGAUAUAUUUUAUUAUAUUAAAGUAAAUUUUAUAAUAAAUAAAAACGUACUAUUAAAAUGAAUAUAUAGAAAAUUUAGAGUAUUUUAAGUAUUAUAUAAAAUAAAUUUAAUAAAAUAUGUGAGAUAUUCAUAGUUUAUUAAUUUAAAAUACCAUUUUAAAAUUAAAGAUUUAUUUAUGAUAAAUUAAUAAUUAUAUUUUUGAAAUUACUUCAAAUAUUAAAAAAUUAAUAUUACUAAUCUAUUAGAUAGAUUAAAUUAUAUAUAUUAUUUUCUAUUUAUUAAAAAAUUAAAAUUAUUUUUAAUUACUAUUCAAAAAAUAUAAUGAUAAAAAAAUCUUAACAUCUUUAUUAAAAAUUUAAAAAUUUACAUGAUCAAUUCUCUAAAUAUUUAGGGUAGAUGUGAACCACGGUGGAGAAGCUUUAUUUAAUAUUAUUGAUUUAAAUAAUAUGUCAAUUAAAAAUGUACAGAGAAGAAAUUUCGAUGGGUAUUUUAGUCUUUUCAGCAAUUAUCAUGAUCAGAUCAGCCUUUAACCUUGAAACGUCGGUCAGAAAAGUUUUAAAAUGCUUAAUUGUUUUUCACUUUUAACGUUGAUGGCCUUGAAAUUGCUUAUAUUUUAUUAAAAAUUAAUGCUAACAAGAAAAAACUAGGUCAUAUUCCACAAAAUCAAAAGUGACAAAACAACCAGCUGGUUUCUUUUACUAAACUACAAAUUAAAAUAGAUUUUUUCGAUAAAUUACAAAUUAAAGUGGAUUCUUUUUUUUUUUUGAAAGGUAAAGUGGAUUCUUUUGAAUACAAGUGAGACAGAUUAGGCUCUUUUUAUUAAAGACAAGUAAAAACUAGUCAAGAAUCGAAUAAUCCUUUUCAAAAUCUUGUUUUAUUAUUUUUCAAAACUAGUUUUUGGUAAUUACAAUCGGGUCAUUAAUCAUUAUUCAAAGUUAGCGGCUCAUGUUUGCAAGUGUGAAUGUGCGAUGCUGCAAUUACAGUGGGGCCCGAAUCAGACGUGCCGAAUAAAUCUUUUUAAAAUUUUUGCCGUAUAACGAACAGAGGUCAUUACUAAAAUUUCUCUUCCAAAGCCCACAGCAGCUUCAGUUUAUCAAACUCAAUCAAUUUUCUUUCUUAACAAAAUUCCAAAGAUGUGUAGCAUUUUUCAGAUCACAUGCGAUGGUGCUCUUUUCAAUCGUUGCUUGGAUUGCUUUCUUGGAGAAGCAGCAUACAUAAGCAAACUCCAAGAUAAUCUUGAUGCCUUGGAGACUGAACUGGGAAGACUAAUCGCAGCAAAGAACGAUGUGAUGAUGAGGGUUGUCAAUGCUGAACGGCAACAAAUGAGAAGGCGGGAAGGAGUGCAACAAUGGGUUUCGAGGGUGGAUGCUGUUAAAACUGGAGCCGAUGAACUUAUCACAGACGGCUCUGAAGAAAUUGGCAAAUUAUGUGUUGGAGGCUACUGUUCCAAGAACUGCAGGUCAAGCUACAAGUUCGGAAAACAAGUGGCUAAAAAGCUACAAGAUGUGAAGACUUUAAUCGCCGAGGGAGUUUUUGAGGCGGUGGCUACUGAGGUGGUGCCCGAGAGAGCUCCGGAACCUGUAGCAGAUAAAAGACCCAUUGAGCCAACAAUAGUAGGCUUGCAAUCACAGCUUGAACAAGUUUGGAGAUGUCUUGUAGUAGAAGAAUCAGUGGGAAUCAUUGGCCUAUAUGGUAUGGGCGGUGUUGGUAAAACCACACUAUUGACCCGUAUCAACAAUAAAUUUCUUGAGAGUCAAAACAACUUUGAUUGUGUGAUUUGGGUCGUAGUUUCAAAAGACCUGCGGCUUGAAAAAAUUCAAGACGAUAUUGGGAAGAAGAUAGGUCUGUCUGAUGAUUCAUGGAAGAAUAAAAGUGUUGAGGAGAAAGCUGUAGACAUCUUGCGGAGAUUACGAGAGAAGAGAUUUGUAUUGUUGCUAGAUGAUAUAUGGGAGCGGGUUGAUUUAACAGAAGUGGGCAUUCCACUUCCCAGCCCACAAAAUACUACAUCAAAAGUCGUAUUCACGACCCGUUUCAUUGAUGUGUGUGGUAGCAUGGAAAGUCACAGGAAGUUUGAAGUGGCAUGCUUAUCAGAAGAGGAUGCUUGGGAGCUGUUUCGAGAAAAAGUAGGGCAAGAAACUCUUGAGAGUGAUCAUGAGAUCGUUGAGCUAGCCCAAACUGUGGCCAAAGAGUGUGGUGGUUUGCCACUNNNNNNNNNNNNNNNNNNNNNNNNNNNNNNNNNNNNNNNNNNNNNNNNNNNNNNNNNNNNNNNNNNNNNNNNNNNNNNNNNNNNNNNNNNNNNNNNNNNNNNNNNNNNNNNNNNNNNNNNNNNNNNNNNNNNNNNNNNNNNNNNNNNNNNNNNNNAUUGAUUGUUGGAUUGGUGAGGGAUUUUUGGGGGAAUCUGACAGGUUUGGUGCAGAAAACCAAGGAUAUGACAUUUUGGACACUCUUGUUCGUGCAUGUUUAUUGGAAGAGGUGGAAGAUGAUAAAGUAAAAAUGCAUGACGUUAUUCGUGAUAUGGCUCUAUGGAUAACUGGUGAAAUUGAGAAGGAGAAGCGAAACUUUUUGGUUUGUGCAGGUGCUGGAUUAAAUGAGGCACCGGAUGUUAAAGGAUGGGAAAACGUGAGAAGAUUGUCAUUGAUGCAAAACCAAAUUGAAACUCUGUCAGAGGUUCCUACAUGCCCUCAUCUCCUCACUUUAUUUCUUGACUUUAAUGAGGAUGUGGAGAUGAUCGCGGAUGGCUUCUUCCAAUUUAUGCCUUCUCUCAAAGUUUUGAAGAUGUCAAACUGUGGAAAGAGUUGGAGCAAUUUUCAAUUACCUGUUGGGAUGUCAGAGUUGGGUUCAUCACUAGAACUUCUUGAUAUUUCACAUACCAGCAUAAGAGAGUUACCAGAGGAGUUAAAGAAGUUGGUAAAUCUGAAAUGUUUGAAUUUGAGGCGGACAGAAUUGUUAAAUAAAAUUCCACGGCAACUAAUAUCAAAUUCUUCAAGGUUACGUGUGUUNNNNNNNNNNNNNNNNNNNNNNNNNNNNNNNNNNNNNNNNNNNNNNNNNNNNNNNNNNNNNNNNNNNNNNNNNNNNNNNNNNNNNNNNNNNNNNNNNNNNGCGUUUUAUUUGGUGGGGGUGAAGUUUUGAUACAGGAAUUGCUCGGUUUGAAAUAUUUAGAGGUAUUGGAGUUGACCUUGGGAAGUUAUCAUGCUCUCCAAAUUCUUUUGAGCUCAAAUAAGUUAAAAAGUUGUAUUCGAUCUCUUCUCCUCCACUUGGCCAGAGAUACAACGUCGGUUAUCGAUGCUACGGCUUUCGCAGAUCUAAACCACCUCAAUGAAUUAUGGAUUGAUAGGGCUAAGGAGUUGGAAUUAUUGAAGAUUGAUUAUACGGAGAUAGUUCGAAAAAGGCGGGAACCUUUUGUUUUCCGCAGCCUUCACUGUGUUACUAUACAUAUCUGCCAGAAGUUGAAAGAUACGACAUUCCUCGUUUUUGCUCCAAACCUCAAGUCUCUUUCGCUAUUCCAUUGCGGUGCUAUGGAAGAAAUAAUCAGCGUCGGAAAAUUUGCUGAGGUUCCUGAGAUGAUGGGACAUAUAAGCCCUUUUGAAAAUCUCCGACUUCUUCGUUUGUCACAUUUGCCAAAUUUGAAGAGCAUCUACUGGAAGCCAUUGCCUUUCACUCAUCUGAAAGAAAUGGUGGUACGUGGGUGUGAUCAGCUUGAAAAGCUUCCACUCGAUUCCAACAGUGCAAAAGAGCGUAAAUUUGUAAUUCGUGGAGAAGAAGACUGGUGGAACCUACUUCAAUGGGAGGAUGAAUCCACUCAAAUUGCUUUUCGUUCCUGUUUCCAGCCUCGUUCUUGAGCAGUGGCCGCAAAAUUUGAUUUCUGGUGAGUGCGUUUGUCUUUUAAAAAGAAUAAUUUAAAAGAAAUUUAUUCUUGUCGUUUUCUUCACUGUUUUUAUUUCAGUUUCUCUCUCUCUGUCUCUCUCUUUUUGUCUUCUACAAAUCACAAUUAAAUGUUGAAUUAAUGGAAUUAAUGCUUCAUAAAUUUGCCGGCACUGCCAUUACUUUUUUUUUUAAUACAAAUUGAUACUUUAUUUAUAUCUUCUUAGCGAUAUAAUUUCCUGUCAAUUGACGAACGAGAAGAACAUAUGACUUAAACCAAUUCUCGCAUAAACUUGCUGUAAAAAGAUAUAAUCUCACUGAAAUGCACACGUCUAGAAAGAAUAGAAUUAAAACAGGGAAAAUCUUUACCGAAAAUCAAAUGACAAUAAAUUUUUUGAAGUUUUGAUUUUCUAUGGUCAAUUCCACCUUUUGCAAUUUCUUCUGUUCUAACAAAAACCAAUUUCUUUGUUCAAGUAUUUUCGUUUGGGUAUUAAUAAUUCUCCACCGAAAGAGUGAACUCUUGCUCAAGGGAUCUCUAAUCAAUAGCCGGAAGGGCGCCGAGACCUGAUCGGACCUAGGCCCAAGUUUGGUCUUAAAGCCUGGGCUUGAGCCUGGCAAUUAAAUUAAAACAUUAAUUUAUUUCUUGAUUGAAUUGUCGUGUAAUUGAUUUAUGGGGGAUGACACAUCAACAUACUUGAAAAUACACUAAUCUCAGCAUCAUCGGUUAAUAACUUUUAGAUUUAUGGGUAAUCAAUAGUUAAGAUUAGUUGUCAUUAAUACUAAAUAAUUUUUACUUUUUUUUGUCUCUUCUAGAGGAUCUUCUAGAAAAAUGCAUCUGCAAUUAAAUUUAAUACUUUACAUAAUAAACAAAGCAUAAAUGUUAAAUUUAAGAAACUGCAUUGUAUUUCAGCUGAAGUUGACUUUAAUAUUUAGGGUAGAAAAAAAUUAAAUCCUUAAUGUGUUUAAUUUGUAUCACUUGUGUCAUUAAAAUUUUCUAGUCACCCUAACCAAUUACAUCUCAACCCACUUUUUUUUGGAUGAUUUUAUUUUUACACUAUUAUUUUCAACAUUUUUUUCCUUUUAACACCAACAUUAGUGUAUGUUACGUAACAUAAUUCAUAUUUGGAUAAUUUGAAAUUUGUUUGUGUUUUAUCUCAAAAUAGAGCUUCAAUCAAUUUGUACCUCAUAAAUUCACAAUAUCUAUGAAGGCUAAUAAGACCAAACUCUGGCAUAUUGUCAAAUGUGCUUAUCCUUUUGCUUGACAUGUCAUUUUAAAAUUGUCAUUCAAUGCCAAAAAAUCACAUCAACUAAUGGCCGAUAAUUAUAACUUAAUUGUUAUAUUGAAAUUUUUUUCUUUAUAAUUUUUAAGUUUAAUACUGCUACAUGUGUAGCACAUAAGUUGGAAAAUAUAACAAAAAUUGAAAAAUGUGUAGUUUUCGUUCCUUUUUUUCCCCUUAAAAAUGAAAAAAAAACAACAGUAAUUUUGUUUAAAUUACUGUUGUGAUAACAAGUAUUAUUUUAUUGAUUAAUUGGCAGAUAAUCAUUAUGGUUUCGUAUGGUUGUUAAAAGAUUGGAAAGUCCACUACAUCAUCCGUUAAUAACUUUCAGAUUUAUGGUUAAUCAAUAGCUGAGAUUUAUUAUCAUUAAUGCUAAAUAUUUUUUUCUCUCUCCUAGAGAAUCAUCCACAGCAAAAAUUUAAUAUUGUAAAUAGUAAACAAAAUAUAAACGUUAAAUUUAAGAAACUGCAUUGCAUUUCAGCCGAAGCUAACUUUAAUAUUUAAUGGAGAAAAAUAAUUAAGUCCUUAAUGUAUUUUAUUUACCCAUACAUGUGGCUAAUUAUUUAAGAUAAAGGGGAAGGAUGAUGCUCAAAAAUAUAAAUUAUAGAAUUAAUUGAACUCUCAAGUAAGUUUAAAGUUCAUUAUUUUUAAUUACAUGUUUAUAAUUUAUUUUUAUUUCGUAUUAAUCUAUAGAUCUAAAUCCACUUUGGAUUCAUAUACAUAUAUAGACAUAAUGUGUAUGUUAAUCUAUAGGUCUAAAUUCAUUUUAGGUCUAAAUCCACUUUGAAAAAGAUAAACUUUAAAUUUACUUAAGAGAGUAAUUAAUUUCAUAGUUAAAAUCUUUAAAUUUUACCCCUCAUCUUAACUUAAGAAAAUUAAUCACUUAUUUUAUUUAACAAAGAAGAGAUUUUUUUUCCCCCUAUAUUUUCCAAUUAUUUCUCUCCCUCUCGCUCCCUCAAGUUAUACAACUUGACGUGAAAUAUGAGUGGUCUGAUUCUAGCUUAAAUAAUUUAUUGUGACAUGCUAUCGAAGGACAAUACAAUACCUAGCUCUACAUAUUUUAUUUAACCUCCGGCUCACCCUGUGCAAACUUGCCUUUCCCCUGCAAGACAAGAUUAAUCAAUGUAUCAAGUCUCAAAUUCAAUUUGGAAUAUGACCAUCGUACGCUCUUGUUCUUCCCUCUUUACGAGUGCAUUCCCCCCAACCUCAAGCUCCCUCUCUCGUCUUCAAUGUCACUGCUUAUAUCCUUAUGUUGUUCUCAAAUUCUGAUUUCACCAUAUUUUAAUUACUGAUUAGCAUAUAUUCAAGUGCUCUCCAUUAUAAUAGAAGCCGCCGCCUCACUCGUGAUUCCAAACUUUAUCUUUUUUCCUUUUUUAAAUUAAUGCAAGUAGCCGCUGUCCUUUUUAUUAAUUAAUUAAUUCGGCCGCCCACAUUUCUUUUCCUAAUGUCUUCUACUGUCGAUUUUCUUUUAUUUUUUCUUUAUUCUUAAAAUAUGCUUUUAAUAAUAAAAUAUAAAAAUAUAAAUUAAAAUAAAAAUAUCAAAAUAUAAUUUAACAGAAAAUUAAGAUAAAAAAUGAAAAAAAAUUAUGAGCAUAUCAAUUAAUAAAUAAAAAUAAUAAUUUUUAUUUUUAUUAAAUAUAUAUUUUUCAGUAUUAAUCAAUUAUCUGAAUAACUAAAAUCAUUUAAAAAUAAAUAAAUAAAUUAUUCUUUAAAAACAAAAAGAAAAGAAACUUUUUAUAACACUCACCAUGCUGUUUGUAGGGUAGACGGUUUGGGGACUGAAGUUGGUAACUUCUACAAGUAGUCUUAAGUUGACUGGCAACAACUAUAUUGGCAUUUUGACAUACUGUACUGCAACCAUAUUGGUAUGUUCAAAUGUUCUUACUAUUGUAUUGGUGUGUCAAUAUUAUCUCUAACUGUCCUAUAGAUAAAAAAAUAAUCUAAAUUUAUAAUUUAACAUAAAAUAAAAUAAUUAGUUAUAGAUAAAAAAAUAAUUUAAAUUUAUAAUUUAACAUAAAAUAAAAUAAUUGGUAGAAAAACAAUUAUGGUUCAUUUACUUAUCAGUAAUCAGAAUAGACUGAAAUCGAAAUAAGUUGUAUUGCCGUUGAUGUGUUUAUGUUGUCCUCGAAUCGGAAUGAAUUAUUUUAAGUUACUAAAAUACCCUUGGUUUGUUAUUCUAAUAAUUAUUAUUUAAUAUUUAUUAUAAUAUUUUUCAUAUUAUUAAAAAGAAAUAAUAAUGAUGAUAAUAUUAUCAUUAUUGUUUGUUACAUUAUUAUUAUUCAAAAAAAUUAUUGUUAAUAACAAUAAUUACUUUAUUUCAAUAAUAAUAAUGAUAAAAUUAAUAAUAACAAACAUGACAACAACAAUAAUUAUUUAUUAUGCCAAAAAUAACAAUAAUAAUAAGAAUAAUAGUCAUCAUCAUUUUUUUUCCCAAAGAAGCAUUAUCAUCAUCAUUUCAAAAAAAAAAAAAAUCAUCAUUAUCAUCAUCGUUUUUGUAGUGGCUGCCUAUCGACUGCUGCUUUCAUGUGAGAUUGACUUGCGACGCUUCAACGGCUAUUAUUUCUGGCAAUGUCAGGUGUUACUGUUUCAAUUUAGGAAGAAGUUGUUUCGUUGUACUAACGAUGGGAGAUGUUGUGGCUGCGAUUCGGGGAGCUACUAGUUUAUUGCACUAAUGACGGCAGGUGCUGCUGCUUGAUGCGAGGUCCAUGGCCAGUUGUCAGCAGUUUGACUUUGGUAUGGGUGCUACUGGUUUGAUUUUAGGUGUUGUCCAAUUUCAUUUUCAGGAUUUUAAUUUUAUUUUUUCUUUAAUGUUUUCAUUAAUUAAUCAGGGCAAAGUUGGAUUUUAGAAUUUAGAAUGAAGGUAAUUUUGUUAAUCAUGGAAAUGAGAUUCUGAUUGUCGAGAAUGAGCUUAUACAAGCAACUGCAAAUUAAGUGAAAACAAAACGCUUUUUCUCUUUGUGUGAUUAAAACAUGAUAUGUAUCAUAAAUAAAUAAGUAAAAAAUAAAUCAAUACAAUCCAAAACAGUAAACAAAUUACAAGAGGUACAGAUUUUUAUGUGAAACACCGAAAAUAGAAAAAAACCACAGUAUCUUAGUCUGAUAUAAUCUUCUACUGUAUUAAUGGGAUUACAGCACAAAUUCUUCCCUAUAUACCACUAGAGGUUAACAACAUCUAGAUUCUCAAUAAUAUUGACUUACAAUACAGCUUAAUAUAUGUCUCUCUAAUAAGUAGAUAUCUAAAAUAACAAUCUCUAAUAAAUAAGUAUCUCAAAUAACCGUCUCUAAUAAGUAGGUAUCUUAAAUAAUAGUCAACAAGAGGAUAAAACAAAAAAUUAAGAUUAGUAGGAUGUGUAUCAGGCAAUGCUAUCAACUUAUUAUCUAAAUUUGAGAAAAAUAGUUAAAUUCACUUUUUCGAUUGUCCGACCAAAGAUGGAAACCCUUGCCCCAAAACCAAAGGAAUCAACAUUGUGUCUCUCUCUCUCUCUCUCUCUCUCGUUAUUUUCUUCUACUUUUCUUAAUGUUAGCCGCCACUUGCUUUUAUUCUUUAUAGCAUUUAAAAAGCUACUUUUAAUGGUAAAUUUAUAAGUCCAAACUUGGUGAUAAUUGCACACCAAACAAUCCUUACAUAGUCUUUUAGACCUCUAAAUGAGAUGAAUACAGUAAAUUUCCCCUUUUAGAUCAUGUGGGGGGCACCACAAGGCCACUCUCUGCAUAUAGCUUUUCAACUUCUCCUUGAAUAAUGUCUUUGUCAUCAUACAUAACCCAUUCUCCGUUGUGUAAAUCUUCUCAAGCUGUAAAUGUUCCUUCUCAAGCACAUCUCGUAUCUAACGAUACCUCACAUCAAUAUGCUUAAAUUUCGAAUGGUAUAUCAAAUUCUUUGAACGACACUCUGACUGUCGUAGUACAUAACAUAGUUGUCUCGUUUUACACCGAGCUCUUAUAGGAAAUUCUUCGUCCACAAUAUUUUUUUGCAACCUUCAAUAAUUGUAAUAUCAUUUGCUUUAGUGGUAGAAAAGGCAACUUAUUACUAAAGUUUAGAUUGCGAUGAGACUGCUCCCCUUGCAAAAGUGAGCAAACAUCCUAGUAGGAGUUUUUCGGAAUCAACAUCUCCUGCCAUAUCUACACAAUUGUAAAACAUGUUUGUCACUACCAAAAUAUAAACGUGCUCUGGAAAUGCCUCUAAGAUAUUUGAGAAUUUUUCACUGUUGUCCAGUGCUGAAGCAUAAGGAACUCCUCUCAUGGAGAAAUGGAUUUUGCUCUUAGAGAUUUUUGGNNNNNNNNNNNNNNNNNNNNNNNNNNNNNNNNNNNNNNNNNNNNNNNNNNNNNNNNNNNNNNNNNNNNNNNNNNNNNNNNNNNNNNNNNNNNNNNNNNNNGACACUUUUUCAGGAGAUGCAAACUUCAAAUAUAAUGGGAGACGAGUUUACCAUUGUUAGCAUUCUUACAGCUCGUGCGAAUCUGGGGGCACUAGAACUGGGAGAAUGGAUAAAGACUUAUACUGACAAAAACAAAGUCAAGAAUGAUAUAUUUGCGGGGAACGUUUUGAUAGACGUGUACUGUAAAUGCGGAGAUGUUGAGAAAGCUCAAAAGGUAUUCAGGAAGAUGCUUUGAAAGGACAAAUUCACAUGGACGACCAUGAUUGUUGGCCUUGCCAUCAGUGGCAAUGGUGAUAAAGCUCUUGAUAUGUUUUCCCAAAUGCUUAGGGCUUCGAUCAAACCGAAUGAGGUAGCUUAUGUUGGUGUUCUGUCUGCCUGUACUCACAAUGGUAAUGAAACUUUUGUGAUAAAUAGUUGCAACUAAAGGUGAGAAUUGGAGGAAAGGAAAUAGACUGAAGUUGUUCAAUCAUCAGUGGUUGCUAUUUGGUUUUAAGUUGUUCAAUCAUCGGUCGUCUCUAUUUGGUUUUCUCCAAUAUCUCAUCUUCAGUUUUGACUCAGAUUCUAUCUUACCACUAGUAAUUACAUAGACUUGCUGCCAAAGGUAAGAAUGGGAAUAAAUUAAAUAGAUUAUGUCGAAAACGAAAUAAAUUUACUAUUGUUCUGUUCAUUCUAUUUGUUUCCUACAAAAUAUUUCUCCUGCCUAAAAUUUUUUGAAUCAGUAAGUUUUUACCUUAUGCAAGAAUUGUGCUGAGAGUAAUUCCAUUUCUCAGUCUCUUUAUGUUUCAAUGAAGACGUAAAACUUGUGUUCUAGUGCACCAAUGUUUAUGCUUCUUACAAUUUGACUUUAAUUUACUUUGUAAAACUUUUGUCAAAAAGUACUAAAAAGUAGUGCACCAAACACCAACUUUAUUACACUUUAGUUUAAUUUUAAGAGAACACUCAAAAGAAAGAGUUAUAAAUUAGUAUAGAAAUAUUUCACAUAAAUAAAAGCCAUCCCAUGCUACAAAGAUCUUGCUAUCAUCACCAAAAACUAUCGGGAGCUUUUAGGGUUUCCAAAAAAAUGUCAUUUCGUUCCAAAAGUCAAUGGUGGGUAGAAAGUGGUGCAAAUGAGACUCAUUGUUAAUGGUAUAAGUUUUUGCUUAAUUAUGUCUUCCCCAAGAUGAUGAUUUAAUUUCCAUUCUCAAUUAAUUUUCAAGUUUCAACACUUUUCUAUCUAGCAUGACAUUGGAAAGAUCUUGUACAGUUGUACUACUAAAAGCUAGCACCACACGUUAGUUAUUGUUAAGUUCUUUUUCAACGUGAAAUAAAGGAAGUAGUCCCUCGUUAAAACCAUUAUAGCCAAAUUUCACCUAAUUGGACACUUACAGACUUUCAUUUCAAGUUGGAUUUUGGUCCAACGUUUCAAAGUUGGCCCAAUUAUUUUUGUCUGGUCAAGUCCUACGCAGCUAAGCCCCUCAAUGAAUGAGGGUGAGAUUGCUAAAAAUUACGACAGGUGAUAUUUUAUUGUUAUUAUUAUUAUUUUUGGGGGAUAAAUCCUCACCAAAGUGAGGAGAUUUUAUCAAAAUCAAAAUAAAAAUAUAACAAGAACUGAAAGUCGGGCAGCCUAAAAGCUAGAUGAACUAAAAGUCAGGCGCCUAAAAACAACCUUAUGCAAAAGAAAAGCAACAUGAGACCGAUCAAGUAAAAGAAUCCACCGCAACACCUAAAUUGGCCAAAUUAUCUGUUGGUAUUACAAGUUUCUUGUUAUAAAAGUGUAGAAUGAAGUAGGUGACGUAGUUUUAAGUUACAGCUGCAUGCCCAAUCGCAAUAUCAAAUAAUGCUUAAAGUAGUUGCCUAGGCGCCACAAUUUAUAUUAACUCUUAAAUUUAUAAAUAAUUAAAUUUUUAAAAGUUUGGAUUUAUAUUAAAAAAUCUUCAUAUAAAUAAAUCAUAUAUGCACUUUUACAACACAGUCUUUAAAUUUAAAUUUUUCUAGAAAAAUCUUCUGUAUAUCUUUUCUAUUAAAAAAUUUCCAUAUAAAUAAAUAAUAUACCUAAUUUAAUUGGACCCAGCACAACGUACAUGCAUAGAACACAUUCCGAAAAGCCAUGCUAUUCGGAAAUUGACGAAUGAAAAGUGAGGAGGCAGCAGUCAAUGCUACUUCGGCUUGGCCCAAAAUUGAUUUAUCAGUUUCACGUAUGCCAGGAAUGAAGAACUGGAAUAUCCCCGUCAAGCAAGCAACCUGUGGAGCAAUACCAUAGAAUGCACAAUCCGGCUUUGCAAAGUGACACUGGAGGCUUUUUGAAAAGUGCUUCAUGCUCACUUGCACAGAUUGAGCAUCCCCUCUGGAUAUUGCCCUCUCUGAUCGAGUCUGAGCACUCAAAUUUCGGUCCUCAGAUGGAGCUACAGCUUUCUCUCCCAAUAACCAACAAUUUUCUAAACUCAGCACCCUCGUGUGAUCAGAGUUGUUGAUAUUUGCAAAUGGAGAUCCCCCAUAUUUGCAAAUGGAGACAUUUAACAAAUCACCAACAUGUUUCAUUCAGUCUACGAAAUUCUGCAGCUUAUUCAAAUCCGGAACCUGAACCAGAGUCGGAGGUAAAUCUUGAGCCAUAUCUAAAGCAGCCUGAAGUUCAAGUACUUGAGCCCUUGACAAUGGUUUUGAAAUUGGAACAUCUUGGAUUACUGCAGAUUUGUACCCCUUGGUUUCAAAAGUGUGAGAGGCAUUGCUCGAGUACAAUUUGGAGGCAGCUUCUUCACCAAUUUUAUUUGGAGGCGAUUGGCAGCGGAUCCAGCUGCACCAAUUUCAGAGCAAAUACUGACACUACUUCGAACAGCACGCUGAAGAAGAGAUAUGUCUAUGGCAAAGGCAAUGCAGUCCUUAUUUUGACUUGAGAUGCAGUAAUCAUCAAAGAGAGUUUCCUUGUGAAACUGGGCAAAGCAUCGAAUCCCUUCACCACUGAGAAGGUUGUGGAGGAAGUGAGCUUUCUCUCUUGUGAGGAAGAGGUGGCGUGCCUUCCCCAUUUUGUCUAGGGCAGGUAUAAAUCUCUUUUCUAAGAGAUUUACUCCAUUCUCUGUGAGAAAUGCUUUGAACUUCAUCCCUCUGUCUGUAUCCUCACUUAUCAGGAAAAUAGUUGAAAGCGCUACAAGGAUAGAGAAGGAAAGUAUUAAGAUAAAUAGACAAGAAAAAUAUUAGAUGCCGAUCUUACAAACUAAUACUCCAAACACUAUCCUAGAAAGCUAAAAACUGAAGGAUGGCUUGAAAUUUUGAAAAGAACACAUGCUUUUCCUCCUUAACUUGGGAAAAUGUUUAAUAUAGUGCAACUUACAGAAGCAUUUAAGCAAUUAGAAAUUAGCACAAAAACAUCAAGAAGACUAAACAAAUCAGAUGCAGUGUAUUUGUCCAAGCACAAAUUGCAUUUUGUCCUCAACUUUAAUAUUUAUUGAUGAGAAUCAAUACAGGUCCCUCAUUUGUUAUAGAAAGCUUUCUUGUAGUCUCACCAGUUAAUUCACAGGUCUAUAAUCAUCUUGCAAAGUUAAGGGCAUUCUUCCGAUCUAAAGUCUUGCAUCACCACCUNNNNNNNNNNNNNNNNNNNNNNNNNNNNNNNNNNNNNNNNNNNNNNNNNNNNNNNNNNNNNNNNNNNNNNNNNNNNNNNNNNNNNNNNNNNNNNNNNNNNNNNNNNNNNNNNNNNNNNNNNNNNNNNNNNNNNNNNNNNNNNNNNNNNNNNNNNNNNNNNNNNNNNNNNNNNNNNNNNNNNNNNNNNNNNNNNNNNNNNNNNNNNNNNNNNNNNNNNNNNNNNNNNNNNNNNNNNNNNNNNNNNNNNNNNNNNNNNNNNNNNNNNNNNNNNNNNNNNNNNNNNNNNNNNNNNNNNNNNNNNNNNNNNNNNNNNNNNNNNNNNNNNNNNNNNNNNNNNNNNNNNNNNNNNNNNNNNNNNNNNNNNNNNNNNNNNNNNNNNNNNNNNNNNNNNNNNNNNNNNNNNNNNNNNNNNNNNNNNNNNNNNNNNNNNNNNNNNNNNNNNNNNNNNNNNNNNNNNNNNNNNNNNNNNNNNNNNNNNNNNNNNNNNNNNNNNNNNNNNNNNNNNNNNNNNNNNNNNNNNNNNNNNNNNNNNNNNNNNNNNNNNNNNNNNNNNNNNNNNNNNNNNNNNNNNNNNNNNNNNNNNNNNNNNNNNNNNNNNNNNNNNNNNNNNNNNNNNNNNNNNNNNNNNNNNNNNNNNNNNNNNNNNNNNNNNNNNNNNNNNNNNNNNNNNNNNNNNNNNNNNNNNNNNNNNNNNNNNNNNNNNNNNNNNNNNNNNNNNNNNNNNNNNNNNNNNNNNNNNNNNNNNNNNNNNNNNNNNNNNNNNNNNNNNNNNNNNNNNNNNNNNNNNNNNNNNNNNNNNNNNNNNNNNNNNNNNNNNNNNNNNNNNNNNNNNNNNNNNNNNNNNNNNNNNNNNNNNNNNNNNNNNNNNNNNNNNNNNNNNNNNNNNNNNNNNNNNNNNNNNNNNNNNNNNNNNNNNNNNNNNNNNNNNNNNNNNNNNNNNNNNNNNNNNNNNNNNNNNNNNNNNNNNNNNNNNNNNNNNNNNNNNNNNNNNNNNNNNNNNNNNNNNNNNNNNNNNNNNNNNNNNNNNNNNNNNNNNNNNNNNNNNNNNNNNNNNNNNNNNNNNNNNNNNNNNNNNNNNNNNNNNNNNNNNNNNNNNNNNNNNNNNNNNNNNNNNNNNNNNNNNNNNNNNNNNNNNNNNNNNNNNNNNNNNNNNNNNNNNNNNNNNNNNNNNNNNNNNNNNNNNNNNNNNNNNNNNNNNNNNNNNNNNNNNNNNNNNNNNNNNNNNNNNNNNNNNNNNNNNNNNNNNNNNNNNNNNNNNNNNNNNNNNNNNNNNNNNNNNNNNNNNNNNNNNNNNNNNNNNNNNNNNNNNNNNNNNNNNNNNNNNNNNNNNNNNNNNNNNNNNNNNNNNNNNNNNNNNNNNNNNNNNNNNNNNNNNNNNNNNNNNNNNNNNNNNNNNNNNNNNNNNNNNNNNNNNNNNNNNNNNNNNNNNNNNNNNNNNNNNNNNNNNNNNNNNNNNNNNNNNNNNNNNNNNNNNNNNNNNNNNNNNNNNNNNNNNNNNNNNNNNNNNNNNNNNNNNNNNNNNNNNNNNNNNNNNNNNNNNNNNNNNNNNNNNNNNNNNNNNNNNNNNNNNNNNNNNNNNNNNNNNNNNNNNNNNNNNNNNNNNNNNNNNNNNNNNNNNNNNNNNNNNNNNNNNNNNNNNNNNNNNNNNNNNNNNNNNNNNNNNNNNNNNNNNNNNNNNNNNNNNNNNNNNNNNNNNNNNNNNNNNNNNNNNNNNNNNNNNNNNNNNNNNNNNNNNNNNNNNNNNNNNNNNNNNNNNNNNNNNNNNNNNNNNNNNNNNNNNNNNNNNNNNNNNNNNNNNNNNNNNNNNNNNNNNNNNNNNNNNNNNNNNNNNNNNNNNNNNNNNNNNNNNNNNNNNNNNNNNNNNNNNNNNNNNNNNNNNNNNNNNNNNNNNNNNNNNNNNNNNNNNNNNNNNNNNNNNNNNNNNNNNNNNNNNNNNNNNNNNNNNNNNNNNNNNNNNNNNNNNNNNNNNNNNNNNNNNNNNNNNNNNNNNNNNNNNNNNNNNNNNNNNNNNNNNNNNNNNNNNNNNNNNNNNNNNNNNNNNNNNNNNNNNNNNNNNNNNNNNNNNNNNNNNNNNNNNNNNNNNNNNNNNNNNNNNNNNNNNNNNNNNNNNNNNNNNNNNNNNNNNNNNNNNNNNNNNNNNNNNNNNNNNNNNNNNNNNNNNNNNNNNNNNNNNNNNNNNNNNNNNNNNNNNNNNNNNNNNNNNNNNNNNNNNNNNNNNNNNNNNNNNNNNNNNNNNNNNNNNNNNNNNNNNNNNNNNNNNNNNNNNNNNNNNNNNNNNNNNNNNNNNNNNNNNNNNNNNNNNNNNNNNNNNNNNNNNNNNNNNNNNNNNNNNNNNNNNNNNNNNNNNNNNNNNNNNNNNNNNNNNNNNNNNNNNNNNNNNNNNNNNNNNNNNNNNNNNNNNNNNNNNNNNNNNNNNNNNNNNNNNNNNNNNNNNNNNNNNNNNNNNNNNNNNNNNNNNNNNNNNNNNNNNNNNNNNNNNNNNNNNNNNNNNNNNNNNNNNNNNNNNNNNNNNNNNNNNNNNNNNNNNNNNNNNNNNNNNNNNNNNNNNNNNNNNNNNNNNNNNNNNNNNNNNNNNNNNNNNNNNNNNNNNNNNNNNNNNNNNNNNNNNNNNNNNNNNNNNNNNNNNNNNNNNNNNNNNNNNNNNNNNNNNNNNNNNNNNNNNNNNNNNNNNNNNNNNNNNNNNNNNNNNNNNNNNNNNNNNNNNNNNNNNNNNNNNNNNNNNNNNNNNNNNNNNNNNNNNNNNNNNNNNNNNNNNNNNNNNNNNNNNNNNNNNNNNNNNNNNNNNNNNNNNNNNNNNNNNNNNNNNNNNNNNNNNNNNNNNNNNNNNNNNNNNNNNNNNNNNNNNNNNNNNNNNNNNNNNNNNNNNNNNNNNNNNNNNNNNNNNNNNNNNNNNNNNNNNNNNNNNNNNNNNNNNNNNNNNNNNNNNNNNNNNNNNNNNNNNNNNNNNNNNNNNNNNNNNNNNNNNNNNNNNNNNNNNNNNNNNNNNNNNNNNNNNNNNNNNNNNNNNNNNNNNNNNNNNNNNNNNNNNNNNNNNNNNNNNNNNNNNNNNNNNNNNNNNNNNNNNNNNNNNNNNNNNNNNNNNNNNNNNNNNNNNNNNNNNNNNNNNNNNNNNNNNNNNNNNNNNNNNNNNNNNNNNNNNNNNNNNNNNNNNNNNNNNNNNNNNNNNNNNNNNNNNNNNNNNNNNNNNNNNNNNNNNNNNNNNNNNNNNNNNNNNNNNNNNNNNNNNNNNNNNNNNNNNNNNNNNNNNNNNNNNNNNNNNNNNNNNNNNNNNNNNNNNNNNNNNNNNNNNNNNNNNNNNNNNNNNNNNNNNNNNNNNNNNNNNNNNNNNNNNNNNNNNNNNNNNNNNNNNNNNNNNNNNNNNNNNNNNNNNNNNNNNNNNNNNNNNNNNNNNNNNNNNNNNNNNNNNNNNNNNNNNNNNNNNNNNNNNNNNNNNNNNNNNNNNNNNNNNNNNNNNNNNNNNNNNNNNNNNNNNNNNNNNNNNNNNNNNNNNNNNNNNNNNNNNNNNNNNNNNNNNNNNNNNNNNNNNNNNNNNNNNNNNNNNNNNNNNNNNNNNNNNNNNNNNNNNNNNNNNNNNNNNNNNNNNNNNNNNNNNNNNNNNNNNNNNNNNNNNNNNNNNNNNNNNNNNNNNNNNNNNNNNNNNNNNNNNNNNNNNNNNNNNNNNNNNNNNNNNNNNNNNNNNNNNNNNNNNNNNNNNNNNNNNNNNNNNNNNNNNNNNNNNNNNNNNNNNNNNNNNNNNNNNNNNNNNNNNNNNNNNNNNNNNNNNNNNNNNNNNNNNNNNNNNNNNNNNNNNNNNNNNNNNNNNNNNNNNNNNNNNNNNNNNNNNNNNNNNNNNNNNNNNNNNNNNNNNNNNNNNNNNNNNNNNNNNNNNNNNNNNNNNNNNNNNNNNNNNNNNNNNNNNNNNNNNNNNNNNNNNNNNNNNNNNNNNNNNNNNNNNNNNNNNNNNNNNNNNNNNNNNNNNNNNNNNNNNNNNNNNNNNNNNNNNNNNNNNNNNNNNNNNNNNNNNNNNNNNNNNNNNNNNNNNNNNNNNNNNNNNNNNNNNNNNNNNNNNNNNNNNNNNNNNNNNNNNNNNNNNNNNNNNNNNNNNNNNNNNNNNNNNNNNNNNNNNNNNNNNNNNNNNNNNNNNNNNNNNNNNNNNNNNNNNNNNNNNNNNNNNNNNNNNNNNNNNNNNNNNNNNNNNNNNNNNNNNNNNNNNNNNNNNNNNNNNNNNNNNNNNNNNNNNNNNNNNNNNNNNNNNNNNNNNNNNNNNNNNNNNNNNNNNNNNNNNNNNNNNNNNNNNNNNNNNNNNNNNNNNNNNNNNNNNNNNNNNNNNNNNNNNNNNNNNNNNNNNNNNNNNNNNNNNNNNNNNNNNNNNNNNNNNNNNNNNNNNNNNNNNNNNNNNNNNNNNNNNNNNNNNNNNNNNNNNNNNNNNNNNNNNNNNNNNNNNNNNNNNNNNNNNNNNNNNNNNNNNNNNNNNNNNNNNNNNNNNNNNNNNNNNNNNNNNNNNNNNNNNNNNNNNNNNNNNNNNNNNNNNNNNNNNNNNNNNNNNNNNNNNNNNNNNNNNNNNNNNNNNNNNNNNNNNNNNNNNNNNNNNNNNNNNNNNNNNNNNNNNNNNNNNNNNNNNNNNNNNNNNNNNNNNNNNNNNNNNNNNNNNNNNNNNNNNNNNNNNNNNNNNNNNNNNNNNNNNNNNNNGUACAAAUUAAUAAGUUAUGCUCUUUGGAAGCAAACCUAAAUUCCAAGAGAAACAGAACUCAAAAAAUUUGCAAUUAUACGCAAAGGAAGUGAAGCACAGCAUUCUAUCACACAAACGAAUUGUAUAACAAGAGAUCGACAUAUCGAAUCAGAAGAACUCAAUUCAAAUUUGUCUCAAAAAUCAAAAUUAGAAGAUUUCACAUUUCGAGAGGAACAAGCGACAGGUCAGAUGCAAAAUUUUCAGCCACAACAUGCCACAAUUAACGGUUUAUUUCCAUGGAUUUAGAGAGCUGACUGACCUUUUGGCUUUUGGAAUUGAGAAGAUCGCGCGCCAAAAUGGAAGAGGGAAAGCGAAAGUGCGGGUUUUAAUAGGGUAUUGCAUUAGCAAAUUUAAUUAGUUUGCGAGGGUAAAAUAGGAAAGAGAUAUCACUAUUAACCUUUUUUUUAUAAGAAAAAAGAAUAAUAAAGAAUAUUUUAUUGUCAUUUGCAGCCUUUAAUUUUUUUUAAAUGCUAUUAGAAAAAUACGACGACAAAGAAAUGCUCUUUUUUUUAUUUUUUUCUUGAAGGUAAAAUCAAUUAUUUAGCUCCUUAUAUGUAAUCAAACUCCAUUUCUUACUUUAAGUCAUAUCCAACAGAACAACAAAGUAAUUAUUUUUUUUUUCAUUUAUUUUUGCAGAAAAUUAAUAACUUAAAAAUAUUGAAAGCUAUUGUAAAAUUUUUUAUUAUCAACCUCAUAAUUUAAUUUUUUUGGGGAAGAAUUGAUUUUUUUUUUUAUUUCCAAGAAUUUCAUUCUCUAGUUUUUCCAUUAAUAUUACUUAUCUUCAUACCCAUCUUAAUUAAAAUCUGUAGUUUUAUUCAAGAGUCAUGCUAUCCAUUCACUCGGACCAAAGGCUUUCCGCAGCAAUAUUAUUAUUUAAAGAGUAAUGAUAUAGCCACAGACUCUUGUACAAACUUAUUUUGUACAAACUGACGUGGCAUUAAUUCAUUGGUUGAAUGAAAAUAUAAAUUAAUAAAAACAAAUCAUGUGGGCCAAGUGAUAUUUAAUUCAACCAAUCUUAUCAUGCCACAUCAAUUUGUACAAAAUAAGUUUGUACAAGAGUUUGUGGCUGUAUCAUUACUCUUAUUUAAAUUACAACAAAGGGGAAAUCAAAUACGUCAUACAGAGGCUUAAAGCUCAAUCUACAAAAUCUAGAGCUCUCAACUACAUAAAUUACACUUGAUGAUCCUCUACAAGAUGAAGCUUGUUCAAUAUCUCAUCCAAAGCUUGUAAAGUAACCUUGUAACGAUCUUGAGAUUGCCUGCCUUCCUCGACGACCUGCACCAUGCGUUUGUACAAAUCAUCAUACCUGUGCACCGGAUUUUUAAUAUCAACGCCACUGCAGCUGUGAUCAAGAACAUAAGAGCGUUUAACAUCUUUUCUCCAUCGAGAAAGAAUGUAGUGAGAUGGGAUCUCCUCCAUACCACUCUGGUUUGGAACACAAAGAAUGUGUCUGCAUAAAUAUCCUCUGAAAUUGAACAACCCACAAACACAAAGCACCUCCAAGUCGGAGGCAUUGUACAAAACAUCGAAAGCCCUUGAAUCUUUCUCGUUGCUACCAACCUCAAAUUCUUCCUUCACUAUGUAUGUUAUAGGUCCAUCAGCACUGACAUGUUUUGUGCUAUAGCAAGAGUACAUAGCCUCCACCUCCGUCUGAAACUUCCUUAACAGUUCAUUUGUGUACACUUUUGAGAGUUGAAAUUCAUAGUAACAUCUUGGUUUCUGGAUACAACUUGAAUUUCUUGAAUCCAUAUCUGCCAAGGCUUCCAGUUGAUAAUUCGCCUGCAGUGCUUGAUCAUAUUUGUCUAAGUAUUCUUUCAAAGGAGUAUUCUUAUCAAGAUAUCCUUCAAAGUAUGAAGUAGAAACCUCACUCAGCAGGAAUGAAAACACUCCUGAUAAAAAUGUUUCCUUCAAAUAAACAGGAGCCCAACUUUUACGAUCCUCAUAUAAAGUUUGAAUCCAUCCAUGAUCCCUUAUUCCAUGACGUUGAAUCGUGUCCUCCCAAGCUGUCUCAAAUUCCUCAGGCCUCAGAGAGUGACAAAUUGCUCUAUGCAAUGCAGCACUAAUAGCUUCAUAUUCAAAAUAUCCUUGGAGAUUCUCUGGAAUUUUUUGCAUGACGCAUGACAAUGAAAAACAAUGAUAAGCUCUUGGGAAAACAUCGCCGACAGCAGUUUGCAAGAUCUACAUUGGUCAGUGAUGAUUGUUUGUGGAGAGCGUCCUAACAUACAUGUAAGCCACACCCUAAACAACCAUGUAUAUGAUUCGAUAGUCUCACUGGCAAGUAAACCACAGCCCAACAGCACUGAUUGUCCAUGAUGAUUCACCCCAAUGAACGAAACCAGCGUUGCAUCAUAUCUUUCUGUCAAGCAUGUAGUAUCAAUUGAUUUGAGCUAUUAACAUCAUUUCCAAAUACUCCAUUGGCAUCUACAUUACCAUUUCCCUCGGCAUCAAUGAUAAGAGUUCGAAACAGUCUAAUUUUUUUAACUUCUUCAGCACCAUCUAAGCGCAAUGUUCUUUUGGUUCCAAUACCUAUGUGCUUAUGAGACUUGUAAAACUUCCCGCUUCUUGGGCUUAACAAGUGGUUAUGCUCAAGCUCGACUUCAAUGAUUCUCCACCUUUUGGUUUCCAUCAACCUAAACUUUAUCAUUGCUGGACAGCCCGUUCUUGUUUCUGGUCUUGGGCGGUUUGCCUCGCUUUUCUUCUUGAAGCCUGCAUUACUACAGCUGAGCUUUCCUUUAUACUUUUCUCUACUCUUUCGGGACCAUGUAUUGCUAACUCUAACACCAAAACCCUGCUCCUUGGCAUAACAAUUAUAAAAGUAAUAUACGUCAUCAUACGUCUCAAACUCCAUUCCAACAGCAGGAUUCAAUGGAUUUUGGAUUAUCCCAGUUUGUCCAACAUAUUCAGUCAUCGCACAAUCUCUACGACCUCAACAUCAUCAGUGUCAUCAUCACGUACUGGUUCGGUGUUGAGAGAAACUUCAUCCAUCUACAAUGGAUGUUCAAUAAAGUGAGCUUUAAGGAGAAAAAGCAAAAUCAGUUCAAGGAAUGAUAAUAUAAUCAUACAGUUACUUUCACAAAGCUUCAUAUUUCAUAACUGCUUUACCAACAUGCUACUGCCAGAGAACAAACAGACAUGUCAUAGACGAUUGAAUUAAAUAUUGGUACAAAUGAGCACACAUCAUGUGGGACAAAAUUUCAGUCACUAAACCCAAUGCCUUUUUUUUUUUCACAUCAUACCAAGGAACGGAUUAAACCCAAUACCUUCUUUUACGCCAUACCAAAGAACAGAUUAAAUCAUCAAUGAAAAUUUAAUCAAAUAAUAAUUUAACUAGACAAUUGAAGAGCUUGAAACAGCACAAAACUUGAAUCUGAUUCUGAUAAUUGUUGAGUCCUUGUAUCCACAGCUUUCCUUCAAUGAGAAGAUUAUGAACAUAAACUACACAUAAAAAAAUUAUUUAAACUGACAGCCCAUGGUAUAAAUCAAACAAAAUUAACUCCUUUUACAAAUCACAUCUCGUAUUCAGUUACAUUGAAACACAAAAAAGGAAGCAGGAGCCGGAGAAAAACAACAACAGAGAAACUUAUUUCCAGAAGGUUUACGAAAUAAGGAAUUUAUUAAGACACAAAAUUUGAGGUCAACAAUAAGAAUUUGGUUCUCAUUCUCUUUUUCUUCAUUUUUCACUUAUUGAUGGAGUUAGCGUACAAUCCUAUAUGAUAAAACCCCAUCUCCAUCUUUUUGAACUAGAGCUAAAGCAAAGCUUUUUGAGAUGUUUUUCCCUAAAAAACUCAAUCGUACAAAGUUUUUCAAUAUUAAAUACACAACUCAAUCUUCUCCUAACUAACUCUAAUAAUCUCUUAACUAAGGAAGAUUAAGCUCCACUUGUAAGCUAAAACAAGUUUCUUAAAUCAAGCCCCAAUGCUCUAUACUAUUCAACAAGGCCUCAUAAAUGAUAAAACUACCUCUGCAAAGAUACCCAUUUUAAUUUUGCAAACUAAAAUCAAACUUCUGAAACGUAACGAGCAUUAAAACAAACAAGUCCGAACAAGAACUGAAAAAUGAUACAUAAACCCGUUUACACGUUUCGAAAAACACUUUGAAAUUCAAACGAAACAUACCUUAGGUUGAUAAAUUAGUAGCGCAAAAGAAAUUUUAGUGAGAUAUGGGAUCAGGGUUUUUGCCACUGUGAUGUUAAUUGCGACAUUGGGGUGACUCAGCAGCCUUCGAGGCUGAAACUUUGAUUGACCAAAAGUUUCCCGUUCGUUGAUUACCUAAUGUGUUCGCUGAUUUGAUAAUUCUGUUAAAAUCAUUGUUUUUUUUUCAGAUUUUUAAUGUGUUCGAUAAAAUAUCAAAAUCUCAAAAACUUUUGUCUUUCAUUUUGGGGGGAAAAACCCCAUUGAGAUCCUUAUGUUUUUUCUUAUAUAAUCUGGCUUAAUAAUUUGCAAAGUCUAUUACUUAGCACCCAUGCAUGCUGCGUUUCAAUUUACAAAAUUGUACGAGUGCAUCCAGCUAAAAUUUGUAAAAGAAAAUAACAAUAACAUGUUAAAAAUGUGAUUAUUAAGAAGAAAUUUUAAUUUAGUUAAAUAGGUGACGAUGGAUAGGUAUAAAAUCUGAGAUCUUUUAUGAGAUUAAUAAAUAUGUUGAGUUUGGAUCAGUUCAAUUUUGACAUAAUACGGAAUAAACACAACCUGCUAAUCUAAGUUAUCAUCUUUUCUCGUCAUCAGGUACCUGUUUGAAAAAUAAUUAUAUACAAUUUUAUUUGCGUUGUCUCUCUAAAAAUUUGGGACUCAAAUGUUAUUUCUAAUUGCUAAAAGUACGAAAAUGCCCCAUUUCUCUUCAGCUAAAGGAGUGCAAAGUCAUCUGUAUAAUUGAAUCUGCAUCAUCAGUUUCUAUUGCUGGUGUUACUGCAUGCUUACAGUUGCUUGACAAAGUGAGCCAGUUUUUUGUUUAUUAAUUUUUUUUCUUGUCGAGACAGUCACAAAGUAUUACUUGUUCUAUUUGAGAAUGAUGUGAAUCAAUUUUUCAAUUAUGCAUUCUGUGGUAAUUAUUGUGAAUUUAGUUUCAUUUGUCUUGUCUCCUGCAAAUUAUGAAGAAAAUGCAGACAUACAAACUUACAAUAUGUAUUUGCGUUAGUAUAAAAACAAUUGUUAGAUGAUUAAAGCGAAUUUGUUUUUUUACAGCAUUUGAUUGUAUUAGUUAAAAUCAUUUUUUAAGGAUAAAAAUAAAUAGAAAAUUAUUCUCAUGUAGUGUGGAAAUCUUUUCUAAUUUCUUGUUGACUUGUACAUUUAUUUCAGAAUUUCCAUUCAUUCUACUGUUUUAAUCUUUGACUUAGUUACCGUAGUUGACUUUUCAUAUCAAAGGCUUAAACAGCAUGCAUUUUUGAAUUGACUGAGAAUAAUUUGGUGGACAAAUUACAAGGACUUUAAAUGGUUGAAUUGACUGUGGGUUUUUCAUGCCCAAGUCACUCACGUCCUUUCAUCGAAACAAAGUGCCCGGUGCAAAUGGUGUGAUGUAAAACACCUUUUUAAAUUGUCAUUUUUUUCCUUUGCUUUUGCUUUAAUUUUCUAAAUGCUCAACGCCAUAAAUCCAUGCAUUCUUAAUUUUCGUUUGCUGUAUUGAUUCCCAACCCUCUAUGUCACAAGGUUUUGAAUGCCAGUAAUUAAGUUAAAUUAAACAUAUUUUAAGUCCUACUUUAAAUUAUUGAAAAAUGUAUUAUGGUUGAACUGAAUUUUAACUAAAAAAUAUAUACAAAAUAAAAGAUUAAUCAUAUCUUUUUAUGAGGAAGGUCAGUCAUCAUUCUGACCACAGACACUUAAAAUUAAUUGAGUGGAAUAUUGCAAAAUAUAUAUAAACCAUGCCAAAACUAGAUGUUUGAGUAAUGAAAACGAGAAUUCAUAUGACUCAGAAAUAUGGUCGCUUUCCUUUUUCUGAAAGGCAAAAAAAAAGGGGGAACCAAAAAGCACCAAAAUGAACAAAAAUGGAAGGCGAAGGUAAGCAGACAUGUUAUAUGUUUUACCUAAGAUGCCAAAUGCAACUCCCCAUUGAUGGUGAUCGAACAUUAUGGCCAUUUUCUUAGUAAACAAAAAAUGAAUUUUGAACACUCAACAACGAAACUUGAGCAGAAGAUCAAGCAAGGGCCUCGAUCUCAAAGAAGAUACUAUGAAACCCUACUUAAUGGUUAAAUAACUUUCAUUCAGCUUUGGACCCUAUUUCGUGAUACGGAAAGACAAACCUUUCUUGGCCGGCAGUGUCCCAGAUCUGGGCUUUGAUGAUCUAGAGGUUGAUGGUGACAGUUCUGGUUUGGAACUCGACGCCAAUGGUUUAUUUCGAUUCAAAGCAAAACUCAUUCUUGGUGAAUCUCGAAAGAAUCUGAGACUUGCCCACGGCCGAGUCACCGAUCACCACUACCUUGAAUACAUAGUCUAUUUUGUCAGGAAUCAUAUUCUCUCGUUGUUGAUGACGAUGAUCGGUGCCAUCACCACUCAUUUCUUCGUUCAUUCAUUCUAUGUCCAUUGAUCUUUUUGAAUUAUUGAAGACAAGUGGCUCACCGCUUUUAGUAUUGGUAAAAUUCAGAUAAUCUCUAUUCCGAAAUAAUAAUAUUCAAAAUAUCUCUUAAAUCAUUAUAAACUUCAAAUCUAUUUUAAUUUUAUUUAAAAAAUAAAAGAAAAAUAAGUUAUGUUGGUGAUUUUUUAUUAUCUUUUUAAUAAAAAUAGAAUAAAUUGAUGUUUAUAAUUAUUUAAAGUAUUUUAAAGAUUGCUAUUUUAUGAGAGAAUAAUAUUUCAUUUUUUUUUUCGUGUGAAAGACCGAAAAAGGACAAAGCAAGUUUCCCUAAUUUUUAUUUUAUGUGAAAUUGGUCAUCUCAUAUACUUUACCCUUCAACACUCUAAUUUUUUUUUAGGGAUGGCAAAAAUCCCCAAGGGGACGGGUACCCUCGGGAAUUUUCCCUAUUCGGGAAGGGUACGAGGAUAAUUUUAUACCCAAUUUUUUAUUUGGGGAGGGGACGGGGAUAAUUUUUUACCCAAUUUUUUAUUCGAGGAGGGGACGGGGAUGAGGUGGAAUCCCCAUCCCCUACCCAUUUCCCCAUUUUAAUUUUUAUUUUUAUUUUUAUUUUUAAAAUUACUAAUAAAUAAAUAACAAAAUUAUAAAUAUUGUUAAAAAUAAUAAAUAUUACAAUAUUUAUAUUAUUAAAUGCUAAUAGGUAUCCUACAUUAGCUCGAAUUGCUAGAGAUAUUUUGGCAAUUUCAAUUACAACAGUUGCUUCUGAAUCAGCUUUUAGCAGCGGUGGUAGAGUUGUGAGCCCACACCGUAACAAACUUCAUCCAAGCACAUUGGAGGCCUUAAUGUGCUGUCAAAGUUGGUUACGAGCUUACAAUAGCAGUAUGAGUUUAUUUUACAUUGUAAUUAUAUUAUACAGUUAUUAAUAUUUACACUUAUAAGUUACUUUACUUAUAUCAUUUUCAUUGUUUUAGGUUUGAAAUCUGAGGCUAUCUCUCAAUUUGCCACAUUUCUCGAGGAAGAACAGGAGGAGCAGGACGAGCAGGAGGUAAAUAGUUUUAUUAAAAAUAUUAAUUAAGUAUCUACAUUUAUUUCAUUUAUUUUAUUGUCGAUAUAAAAAUAAUUUUUUUUCUUUUUAUUGUAGGAUUAUGAAGAUUCUGACAAAGGAUAAUUUAUUUUUUUUAAUAAUUUAUAUUUUGAAUGUGACUUUGUAAUGGAUCAAUAUUAAUGUAAGAUAUAUUUUGAACUUUAUUUUUAUCUGAAUUUUUUAUUUUAAUAUGAUUAAUUUAAAAUCGAAAAUAAAAAAAAUGUAUUAGACUAUUAGUUAUUCGGGGACCGGGGACCCUCGGGGAUCCCCUGUUAUUAUUCGGGGAGGGGAUGGGGAUUCUCUCAAGCAAUUCUGACGGGGACGGGGACAUUCGCAAAAUAUCGGGGAUGGGUAUGGGGAGAUUGGUCCCCUCCCCUCCCCUCCCCAUUGCCAUCCCUAAUUUUUUUGGUUAUAAUUUUAUUAUUUUUAAGAUUUCAAUAAGUGACUGAGAUUCAAAUAAUAUCCUUUAAUUCUAUUAACAAAAAACAAAGACUCAAAUAUUUUAUGAUAAAUAAAAAUAUAAUAUUAAAAUAUAUGUGAUAAUAUACACAUUUUAAAUACUUUCAAUCCAAAAAAAUAGUUAUGUUUUACAAUCUAUUAGACAUCUUUUAUUAAAUUAAUAUAAAUUUUCUAUAAAAUAAGAAUAUAAUAUUAAAAUAAAUUCACAAAAAUUUAAAGAAUUUUGAAUGUAAAAUAAUUUUAAUAUAUUAAUACGUGAGUUUUUUUUAUUAAUAUAAAAAUUAUUUAACUUUAAGAUUUUUUAAAAUCUUUACAAUAAGUAUAACUAUAUUAUUUACAUUUUAAAAUAUUUAAAUAUUAUUAACCUACAAUUAUAUUUGCAUUUGUUAGAAAUUUUUUAAAUCAAAUAUUUUGCACUUCUAUAUUAUUAGAAUUAUUGCACACAAAUAAAGAAACAUAUACCUUUAGAAAUUGUUUUCUUUUAAAAAACAGAUGAUGAUUAGUAUAAGGAUGAAAAAAAGGAUAAAGAAUAUUAAUGAUUAACGAAAUUUCUAUACAAAUUGAUUUUAGUAGGAAAAGAGUGAGAUGAAUGAUUUCUUUUACAGUUAGAAACAUAGAUGAUGAUUAUUAUACGAAGAAAAAAGAUAAAGAAUAUUAAUUAUUAAUGGAAUCUCUAUGCAAAUUGAUUUUAGUUGGAAAAAAAAAUGAGUUAAAUGAUUUAGAGUGCGUUUGGAAUUGAGAUUGGGCAGCCAUAGAUUUUAAGUUACAACACUGAAGUGUUUGGUAAAUACUAGCUGCUGCAGAUUGAAAGUUAUGUUGAUAUGAUUUUUCACAUGUAUCAUAGAAAAUAUAUUACAUCUUUAAUAAUUUUUUAAAAAUUUAUAUUUGCUAUAUAUUAUUUUUUUUUUUAUAGUUAUAACUUUUUUUCCACAGCAGCUGUAGCUUAAAAGCCACAGUACCUUAACCUCAAACAAGUCCUUAGACAGUCAUAGUGUGUUUAUUUUUUGGAUUGGUGAAUCAAAAUUAUUGACAACGCUAACUUCAUCUUUACCGUUUGCAAUCCAACAGCAGCAAUUGUCACCAAUAAUGAUGAUGACAAUUAUUAUUAUUAUUAUUAUUAUUAUUAUCAUCAUCAUCAUCAUCAUCAUCAUCAUCAUCAUCAUCAUUAUGAUCAUCAUUAUUAUUAUCAUCAUCAUUAUUAUCAUCAUCAUUAUUAUGAUUUUUAUUAUUAUUAUCAUUAUUAUUAUUAUCAUUAUUAUUAUCAUUAUCAUUAUCAUUAUUAUUAUUAUUAUUAUUAUUAUUAUUAUUAUUAUCAUUAUUAUUAUCAUUAUUAUUAUCAUUAUUAUUAUUAUUAUCAUUAUUAUUAUCAUCAUUAUUAUUAUCAUUAUUAUUAUUAUCAUUAUUAUUAUCAUUAUUAUUAUUAUUAUUAUUAUCAUUAUUAUUAUUAUUAUUAUUAUUAUUAUCAUUAUUAUCAUUAUUAUUAUCAUUAUUAUUAUUAUUAUCAUUAUUAUCAUUAUUAUUAUUAUUAUUAUUAUCAUUAUUAUUAUCAUUAUUAAUUAAUUAAUUAAUUAAUUAAUAUAUUAAUGUUAUUAUUAUUAAGAUUAAGAUUAACAAUAAUUAUUAGUAAUAAAAUUUUUUGAAUAAAAAUAAUCACAAGAAUUAAAAUUCAAAUUAAUAUUUAUGAUAAUAGUUAAUUAAUGUCUUUUUAGUAUUUUAUAAUAAUCUAACUCAUUUUGAUUCUGAUUAUUAUAGCUUAAGUAAACAAAUUAUUAUGAUUCCUAUUCUCCUUUCCCAUUUUAACUCACUUCGAUUCCAGUCUAUUCCGAUUUCUAUAUAAUAAAUGCACCAUUAGUGCUAAAGUAAUAUUUCAUACAUAGAAAAAUAAAAACUACACCUAAGGUUAAGGGAAAGGACUUCAAAACUCUCUUUUGAUCAUAAUACAUUUUGUCCUAAUUAACUUAAAGAUUUUGAAUCUAAUAUUUUAUAAUAAAUAAAAAUAUAUUCCUAAAAUAAAUAUAAUAUCAAUAUUUAAAAUACGUUUUAAUAUUUUACAAUCUAUCAUACACAUUUUAUUAUAUUAAAGUAGAUUUUAUAAUAAAUAUAUAAAAAAAUUAGAAUAUUUAGAAUAUUAUAUAAAAUAAUUUUAAUAUAAUGCGUGAGAUAUAUUUUAUUAAUUUAAAAUGUUAUUUUACCUAAAAAAUAUGAUAAAUUAAUAAUUACAUAUUUGAAGUUAUUUCAAAUAUUAAAAAAUUUUAAUAUUAUUAGUCUUUUAGAUAGAUUAAAUUAUUUUUUUUAUAAGAGAUAGAUUAAAUUAUUUUAAAAUGCCUUAAUUGUUUUUACUUUUAACGUUACCGGCCUUUCUUUUAUUUUAUUGCAAAUUAAUGCUACCAAGAAAAGGCUAGAUCAUAUUCCACAAAAGCAAAAGUGACAAACCCAACCAGCUGGAAUCUUUUAUAAAACUACAAAUUAAAAUGGAUUUUUUUUUGAUAAAUUACAUAUGAAAGUGGAUUCUUUUGAAUAUAAGUGGGGUAGGCAGAAAUCUGAGGUCCAUAAUGCUACUUGUUUCCAAGGCUGUCAUGGGGCAAUUUGCUGGACACCUCCUCAGUUAGGUUGGCUUAAGUGUAAUGUUGAUGCCGCAACAUUUUCAGCUCAGGGAAAAGUGAGUUAUGGAGGGGUCAUUCGCAACUCUGAUGGGCUUUUUGUGGCAGCUUGCUGUGCAUCUGUCCUGGGUAGUUUUGGUGCAAGGGAUGCUGAAGCGCUUGGUGUGCGUGAGAUCCUCAGCUGGAUUAAGAAGCGACAUUUGUCUUGUGUUGUAGUAGAAUUGGACUGCAUUCAGGUUUUUAAAGCUCUCACAGCAAGCUAUUCUUGUCCUAAUGGGUAUGGUCUUAUUCUUGAUGAUUGUCUAGCUUUAGCUAAGUCUAUAGGAGAUAUUGAGUUCUCUUUUGUUCGAAGGUCUGCGAACACUGCCGCCCAUGUUACUGCUCGGGUGGGGGGUUCUUUGUCAGGCUUUGAGGAGUGGAAUCAUGUUCCACCUCCUUGGUUAUUUUCUUCUCUGUAAUCUUUGCCCUUUAAUGAAGUUUCCAGUUUCAAAAAAAAAAAAGUGGGGUAGGCUCUUUUAUUUUUUAUUUUUAAUACUGUAUAAUAGGACUGUAGACUUUUUUAUUAAACUACAAAUUGUAGUCUUUUUAAAAUUGUUCAGAUAUUUAUAAAUUGGUGGCCCCUACAAUCCUCAAUAAUUGUACCGAUAUUCACAAGUUGGUGGCCCCUACAAUUCUGUUCCGAUAAUUUAAUUGUGCAAGUGCUCAUUCACAAUCUUCCAGGUCAUGCUCUUAAUAAUUGUUUUUUUUUUCUGCAUUCCCUUUCAUGCUCUUAAUAAUUGAAGAGCAUACUUUUCAUUUUCAAAUGUGGAGCCGCAUCUAAUGUCGCUAAUUUAAUUUGGGAUUAAAUUUGGGGACCAUUAUAUUGCAGUGUGUACUAAUUUUUGUGUUUAUCUAAACUCCUUAAAUUUAAGACAUAUUAUAGCAUAAAUAAGAAUAUAACAAUAACAAAAGAGUUAGAAAGUGUAGAGAAGAUCUUGCAGAAAUAUAAAUAAUAUCUAUUUUAAAAUAAUAUCAAUAUUUAAAAUAAUUUAAAAUAUUUUAUGAUCCAUUAGAUAUAUUUUAUUAUAUUAAAAUAGAUUUUAUAAUAAAUAAAAACAUACUAUUAAAAUGAAUAUCUAGAAAAUUUAGAGUAUUUUAAGUAUUACAUAAAAUAAUUUUAAUAAAAUAUGUGAGAUAUUCAUAUUUUAUUAAUUUAAAAUACCAUUUAACCUAAAGAUUUAUUUAUGAUAAAUUAAUAAUUAUAUUUUUGAAAUUACUUCAAAUAUUAAAAAAUUAAUAUUACUAAUCUAUUAGAUAGAUUAAAUUAUAUAUAUUAUUUUCUAUUUAUAAAAAAAUUUUAAAAUUAUUUUUAAUUACUAUUCAAAAAACAUAAUGAUAAAAAAAAAUCUUAACAUCUUUAUUAAAAAUUUAAAAAUUUACACGAUCAAUUCUCUAAAUAUUUAGGGUAUAUGUGAAAAUCGGUGGAGAAGCUUUAUUUAAUAUUAUUGAUUUAAAUAAUAUGUCAAUUAAAAAUGUACAGAGAAGAAAUUUAUGAAAGAGCAAAGGAUAUUCCUGAUAGCUGAUAGAGCUCUUUUUGAUUAUGUAUUCAGUGAAUGGAUGUGUUGUUGGAAGAUAUGUGAGUGUAUUAGUUCAUUUGUGUCUGUCAAUGUGCUUUUAAUGAUUUUUCCACCUAUUUGUUGUAAAAGAUGAUUGUAAAUUGAAAUGAAUUUGAUGUAAUAUUUUCUCAUUAGUGGAAUUUCACUUGGUAUGUGUUCAAUUGUAUUGUCUAUAAUUUUGCAUUCGAAUAAGUUUCCACCUAAAAUAUUAGCACGAGUAGUAGCCCUUGAAACUUUAGUCAAAUUAUUGUUAUAAUUUCUUAGUAGGGGUAAACUUUUUAUAAAACCUCGUUAACACAAUUCUUAAUUAAUGGUGUGUUUACUUCAUGAAAUAGGGAAUGAGAAUAAAACUAAUGUUUACUUGGCAAAAUGUAAUUUGAGAAUUAGAAUAAAAUGGAUUAUAAUGAUGAAAAAAAGGACAAAGAAUAUUAAUGAUUAACGAAAUCUCUAUGCAAAUUAAUUUUAGUAGGAAAAAAGUUCGAUGAAUGAUUUCUUUUACAGCUAGAAACAUAGAUGAUGAUUAUUAUAAGGUUGAAAAAAAAAGAUAAAGAAUAUUAAUUAUUAAUGGAAUCUAUAUGCAAAUUGAUUUUAGUAGGAAAAAAGCGAGUUAAAUGAUUUAGACAUUCAUAGUGUGUUUAUUUUUUGGAUUGAUGAAUAAGAAUUAUUGACAACGCUAACUUCAUCUUCAUUGUUCGUUAUCCAACAAUAGCAAUUGUCGCCGAUAAUGAUACCUCCAAUGAUGAUGAUGAUUUUAUUAUUAUUAUUAUUAUUACUAUUGAUAAAAAUUAUUAUAAUUAAUUAAUAUAUUAAUGUUAAUAUUAUUAUUAUUAUUAAGAUUGAUAAUAAUUACUAAUAAUAAUAAUUUUUUGAAUAAAAAUAAUCACAAUAAUUAAAAUAAAAAUUAAUAAUUAUGACAAUAGUUAAUUAAUGUCUUUUUAGUAAUUUUUAAUAAUGUAACUCAUUUUGAUUUUGAUUAUUACAAUUCAAGUAAACAAAUUAUUAUGAUUCAUAUUCUCUAUUCCCAUUUCAGCUCACUCUGAUUUCAGUUCAUUUCGAUUUCUGUCUAAUAAACGCACCAUUAGUGCUAUAGUAAUAUUUCAUAUAGAGAAAAGUAAAAACUAUACCUAAGGUUAAGGGAAAUGACUUCAAAACUCUCUUUUGACCAUAAUACAUUUUGUCCUAAAUUUAACGAUUUUGAAUCUAAAAUUUUACAAUAAAUAAAAAUAUAUUCCUAAAAUAAAUAUACUAUCAAUAUUUAAAAUAUGUUUUAAUAUUUUACAAUCUAUCAGACACAUUUUAUUAAAUUAAAGUAAAUUUUAUAAUAAAUACAAACGUACUAUUAAAAUGAAUAUAUAAAAAAUUUAGAGUAUUUUGAAUAUUAUAUAUGCGUAAGAUAUAUUUUAUUAAUUUAAAAAGCUAUUUUACUUAAAAAUUUAUUUAUGAUAAAUUAAUAAUUACAUUUUUAAAAUUAUUAAAAAAAAUUAAUUUUUUUUUAUAUUAUUAAUCUUUUGAAUAGAUUAAAUUGUUCUUUAAGAGAUAGAUUAAAUUAUUUUAAAAUGCCUUAAUUGUUUUUACUUUUAACGUUACCGGCCUUUCUUAUAUUUUUUUGCAAAUUAAUGCUAACAAGAAAAAGCUAGAUCAUAUUCCACAAAAGCAAAAGUGACAAAACAACCAGCUGGAUUAUUUUAUUAAUCAACAAAUUAAAAUGGAUUUUUUUUAAAACUACGUAUGAAAGUGGAAUCUUUUGAAUAUAAGUGGGGUAGGCUCCCUUUCAAAAAAAAAAAGUGGGGUAGGCUCUUUUAUUAAAGACAAGUAUUGAGUAGUCAAGACUAACUAUGGCCAAUGGGCCGUGCCGUGCCGUGCCUACAUUUUUUUCACUUGAGCCUGGCACGGCCCACGGCACGAGCCCUCUCGUGCCGUGCUCGUGCCGUGCCGUGGGCCGUGCCCAAAAAAAGCCCACCAACUUUUUUUUUUUUUUAGCGUGCCUAAAAAAGCCCACGUGCCUAGCGUGCUUUAUUCAAGCCCACGUGCCCGACGUGCUUUUUUAAGCCCACCAACAUAAUACUAAUAAUAAUAUUCACAAUCAUAAUCAUAUUAAUUUUUAUUAAGAGAGCAAUUAACAUUUUAUUAUUAUUUUAUCACAAUUUCACAACUAUAUAUUUUAUUUCACAAUAAUCAAUCAUAAUUCAUAACACAACAAUACAUAAAUUUAAUUAAAUUUAAUUCCAUAGAUCAUAAUAAUAAUUAAUUAAAAUUAAAAAUACAAUCCUCGAAUAAUCAUUACAAUAAGUCAUAACUACGAAAUAUUAAUAUAACAAAUCAUAGAUCACAACUUACAAGUUACAACUACAAAACACGAACUACGAUCAAUUGACGAAUAACAAGCACGAAAAAAACAUUUAUUAAUCACAAUUAACUAAGUUAUGAUUUAAUAUUAAUAUGAAAAAUAUUUCAUAUGAAAAAUAUUUUAUUAUUAAUUUUGUAAAAAAAUUUAUUUUUUUAUUUAUAAUUUAUAAAUUUAUGAUAUUUAUAACCUUAUUUAUUAAAAUCAUGAUAUUUAAUUAUUUACUUAUUCAUUUAAUAAAUUAUAAACAUAAAUAAAUAAUUAAAUAAAUAUCAUAAAUAAAAUUAAAUAUCAUAAAUAACAUUAUUCAUUUAAUAAAUAUCAUAAAUAAAAUUAUGAUAUUUAUAAUUUUAUUUAUUAAAAUCAUGAUAUUUACUUAUUCAUUUAAUAAAUUAUAAACAUAAAAGAUUAGAAUAUUUAUUUAAACUAAGAUUUAAUGAUUUAAAUUAAUUUUUAAAAGUCUAUGCUAAAAAAUAUAUUAAAACAUUUAAUUUCAAGAUAUUGUACUUUAAUUUCAUAACAUUUUAUAUUUACUUUUUGUUAAAAAAAUUUACUUAGAUAUAUUUUGGCCCACGUGCUAUUAAUAGCUCACGGACCGCGUGCUAGCCCACUAAUGAACCGUGCUUAUUACGUGCUUUUUCGCGUGCCGUGCUUUGGCCCAUCUCUAAUCGUGCUGUGCUUUAAGGCCCACGUGCCUAAAAUUCUAGGCCCGGCACGGCCCACGUGCGUGCCGUGCUGUGCCUCGUGCCUCACCGAAACGUGCUCGUGCCGUGCCGUGCCGUACGGACACGUGCCGUGCCCGUGCCGUGCCACGUGCCGCCCGGCCCAUUGGCCAUCUUUAGUCAAGACGAUUAGGGUCUUUUAUUAAAGGGAGAUUGUCAAUUUUUUCUCUAUAAUAAUUAACAUAUAUUAUUAUUUUUUUUAUAAUGUCAAAAAAUUCUCUUGAUAAUAUAAAUUUAUAAUAUUACUCUUAUUUUUAACUACUCUUUUAUUUAUAUUUAUUAUAAAUUAAAUAAAUCACAUAAAUAGAACUAAAUAAAAACUUAAGCAUUAAAACCAAGAAAUAUAUGUUUUGAUAUAAAUAAUAAAAUUAAUAAUAAUUUUUUUAUACUUAUUUAUUUUGUGAAAAUUUUCUUACAAUAAAUAUAUAAGAAAAUUAUUAGUAAAAUGAUAAAAAAAUUAUUAUAAGAAAAUUUGAAUGACAAAUAAAAAUUUAUUACAAGAUAAAUAAUAAAAUGUUUUGCCUAUACUUUUACAUUUAAUUUUAAAAUAUUAUAAAAUAUUUAUUAUAAGAAAAUGUUCACAAAAUAAAUAAUUAUAAGAACAAAUUUUAUUAUUAAUUUUUUUGCUCAUAUUAAAACAUAUUUUUCUUAUUUUUAAUACUUAAUUUUUUUAUUUAGUUUAUAUUCAUAUAAUUUAUUUAAUUUAUAAUAAAUAUAAAAUAAAAAAAUUAAAAAUAAAUAUAAUAUUAUAAACUUAUACUGUUAAGGAAUUUUUAGUUAUUAUAAAAACAGAAAGAAAGUAAAUGAUAUAUGUUAAUUAAUUUAGAAAAAAUAGCAAUCCCCUUUAUUAAACUACAAAUUGUACAGGCAUUUAUAAACUGGUGGCCCCUACGGCGUCAAUUAUUGUUCCGAUACAUAUAAAUUGGUGGCCCCUUAGAAAUUUAAUUACAAGUCUGCAAGUGCCAUCAGAGAAAAAUCAUCAUUCACAAUCUUCCAAGAGAAACGGGGGAUAUACAAAGAUUAAGACAUGUCAUUCAUUGUUUUUUUUGUUGGCUGCAUGUGCAUUCCCUUUCAUGUUCUUAAUAAUUGAAGACAAGUUGUUCAUUACAUGCAUACUUUUCAAAUGUGGUGCCGCAGCUUAUGUCCUAUUUUAAUUUAGAAUUAAAUUAGGGGAAUAUUAUACGCUUAUUUUUAUGUUUAUCUAAACUCCUUAAAUUUUAGAUAGAUUAUGGCGUAAAUAAGAAUAUAACAAUAACAAAAGAGUUAGAAAGCAUAUUAAAGAUCUUUCAGAAAUAUAAAUAAUAGUGCUCAAUUAAAUAACACAGAACAUCUGAAUUGAAUAGUGAUUAUCAAGACUGUGUUACUUGCACUUCUAUUUAUAGAAAAUCUUGGUUCUGUUCCAUUAAAGUUUUUAUCUUCAAAAUCUUGUAAAGUUUUAACAAUCACAAAUGCUCAGCUUGCUUGAUCUAUAUUUGUAUGAUAUGAAUCCAAAUUUUUGUGUUCUGUUUUUCCUAAUUUUCAACACGGAUUCUUUUCUUCUUGGGCAAAUCAGAAAGAAAUGUUGUAUUAAAAAAAAUGGAAAUAACUUCAUGAGAACAAAAAUUCAAAAAAAUAAUAUAAAGUUUAUAUUUAGACUUUUGAGGUAUAUUUUAAUUUUCAACAAUGAGUUAAAGAAAAUAAAUAUCUCAAAAUAAAAUAAUAAAUAAAGUAAAUAAAAGUUUAGAGAUUUAAUUUUUUAGUAUUAGAUUCUUUAAUUUAAACAUUCUCUUAAUUAAUUAUCACUUAAAAAAGAGUUUAGUAUUAUAAUUUUAAAUUUUUUGAUUCAUUAUUGAUAUACAAAUUAGGAAUUUAAGUUUACUUUUUUUUACUAUUAUUUUUUCAAAUUUUAAAUUAUUAUUCUAAUUUAUAAAAUUUUUUUUAAAUAGAGGACUUGAGCCUAACUUGUGCAUUUUUUCCUAAGCUCUUAUGCAAGCCCUCAUGUGCGAAGGUCAGUCCAAAACCCGUGAGAAUGAGCGGCCCCGGCUUUUUUGCCAUCCAUGAGGAUAAUGAUGGUGAUGGUGAUGAUAAUGAUGAUGAUGAUGAUGAUUAUUAUUAUUAUUCUUAAUGAUAAAAAGUAUUAUAAUUAAUUAAUAUAUUAUUGUUAAUAUUGUUAUUAAUAAUAACAAUUUUUUGAAUAAAAAUAAUCACAAUAAUUAAAAUACAAAUUAAUAAUUAUAACAAUAGUUAAUUAAAGUCUUUUUAACAAUUUGUAAUAAUCUAACUUAUUAUGAUUUUAAUUAUUACAGUUUAAGUAAACAACUGAUUCUAAUUCUUAUUCUCCAUUCCCACUUCAAUUCAUUCUUAUUUCGAUUCAUUCCGAUUUCUGUUUAAUAAAUGCACCAUUAGUGCUAUAGUAAUAUUUCAUAUAGAGAAAAGUAAAAGCUACACCUAAGGUUGAGGGAAAAGACUUCAAAACUCUCUUUUGUCAUAAAACCUUUUGUUUUAGUUAACUUAAAGAUUUUGAAUCUAAUAUUUUAUAAUAAAUAAAAAUAUAUUCCUAAAAUAAAUAUAAUAAUAUCUAUUUUAAAAUAAUAUCAAUAUUUAAAGUAUGUUUUAAUAUUUUAUGAUCUAUCUGACAUAUUUUAUUAUAUUAAAGUAAAUUUUAUAAUAAAUACAAACAUAAUGAAUUUAUAAAACAUUUAGAGUAUUUUGAAUAUUAUAUAAAAUAAUUUUAAUAGAAUGCAUGAGAUAUAUUUUAUUAAUUUAAAAUGCUAUUUAACCUAAAGAUUUAUUUAAGAUAAAUUAAUAAUUAAAUUUUUUAAAUGAUUUCAAAUAUUAAAAAUUUGUAAUAUUAUUAGUCUAUUAGAUAGAUUAAAUUAUUUAAAUUAUUUUGUAUCGAUUAAAAAAAUUUUAAAGUCAAUCUUUUUAAUUACUAUUCGAAGGAUAUAAUGAUUAAAAAAAAUCUUAGUAUUUUUUUAUUAAAAAUUUAAAUAUUUACAUGACCAUUUCUAUAAAUAUUUAGGUCUCGUUUGCUAUGUUGGAUUAGAUUAGAUUGAAUUGGAUCGGAUUAGAUAAGAUAGGAUUGGACUGGAUAAUACUGGAUUAUAUAUAAUAUUAUGUUGUGUUUGUUAUGUCAUGAGAUUAACUAGUAACUAAUAAUAUGUCUUAUAUAUUAAUUUAUUAAAAUCAUCAUAGAUUUACUUUAAAAUGACAUGUAAUAUAAUAUAACUUAAAUCAAUAAUUAUUGGUAAAUUUAUAAAAAAAAUACAAAAUCUUCGCUUAAUUAUUUUUUUAAUAUUUAACAUGUUAUAGUUUCUAAUCCCAUGAAUAGUAAAAGAUAAAGUUUUAUCUUAGAAAAUGUAAUCACAAGGGUCCCCUUGGGAUGAAAUUUUGCCACUAUUGGAAUUAAGUGGUGGGCCUAUUAUUGUUACCUUUAUUUUUUUUACACUAAAUAUGAUAUAAGAAUUAUUUUACACUAAAAUUAUCUAAUCCCAUGAUAUAUAACUAAAACCAAACAGGCACUUAGGGUAUAUAUGAGCCACGGUGGAGAAGCUUUAUUUAAUAUUAUUGAUUUAAAUAAUAUCUCAUUAAAAAUGUAUUGAGAAGAAAUUUCGGUGGGUAUUUUAAUCUUUUCAGCAAUCACAUGAUUAGCCUUUGGCUUUGAAACGUCGGUCAGAAAAGUUUUAAAAUGCUUAAUUGUUUUUCACUUUUAACCUUGGUGGCCUUGAAAUUGCUUAUAUUUUAUUAAAAAUUAAUGCUAACAAGAAAAAAACUAGGUAAUAUUGGAUUCUUUUAGUAAACUACAAAUUAAAAUAGAUUUUUUCGAUAAACUACAAAUUAAAGUGGAUUCUUUUGAAUACAAGUGGGACAGACGAUUAGACUCUUUUUAUUAACGGCAAGUAAAAACUAGUCAAGAAUCGAAUAGUCCGUUUCAAAUUCUUGUUUUAUUAUUUUUCAAAACUAGUUUUUGGUAAUUACAAUCGGGUCAUUAAUCAUUAUUCAAGAUUUAGUGGCUCGUGUUUGCAAGUGUGAAUGUGCGAUGCUCUUUUUCCAAAGGCCCGAAUCGGACGUGCCUAAUAAAUCUUUUAAAAAAUUUUGCCGUAUAACGAACAGAGGUCAUUACUAAAAUUUCUCUUCCACAGUCCAUAGCAGCUUCAGUUUAUCAAACUCAAUCAAUUUUCUUCCUUAACAAAAUUCCAAAGAUGGGUAACAUUUUUCAGAUCCCAUGCGAUGGUGCUUUUUUCAAUCGUUGCUUGGAUUGCUUUCUUGGAGAAGCAGCAUACAUAAGCAACCUCCAAGAUAAUCUUGAUGCCUUGGACACUGAAUUGGGAAAACUAAUCGCAGCAAAGAACGAUGUGAUGACGGAGGUUGGCAAUGCUGAACGGCGACAAAUGAGAACGCUGGAACGAGUGCAAGAGUGGGUUUCGACGGUGGAUUCUGUUAAAACUGGAGCCGAUGAACUUAUCACAAACGGCUCUCAAGAAAUUGACAAAUUAUGUGUUGGAGGCUACUGUUCCAAGAACUGCUGGUCAAGCUACAAGUUCGGAAAACAAGUGGCUAAAAAGCUACGAGAUGUGAAGACUUUAAUCGCCGAGGGAGUUUUUGAGGCGGUGGCCACUGAGGUGGUGCCCGAGAGAGCUCCGGAACCUGUAGCAGAUAAAAGACCCAUUGAGCCAACGAUAUUAGGCUUGCAAUCACAGCUUGAACAAGUUUGGAGAUGUCUUGUAGAAGAAUCAGUGGGAAUCAUUGGCCUAUAUGGUAUGGGCGGUGUUGGUAAAACCACACUAUUGACCCAUAUCAACAAUAAAUUUCUUGAGAGUCCCACAAACUUUGAUUGUGUGAUUUGGGUCGUAGUUUCAAAAGACCUGCGACUUGAAAAAAUUCAAGAAGAUAUUGGGAAGAAGAUAGGUCUGUUUGAUGGUUCAUGGAAGAAUAAAAGUGUUGAGGAGAAAGCUGUAGACAUCUUGCGGAGAUUAGGAGAGAAGAGAUUUGUAUUGUUGUUAGAUGAUAUAUGGGAGCGGGUUGAUUUAACAGAAGUGGGCGUUCCACUUCCCAGCCCACAAAAUACUACAUCAAAAGUCGUAUUCACGACCCGUUUCAUUGAUGUUUGUGGUAGCAUGGAAAGUCACAGGAAGUUUAAAGUGGCAUGCUUAUCAGAAGAGGAUGCUUGGGAGCUGUUUCGAGAAAAAGUAGGGCAGGAAACUCUUGAGAGUGAUCAUGAGAUCGUUGAGCUAGCCCAAACUGUGGCCAAAGAGUGUGAUGGUUUGCCACUCGCACUUAUUACUAUUGGUCGAGCUAUGGCCUACAGAAAGAAAGCGGAGCAGUGGAGACGUGCAAUUGAAGCGUUAAGAAGAUCAGCUUCAGAGUUUUCAGGUUUGGGAAAAGAGGUGUAUCCUCUUUUAAAAUUCAGCUAUGAUAGUUUGCAGAAUGAUACGGUUAGAUCUUGUUUCUUGUAUUGUUGUUUAUAUCCUGAAGAUUAUGGCAUUCUUAAAUGGGACUUGAUUGAUUGUUGGUUUGGCGAGGGAUUUUUUGGGGAAUCUGACAGGUCUGGUGCAGAAAACCAAGGAUAUGACAUUUUGGACACUCUUGUUCGUGCAUGUUUAUUAGAAGAGGUGGAAGAUGAUAAAGUAAAAAUGCAUGACGUUAUUCGUGAUAUGGCUAUAUGGAUAACCUGUGAAAUUGAGAAGGAGAAGAGAAACUUUUUGGUUCGUGCAGGUGCUGGAUUAAAAGAGGCACCGGAUGUUAAAAGAUGGGAAAAUGUGAGAAGAUUGUCAUUGAUGCAAAACCAAAUUGAAACUCUGUCAGAGGUUCCUACAUGCCCUCAUCUCCUCACUUUAUUUCUUAACUUUAAUAAGGUGGAGAUGAUCGCGGAUGGCUUCUUCCAAUUUAUGCCUUCUCUCAAAGUUUUGAAGAUGUCAGACUGCGGGAAUUUAAUUUUGGAAUUACCUUUUGGGAUGUCAAAGUUGGGUUCACUGGAACUUCUCGAUAUUUCACAUACCCACAUAAAAGAGUUACCAGAAGAGUUAAAGUUGUUGGUAAAUCUGAAAUGUUUGAAUUUGAGGUGGACAGUUUGGUUAAAUAAAAUUCCACGGCAACUAAUAUCAAAUUCUUCAAGGUUACGUGUGUUGAGAAUGUUCGCUAUUGGCUGGUUCAAUUUUCAUGAAGCAUCAGAAGAAAGCGUUUUAUUUGGUGGGGGUGAAGUUUUAGUACAGGAAUUGCUCGGUUUGAAAUAUUUAGAGGUAUUGGAGUUGACCUUGGGAAGUUAUCAGGCUCUCCAAAUUCUUUUGAGCUCAAAUAAGUUAAAAAGUUGUAUUCGAUCUCUUCAACUCCGGUUGGUCAGAGAUACACCGUCAAUUAUUGAUGCUACGGCUUUCGCAGAUCUAAACCACCUCAAUGAAUUGUAUAUUUUUAAAGGUAUUGAGUUGGAAGAAUUGAAGAUUGAUUAUACGGAGAUAGUACGAAAAAGGCGGGAACCUUUUGUUUUCCGGAGCCUUCACCGUGUUAUUAUUGGGGAGUGCCAUAAAUUGAAAGAUGUGACAUUCCUCGUUUUUGCUCCAAACCUCAAGUCUCUUCGGCUAUUCGAUUGCGGUGCUAUGGAAGAAAUAAUCAGCGUCGGAAAAAUUGCUGAGACUCCUGAGAUGAUGGGACAUAUAAGCCCUUUUGAAAAUCUCCAAAGUCUUGAUUUAGACGAUUUGCCACAUUUGAAGAGCAUUUUCUGGAAGCCAUUGCCUUUCACUCAUCUGAAAAAAAUGGCGGUACUUAUGUGCGAUCAGCUUAGAAAGCCUCCACUCGAUUCCAACAGUGCAAAGGAGCGUAAAUUUGUUAUUCGUGGAUACACAGGGUGGUGGAACCGACUUCAAUGGGAGGCUGAAGCCACUCAAAUUGCUUUUCGUUCCUGUUUCCAACCUUAUUCCUGAGCCGUGGUCGCAAAAUUUGAUUUCUGGUGAGUGCGUUUGUCUUUUAAAAGAAGAAUUUAAAAGAAAUUUAUUCUUGUCGUUUGUUUUCUUCUCUUUUUAUUUCAGUUUCUUUAUCUCUCUCUCUCUCUUUGUCUUCUGCAAAUCACAAUUAAAUGUUGAAUUAAUGGAAUUAAUGCUUCAUAAAUUUGCCGGCACUGCCAUUACUUUUUUUUUUUAAUACAAAUUGAUACUUUAUUUAUAUCUUCUUAGCGAUUUAAUUUCCUGUCAAUAGACGAACGAGAAGAACAUACGACUUAAACCAAUUGAUACUUUAUUUAUGUGCGUUGUAUGUAAUAAAUAUUAAGUAUACUUUAUUUUGCCCUGUUCUCCGUUUUUAUUUCAGCCUCUCUCUCUUUCCUGUCUUCUGCAAGUCAUAAUUAAAUGUUGAAUUAUAUGGAAUUAAUGCUUUAUAAAUCUGCCUGCGCUGGCUUUUUUUUUUUUGUGGGGUCGAAUUGAUGCUCUGGUUUUCGACUAGUUUUUGUUGUCAAAAUUUUCUCUGUUUUUUUCAAAUUGAUGCUUUAUUUAUAUCUUCUUCGUGAAAAGUGAUUUAAUUUCCUGCCAAAAGACGAACGAGAAGAACAUUAGAGUCAAACUAAUGCUCACAUAAAUUUCCCGUAAGAAUAUAUAUAUAAUUAGACUGGAAUGCACACCUCUAGAUUGAACAGAAUUGAAGCUGAGAAAAUAUUGAGUAUAGUAGCCCUCUUUAAAGUUAAUUUAGAAAAAGAUAUAUUCUUGAUUAAUCCAUUUUCUGAAGUUUUUUAUUUUGUAUGGUCAAUUAUACCUUCAUACUCAAAAUUUCUGAAGUUAUAAAUUAGUGCAAAUUGACAAUUUUUACUGAUGAUAUCUUCUAUUUUUCCUUUCUUUUUUUUUACUCUCAUAGAAUGUUACUGUCAUUUUACUUACAAAUAGGUUUGACUUUGAGCCCAUGAAACGAUACUUUGAUUGCCAAACCACCGUCCAAUUUUUUUAAAAAAAGAAAAAAAAUAUGUAAUCCAUGAAUCUGGUUAAUUUUGUUUGUUUGUUUUUUUUAAUCUGUUAUACAUUUGAAACAUUCCAUUAAUUGCCAAUUAUGUAAGCGAGAUAGUAAUUAAUUUUUUUAUUUAAAAAAAAGUGAAAAUUAAUCCUAUGCAAUGUGAAUAAAUUUCUUUCCUUUUUCCUUCACUCUUUUUAUUUGAUAAUUAAGUUUCAAUCUAUGUACGCAAAAUUUCUGCAACAACUGCAAAACAUAAAAAUAUAUGAUUGUUAAGGGAAACACGCAGAAGUUCAUCACUUCAAUGUUCAGUAUUUCCAAUUUUGGCAUUAAGCUCUUACGAAUAUAUUCCACUUAGAAAGCAAAAUAUUAGAAUUGUGAUUUUAAUUCAUUCAUCAUAUCUCAUUUCAAUCCCAAAAUAUUCAAGUGGAUCCAAGUUACCAUAAGACUUCAGAGGCUCGAGCCUUAGCCAGAGAUGGUUAAUUGAUAGACUAUGUGCCUGGGUCGAGCACUGGAAGCCUGCAAUGCAGACUGAUUGAUUUAUCAGUUUGACGUGUUCCAGGAAUGAAGAACUGGAAUAUCACCCUCAAGCAAACACCCUGUGGAGCAAUACCAUAGAAUGCACAAUCCGGCUUUGCAAGGUGACACUGGAGGCUUUUUGAAAAGUGCUUCACGCUCACUUGCACUGAUUGAGCAUCCCCUCUGGAUAUUGCCCUCUCUGAUCGAGUCUGAGCACUCAAAUUUCGGUCCUCAGAUGGAGCUACAGCUUUCUCUCCAAUAACCAACAAUUUUCUAAACUCAGCACCUAGUGUGAUCAGAGUUGUUGAUAUUUGCAAAUGGAGAUCCCCAUAUUUGCAAAUGGAGACAUUUAACAAAUCACCAACAUGCUUCAUCCGGUGUACAAAAUUCUGCAGCUGAUUCAAAUCUGGAACCUGAACCAGAGUCGGAGGUAAAUCUUGAGCCAUAUCUAAAGCAGUUUGAAGUUCAAGUACUUGAGCCCUUGACAAUGGUUUUGAAAUUGGAACAUCUUGGAUUACUGCAGACUUGUACCCCUUGGUUUCAAAGGUAAGGAAAGGCAUUGCUUGAGUACAAUUUGGAGGCAGCGGAUCCAGCUGCACCAACUUCAGAGCAAAUACUGACACUACUUCGAACAGCACACUGAAGAAGUGAUAUGUCUACGGCAAAGGCAAUGCAGUCCUCAUUUUGGCUUGAGAUGCAGUAAUCAUCGAAGAGAGUUUCCUUGUGAAACUGGGCAACACAUUGAAUCCCUUUGCCACUGAGAAGGUUGUGGAGGAAGUAAGCUUUCUCUCUAGUGAGGAAGAGGUGGCAUACCUUCCCCAUUUUGUCUAGGGCAGGUAGGAAUCUUUUUUCUAAGAGAUUUACUUCAUUCUCGGUGAGAAAUGCUUUGAACUUCAUCCCUCUGUCUCUAUCCUCACUUAUCAGAAAAUAAGUUGAAAGCACUACGGAGAGAGAGAGAGAGAGAAUUAAGAUAUAUAGACAAGAAAAAUAUUAGACGGUGAUCUUACAAACUAAUACUUCAAGCAGUAUCCUAGAAAGCUAAAAACUGCAAGAUGGCUUGAAAUUUGAAAAGAGCACGUGCUUUUCCUCCUUAACUUGAGAAAAUGUUUAAUAUAGUGCACCUUACAGAAGCAUUUAAGCAAUUAGAACUAUGCACAAAAACAUCACGAAGACUAAACAAAUCAGAUGCAGUGUCUUUGUCCAAGCACAAAUUGCAUUUUGUCCUCAACUUUAAUAUUUAUUGAUGAGAAUCAAUACAGGUCCCUCAUUUGUUAUAGAAAGCUUUCUUGUAGUCUCACCAGUUAAUUCACAGGUCUAUAAUCAUCUUGCAAAGUUAAGGGCAUUUCUUUCGAUCUAAAGUCUUUGCAUCACCACCUCAUCACACGCCAAGCCAAUAUUCCAUUUACCUCUACAACAAAAAGUUUUAAGUAAACAAUCCUAAUGCACGCAGCCAAAUAAAAUGCAGUAAGAAUAUUCAACUUAAAAAUCUGAAAGCCAACUUGGUGAAUUGCCUCCUUAGGUGAAGUUCCAUGCUUUACUAUAGUUGACAGAACUCAGCAAAAGCUUCCAUACAACAGAUUUUGAAAAUGAUGAUGCCAAUAGAUACUCAUUCAAUCCAUUGAAAAUCCAAAGGUUCAUUGUUAAUAGAAGUUUACAGAGUUUUGGUCAUCAAAUAGCUCAGACCUAAUCCCAAACAAAAAACGAGUGAAAAUUAGAUCACGAGCAGCUAAUUGUAAAUUCUAACUUAACUCUUCAUCUCCUUUGUAAACAAGAAACAAAAUGAAGACACGCAAAAUGAAUAUGGAGAAAAUUUGAACUCAAAUGAAAUGAGGGCACGAAAGCAAACAAAUGGCAUGCACAAAAAAACCAAGCCUCAAUCAAAAACUAAUUAACCAUUAAGAAAAAAAUUGGUCUGAGAAUGAACUCCAAAUUCAGGAGUGAAGCAAGAAGCUUUCAUUAUUUCAGAAGCUCCUGUACAAAUUAAUAAGUUAUGCUCUUUGGAAGCAAACCUAAAUUCCAAGAGAAACAGAACCCAAAAAAUUUGCAAUUUUACGCAAAGGAAGUGAAGCACAGGAUUCUGUCACACAUAGGAAUUGUAAAACAAGAGAUCGAUAUAUCGAAUUAGAAAACUCAAUUCGAAUUUAUGUCAAAAAUCAAAAUUAGAAGAUUUCACAUUUUGAGAGGAACAAGCAACAGAUGAAGUUCAAAAUUUCAGCCAUAACAUGCUAAAAAUGCUACACUUAACGGUUCAUUUUCAUGGAUUUUCUCGGGAAACAAACAGAAAAUUACGGUUCAGAGAGUUGACUGACCUUUUGGCUUUUGAAAUUGAGAAGAUCGCGCGCCAAAUUGGAAGAGGGAAAGUGAAAGUGCGAGUUUUAAUAUGGGUAUUAGAUAAGGAAAUUUAAUUAGGUUGCGAGGGUAAAAAAGGAAAGAGAUAUCAUUAUUUUAUUAUCGAUAAUUAUUAAAUUUUUUUCCAAAAAAAAGAACAAGCAAGGAUAUUUUAUUUUCAUUACUAAGUUAAAAAAAAUUGUUUCAAAAUUACUCGAGUCAUAUCCAAUGGACCAACAAAGUAAUCGUUUUUAUUUUUAUUGAUUUUUGCAGGAAAUUAAUAACUUCUUAUUUCAUAAUCCAACUCCAGUACUAAGUUAAAAAAAAUUGUUUCAAAAUUACUUGAAUCAUAUCCAAUGGACCAACAAUGUAAUCGUUUUUAUUUUUAUUGAUUUUUGCAGGAAAUUAAUAACUUAAAAAUACUGAAAGCUAUUGUAAAAAUUUUUAUUAUCAACCUCAUAGUUUUUUUUUUUUUGGGAAGAGAAUUCAAACUUUUUUUUUUUUAAUUUCCAAGAAUUCUUGACACCCGUCUUAAUUAAAAGCUAUAUUUUAAUUCAAAAGUCAUGCUAUUCAUUCACUCACAGACCAAAGGCUUUCCGCAGCAAUAUUAUUAUUUAAAUUACAACAAAGGGGAAAUCAAAUACGUCAUACAGAAGCUUAAAGCUGAAUCUACAAAAUCUAGAGCUCGCAACUACAAAAAUUACACUUGAUGAUCCUCUACAAGAUGAAGCUUGUUCAAUAUCUCAUCCAAAGCUUGUAAAGUAACCUUGUAACGAUCUUGAGAUUGCCUGCCUUCCUCGACGACCUGCACGAUGCGUUUGUACCAAUCAUCAUACCUGUGCACCGGAUUUUUAAUAUCAACGCCACUGCAGCUGUGAUCAAGAACAUAAGAGCGUUUAACAUCUUUUCUCCAUCGAGAAAGAAUGUAGUGAGAUGGGAUCUCCUCCAUACCACUCUGGUUUAGAACACAAAGAAUGUGUCUGCAUAAAUAUCCUCUGAAAUUGAACAACCCACAAACACAAAGCACCUCCAAGUCGGAGGCAUUGUACAAAACAUCGAAAGCCCUUGAAUCUUUCUCGUUGCUACCAACCUCAAAUUCUUCCUUCACUAUGUAUGUUAUAGGUCCAUCAGCACUGACAUGUUUUGUGCUAUAGCAAAGAGUACAUAGCCUCCACCUCCGUCUGAAACUUCCUUAACAUUUCAUUUGUGUACAGUUUUGAGAGUUGAAAUUCAUAGUAACAUCUUGGUUUCUGGAUACAACUUGAAUUUCUUGAAUCCAUAUCUGCCAAGGCUUCCAGUUGAUAAUUCGCCUGCAGUGCUUGAUCAGACUUGUCUAAGAAUUCUUUCAAAGGAGUAUUCUUAUCAAGAUAUCCUUCAAAGUAUGAAGUAGAAACCUCAUUCUGCAGGAACGAAAACACUCCUGAUAAAAAAGCUUCCUUCAAAUAAAUAGGAGCCCACCUUUUACGAUCUUCAUAUAAAGUUUGAAUCCAUCCGUGAUCCUUUAUUCCAUGACGUUGAUGUUGAAAAGUCAAAAGAGUUUUGGUUGAAAAAGAAAAGUGAGUAUUAAAAAAGGCGGGAACCUUUUGUUUUCCGCAGCCUUCACCAUGUUACUAUACAAAGCUGCCAGAAGUUGAAAGAUUCGACAUUCCUUGUUUUUGCUCCAAACCUCAAGUCUCUUUCGAUGGUCAAAUGCAAUGCUAUGGAAGAAAUAAUCAGCGUCGGAAAAUUUGCUGAGACUCCUGAGAUGAUGGGACAUAUAAGCCCUUUUGAAAAUCUCCAAAUGCUUGAUUUAAUAGGUUUGCCACAUUUGAAGAGCAUCUUCUGGAAGCCAUUGCCUUUCACUCAUCUCAAAGAAAUAUAUGUGGGUUAUUGCCCUAAUCUUAAAAAGAUUCCACUCGAUUCCAACAGUGCAAAGGAGCGUAAAUUUGUUAUUCGUGGAGAAGAAGACUGGUGGAACCGACUUCAAUGGGAGGAUGAAGCCACUCAAAUUGCUUUUCGUUCCUGUUUCCAACCUCGUUCCUGAGCGGUGGUCGCAAAAUUUGAUUUCUGGUGAGCGCGUUUGUCUUUUAAAAGAAGAAUUUAAAAGAAAUUUAUUCUUAUCGUUUUCUUCUCUGUUUUUAUUUCAGUUUCUCUCUCUCUCUUUGUCUUCUGCAAAUCACAAUUAAAUGUUGAAUUAAUGGAAUUAAUGCUUCAUAAAUUUGCCGGCACUGCCAUUACUUUUUUUUUUUAAUACGAAUUGAAACUUUAUUUAUUUCUUCUUAGCGAUUUAAUUUCCUGUCAAAAGACGAGCGAGAAGAACAUAUAUAUGACUUAAAUUUUUUGUUCAAGGAUUUUUAUUUCGGGUAUUAAUAAUAGUCCACCAAAAGAGGGAACACUUGGAUGCUGCUCUAAGGGUCUCUCUAAUCAAUAGCUGGAAGCAAUUGAGAAGGCGGUCGCUACUGUGUACAAAUCCAUGCAGUAUUUGCUAUUCAUCUUAAUAAUUAUGAAGCUUUGGUAAAAUUUUCAGACAAAGUUGACAUGUUAUUUUGAGAUUUGGUUCGUGAUUUUGUAUGAAUAUCGUUGUUCCGUUUGAGUUGGAUAUGAAUUCGAGUCUAAAUAUUCUUUGGUUUUCAAUUUUGAACUCAAUUUUUUUUUUCUCAAGCAUGUUAUGCAGAAAUGAUUUUUACUAAAUCAUUUUUGAUGAAUUAUUUAAAUUAAACAAUUGGAAUCAGAAUUGUAACGAUUUAUCACAAGCAUGCUAAUAUGAUAAUUCUGAAACUAUCAUUUUUUUUUUCAAUUUGCUGCAGGGAAAGCCAAAUUUUGUAUUUUUCAGUUUUAUCUGAUAUGGAAUUUAUUUCCUCUACACUAGCUACCUAAAGAUUUAUCAAAUUGCUUCUCUUCCCUGCUUCAAAUAUCUUCAUGGCAUCAUAGGAAAAGAGAGUUUGGGUUGUAUUUAUUAUAGUUUUUAUUUUUUUUUCGUUAUAAGCAAAUUUAUUUUAAAUACUUUAGUAGUAACAGUUUUUAUUGAAUAAUAAUGGGGGAUGAUUAUUAUAUGUUCAAAUAGUUGUUAGAACAUUAUAAAAAGUCUAUUUGCUAUCAAAUGUUUUAAAUUGAUGCAACAUGAUAAUUGUCUCAUAUAAUUUUUUUAUACUAUAUAUGUCCCAUAAUCUUAACAUGAAUAAAUGAUUUUCAAUGGUUAAAUUUGACACGAUUAUUAAAUAGAUCAUAUCUAUAUUAAUUCGAUUUAAAAUCUGGUCACAUUUGGAUUUAGAGUUUCUAACAUGGUAUCUUGUUUUAUGACAUAAUUUACUAAUCAAUUAAUAGAAAAUCAAAUGUUAGUCAAUUAAAUAUGUGGUACAUUUGUCAUAUUUUAAAAAUUAUUUAUUUAUAUUUGAAAUAAAUUUGACUAGACUUUGUGCAGGUAAUACUGCAUAAUUUCUAAAAAAAUGUAAUAAAAACAUGUUAAAAUGUUAUUUUUAUGAAGAAAAAUUGGAAUUUUAUUAAAUAGGAGACACAAUAAUAAAUGGAUAAAAAUUGAGAUUAUUGAUAUAAUGAUUAAAUAGAUUGAAUUGAAGUGAGUUUCAAUUUUGAGAAGAUAAUAAGACGACGCGACACAAAUACAACCAACCAGUCAACCCAAAUUGCCACCUUUUACUAUCUUCUUUGUGUUAUUUCUCUAAAAAUUUGUGCCUUCUCUUACACUUUUAAAUCUUAAGUGUUUGAACUGGAGUACACAAAUUAUCUCUCUACAAUUCCAAAACAACCAAUUUGUAACUUGGUAAAUCUUAAUCAAUGGCAGGAAGCAAUUGAGAAGGCGGUCGCUACUGUGUACAAAGCCAUGCAGUAUUUGCUAUUCAUCUUAACAAUUGUUGAGCUUCGGUAAAUUUUCAAAUAUAGUUGACUUUUUAUUUUGAGAUUUGGUUCAUGAUUUUGUAUGAAUAUCGUUGUUCCGUUUGAGUUGGAUGUGAAUUCAAACCUAAAUAUUCUUUGGUUUUCCAUUUUGAAUUCAAUUUUUUUCCUCAAGCAUGUUAUGCAGAAAUGAUUUUUACGAAAUGAUUUUUGAUCGAUUAUUUAAAUUAAACAAUUGGAAUAAGAAUUGUAACGGUUUAUCGUAAGCAUGCUAAUAUGAUAACUUGUUUUACGAACGAUUAGUUAAUCAAUUAAUAUUAAAUUGUAUAUUAGUCAAUUAGAUAUGUGUUAUAUUUGUCAUAUUCUAAAAAUUAUUUAUUUAUAUUUCAAAUAAAUUUGACCAGAGGUUACGUAGGUAAUACUACAUAAUUUCGAAAGGAUGUAAAAAUUUAAAAUUUCAUUAAAUAGGUGACUCAACAAUAAAUGGAUUUCUGCAAGAAUUGAGAUUCUUGAGAUAAUUAUUGCAUAGGGGGAAUUUUGGUUAGUUCAAUUUUGACAUGAUAAGAAGACAACACAGCGCAGAAAACCCAAAUUGCCACUUCUACUAGUAAUAAAAGAUGAGCGAAUUGCGUGGGAUAUACUUGUUUUCCCUCAAAAUACCCAAAAUAUACCUCCACAUAUUAAAAUUGCUAGCUUUACACAUAUAUACUUAAAAAGAUCAGAGAAAAUACAAAAAUAACCUUAAUAAAAAUACUCGACUUAUUUAAUAUGCUUACUCGACUCAUUUAAUAUUCUUACUCGAUUUCUUACCGGACCAUAUACUCGACUUAGUUAAUAUGCUUACUCGACUUAUUUAAUAUUUUUAUUCGACUUAUUUAAUAUUCUUACUCGACUUCUUACCCGACCAUAUACUCGAUUUAUUUAAUAUGUUUACUCGACUCAUUUAAUAUUCUUACUCGACUUCUUACCGGACCAUAUACUCGAUUUAGUUAAUAUGCUUACUCGACUUAUUUAAUAUUCUUACUCGACUUCUUACCGGACCAUAUACUCGACUUAUUUAAUAUGCUUACUCGACUCAUGUAAUAUUCUUAUUCGACUUCUUACCCGACCAUAUACUCGACUUAUUUAAUAUGCUUACUCGACUCAUUUAAUAUUCUUACUCGACUUAUUUAAUAUUCUUACUCGACUUCUUACCCGACCAUAUACUCGACUUAUUUAAUAUGCUUACUCGACUCAUGUAAUAUUCUUACUCGACUUCUUACCCGACCAUAUACUCGACUUAUUUAAUAUGCUUACUCGACUCAUUUAAUAUUCUUACUCGACUUCUUACCCGACCAUAUACUCGACUUAGUUAAUAUUCUUACUCGACUCAUUUAAUAUUCUUAUUCGACUUCUUACCUGACCAUAUACUCGACUUCUUUAAUAUGCUUACUCGACUCAUUUAAUUUUCUUACUCGACUUCUUACCCGACCAUAUACUCGACUUAUUUAAUAUGCUUACUCGAUUCAUUUAAUAUUCUUACUCGACUUCUUACCCGACCAUAUACUCGACUUAUUUAAUAUGCUUACUCGACUCAUUUAAUAUUCUUACUCGACUUCUUACCCGACCAUAUACUCGACUUACUUAUCUCUAAUUCUUACUCGACUAAAUUCUCGAUUUACCCGACUUUGUACCCGACUUCGUACCCGACUUCUUCCUGCACUGAUUCUUCAAUCAUUCAUAACUUAAAUGUAGUCUUAAAUCCCUACAUUGAAAUAGUGUGUGUGUGCAAGCACAAAAAAUGAAUAAUGUACUACUAAAAUUCAUAAAUCAUUAGGAAGUACACUUAUAAGAAAAAUAGAGAAUGGUGAGAGAAGCCCAAAAAAGAGAAGCAAUGGGAGAAGAGAGAUGUGAAUUCUUAGUUUUUUUAAGGUUAUUUUUGACUUUUUCUAUCUUCAUAAGGUAUAUGUAUGUAAUAGGAUAUAAAUUUGGCAUUUAAGGGUAAAUUAAGGAUAUUUAAAUAAAAAACCCAUAAAAGAUACCUGUUUCAAAAGUAAUUAUAAACUAUCUUCUUUGUGUUAUUUCUCAAAACUGUUAUUUCCCUGGAGAAAAGUACGAAAUACCCACUUUCACGUUGGCAGAAGCAAAGCAAAGCUAUGAGCUAUCUCUGUAUACUUGAAACGCCAUUGCUAAACGAUUCUCGAUGAUGGGUGCCACUGGGCCAGUGUUGUCGCUGAUUUGCAUGAUUUAUUAGUUGUCCAGAUGCCAGAGAAACCAUGGUGGCAUUGAAGUUACCCAGAUGGUUAGUUUUCUGAUCAUUUUUUUAUUCAAUUAUUUAUUUUUUUUAGAAAAAUGUAAGAAAUAUGUAGAAAUGUUGACAGCUAUGAUUUUGAAACUUUGCCUAAAAUUGUUAUCAUCACUUAUUUAAAGAGAAAUCCUAGAAACAUGACAUGAUUAGUAGCCUAAUUCAAAAUUAGACAUGAUUACAACAAGAGAAAAGUGGAGAGAACUUGAUAGUCGAGUGCAUUUAGAAUUUAAUUUUUCUUUUAGCUGCCAAUCAUUAAAUUUUCGAUUUCAGAAAAUUAUACCUAGAAUAUUUCAAGGAUAUACUAUGAAGAUUAUGAAGGUUUGAUUACAUGUCACUAUCAAUUGCCCCAAUCAUUUGUAGUAAAUUAAUUGAUCAUUUUGAUGCAAAUGAUUCCCUACUAAAAAAUUCAAGUCAAGGCUGAAUUGCACAGUAGUUAGUCGCGCUUGCACUUCAAAUUAAGUAUUGUAUUUUCUGCCUGGUUUGGUUGAUUAAAGUAUGUGCAUUUGCUUAUGAAAGUUGUAGUAUAGAAAUCGAAACAUUUGUUUUUCGCUAAGCCCAGAAGCAAAGUUCUUUGUACUGUACUCAUCACUUCUCUUCGUUCUCUUCAUUGAAAUUUUAUCCAAACAGCGGUUUCUUCGAAUUUGUGCCUUCUCUUACACUUUUAAAUCUAGCAAAGAACCGUUACCUGAGAAGAUUGCCAUCAGGAAUUUCUAAAUUGAUUUCACUAUAAUACCUUAAUCUUUCAAAUACUCCUCUCACUGGGUUGCCAAUAGUACUAAAAGCCUUGGUGAAUCCUACGUGUUUGAACUGGAGUACAAAAGUUAUCUCUCCACAAUUCCAAAACAACUGAUUUGUUACUUUUCAAUGCUACACGUUCUGCGAACGUUCAGUUGUGGUUAUCUUGCUGAAAUACCAGAAAAUAGGGUUCUAUUUGGUGGUAGUGGAUUCUUGGUUGGGGAGUUGCUUAGUUUAAAACGUUUAGAUGUAUUAAGCAUCACCUUAAAAGGUUUUUCUUCUGUCCAAAAACUUAUGAGCUCCCAACAGUUUCAAAGCCGUACAAAAAUGUUUGGAGCUUAUAGACUGUGAUGAUUCAAAGUCGUUUGCCUUGGCAGAGUUGAAGCAUCUUGUAAAACUAGGUUUGUCAAAUUGUGGAAAUUUGGAAGAUAAAUUACAUUUAUAAACUGUGGAUCGCCCUUUAUAAGUAUUAGGCUUAUUCCAUACUCGAGCAAUGUGGAAUACCUUUAUAAGCAUUAAGCCUCUCCCAUACAAUUUCUGUACAUGACUCUUCUUUUUUUUUUUUUUUUGAAGACCGUUCAAAGUGGUUGAUGAUCCGUUUUGUAAUAUCAUAGAGGGAUCAUGAAUUCCUUUUCUUUUCUGUGGCUAGGCAACACUUUUGGGCCAAAGUAAGGGAAUCUAUUUUAGGUCAUGUAAAAACCAGUUGUGGGAUGUAAUAGUUUAUUAUGCACUGACAAUAACUUUUUGUAUAAUUGUCAGUUUAAUGAAUACGAGAGGAACUCUGUUGGCAAAUUCAUCCAUGAUAGAUGCUAAAAUUAUACCAGUUGCCUUAACUUAUUUUUCUCAACACUGGUAUUGAACAGGAAAAUGAAUAUGCAAUUUGUAUUUGUGCCAUUGUGGAGAAUUUGGAUAUUCUUAUUUUUAGUAACAAGGAGAGUAUUGGCCUCAUCUUUAAAAAAUGAAUCUUUGAGAAAUGAGGAGUGGGUGAUUGGCAGUGUCAGAGUGUCUUCCUGUAAAUGUUCAUUUAUUUGUAUUUUGAACUAUUAGUAGAAUCUUUAUAUGCCAAAUUAGUAAUACAAAUAUUCAGAUGAUUUUUCCUGUUGAUCAUUUCAUUCUUGAGAGCCAUGUACAAUACUAGUAUACCAGAGAAACCAAGGUAGCAUUGAAGUUGCCCCAGUGGCUAGUUUUCCGAUCAUUUUUUAUUCAAAUUUUUAUGUUUUAGAAAAAUGUAAGAAAUAUGUAGAAAUGUUGAUAGCUAUGAUUUUGAAACUUUGCCUAAAAUUGUUAUCAUCACUUAUUGUUUCUUAUUUAAAGAGAAAUCCUGGAAACGUGACAUGAUUAUUCCAUACUUGUUUUUAUAUUAUUUAUUAGCAGCCUAAUUCAAAAUUACACGUGAUUAUUUGUUACUUUUAAUGCUACAUAUUCUGGGAAUAUUCAGUUGUGGUUAUCUUGUUGAAAUACCAGAAAAUAGCGUUCUAUUUGGUGGUAGUGGAUUCUUGGUUGGUUUAAAUGUAUUAAGCAUCACCUUAGAAGGUGUUUCUGCUGUCCAAAAACUUACGAGCUCCCAAAAGUUUCAAAGCUGUGCACAACCUUUGGAGCUUAUAGACUGUAGUGAUUCAAAGUUGUUUGCCUUCACAGAGUUGAAGCAUCUUGAAAAACUAGGUUUUUCAAAUUGUGGAAAUUGGAAGAGUUUAAGUUCUGCUGUGUCGAGGAUGGAAAGGCUCGAGAAUGUUUUCGUGUGAACAGCCUCCAACGAGUUAAGAUAAAGGCUUGUCAUAAAUUGAGGGAAGUGACAUGGCUUGUAUUUGCUCUGUAUCUUGAGGUUAUUCAAAUAGACAAAUGUAUGGGGAUGGAAGUAAUAAUCAGUGCAAGGAAAUUGGGUGAAGUUCCAGAGAUGAUGGCAGAUCUAAACCCUUUGGUAAAACUCCAAUAUCUUGGCCCACGAGUUCUACCAAAAUUAAAAUGCAUCUAUUGGAAUCAAUUGCCCUCUCUACAUGUCAGGCAAAUUUUGUAUCUGAAUGUCCAAUUCUCAAGAAGCUUCCACUUGGUUUUAACAAUGCAAAGGAAUCUAAAACUAUCAUUAGGGGAGAAGAACACUGGUCGAAUGAGCUGCAAUGGGAGGACAAAGUGACCCUUAAUGUUCUUCUUCCUUGUUUCGGAUCCAUUUGAGGGCAUCAACAUGGAUUGAUACUUUGCAGUGGAGAAAUUCGAAUAAAACCUGGUAAGUGCUUUUCCAUUUAUUGCAUAUUUAUAUCUAACUUUUGUUUUCCUUUGUGGUUAAACUUUGCUCUAUAUACGUUGUUGUACGGUGACAUUCUCAUAUCAAUUAUUAGCUUUUUAAUUCUCUUCUCACAUUAACUGCCCUUUUGAUCAUGUAGGAUAUGCUGAUGUCAAAGAGUCGUAAUUUGGACUGCAAAUGUAAGAAUUAGACAGAUGACCAGUUGUUUUGAAGCGCUCGAAGAAGGAUUAAUUACGUCAUUGAAAGCCUCCAAUUUUAUGACUUUUUUUUUAAUUUGUUGUUUUUCUAUUUUUAGAUAGCUUGAUUGUUAGUUGUCGUGACGUAAUGCUUUAGUGUAGAAAAAUGAUAUUCGGCCAAGACAACAUUAGGAGGGCACCUUGUGCAUGCAUACUAGUGGAUAAUUUUGGCAUGCUAAAUCCAGUUAGGGUGGAUGACCUUUUAUAAGCAUUAGGCUUCUCUCAUACCCGAAAACAAUGUAGAAUAUGCUUAUAAGCUGUGGAUCACCCAUUAUAAGUUUUAGGCUUCUCCUAUACUCGAGCGAUGUGGAAUACCUUUAUAAGCAUUAAGCUUCUCCCGGUAUCUUUAUGUUAAAAAUAAUAAUAAUAAAAGAAAUCCAUUUUAAAAUAGACUCUUUUUGCUUUUUCUAUAUAAACAAAUGCAUUCUUCAAAUCAAUUGUGGGCAGAAGAAGUUAGUAGAAAAGAACUAGUCCCCUUUCAUUCCCCCUUAAACCUCACCAAAGCCUCUUUUGUAAGCUUUUCGGAUUUUCUUUCUAUAUUGCUUACGAUCUCAUUUUUGAUUGAAUCACUUCUUUUGCAUGCUGCAUUUUUUGUUUGUUGUAUUUGGAUAUUAUCGUAUUUGGAAUGCUGUUAUGAUUGAUGGAACAAGUAAUCGAUUUUUAGUCUGAUGGAAGUUGACUUAUUUAUUUAUUGUUAUUUUUAUUGAAAUUAUGUACAAUUGCAUUUCAUUCAUUUCUUCCCCCCUAACAUAUUUGUUAUGUAUAAUUGCGUUUCAUUUGAUAUUGAUCAUGCUGUAGAUAACCAUGUGAUUGUAGGAUGGGGAUUUCAAGUUUGUUGAAUAUUCAAGUAAGUGAAGUAACUGUCAAAAUACUAGUGAAAUUGGGAGCUUUAUUCAUGAGCUUGUGGUUUUGAAAAGUACCACAGUUCAACCGAUGAAGGUUCCUUUUUGGGGUUUGUUGAUGCGAGAUUCUGGUUAUGCUCGUCCUACGACCAGGAUAUCUGCUCGAUCAACCUCACCUCGAUCAGGAUCUCUCCUCGUAUGCUUUCUUCUCCAAGUAUCCCUGCGUUCACAGAAACGAGUCAGAGCACGCCGGUUGUUUUCUCGGCGUAAACCCUCCGACGCUCAAGUCAGAUGUGAAGGUUCUGGGAACGCUUGCCACAGAUCUUAUGGCUUUUCUAUAAUCUCAGUUCUUAGAGUUCUCUUUUCUUAGUUCCAAAAUCAAAAAUUCUAAACCUUUUACCUUCGUUGGCUACCUUUUUAUAGGCUUCCUCUGAAUCCAGAUCUUCCGCAGUCCACGCCCGCCAUUCUCCCCACUUUCGGGUGUGGACGCCCCAUUACCGCCAUUGUCGGCGAAUAGAGAUGGACCUCGUGUCUUAAUUCUCGGAUAGGAAUGCACGUCCUGCCAACUGUCGUUGACUGGGUCUCCUCGCCUCGAUGCCUAGCAGGAAUGACCUUAUGCCUCUAAUAGGAGUUCGGCCUCACGAAUGGCAUAUUCGUGGACGAGCAGAAUACUCCUGCUCGUAUUCCCCUGCUACUUGGCUCUUGCAGGAUACCCCUGCUCGCAGAACCCUGCCACCAACCACCUGCUCAUCAUGUUUGGUCGCCUCGAUAUAUUUCCCUCAAACACCGGUCCCCCAGUUUCUGGUGUUGGGUAAUGUAAUGGACCAGCAGUAGAAACUCAACGGUUCUUGCUCGCGUGGGACUGGAGAAGGCUGCCAAGAGUCGUGUCGCAUUUAAUUGCGGACGAGGUGAUGUGGCAGAAAUCUGCCCCUCUAUUUGAAUUUCAAACCAACGGUUACGAGGCCCUUGGGGUUUGGUUCCGUUAAAUGCUGGCAACCUAAGAGUCCGUCCCCUUUAUGAAACCCACCUCCUUUCGUACAACAAAUUCAUCAUCCACUCCGUCUCCGUCUCCGUCUCUCCGGCAAAGAAGUUCCGGCAUAAAGGCCUCCAUCUCUGUCUUUCACCGACUGAAAAAUUACUUCAGGUACUUCUUCUAUCUCCUUGGUCUCGAAUAGUUGUAGAUAAUUUCUCUUCUCUUUUGUUCGGGUAAUAGUUGGUGGUGGCGUUGUGGUUAGCGCUUAGGGAAUGUCGAAAGGUAAAGAGAAGGUCGUUGAGGUUGACGACGAUGAGUUGGACUUCCUGCCUGGUCUGCUCACCGAUCCUGCUUUUGACCCCGGGAUCCCCUUAGAGCCCAUCAGAUCCAGUGUUGGUACUAGCGCUAGGAGGAUGUCUCCCCAAACAACCUCCUCGAGCGGAAAUAACGAUGAAGAGGGGUCUUCUGGAUCGGAGAACACCCCGAGUGAGGGUCGAGGAGAUGAUUCUGGUGAGGUGUCCCCAUCAGGAGCGUCGCGACCAGAAGAGAGGAGUACAAUAGGAGGUAGAGCCCUAUCGCGGGAUUACGCUAUUGAUUAUAUGACGUGCACGACCACGUUUGAUGAGCUCGAUGACCUCCGGCUUAGGUAUAGUAUUCCUGGUGAAAUACCUCUUAAGGUCCCAGGAAAGAAGGAUGCUCCUAGCCGGCCUCCUAGGGGAUAUGUUACCCUAUAUCUGGAUAGCUUUAAGUAUGGGCUGAGGUGUCCCUUGCAACCUUACUUUGCCCGGAUACUUGACGGGCUGAAUCUAUCUCCUGGUCAGUUGAACCCAAACGGUUGGAGAGUGCUCUCUGGUCUGUUCAUAUUGUGGGACAGAUGUUGCCAAAGCGAGCCCACAAUUGAUGAGGUGAAGCACCUGUACCAGCUAAAGAGCAGCCCCAAAGAUGCCGGCUGGUACUACUUCCAAUCUAGCACCAAGACCAGGAAACCUAUAACCGACCUCCCUUCUGGUGGUGGUGGGAAUUGGAAGAGAAAGUUCUUUUUUGCUGGGGGUCCUUGGGGUCAGGUUGCACAAAUGGACGGGAAGGAUUAUCGGGUCCCACCCCGUUUCACAGUCCCAGGUUGCCUGCUCGCUUGAGAUGUCCUGUAUCCAUAAUUGUUCUUGCUUUAUUGGCUUGUCUCUAACCAAGUGUCUGUUUGUGUUGUAGUUUCUUGGGGUGUUCAUUUCCCGCUCCAACCUGGCCAGCUCAAACAGGUUGAGGCUGUGCUAGUCAAUUCCUGCCCGAGCCGAGAGCUGUUAACUACUUACAACUUGCUCGAGUCUCGUUUGAUACUACCUGGUCAUAAGAUGGAGGACGUUGUGAUUGGGGCUCUGAACAGGAAACGUUCUCGACCUCAAACCACGAAGAGGGACCAGAAUAAGGACGCCCUUACUGCAAAGCGGGCCAACAUCGUGCAGCAGGUCUUUCCCUUGAAGACUUUACCUCCUGCUCCUGCCAAAGUCGGGGAAACUAGUGGAGCAGCCACCGAUCCUGCUUCUUCUUCUCCUCCUGUCGGGCCGCGAUCUCGCUUACCUGAUAGCCGAGCAGAACACUUGGUCCUCUAUCUCAAUGAGUUAUCUAAGCUCGUGAGCAAGAAGGACCUGGAGGACUUUGAUGGCUGCACUCUGGGCGAGCUGGUGGGAGCCAUGCAGUAUAGUGCUUUCCAUCUCAGUUGCAUGACCACCUACUAUAAGGCCAAGGUUGGCCGUUAUGACAGGAAGAUGAAGGAGGACAUUCAGUCGGCGACGACCAGAGCUGACGUUGCUGAGAAGAAAGCAGGGGACUUAAACCUCGAGAAUCUCAAGUUGAUUGAGCGAGAAUCUCUUGCUCAAGCCAAGGCUAUUACUCUCGAGGAAGAGCUGGCCAAGGUCAAGGAAGAUCUGCAGAGGCAGAAAGCUAUGUACGAGGCUCAGCUCGAAUCUCUCCGUGAUUCCCACCGGGUUCAGGUCGAGAACUUAGAGAAGGAGGCUGACAACCAGUACGACCAGGGACUUCGGCAUUCCUAUCGUUGCAUCAUGGCCGUCCUCGGGAAGCAACACCCUGAUCUAAAGAUGGAUGACCUUGCAGUUGGUGUUGCUCAACAUAUGGAUGAGGAGGCGGCCGAGGAAGAUGCUGAAGGGGUAGAGCCGAUCGUGAUUGAGGAGGAAACCUCUCCUCCUCGUGCAGUCCCUGCUGCUGUUGGCGAGGCGAGCACCCCCCCGGACGCAACUGGUGAUACCCCCCCUGCACCUGAGGAGGUCCAGACAACCGAUGCUGCUCGGCUUACUGAUCCACCAUCUUCUUAAUAUAUUUCUUGUACUGUAAUGAACAAUUUUUGUGACGAUUAUCUCUUCUGUUAAUUACUAACAAUUAAUAAAGAUGUUUUUUAUUACUUUCUUAUGUUGUAAUCACGGCUUAUUUUCCGUUUGAGAAUCUGCUCGUCCUUGUCCGGUCGAGCAAGUUCUGGCUUGGCAUAUGGUUUUGCCACAUGCCUUAGAAAAUUCUUCGAUGUUCGAGAUUCUGCUCGCCUUCGCGCGAUCGAGCAGACCCUUCCACGCUUGACUUCAUUCUCGCCAUAAACAGGCUUUGAGACUUGACGAGCCUUUGCAUGCCUUAGAAAUUUUUUCGAUGCUUGGGGAUUCUACUCGCCUUCGCGUGGUCGAGCAGAUCCUGGCACGCUUGGCUUCUGUCUCGCCAUAAACAGGCUUUGAGACUUGACGAGCCUUUGCAUGCCUUAGAAAUUUUUUCGAUGCUUGGGGAUUCUGCUCGCCUUCGCGUGGUCGAGCAGAUCCUGGCACGCUUGGCUUCUGUCUCGCCAUAAACAGGCUUUGAGACUUGAUGAGCCUUUACAUGCCUUUGAUUCUUCAAGGACUGGGAUUCUGCUCGCCUUCUCGUGGUCGAGCAGAUCCUGGCACGCUUGGCUUCUGUCUCGCCAUAAAUAGGCUUUGAGACUUGAUGAGCCUUUGCAUGCCUUUGAUUCUUCAAGGACUGGGAUUCUGCUCGCCUUCUCGUGGUCAAGCAGAUCCUGGCACGCUUGGCUUCUGUCUCGCCAUAAAACAGGCUUUGAGACUUGAUGAGCCUUUGCAUGCCUUUGAUUCUUCAAGGACUGGGAUUCUGCUCGCCUUCUCGUGGUCAAGCAGAUCCUGGCACGCUUGGCUUCUGUCUCGCCAUAAAACAGGUUUGAGACUUGAUGAGCCUUUGCAUGCCUUUGAUUCUUCAAGGACUGGGAUUCUGCUCGCCUUCUCGUGGUCAAGCAGAUCCUGGCACGCUUGGCUUCUGUCUCGCCAUAAAACAGGCUUUGAGACUUGAUGAGCCUUUGCAUGUCUUUGAUUCUUCAAGGACUGGGAUUCUGCUCGCCUUCUCGUGGUCGAGCAGAUCCUGGCACGCUUGGCUUCUGUCUCGCCAUAAACAGGCUUUGAGACUUGAUGAGCCUUUGCAUGCCUUUGAUUCUUCAAGGACUGGGAUUCUGCUCGCCUUCUCGUAGUUGAGCAGAUCCUGGCACGCUUGGCUUCUGUCUCGCCAUAAAACAGGCUUUGAGACUUGAUGAGCCUUUGCAUGCCUUAGAAAAUUUUCACAGUUUCAAGCGAAUGAAAUUCCUCAUUGAUUUAUUAUUGAGUUCGGCUUACAUGAGGUUGCUUUGAAAUAAGAAAUCAAAAAUAGAAAACAACGGACACGAACAGAAAAAAAAAACUUUAAAACAUGAAUAAGUCUUACUAGAAAUAUUUCCUGAGGUGUGCCGCGCUCCAGGGGCGUUUCACCUCGUGGCCCUCCGUGCGAACCAACUUGUAAACUCCGGGUCCAACUAGCUGCCAUUCCCGGCUUCCACUCGGGUAUCAAGGUAUGUUAUCUGCAUUGCUUCCCUUGCUGCCGAGGAGUAACAGCUUCGUGCGAUUCUCUGGUCUCCUCGUACCACUCCAACUACCCCAUUCACCCGGUACUUGAGAGCCAGAUAAUGGUUGGACAGCACCGCUUUGCUGAUCCUCAGAAAUGGCCGGCCUAGGAUCAUCUGAUAAGGACCUUCCUCAUCCACUACCACAAAGUCCAGUAUCAUUGUCCUUUCUGUCGGGGAGCUCCCAAUCGUGAUAGGCAGCUCGACCACGCCCAGAGGGACCAGCUUUCCUCCUCCAAACCCCUUCAAGGAGGUAUUGGUGUACUCCAACUUCCGGUCUGCUAUUCCCAUCUCUUCCAAGGUUGACUUAAAUAACACAUCAACUGAACUCCCUGUAUCAACCAGUAUCCGGUCACACUUCUUGCUAGCGACAGUAGCCUUGAUGACUAAAGCAUCCUCGUGGGGGUAUAGAAUUCCUUCCUCAUCUUCAUCCGUCCACAUGAUUGGCACUUGCCUGACCCUUGCUCGUUUGGCUGCUGGGGUGUUGAAGAAUACCUCUUUACUAGUCAUGGCGUAUCUAGCAUAGUUCUUCCUAGAUCUGUUGGAAUCUCCAGCCAAUGUCGGGCCCCCAGCAAUCACCCUUACUGUAGGCUGCUCGUGCCUCAAAUUUCUGCCACUCUGGUCCCCUUCACAUGUCGAGGCCACCAUCGGGAAAGUCCCAUCUACAAACUCGUCCAGGUACCGAUUUCUCACCAAAUCUUCAACUUGGGUCUUGAGAUCUUUGCAUUCUGCGGUGGUAUGGCCAUGAGUGCCAUGGAACUUACAAUGACGUCCCCUAUCCCUCCUGCCGGGUAGCUUUGUUAUUGGGGCAGGGAGGUACAUCGAUCCUUGGUCCUUUAUGGCCUCGUAUACUUCGUCCAGGGACAUCUUCAAGGAAGUGUAUCGCCCAUACUCCUGGUUCUGGUCAAUCAGGUGCACUGCUCUUUCUCUGUUUGCUCCGUUCUGAGUUGGGUGCGGUGGCAGUACCUCUGGUCUGCUCCCUCUGCUACCGUGGGAGUGUUGAUGACCACCAUAUGAUGAAUCGUGCCUUCUCCAAGGCUCCCUAGCUGGGGAGCGAGGAGGCUGCGCCCUGCUGCGCUGAUACUGUGGUGGCCUCUGAUGAGGCUGGUAAGCAAUUACCCGACCUCCUGCUCCACUAUCCGAGGCCUGGUGGUCCCUCCUCCUGAUCGGCCCAUUCCCCGGUAAUGCUUUCUUCUCUUUCCUCCCCAACCCUUCUAACUGGUCUAUCUUAAUGCGUGCUGCCUUCUCCUCUUCGAUCUCAAUAUCUCUCUUAGCCUGCUCGUAUGCGGCCGCAUACGUCUGGAUAGCUGGGCUUCUCAAGUUGUACCACAGCCUUCCUAUCUUCACUCCUUCUUUCAAUCCCCUUAACGCCUGAGGGUGGUUGAAGGCUCCCAAGUCGAGGACAGCACGAUGAAACCUCUUGAUGAAUUCCCGAAGGGUUUCUUGCUCCCCUUGUUUCAUGCUUUUCAGCUCCAUCAUGUCAUCUUCUGGUGCCAUUGCCCCACUAAAUUGCUCUGCGAAUUCCUGGCACAUCUGCUCGAAGGUUUUAAUGCUGCCCCGAGGAAGUUUCCUGUACCACUCGCGUGCACAUCCCUCCAGGGAUAGUGGGAACACCCUGCACCUUUGAGGCUGAGAUAAUCCUUGUACCCCCGUUAUGUCAUUGAAGCGUUCUAUGUGCACCAGCGGAUCAGUUCGUCCCGAAUAUCUAAGGUCCGGGAGACGGAAAUCUCUCGGAAUAACUGCCCUCAUGAUAUCUGCUGCGAGCGGUGACUCUCCGUCCAGCAUUAUCCUCCAACCAGGAGCUCUGCUCCUUCCUUGCAUAUCGUCAAUUAUCUGCGCUAGUCUGCGCACUUCCUCCUCCAGCUGCACCGCACGACCAGGGUCACGUGCUGUAACUUGAUCCCUCUCUUGCUCUACAUCAUGCAAGUGUUGCCUCAACUCUGUUUCUUUUGCAUUCGCCACCCCAUCGUCCUCGUAAAAAAUCUGUCUUGCCGGGGAUUGCUCUUCGUCUCUAUGGAAUUCUCCCCGCAGAGGUAUGUUACCUCUCUCACCACCAAGUCUCCCGGUGGUUUGACUUCUCCUUGUACCAUCGGGACCUGGUGCCACUCCACCACCUCUCACCAUUUCCUCCUGAGUUACCCUUCGUUCACUCCGCAACUCAUGCAUGAUGGUUGUCAAGGUCUCCAUCUGCUUUUCCAUCCGUUCCAUUCGGUCGAACAUGGCUUUUUCCCUGGCUUCGCUGGCUAUCUCCCUCAGCAUCACGGAAUCGUUCAGCCUCAUAUCACCCCCUUGUGCACUACUUCCUCCUGUCUCCAUUACUUUUCACUUGCUUCACUCCUCUUCUUGCUAUCAACAUAAGCUUUUUGCUCAGUUCCCCACAGACGGCGCCAAAAUAUUGAUGCGAGAUUCUGGUUAUGCUCGUCCUACGACCAGGAUAUCUGCUCGAUCAACCUCACCUCGAUCAGGAUCUCUCCUCGUAUGCUUUCUUCUCCAAGUAUCCCUGCGUUCACAGAAACGAGUCAGAGCACGCCGGUUGUUUUCCCGGCGUAAACCCUCCGACGCUCAAGUCAGAUGUGAAGGUUCUGGGAAUGCUUGCCACAGAUCUUAUGGCUUUUCUAUAAUCUCAGUUCUUAGAGUUCUCUUUUCUUAGUUCCAAAAUCAAAAAUUCUAAACCUUUUACCUUCGUUGGCUACCUUUUUAUAGGCUUCCUCUGAAUCCAGAUCUUCCACAGUCCACGCCCGCCAUUCUCCCCACUCUCGGGUGUGGACGCCCCAUUACCGCCAUUGUCGGCGAAUAGAGAUGGACCUCGUGUCUUAAUUCUCGGAUAGGAAUGCACGUCCUGCCAACUGUCGUUGACUGGGUCUCCUCGCCUCGAUGCCUAGCAGGAAUGACUUUAUGCCUCUAAUAGGAGUUCGGCCUCAUGAAUGGCAUAUUCGUGGACGAGCAAAAUACUCCUGCUCGUAUUCCCCUGCUACUUGGCUCUUGUAGGAUACCCCUGCUCGCAGAACCCUGCCACCAACCACCUGCUCAUCAUGUUUGGUCGCCUCGAUAUAUUUCCCUCAAACAGGGUUCUUCUUUUUCUAGGCUGCAAUUAGGAUAUGUACAUGUUAGACAAUCUUUUGUGGGUUUAGCAUAUCUUCUCUGAUUUUGUCUUUUAUUCCCCAAUCUUGUAAUUACACACCAUGAAUGUUGAGUGAUUGUAUAGAUAAUUUAUGUUAGAACCAAAGCAUUGUGAAGGAGUUAAGUUAGUGGCUUCUGUUUUUUUGGCAUUGAUUGGGUAGAUUAUGUGUUACAGUGAUUCAAUUUGUGAUCCAAACUUUGCUUUAAUUUCUGUUUUCCCUAAUUAUUUAUGUCAAAUUUAAAUCCAGAAGCAUGUGCUGAUUUUUUCUUUUUGUAUUAAUCUGUGAAGUUUAUUUGGAAUGGAAGUAUCUGGGUUGGGUCUAACGGAUUAAAUUAUGACAUUGGGGGGAAGGCAGUAAAGGGUUUGCUUGACACAUUUGGUUCUGUGUUUACUUUGCAAGAAAUAGCUUUUGGUUCUCGCAAUGCUGGGGGAAAUCCCGAUUUGGCCAGUGAAUUUCUUUGUGACAAAUAGGCGAACACAUCAACCUCUUCUAUCCAUCCUUCUACUCGUAAGGCAAGGGGUAAAGAGUCUUCAAAAUCAUCAAAUAGUAACAUCUCUGAGAAUUCAUUUUAUGCAAAUGGAAAAUCUUGACCUUCUAAGACAAAAUGGCGUCCUGUAUCAGGAGGUACCGUUUCAAGUUUUCUUGGUAAAAAUUAUGUUAAACCUGCACAGCCAGCUAAUGGCACAUUUCUAGUAUCAAAGCCAUUGAAGUUGGAUCCAAAGGGGUUUCCCAUGUCUCCACUUUUGUGGAGAAGAUACUAAACUGAAACAAUCAAAGGAUGACCAUUUGCAGAAGGAUAUUGAAGAUUUUCUGUUUAAAUUGCUAGGAGAAGUGUUCCAAUUUAAUACAUAUUGUCCUUUUCAAUGUUCUUUCUUUCUUUCUCUUCUUUUCUUCUUCUUCUUCUUUUUUCUUUUUGUGUGCGUGUGAUCACUAAUUUGGUAUUGUAGUUAAGUUGCAGAUAGUUGUGGAUAUGAUAUGCAAAAGGCAAGGACUAUAUCUUCCUGAUGGAGGCCUCUGCUUUUUCCUUUAUGUGUAAUUUAAUAAAUUGCAUCUUCCUUUCCGAUUGUUAGAUCAUAUCAAAGACAAGUCUUAAAUACUGCUGUCAUAUGUUAAGGUUCAACUUGCAGUUUGAUUAACAUUCAUGGCUCAAAGGCCUGCAAAAACUUGCCAGUAAUUGUAAAAUGACAUUCUUUGCUUUUAAUGCAAUAGAGGGAACAGGGAAGUAUAGCUUUGGAAGCCUGGAUUGGUAACUAUAGAGAGACUUAGUAUUUAAUUGAUAAAAAUUCCCAUAACCCAAGGGUCAAGAAAAUUUUAGAUCGUUAAAGACUUCAUUUUGUUUCGGCCAGAAAUGUUUGUUUCGAUCGAAGACUUGAACCAUUUUCAUUGAACCUGAUUAUGAUGCUUUACGUUAUGCAUGUUCCUCUUAAUCAAGAAAAGUUGAGGUGAUGAUUUUAUAUUUCUAUAUUGUAAGUUGAAAUAAUAAUUGGUCUGCUUGUUUCUGUAGCUUGAUAACAUGAAUUUUCCUUCUCAAGUUAAUUUAAUCAAUAAAGUAAUUCUUCAAAGAAAAUAUGCCCAUUCUAUAAUCAUUUUCUUAACUAACAUGUUUUUUUCUUCACUCUUCAGAGCAUGUUGAAACUAAUUGUUUCGGCAGAGACUUUGGGUGAGAAGACAAAAUUUCUCGGUAAAUCCUCUGAAAAGGUAUGCAUAAUUCCGGAGUAUUAAAUAACCAAUGGUCAUAAUUUUUGUACAGGACUCUUUUCUUGUGGAGAUGAUUAAAAGUGGCUGAUGAUCCAGUUUGUAUAUCAUAGAGAGCAUCAAUUCCUUUUCUUUUCAGUGGCUAGGCAACACUUUCAGGGCAAAGUAAGGAAAUCUAUUUUAGGCAAUGUAAAAACCAAUGGUAGGAUGUAAUAGUUUAACAUGCACUGACAAUAACUUUUUGUAUAAUUGUCAGUUGAACGAAUACAAGAGGAACUCUGUUGACAAUUCAUCCAAGAUAGAUGCUAAAAUUAUUUAUGCAUGCCAGUUGCCUUAACUAAUUUUUCUUGACACUGGUAUUGAAGAGGAAAAUGGAUAUGCAAUUUGUAUAUUGUGCCAUGUGGAGAAUUUGGAUAUUCCUAUCUAAGUAACAAGGAGAGUAUUUGCCUCAUCUUUAGACAAUGAAUCUUUGAGAAAUUAGGAGUGGGUGAUUGGCAGUGUCUUCAUGUAAAUGUUCAUUUGUUUGUAUUUUGAACUAUUAUGAGAAUCUUUUAUAUGCCAAAUUAGUAAUGCAAAUGUUCAGAUUAUUUUUUCUGUUGAUCGUGCAUUUGUGUCUGCAAACAACCAUUGUAUAUCACUUCAUUCUGAUGUGCAAGUCUCUGUAGUUUAGAAGAAAAGAAAUAAUAAUGAUAUAUUAUUGCUUGAUUCAUGAUUAUUAAAUGAUUAUGGCUUUAAAAAGCCUACAAAUUCCUUCUGUUGAUAUAUGAAUGUACCAAGUUUGCUAUAUCUUAGAUUACCAUUUCCAAGAUUACAAGUUCAAAUUUUUUCUUUAUCCUUUUCCAUCACAGUUGCAUUUUAAGUGUAAGAUUUGUUAUUAAUACCUGGUUUCCCGUCAUUAUGAUUUCAUAAACAGUGUAUGGGUAUGUGCUCUACUUUUGGAGGGCCUCCACGUGAAAGAAAAAUUGCAACAAUUGAAUUCUUCCAGAUUGUAUGGUAUUUAAUUUAUUUUCUCAACCUCUUGUAAGACUAAUAUAUUUUCCUUCAGUAGACACGGCAUGGUGGGAAGGGUUUUUUAUUGAAAGAAUUCUGAUAUUUCUUAGACUUUGUUUUGGAAGGGGGUGCAGGGGUUUCUCAUCCAUAUAUGGUUACUUGAUUAGCUUUUGACUGUAUUGCCUUAAUCAUGCAAAGGAAGAUCCAAAUACAAACGAAGGAGAAUUGUUUAGACACCCAGAAGAUGGAAAUGAACUACAGAAGGAAGUUUUUGCUGCUUUAUUUAGUGCUCCUGAGAAAUCUGAUGAAUUUCCUGAAAUUACGGUGAAGACCAAGUGUGAGGUCCAAAGCAUUAGGAAAGGUGGUGAGUGAACUGCCGGAGGAAUUGGUACAGAAUACAAGGCUAAUGUGGUGGACUUGCAGCAAGAUAACCGAAACAGUCCGUGCUCUUAUAUUAACUAUAUUGACUGGAUUUGCUAGUGUGUAUAUUUUUGUGUGUAUACUCACUUUUGUAUUUAUGCAUAUUAACGUGUGUAGGAUUCUUGAUUUCUGCCACUUACUGGAGAACUAGUGGAAAGCUUUAUACUGAUAUAUGUGCUAUAACUAAUGGAAACUAUGAUAUUAAUAUUUUCUCUCGCUUGGAGAACUGCAUAACAUAUAUACUUUGUGGCUCUGGAAUACUAAAGAUUCUGCAAUAACUAAUGGAAACUAUGAUAUGAAUAUUUUCUCUCACCUGGAGAACUUUGUAACAGUUACACUUUGGGGCUUGGAAUGUCUAAAGAAUUUUGUCUGCUUCAGUUAGAUCAAAUAUCUUUUAGUUGCAUACAUUAUAGAAAAGAUAAAGUUCUCUGAAUCUGAACGACUUAAAAUUUUGCGCAUUUCUUGAAAGGGAAAUAUCUGUAGAUACUAGUUCAUGCAUUGUGGUAGCAUCAGUGUUAAAGAAAAACAGCAGUAAGUUAUUAUAUAGAAUUAGGUUGACUUGCUUUAAAUCCUGGUCUGGUCAACCAUAUGAACCUGUAAGUGGUUCUGUAGAAAUAUAUAUAUAUACGGGGAGAAAGUAGCUAAAUUUUCCUUUCAUUUAUGGGUUUGGUCAUUUUUUCCCCUUAUUUAUGUUUUCUCACACAUUUUUUAAAUGCCCCAGACAUGCAAUUUUGUAUGUGUCAAUUGCCUUUUAAGUUUUAAAAACCAUAAAGUAAGAAUACAGUUUCUUGUCAGGCUAUUGAUGCAUUUGCUCGGGGGGAUCAUGCUCGAGCAGGAAAACUUCUAGAACAGGUAAGGUUUCCAUCUACAGCCAUUUAUUGACAACAUAUAUAUUUUCAUUCAGCAAGCACUGUUAGCAUUCAAGAUGCUGGCAGAUUCACUUGAUUCUUAUUAGUUUGUUUAGUAGCAAAGCAUAUAACCUGUAUUUCAAAGCUAAGUUGUGCUAUUGAUUAUGUUAACUUUAUUGUUCACAUAAAGUGAUAUAGAGGAAAUAAUCAAUGUAGGAAAAUUAGGUGAAGAGAUGAUGUCAAAUCUUGAACCUCUUACAAAACUCUAAGCUCUUUACUUGAAGAAGCUACCAAAUUCGAACAGCAUGUACUGGAAGGCCUUGCCAUUCCCUGAUGCAUGCAGAAUUUUUGUAUUUAAAUGCCCAGAGCUUAAGAAGCUGCCACUGGAUCUUGAAAGGGCAGGCCAAGGUAAAAUUCUUAUGAAGGGAAAGAAAGAUUGGUGGAAACAAACUUCAAUGGGAGGAUCAAGUAACUCAGAAUGCAUUGCUUCCAUUUUUAAAAUCAACCAACAAGUGAUUGAAGGGGGCAUCAUCAACAUGGAUGGAGAGAUUCUGGAGCAGAUCAGCGGGGUUUAGUACGACCUGUGGUGGUUGCUUUUUUGUGACUUUUUUCCCUUUCAUUUUUUCACUCCCUGUCAUAUUAUCAUUUCUUUGUCUCUGUUUCUAUUGCUGGUGUUGCUGCAUGCUUGCUGUCCUUGACAAAGUUAGCUAGUUUUUUUGUUUAUUAAAUUUUGUAUGUUCGGGACAGUCACAAAGUACUACUUGUUCUAUAAGGGGGUGAUGUGAAUCCACUUUUCAAUUAUAUAUUCUGUGGUAAUUGUGAAUUCAAUUCAUUUGUCUCCAGCAAAUUAUGAAGAAAGUGCAGAGUUACAAUAUGGAAAAGUUCACUGGCAAAUACUUUGUAAAAGCUUCGGAGUGAAACAGGGAAUGCACUGGCAACUAAGGACAAAUUGGUGGCCAGCUAAUGCAUUCAUUUUAUGUACAUUCCUCUUUUUAAUUAUUGAAGAUAAGUGGUUCGUUGCUUUUGUUGUAGAUAAAAUUCAGACGACCUCAAUUGUGAGAUGACAAUAUUUAAAAUAUCUCUUAAAUUAUUAUAAACUUUAAUUUAUCUUAAUUUUAUUUAAAAGAUAAAAGAAAAAUGUGGUAUAUGGAUAAAUUUUUUUUUAUCUUCUUAAUAAAAUGAAAUAAAUUAAAAUUUAUAAUAAUUUAUAAUAUUUUAAAAAUUAUUAUUUCAUAAGAGAUUAAUAUGAAAUUAAUCCUUUUUACUUUUUGAAUGUGAAAGGACAGGAAAAGAGAAAGCAAGUGUCACUGCUUUUUAUUUUAUUUGAAAUCGGAGUUAUCCCAUAUACUUUACUACUUUAGCUCUAACAUUACAAUGUUUUUAGGCUACACUUUUAUUUUUCUUUUUCCCCCUUUUUUUAUACAUGCAUGUGGAUUACUUUCCUCUAAGCGCCUUAAUAUUUAAGACAAAUCAUAAAAGCGAUUGAAGUAUAACCAGAUGAUCAAAACAUUUAACCCAAAAAAAAAAAGAAAUAAAACAUUGAAAAUGGAGAUGUUGAUUAAUUUAGAAGAGAUGCAAGUAAAAGAUAUUCCCAAAAAAAAGAAAAAAAGAAAAAAGCAACGUUAGUUCAUCCAUGUCUGUCAAUGCGUUUUUUAUGGUUUUUUUUCCAGUUGUUUGUUGUAAUAGAUUGAUUGUAAAUUGAUAUGAACUUGAUGUUGUAAUAUGUUCCCUUUUGUGGAAUUAAAUUUGAAUAUUCAAGAUUAUUCAAGUCUUAUUUAGUAUGUGUUUAGUUGUGUUGUCGAUAACUUUGCAUUCGAAUAAGUUUUCACCUAAAAUAUUAGCAUGAGUAGUAGUCCUUGAAACUUUGGUCAAAAUUAUUGUUAUUGUUUCUUUUAGAGGAAAUUUUUUUAUUAAAGCCUCGUUAACACUAUUUCUUAUUAAGAUUAUAAGUUAGUGUCGGUGUAGGAUUUGCAACGACAAAUCCUGUCUAGCCACGUGUCAAAAGUACAAAUAAAUCAAGGGAAAGCACAUGUCGCGGAUUAGGAUCCAAUAAAAUUUAAAUCCCAAGGAAAAGGACAACUGUAUCCUAAAGUUUCAAUAAGAGAUACUGAUAUAUCUUUUGACUAAUGUUAUUUUUUGGCUUCAUUAAUAAAAAGAUCCAAUAGUUUAUAACAAAUAAAAAUAUAGCAUUAAGCUAAAUGUGAUAAUAUAUACAUUUUACAUAAUUUCAAUAAAAAAACAUUUUAAUGUUUUACGAUCUAUCAGACAUAUUUUAUUAAAUUAAUAGGAAUUUUCUGAUAAAUAGCAACAUAAUAUUAAAAUAAAUUUAUAAAGAUUUAAAUGUAAAAUAAUUUUAGUAUAAUUAAUACAUGGGAUAUAUUUUGUAAAUUAUAAAAUUACUUAACCCAAUGAUUUUUAAAAAUCUUUAAAAUAAAUAAAAAUAAAUUAUUCACAUUUUGAUGUAAAUAUUUAAAACAUUUUUAUACAUUAGUCCACAAUUAUUUAUGUUAUAUUUGUAUUUAUUAGAAAUUUUGAAAGUGAAAUGUUUUUCACCUCUAUCUUAUUAGAAUUAUUGCACACAGAGAAAGAGCCAUAUAUGCUUUAUAGCUUUAAAAUCGGUUUGUUUUAUAGCUGGGAACAGAGAUGAUCAUUAUUAUAAGGAUUAAAAAAAGAUAAAGAAUAUUAAUGAUUAACGAAAUCUUUAUGGAAAUUGAAUUUAGUAAGAAAAAAUUGAGCUGAUUUUAGUGGUAUAGUCAUAUUUUAUAUAGAGAAAAGUAAAAGUUGCACCCCGAAAUGUUCAAAACUCUUUUUUAAUAAUAAUAUCCUUUUUUCUAGAUAACUUAAAAAUUUGACUCUAAUAUUUUAUAAUAAAUAAAAACAUAUAAUCCUAAAAUAAAUAAAAUAAUAUAUAUUUUAAAAUAAUCUCAAUAUUUAAAAUAUAUUUUAACAUUUUAUAGUCUAUCAUAUAUAUUUUAUUUUUUUAAAGUAAAUUUUAUAAUAAAUACCAACAUACUAUUAAAAAAGAUAUAUAAAAAAUUUAAAAUAUUUUGAAUAUUAUAUAAAAUAACUUUAAUAUUGUUAAUAUGUGAGAUAUAUUUUAUUAAUUAAAAAUUCUAUUUAACCCAAAGAUUUAUUUAAGAUAAAUUAAUAAUUAUAUUUUUGAAAUUAUUUCAAAUAUUAAAAAAUAUUUUAAUAUUACUAACUAUUAGAUAGACUAAACUAUUUAUAUUAUUUUAUAUUUAUUAUAAAAUUUCAAAGUUAAUCUUUUUAACUACUAUUCAAAAGAUAUUAUGAUAAAAACAGAAUUUUUGUGUUUUUAUUGACAAUUUGGAGUUUACAUCUAUUUUUUUCAAAUAUUCGGGGUGUAAAUGUUUUUUCCCUUUUAUAUAUACGAACGGUGGUGAGAAAGCUUGAUUUAACGUUAUUUAUUUAAAUAAAAUCUCAGUUAAAAAUGUACAGAGAAGAAAUUUCUGUUGGUAUUUUAGUCUUUUACCAAUUAUCACGAUUAGGCCUUGGCCUUGAAACAUUAAUUGUUUCACUUUUAGCGCUAGUGGCGUUGAAAGUUGUCAAGAAAAAAGCAAGACCAUAUUCCACAAAAGCAAAAGUAACGUUGGCUCUUUUAUUAAAGGCAAAGUAUAAAGUAGUCAAGAAUCGAAUAUCCUGUCGUCUACUCUUUUUUAAAUUCUUCUUUUAUUAUCUUUUAGAAUAGUUUUUGGUAAUUACAAUCAUUAUUCAGAGUUAUUGUUAUCUUCCGGGGCAGUCUCUGUUCAUCGAACUCGUUACCCUUUUUUAUAGAUUAGUUCCAGUGGUCAGCAGUAAUUUUCUUAGAACUCGGAUCUUUAAUUCGAGUUUCUGUGUGAAUUAAUAAUAAAAAAUUUCAUUACACGCAAUUUAAGCUACGAAUUACUUUUUGCAAAGUUGAAUAUGAAAUUGGAGAAAUUAAGUAAUUUAGAAUGUUGGUAAAAAUUGACGAACAUAUCUCCAAUUACAGUAAAACCUCUCUACAGUCAUAACAUUAUAAUAAAAUUAAUUUUAUUACUAUGUUGAGGUAAUAUAGGUUUAGUUACAAAAUUAUUGUUUUAAUAUGGUUAGUGUCAAGUGAUAUAAAGGUUAAGUAUGUAGUACAUUGAUAAUUAAAUAAUGAAGCGUGUCAAAUCUAAUGUAUAUAUAUAUAUAUAUAUAUAUAUAUUUUUUUUUUUUUGGUUUUGACCACGAGGUAUCCUGGGGAGGGCCCCAACUGUGGGAGACACCUUUAAGCCCGUACCACAACCCAGACUAGAAGUCCUCACUCGAAUCGAGAGGCACAGGUUCUCCCAACAAAGGCGACUUCCCUACGACUCGAACUGGGGAGCAAACCCAGUCAAGCCACUUAAGGGGACUCCAUUGCCAGUGGAGCCAACACUUUGUUGGUUAUAUAUAUUAAUGAUAUAGAUAGACAUAGUUUUAAAAAACUAAUUAAUGUAUAUUUAUGUAGUGUUAUGAAUAUGGAAAGUCAAGCCUACACUUUACAUUAUCCUUAAUUUUUUCUCUCAGUUAAAUUCUACAAAAAUUUUACAAUGAUUGGGCAAGAACUCUAAAUUAAGAAUAAAUUAUUGUCACAAAUAAUUUUAGAAAAUAUUUUAUUUCGUCUUAAACCUUUAAUGUAAGUAAACAUAUAUAUAUAUAUAUAUAUAUAUAUAUAUAUAUAUAUAUAUAUAUAUAUAUAUAUAUAUAUGUGCAUAUUUUGCAACGUAUAGAUAAUUGUUAGUAUAUGGAGACAAGUCUUUUAAGGUAGGACCUAGGAAAAUUUAUAACUUACUACACUGGGGAGUUUUUAUUCCUUUUUAUAAUUGGCUCAUAUUGAUACAUUCUUACACAAAAUAUUACCACUGACAUAUUUUAUUACAAUUAGUUUAGAACAUUUGUUAGGAAAAAAAAAGAAAAGAAAACAUCCCUUGGAUGUAGCUCUCCUGAUUAUUUAAAUCUUUUAAGGAAAAAAAGAAAAAAGAAAAACUAACACAUUCAAAUCUUGAAGCAAUUACAUUAAAACCUCUCCAUAAUGAUAGGAAUAAUCUCCAUUUAGUAAUAAAAAAUUUUGUUCGCAAUUUAGGCAUAGUUAUAAAUAAGAAUAAAAUCCUCAUUGUAAUAAGUUAUAUUUAUUAUGGAUCCCAUCCUAAGGAACUUGUCUCUAUAUAGUAAUAAUUAUUUGAAUAUUAUAAAUAUAUAUGUUGCAUUAGAUUAAAUGAACUUGUCUCCACAUACUACUUAGACAACGAGAGAAAGUUAUUAAAGAGAACACAAAUAUUUAAAGAUUUUUAAGAUUACUUUGUAUAUUUAUAACAAUAAUACAUUGAUAUAUGUAUUAGUUUUUUGAUAUAUUAGAUUUGACAUGCUCUAUUAAUAAAUUAUUAAUACGAUGCAUACUUCAUCUCUAUAUCCUUGCAAUAAAAGUAACUAAGUUAUAACGAUAAUUUUUGUAACUACAUGCUUAUUAGGUUUUAACUACUUCAUAAUAAUAAAUUAGUUUCGUCCUAAUAUUAUAAUUAUGUAGAGUUGUGGUGUAUAGACACACCCAAUUUAAAUAGUAUAUCAAAUAAAAUUGUCCCCACAAAAAAGAAAAAAGGGGUAAAGGAUUGUUAUUUCUUCAAACAUUAGGAUCACGUUUGUACAAGUGCGAUGCCUUUCUUUUGAAGGCAACGUCAGUGGGUACCCAAUAGGACGUGUGUAAAUCUUUCCAAAAUUUCUCCGGUAUAACGGACAGAGAUCAUUACUUUUCUCUUCCAUAGACCACAGCAGCUUCAGUUAAUCAGACUCAAUCAAUUUUCUUGGUUUCUUCGCUUAUCAAAAUUCCAAAGUAUGGGUAGCAUAUUUCAAAUCACAUGCGAUGGUGCUUUUUUCAAUCGUUGCUUGGAUUGCUUUCUUGGAAAAGUAGCAAACACAAGUAAGCUCCAUGAUAACCUUGUUGCCUUGGAGACUGAAUUGGGAAAACUAAUCGCAGCAAAGAACGAUGUGAUGAUGAGGGUUGUCAAUGCUGAACGGCAACAACUGAGAACGCUGGACCAAGUGCAUGUGUGGCUUUCGAGGGUGGAAGCUGUUGAAACUGAAGCUGAUGAAUUGAAAAGACACGGCUCUCAAGAAAUUGACAAAUUAUGUGUUGGAGGCUACUGUUCCAAGAACUGCGCGUCAAGCUACAAGUUCGGGAAACAAGUGGCUAAAAAGCUACGGGAUGUGCGGACUUUAAUCGACGAAGGAGUUUUUGCGGCGGUGGCUACCGAGGUGGUGCCUGAGAGAGCUCCAGAACCUGUAGCAGAUGAAAGACCCACUGAGCCAACAAUAGUAGGCUUGCAAUCACAACUUGAACAAGUUUGGAGAUGUCUUGUAGAAGAAUCAGUGGGAAUCAUUGGCCUAUAUGGUAUGGGCGGUGUUGGUAAAACUACACUAUUGACCCAUAUCAACAAUAAAUUUCUUGAGAGUCCAACCAGUUUUGAUUGUGUGAUUUGGGCCGUAGUUUCAAAGGACUUGCGACUCGAAAAAAUUCAAGAAGAUAUUGGGAAAAAGAUCGGUUUGGUUGAUGAUUCAUGGAAGAGUAAAAGUGUAGAGGAGAAAGCUCUCGACAUCUUCCGGAGUUUAAGAGAGAAGAGAAUUGUAUUGCUGUUAGAUGAUAUAUGGGAGCGGGUUGAUUUAACAAAAGUGGGCAUUCCACUUUCCGGACCAAAAAAUACUACCUCAAAAGUCGUAUUCACAACCCGUUUCGUCGAUGUUUGUGGUAGCAUGGAAGCUGACAAGAAGUUCCAAGUGGCAUGCUUAUCAGAAGAGCAUGCUUGGGAACUGUUUCGAAAAAAAGUUGGGGAAGAAACUCUUGAGAGUGAUCAUGAUAUCGUUGAGCUAGCCCAAACUGUGGCCAAAGAGUGUGGUGGUUUGCCACUCGCACUUAUUACUAUUGGUCGAGCUAUGGCCUUCAAAAAGACAGCCGAGGAGUGGAGUCAUGCAAUUGAUGUGCUAAGAACAUCAGCUUCUGAGUUUGCAGGUUUGGGAGAAAAGGUGUAUCGUCUUUUAAAGUUUAGCUAUGAUAGUUUGCAGAAUGAGACGAUUAGAUCUUGUUUCUUAUAUUGUUGUUUAUAUCCCGAGGAUUAUGGCAUUCUUAAAUGGGACUUGAUUGAUUGUUGGAUUGGUGAGGGAUUCUUAGAGGAAUCUGACAGGUUCAGUGCAGAAAACCAAGGAUACUACAUUGUGGGCACUCUUGUUCAUGCAUGUUUAUUAGAAGAGUUAGAAGGUGAUAAAGUAAAAAUGCAUGACGUUGUUCGUGAUAUGGCUCGAUGGAUAGCUUGUGAAAUUGAGAAGGAGAAGAGAAAAUUUUUGGUUUGUGCAGGUGCUGGAGUAGGAGCGGUACCAGAUGUUGAAGGAUGGGAAAAUGUGAGAAGAUUGUCAUUGAUGCAAAACCAAAUUGAAAUUCUGUCAGAGGUUCCCACAUGCCCUCAUCUCCUCACUUUAUUUCUUGACUUUAAUUAUAAAUUGGAGACGAUCACCGAUGGCUUCUUCCAAUGUAUGCCUUCUCUCAAAGUUUUGAAGAUGUCAAACUGUGGGCAUGUCAAAGUUUUGAAAUUACCUUUUGGGAUGUCAAAGUUGGGUUCACUACAACUUCUUGAUAUUUCACAUACCGGCAUAAGAGAGUUACCAGAAGAGUUAAAGUUGUUGGUAAAUCUGAAAUGUUUGAAUUUGAGGUGGACACAUAUGUUAAAUAAAAUUCCACGGCAGCUAAUAUCAAAUUCUUCAUGGUUACGUGUGUUGAGAAUGUUCGCUAUUGGCUUCGAAAAUUCUAAAGAACCAUCAGAAGACAGCGUUUUAAUUGGUGGGGGUGAAGUUUUAGUACAUGAAUUGCUCGGUUUGAAAUAUUUAGAGGUAUUGGAGUUGACCUUGCGAAGUUAUGAUGCUCUCCAAUUUUUUUUGAGCUCAAAUAAGUUAAAAAGUUGUAUUCGAUCUCUUUUCCUCAUUAAGCUGGGAGAUACAAAGUCGAUUCAUGCUACGGCAUUCGCAGAUCUAAAGCAUCUCAAUGAACUAUGCAUUCGUUCGGCAGUGGAGUUGGAAGAAUUGAAGGUUGAUUAUACAGAGAUUGCGCCAAAAAGGUCGGAACCUUUUGUUUUCCGCAGCCUUCACCGUGUUACUAUGGAGCGGUGCCAUAAAUUGAAAGAUUUGACAUUCCUCGUUUUUGCUCCAAGCCUCAAGUCUCUUUCGCUAUACGGUUGCAAUGCUAUGGAAGAAAUAAUCAGCGUUGGAAAAUUUGCUGAGACUCCUGAGGUGAUGGGACAUAUAAGCCCUUUUGGAAAUCUCCAAACGCUUUAUUUAACUGAUUUGCCAGAGUUGAAAAGCAUCUACUGGAAGCCGUUGCCUUUCACUCAUCUCAAAGAAAUGACGGUACAUGGGUGUAAUCAGCUUAAAAAGCUUCCACUCGAUUCCAACAGUGCAACAGAGCGUAAAUUUGUUAUUCGUGGAUACACACACUGGUGGAACCGUCUUCAAUGGGAGGAUGAAGCCACUCAAAUUGCUUUUCGUUCCUGUUUCCAAUCUCAUGAAAUAUAAAUUCCUGAGCGGUGGUUGCAAAAUUUGAUUUCUAGUGAGUGCUUUUUUCUGAAACUCUUACAUAUAUUCUCGUCGUUUGCUUCGUGCAACAGACUAGGUUUUUAUUUCAGAUUCGUUUUUUGUCUCCUGCAAAUCACAAUUAAAUGUUGAAUUAUAUGGAGUCAAUGCUUUAGAAAAUUUUCAAGGCACUGCCAUUUCCUUUUUCUUUUUUCUUUUUUUGGGGUCGAAUUGAUGCUCUGGCUUUUUUCUUCUUCUUGUCAAAUUUUGCUCUGUUUUUUCAAGUUGAUGAUUGAAUAGUUGAAUUCAAUUAAUGCUCACAUAAAUUUGUUUAGUUGCCGUAAAAGGAUAUAAUUAGACUGAAGUACACACUUCUAGAAUGAAUACAAAAUGUUAAGUAUACUAGCCCUCUUUACAGAAAAUCAAAUGAAAAUCAAUUUUUUGGGGCUUUGAUUUUCUAUGGUCUAUUAUAUACUCUUUUUAAUAUCUUCUGUUCUAACUAUAACCAAAUCCUUUGUUCAAGGAUUUUUAGUUGGGGUAUUGAUAACUGUCCACCAAAAGAGUGAACACUUGGAUGCUGCUCAAGGAUCUCUAAUCAAUAGGUGGAAGCAACUGAGAAGGCGGUCGCUACUGUUUACAAAGCGAUGCAGUAUUCGCCAUUCAUCUUAAUAAUUGUGAAGCUUUGGUAAAAUUUUCAAACAAAGUUGAACAUGCUGUUUUGAGAUUUGGUUCAUGAUUUUCGAUGAAUAUCGUUGUUCCGUUUGAGUUGGAUGUGAAUUCAAAAUCUAUAUAUUCUUUAGUUUUCAAUUCUGAACUCAAUUUCUUUUUCUCAAGCAUGUUAUGCAGAAAUGAUUUUUAUAAUUACUAAAUCAUUUUUGAUGAAUUGUUUAAAUUAAACAAGUGGAAUAAGAAUUGUAAAGGUUUAUCAUAAGCAUGCUAAUAUGAUAAGUUGUUUUAUGAACGAUUAAUUAAUUAAUCAAUUAAUAUUAAAUUAUAUAUUAGUCAAUUAGAUAUGCGUUACAUGUCAUGUUUAAAAACUAUUUAUUUAUAUUUCAAACAAAUUUGACUGGAUGUUGUGUAGGUAAUACUACAUAAUUUCAAAACAAAAAAAGUAACAAAAACAAGUUAAAUUUUGUUUUUAUGAAGAAAAAAUUUAAAAUUUUAUUAAGUAGGUGAAAAUAAUAAAUGGAUUCGUGUAUGGUUUGAGAUUCUUGACAUAAUUAUGAAAUAAGCCGGAUUCAACUUAGUUCAAUUUUGACGCGAUAAGAAGACGACACCACACAAACACACGAUAAGAACCGUUACCUGAGAAGAUUGCCAUCAGGAAUUUUGAAAUUGAUUUCACUACAAUACCUUAAUCUUUCAGAUACUCCCAUCACUGAGCUGCCGGAAGAGCUAAAAGCCUUGGUAAAUCUUAAGUGUUUGAACUGUACACAAAUUAUCUCUCUACAAUUCAAAAACAACUGAUUUGUUACUUUUUCAAUGCUACAUGUUCUGCGAAUAUUGAGUUGUGGUUAUCUUGUUGAAAAAUCAGAAAAUAGAGUUCUAUUUGGUGGUAGUGAAUUGUUGGUUGGGGAGUUGCUUAGUUUAAAACGUUUAAAUGUAUUAAGCAUCACCUUACAAGGUUUUUCUGCUGUCCAAAAACUUAUGAGCUCUCAAAAGUUUCAAAGCUGUACAAAAUGUUUGGAGCUUAUAGACUGUGAUGAUUCAAAGUCUUUUGCCUUGGCAGAGUUGAAGCAUCUCGAAAAACUAGUUUUUCGAAUUGUGGAAGAGUUUAAGUUCUGCUGUGUUGAAGUUGGAAAAGCUCAAGAAUGUUUUCGUUUGAACAGCUUUCACCGAGUUAAUAUAAAGGCUUGUCAUAAAUUGAGGGAUGUGACAUGGCUUGUAUUUGCUCCAAAUCUUAUGGUUAUUCAAAUAGAAAAAUGUAUGCAGAUGGAAGCAAUAAUCAGUGCAAGGAAAUUGGGUGAAAUUCCAGAGAUGAUGGCAGAUCUAAACCCUUUUGCAAAACUCCAAUAUCUUCGCUUCCGAGUUCUUCCAAAAUUAAAAAUCGUCUAUUGGAAUGAGUCACCCUUUCCACAUGUCAGGGAAAUUAUUGUAUCUGAAUGCCCAAUUCUCAAGAAGCUUUCACUCAAUUUUAACAAUGCAAAGGAAUCUAAAAUUGUCAUUAAGGGAGAGGAACACUGGUGGAACGAGCUGCAAAGGGAGGAUGAAGCGACCGUUAAUGCUUUUCUUCCUUAUUUUGGUUCCAUUUGACAGGCAUCAACAUGGAUUUAUAUUUUGCGGUGGACAACUUGUAGUAAGUGCUUUUCCAUUUAUUACAUGUUUAUAUCUAACUUUUGUUUUCCUUUAUGGUUAAAUUUUACUAUAUAUAUGUUGUUAUACGGUGACAUUCUCGCAUCAAUUAUUAGCUUUUUAAUUCUCUUCUCGCAUUAAUUGUCCUUCUGAUCAUGUAGGAUUUGCCGAUGUCAAAGAGUAGUAAAUUGGGAUACAAAUGUAAGAAAUUAGCCAGAUGACAUGUUGUUUUGAAGCUUUCGAAGAAGGACUAAUUAUGUCAUUCAAAGCAUCCAAUUUCGCUACUUUUUUUUUUCAUUUGUUGCUUUUUCUAUUUUUAGAUAGCUUGAUUGUCAGUUGUCGUAAUGUAAUGUUUUAGUGUAGAAAAAUGAUAUUCGGCCAAGACAUCGAUAGUAGGGCACAUUGUGCAUGCACACUAGUGGAUGAUUUCGGCAUGCCGAAUCCAAUUAGUGUGGACAACCCUUUAUAAGCAUCAGGCUUCUCUCAUACCAGAGCAAUGUAGAAUAUGUUUAUAAACUGUGGAUUACCCUUUAUAAGUAUUAGGCUUCUUCUAUACUCGCGCGAUGAAACAAAAUGCAUUCUUCAAAUCAAUAGUGGGUGGAAGAAGUGAGUAGAGAAGAACUAGGCCCCUUUCAUUCCCCUAAAACCUCACCGAAACCUCUCUUGUGAACUUCUCAGAUUCUCUCUCAAUAUUUCUUAUGAUCUCAUUUUUGAUAGAAUCAAUUCUUUUGCAUGCUGCAUUUUGUGUGUCUUUUUUGGGUAAUAUCUUAUCUGGAAUGCUGUUAUGAUCAAUAGAAAAAGUAAUCAAGUUUUGGUUUGACGGAAGUCGAUUUAUUUAUUUACUAUUAUUUUUAUUUGAAAUUUUGUACAAUUGUGUUUCAUUCAUUUCUUUCAUUUUUUUAAAUAUUUAUUAUGUAUUGUUGAUGCUGAAAUCUGCUCGCCCUUUGCCCAAUCAGAUCUUUCCACCAAUGUUUACGUGGCUAGAAGAGAAGGUGUCACUUUCUUCUUGUUUCGACUGUUUGCUCAAGCCGCUGGGGUUGGAAUCACCCUUCCUUCUUUUACUAAACAUGCGUUCACAAAAAUGGAUCAGAGACGCCGGUGGUUUUAUCGGCGUAAACUCUCCGAUGCCUAAGUCAGCACAAGGUGUUUAUGGGAAAACAGUGCAGUUUAGAUUUUGAGAUUGCUUAUAAUUUGCUCAAAGUUUGUAUAGAAGACGGCUUGGUUUCAAUUUGGCAGAGUUUUCCCCCCUCUCAGUUUUUCUGUCCCUUCUCCAUUGGUUUUUCCUUAUUUUUAUAGCCGUUGUCCCACGUUUCCGUUCACCCUUCAUGCCCCCCCUUUUCUCGGGUAGUGGCAACCCCUCAUGGGACUCCAACUGCUAUAUUGUGGGUAAACGUGGGACACUGUGUCUCCCUCUACGAUUUUGGGCACAGCGCAACUGGCGUGAUUUCGUGAGAUCGUGUUCCCGCUCUUUGGGGAAUGGGUAUCUGCUCGGUAUAUGUCUCUGGUCGGUGCAUUCCUCUGGCUGGUACUCGUCUCUGGUUGGCCCAUGUUUGUAGAAGGCUCAUUAUCAGUGUUCUGCUCGUACCAUUUGGCUGAGGUGAUCCCUGCCGAGGUGGGGAUGAUGGCAUGGCUGAGCUGAUGCUCUUAUUUACUUAACAUGUAUAAUUGUGUUUCAGUUGAUAUUGAUCAUACUCUAGAUAACUAUGUGAUUGUAGCUGGGGAUUUUAAGUUUUGUGAAUUCAAGAAACUGUCAAAAUGCUAGUGAAAUUGGGACCUUUAUUCAUAAGCUUGUAGUUUUGAAAAGUAGCCCAGUUCAACUGAUGAAGUUCCUUUUUGGGAUUCUUUUUUUCCUAGGCUGCAAUUCGGAUAUGUACCUGAUAGACAAUCUUUUGUGGGUUUAGCAUAUCUUCUCUGAUUUUGUCUUUUAUUCCUCAAUUUUAUAAUUACACACCAUGAAUGUUGAGUGAUUGUAUAGAAAAUUUGAGUUAUAACCAAAGCAUUGUGAAGGAGUUAAGUUAGUGGCUUCUGUUUUAUUGGCAUUGAUUGGGUAGAUUACGUGUUACAGUGAUUCAAUUUGUGAUCCAAACAUUUUUUUAAUUUCUGUUUUCCCAAAUUAUUUAUGUCAAAUUCAAAACCAGAAGCAUGUGCUGAUUUUUUCUUUUUGUAUUAAUCUGUGAAGUUUAUUUGGAAAGGAAGUAUCUGGGUCUAAUGGAUUAAAUUAUGUAAGUGGCAGAAAUUCCUACACACAUAAAUAUGCAUAAAUACAAGAGUAUACACAAAAAAAUGCACACACUCAUACAUCCAGUCAAUAUAGUUAAUGUAUGAUACCAAUUGUUGGGGAAAAAUUAGGUUUUUAAUUUUUUAUAAAACCUUUUGAAGAUCGCUCUCAUAUAAUAUAUAAGAAUUUGUAUUCUAGAAAUCGUACCUUGAAAAUCCGAGUUGGCUUUUUCCGCUGAAGUGUUUUAGGCUCCUAGAUCACGAUCCGCCACCACCGCUCCUGUUAGAUCACGAUCCGUCACCACCACGCUUGUUAGAUCACGAACAGUCUCCAAUGAUCUUCCAGGUUAUGACUCAGGUUCGAUCUGCACUUGACGUGUAGGCGCCUUUAUCACUACCAAAGCAACUAGCACGAGAAAAUUUUUCUCUCAACAAUAGAGAGAAAAAUCUUUUUCUCUGAUCUGUAUAAAGUGGCUUCUCACUUUUUCUUUAGGGAAAAAUAAGCCUUUUAUAUCACCCUUUAGUGAAAACCCUAGGCUCCAAAUAAAUGAAAAAUAAAACCCACGUUUAUUUGCUUUUUCAAUAGGGGACCCACCUUGUAAAAUAACAUAAGGCCCCUUAUACAAAAGCUAAUUAAAUGGAGCCUCCCACUAAAUGAUAUAUUUAGGCUUUUGACCCAAAUAGCUGGUUAUCUUACUUAUUAGUCCAGUAGUGGUGCAGUCAAUUAAAUGAGCUAACCCGGGGAUCAUUUGGGAACAUACAAUAGUGGCUACAAUAAUUAGGCCUGUAAUUAAACUAGCCCAAUUAUUUAAUUCCAAAUCUACUCCAUUAAAAGAUUGGAACUGACUUCCAUAAUUGUAUGCUCGAAUAAUAAUUCGUCCCAAGCCACAUUGAUUUCUUUACUGCACAAUCCUUUGUACCACAUCGUUAAUUAAAUUGAUAUCUCAACUGUCCAAUCAAUUUAAUAACAUCUUAUUCCUUGAUCCUUACUGGUUUUCUCUAAUGAUCAUUUUCAACAUACUAAAUAUGUUGACACACUCUGGCCAGAGAAUUCUAUGAUCAAGUGCCGAAAACCCAUGAAGAGAUGUGUUGUACAAAUUCUAUAUUGUUAAUCUAUAACUCCAAUACUCAUAAUUGCUCCCACCAAGAUACCGGGUAAUCUUGACCACAAGGAUGUGUCGUGCCCAUUGGUAACUCAAAUGGAAUAACAAUUACAAUCAUGAAAUCAUAAUUAACUCAAGAUUAAGAUUACAGUAAAAUCAACGCCUAUGAGAUUUAAUAAGUCUGACAGUUAUUACAAAGUUAAUUAAAUCUCAUAUGUGAUCCUGUUCAAUGUAGUCGUACUACAUCAAUAAAUUCAUACAUGAUUAAGACAAAUCAUUCAAUGAAUUUAUUACAGUCUAUACCUAAAUAAAGUGCCCAACUUUAUUUAUCAACUGCGAACUAAAUUUAUUUAAUCAUAAGAUAACAUGUAUUUAUGUCUUCUGUGAAUCCACAUGGUAAUCACAUAAAUACAUAUAAUAUGAUUAAAUGGACUUUAAUACAAGUAUUAAUGCAAUUAAGAUAUUUGAAUAAAAUACCUCAUUUAUUUUAUUAAUCAGAAAAAUAGUUUAUUACAAUUAAAUAAACAUAUAUGCUUUUAAAGAGCAUAUUUUCCCAACACAUACCGGUUUGGUUAUCUUGCUGCAAGUGCACCACAUUAGCCUUGCAUUCUGGUGCCAACUCCUCCGGCGGUUCACCCACUACCUUUCCCAAUGCUUUGGACCUCCAUUCGGUCUCCAUCAGAUUUCUCAGGAGCACUAAAUAAAGCAGCUAAAACUUGCUUCUGUAGUUCAUUUCUGUCUUUCGGGUGUCUAGGCAAUUUUCCUUCGUUGGUAUUUCGAUCUUCCUUUACAUGACUGAGGAAAUACAGUCAAAAGCUAAUCAAGUAACCAUACAUGGAUGAGAAAUCCCUCCACCCCCUUCCAAAACAAAGUCUAAGAAAUAUCAGAAUUCUUUCAGUAAAAACCCUUCCCCCCAUGCUGUGCCCACUGAAUGAAAUAUAUUAAUCUUAUGAGAAGUUGAGAAAAUAAAUUAAAGACCAUACCCUCCGGAAGAAUUCAAUUGUUGCAAUUUUCUUUCACGUGGAGGUCCUCCAAAGUUAGAGCACAUAUCCGUACACUGUUUAUGAAAUCAUAAUAACAGGGGACCAUUUAUUAAUAACAAAUCUUGACACCUAAAAGUCAACUGUGAUGAAAAAGAUUAAAAAGAAUAUGAACUUGUUAUCUUGGAAGUGAAAAAUAUUUGAGAUGCUUGAAUAUGGUGAAAAUAGUAAUUGUUUUUGUUACUUCUACAAUUCUUGAAUUUUACAAAUAUAUAAAGACAUUCAAGAUGCUGUACAAGGAAAGACAAUAUUUACAAUAAUUAUAAUAAUCAACUAGCCGUUGUGAUGAAUCCACCAUGACAUGUGCUACUAUAUUCUCCAUCAAUUAUGGCUUAGACGAGAUGUUGGAAAUCCUCUUGCCAUGGCGGUACAAGCUACCAUAUUUGUUGCUUGUGACUUGUCCUUAUCAGCCCCCUUUAAGCUAGGCAGUGACAUGCGAUGAACACCUAGCUUGGUUCGUAGCGUGAGAAAUUGAUGCUUCCCCAAAGGUUUUGUAAGAGUGUCUGCAAUCUGAAGAUGAGAAGGCACAUAUCGUGUAAAUAAUGACCCUUUAGCAACCUUUUCACGAACAAAAUGCACGUCAAGCUCAAUAUGUUUCAUUCUAGCAUGAAACACUGGGUUCUUAGUCAUAUGAAUUGCACUCAAAUUGUCACAGAGAAGCGUGGGUGCUUUCGGAAUACAGAACCCAAUGUCAUUAAGUAGAUAUGUGAGCCAUGUUAACUCGGCAGCGGCAGAGGCCGUGGACCUAUAUUCGGCUUUGGCACUUGAGCGAGAGACUGUGUGUUGUUUCUUGGAGCUCCAAGAGAUACAAUUGCUUCCAAGAUAAAUGCAAAAUCCUGUUGUACUUCGUCUUGUUAUUGGACAUCCAGCCCAAUCGGAAUCAGAAAAGGCAUAGAGCUUGAGAGAGCUUUGAGACAAAAAUCUAAGGCCAAAGUCAAGGGUACCGUUAAGGUAACGAAGGAUCAUUUUCACGUCCUUGAGGUUGGCUUUUGUUGGCGCUUGGAAGUGUUGAGAGACUCAAUUGACAACAAAUGUGAUAUCGGGCCUUGUGUAGGUGAGAUAUUGAAGGCGUCCAACAAGGCCUCUAUAUUCGGUUGCAUCCAUAGGUUCAUUAUCAUCCGAACAUGGUAUUGAUCGUAUAGCCAUCGGCGUGUUGAUAGGAGAACAAUCCUGCAUUCUUGCCUUGGAAAGAAGGUCUUUAGUGUACUUCGCUUGAGAUAGGAAGAUGCUAUGCGUGAAUUGUUGAACUUCAAUGCCUAGGAAGUAAUGUAGGUUGCCAAGAUCUUUUAAAGCAAACUUUGAGCUCAGAUUGUUGAUGAUUGAUUGAAUUUCCUUCUCAUUAUUUCCUGUAAUGAUCACAUCGUCAACAUAAAUUAAUAUAAGUAUAAGAAUGGAUUUGUUAUUAAAUAUAAAUAAAGAACUAUCAGCUUUGCUACUAGAAAAUCCAAGAGAAAUUAAGGCUUGAGAAAAACACUCGAACCACGCUCUAGGUGCCUGUUUCAGGCCAUAGAGCGAUUUUUGAAGCUUGCAAACAUAUGUUGGAUGACGUGAAUUGCGAAACCCGGGAGGCUGCUCCAUGUAGACAAUCUCCUUUAGUAGUCCAUGAAGAAAAGCAUUGCGAACAUCCAGUUGCUUGAUAAGCCAUUUUGAGCUCACAACAAUUGCAAGGAUAAGGCGAAUAGUUGUGGCCUUUAUAACGGGACUGAAGGUUUCAUCGAAGUCGACUCCUGGAACCUAUGUGAAUCCCUUGGCAACUAAUCGAGCUUUAUAGCGAUCAAUGGUUCCAUCUUCUCUGUAUUUGAUACGAUAUACCCACUUCGAUUUGAUGACAUUAACAUUGUUAGGCCGCGGCACAAGGACCCAUGUAUGAUUUUGAUGCAAUGCUUGAAGCUCUUCUUUCAUAGCUUGAGUCCAAAGUGGAUUCUUUAAGGCAAUUUUGAGUGUUUUGGGUUCAAUUUCUCUACUGUCGCUGGCUUGAAGGGCUAAUUUAGGAUUUUGUUUGAGUUUAUUGCGUGUCAUCAUGGGAUGAGUAUUUAUGCUUUGCAGUUCUGCAGCUGUGUUUGGUAUCUUAAGUUCCACAAAUAAGCGAUUGGAUAUGUCAGGAUAAUCUGGUUGUGAAUUUGUGGCAGGGCUGUUGUCCGUAUUUCUGGACAAAUUAAGUGGUUCAGUUGCAUGUGAACUACUAGAAUUUGAAUCAUUUGUAGUCAAAUGUUGCAUUGCAUGUGGAGACUCCAAAAUAUUUGGAAUUGCUUCUGACUUGUCGUGUGGAGUUGCUGAAUUCAAAUUGUCCUCUAAAUUGUCUUGUGGGAAAUCUAAAAUAAUUGGAGAAGUGGCAUUUUAGUUGUUGUCCAAGUUCACGUCCUUGUGGGGCAUGAAUUGCACAUGUGGUGUUGAUAUUGUAGCGCCUUUACAAUUGUUUACUUUGACAGCACGUGAAUCAUUAAGAUUCUCACAAUUGGGAGAAUUCUUUGGGAGCCACUCAUCUUGUUGAGGGAAGGUGGUCAAUGUACUAUGUUCCUGCACAUUAAAAAAUGAUGUUAAAAUUUUUGAAUGGUAAAUAAUUUUCAUCAAAUACAACAUGCCCAUAUAUAUAUACACGAUUAGUCUCAGGUUGUAGACAACGACAUCCUUUAUGGAGGGGACUAUAGCCUAUGAAAACACAUGGAUAUGAUUUUUUUAUCAAAUUUUGUUUUACUGUAAUCCUGAAGAUAAGGAAAACAUCUACAACCUAGGACUUUUAACCCUCUAUAAUCCGGUAAUUUUUUGAAAAGAAUUUCAUAAGGGCUUUUAUUUUUUAAAGGUGAAAGAGGCAGCCUGUUAAUGAUAUAAGUGGCUGCAAGAAAAGAAUCCACCCAUAAUUUGAGUGGCAAAGAAGCAUGAAACAUCAUCGUCAAGGCUGUCUCAUUGAUGUGCCUAUGCUUUCUCUCAGCAACACCAUUUUGCUCCGGAGUGUAUGGACAAGAAAUUUGUCUUGUGAUGCCGCAAUUUUCAAGAUGUUUGAUGAAGGCCGUAUCCAUCACUUUGAAAUAUUGUGAUCUUUUUGUCCAAUUGUUUUUCAACUUGUUUCUGAAAUUUCAAGAAGCACUCCAAGAAAUCAGAUUUUUGUUUUAAGGGAUAUAACCAACUAAAACGUGAGUAAUCAUCUACAAAUAAUACAUAGUAACGAAAAUGUUGAGUAAAAGUAAUGGGAGCUGGACCCCAUAUAUCACAAUGCACUUUUUGUAAAGGAAAAUCUGCUUUAUUAUUAGAUAAAUUAAAAGAUUUCCUACAACUCUUGCCUAAUUGGCAAGAAACACAAAUAUGGGGUGCUUUAGACCAACUAGAAAAGUCAAUAAAAUUAUUGCGUUUUAAGGCCUCCAAGAUUUUAGGAUUGGCAUGGCCAAGCCUCUUGUGCCAUAAACUAAAACCGCUAGAUUCUCCUUGAAUUGUGUUGAAGGCAGCAUGAAAGUCUCAUUCCAAUGUGUAUAGCUUCCCUUGCUUACUCCCCUUUGCUAGAACCUUGUUUUCCUUUCUCUUCACAAUAAAACCAUCAGUGUUAAAUUUAAAAACACAUUUAAUAUCAUCAAUGAGUUGUCCAACUGAUAAGAGAUUCUUUUUGAGUUUUGGAACAACUAAAAUAUUAUUUAAGUGCAAAGAACCGUGAUUUGUAUUUAAAGAAGCAGAACCAAUAUGUGAAAUAUUUAAAUCUUGACCAUUGCCAACAAUUAUUUUGUCAUUACCUCUAUACGGCCUUACAUGAUCAAGAUUAUCUGUGUUAUUUAUCAUGUGUGAUGUUGCUCCAGAAUCCACAUAGAACUGUUGAUCAUUAUUUUCUUGAAGAUUCAUCGCAGCUAGGGCAUGUGGAUCCUCUUCAUUGUCAUAGUCGUAUCUGUACCAACAUUCAGCAGCACUAUGUUUGCGUUUGUGACAGAUUUGGCAAAUAACUUCUUCAUCUGAGGUAUUAUUUUCUUUAUUUGGUUUUUGAGGCUGCUGUUGUGGUUUACGGUUGUUGCCAUUGUUGUAGUUGUUGGGGUAAUUUCUACCACCUGAGUUGCGUUGAGAUCCUCUGCCUCGGUAUGGAGGUCUUCCACCUCUUUGAUUUCUGCCUCUUCCACCUAUAUUAUGGAAAAGAUAGAGUUCUCUGAAUCUGAAAGACUGAAACAUUUUGCAUAUUUCGUGAAAGGGAAAUAUUUGUAGAUACUAGUUCAUGCAUUGAGGUAACAUCAAUGUUAAAGAAAAACGGCAAUAACUUAUUAUAUAGAAUUAGGUUCACUUGCUUUAAAUGCUGGUCUGGUCAACCAUAUGAACCUGUAAGUGUAUCUGCAGAAGUAUGGUCAGCCAUAUGAACCUUUUUGGGGGGCAAAUUAGAAAAAUUUUCCUAAAAAAGUGAAAAAAAUCAUUUUUUUUUUUUUAAAAAAAAAAAACUUUAAAAAUUUUUUCAAAAGCUUUUUUUUUUUUUUAAAACCAAUGGUUUGAGGCUGCUGUUGUGGUUACGGUUGUGCCAUUGUUGUAGUUGUUGGGGUAAUUUCUACCACCUGAGUUGCGUUGAGAUCCUCUGCCUCGGUAUGGAGGUCUUCCACCUCUUUGAUUUCUGCCUCUUCCACCUAUAUUAUGGAAAAGAUAGAGUUCUCUGAAUCUGAAAGACUGAAACAUUUUGCAUAUUUCGUGAAAGGGAAAUAUUUGUAGAUACUAGUUCAUGCAUUGAGGUAACAUCAAUGUUAAAGAAAAACGGCAAUAACUUAUUAUAUAGAAUUAGGUUCACUUGCUUUAAAUGCUGGUCUGGUCAACCAUAUGAACCUGUAAGUGUAUCUGCAGAAGUAUGGUCAGCCAUAUGAACCAUAUGGGGGGACAAAUUAGCUAAAUUUUCCUCUUAUUUAUGGGUUUGGUCAUUUUUUCCCCUUCAGCUUUCCUUCUCCUGAAGUAUGUUAACAAUUGCAGAUAAUGACGAAGAGGACCGCUUCCAGGCUCUUCGUAGAGCUGCGAUGUAAUAUAGGGGCACAAUGAAGGAACAUUGUAAAGCUGUAGGUUCUUUUUCUCCUGUCAUUUAUGUUUUCUCACACAUUUUUUAUAUGCUCCAAGCAUCCAAUUUUGUAUGUGUCUUUGCCUUUUAAGUUUUAAAAACCAUAAAGUAAGAAUACAGUUCCUUGUCAGGUUAUUGAUGCAUUCACUCAGGGGGAUCAUGCUCGAGCAGGAAAACUUCUAGAACAGGUAAGGUUUCCAUCUACAGCCAUUUAUUGACAACAUAUAUAUUUUCAUUCAGCAAGCACUGUUAGCAUUCAAGAUGCUGGCAGAUUCACUUGAUUCUUAUUAGUUUGUUUAGUAGCAAAGCAUAUAACCUGUAUUUUAAAGCUAAGUUGUGCUAUUGAUUAUGUUAACUUUAUUGUUCACAUAAAGUGAUAUUGAGGAAAUAAUCAAUGUAGGAAAAUUAGGUGAAGAGAUGAUGUCAAAUCUUGAACCUCUUACAAAACUCCAAGUUCUUUACUUGAAGAAGCUACCAAAUUCGAACAGCAUCUACUGGAAGGCCUUGCCAUUCCCUGAUGUAUGCAGAAUUUUUGUAUUUAAAUGCCCAGAGCUUAAGAAGCUGCCACUAGAUCUUGAAAGGGCAGGCCAAGGUAAAAUUCUUAUCAAGGAAAAGAAAGAUGGGUGGAAACAACUUCAAUGGGAGGAUCAAGUAACUCAUAUUGCAUUGCUUCCAUCUUUAAAAUCAACCAACAAGUGAUUGAAGGGGGCAUCAUCAACAUCAUCAACAUGGAUAGAGAGAUUCUGGAGCAGAUCAGCCGGGUUUAGUACGACCUGUGGUGGUUUCUUUUUUGUGACUUUUUUCCCUUUCAUUUUUUCACUUCCUGUCAUAUUAUCAUUUCUUUGUCUCUGUUUCUAUUGCUGGUGUUGCUGCAUGCUUGCUGCCCUUGACAAAGUUAGCUAGUUUUUUUGUUUAUUAAAUUUUGUAUGUUCGGGACAGUCACAAAGUACUACUUGUUCUAUAUGGGGGUGAUGUGAAUCAACUUUUCAAUUAUAUAUUCUGUGGUAAUUGUGAAUUCAAUUUCAUUUGUCUCCUGCAAAUUAUGAAGAAAGUGCAGAGUUACAAUAUGGAAAAGUUCACUGGCAAAUACUUUGUAAAAGCUUCGGAGUGAAACAGGGAAUGCACUAGCAACUAAGGACAAAUUGGUGGCCAGCUAAUGCAUUCAUUUUAUGUACAUUGCUAAUUUGUAUGUUAAUUAUUAGAUAAUCAAUUAUUUGGAUAAUCCCUUGUGUUUUAUCUCUAAUUAGAACAUCAAUCUUCACAAUAUCUACAAUGCUACAAUGGCUAUAAAACAAAACCUGUUUGCAAAUUGUCAAGGAUACUUAUCCUUUCGCUUGACAAGUCAUUUGGAAAAAUAUUGUCCCUUGGCGGCUCCAUGUCUUCUCUGCCCCUCCUUUUGGUCUUAAUGUACGGUUGCAUAAUGAUAGUUUAGGCCCUUCAGGGACUACUUUCCCUGGUGUUGUUAAGUCUUAGCUUGUGCUAGGCUCGUUUUUCUUACCAAAAGAAAAGGAAUACUUCUCCUAUAAGAAAUAAUCUCUAUAUAUAGGGUAGUUGGAUUCACUUGUUUACAUAACAAAUCAAUUAGUUCUCUGUAAGUAGAGAGUUUCAAGUAUGAGAGAAACGGUAGGUCUAUCGAGAGAUUAUGUGUUAUUAGGAUUUUGGUUGUGAAGAAAAGUACUAGAGUGAUUGUGUUAAUUUUCUACAUAGUGGAUUUUUCUAUCGUCAUCUUUGUGGCUGUGAUUUUUCUUUUAUAUAGAAGUUUCCCACGUAAAUUGUUAUGUUAUGUGAUUAGUUUUAUUCUCCAUCUAUUUUUUGUUUAUUAUUUGUUUGAUAUUUUAUUUGUAAGAUGUUGGAUGGGAUUAAAAUUCCUUAACAAAUAACGGAUUAAAAAUAUUGAAGAAAAAGCUCAAGAGAUCUUCAAGAUUUGAAGUGUGAAAAAGUUCAUAUUACUGCUAGAUGAUAUAUAGGAGCGGGUUGAUUUAGUAAAAAUGGGUGUCCCUCUUCCUAGAUCAGAAAACAACACAUCCAAAGUGAUAUUUACAAACCCGUUCUGAGGAAGUUUGCGGCUUAAUGGAAGCUCGUAGGAGUUUUAAAGUGGCGUGCUUAUCAAAUAAAAAUGCUUAGGAUUAUUUCGAUACAAAGUUGGGGAAGAAACUUUGAACAAUCAUCUUGAUAUCCUUGAGCAAGCACAAUAGUUGUUAAGGAGUGUGGUGGUUUGCCACUUGCACUUUUUACCAUCGGCCGAUCUAUGGCGUGCAAGAAGACACAGCCGAAGAAUGGAGAUAUGCUAUUCAAGUGUUCACUUCGUCCGCUUCCUGUUUCCAGGUCUGGAAGAAGGGAUAUAUACUCUUGUAAAAUUCAGUUAUGAUAGUUUACCCAAUGACACAAUUACACCUUGUCUGUUAUAUUGUAGUUUAUAUCCAGAAGAUUGUUGCAUUUCUAAAGAGAAUUUGGUAGAUUGUUAGAUCAAUGAAGGAUUUUUUAAUGAAAGUGAUUGGUUUGGAGAAAAAAUCAAGGAUACUUCAUUUUGGGCAUUCUUCUUCAUGUUUUUUUUUGGAAAAGGGAGGAGAUUGUGAAGUGAAAAAUGCAUGCAUGACGUUAUUCGUGAUAUGGCUUUGUGGAUCGCAUGCGACUAUGAGAAGGAGAAGGAGAACUUUUUGGUUUACGCUGGUGUUGGUUUAGCUAAGGUACCGGAUAUUAGAGAUUGGGAAAAGGUAAGGAGAUUGUCAUUGAUGAAAAAUAAAAUUGAGAAUCUAUCUGAGGCUCAUACAUGCCCUCAUCUCCUCACUUUCUUUCUUGACGAUAAUGAGUUUCGGAAGAUCCCCGGUGAUUUCUUCCAGUUUAUGCCUUCUCUCACUGUUUUAAACUUGUCAUGUAUUAAACUAAAGUCAGUUCCUUUAGGGACUUCAAGGUUGGUUCCACUACAACAACUCGAUCAUUCAUAUUCAAGCAUAAAAGAGUUGCAAGAAGAGUUAAAUGCCCUGAUUAAAGUUAAAUGCUUGAAUAUAGAUCAUGUAGAGGAGCUAAUUACAGUUCCACAACAACGGAUAUUUAAUUUUUAAGGUUAUAUGUGUUGAGAAUGUUCGAUACUAUUAGUUUAAAUUUUCAAGAAGCAUUAAAUAAAGACAGCAUUUUAUUUGGUGGGGAGGAAGUUUAAGCAGAGGAGUUGCUCGGUUUGGAAUAUUUGGAGGUAUUGAGCUUCACUUGAGAAGUGUUCGUGCUCUCCAAUUUAUUUUGAGCUCACAUAAGCUACGAAGUUGUACUCAAGCGCUGUUCCUCCAAUCCUUCAAUAAUUCGAUAUGGCUUGAUAUUUCACUUUUGGCAGAGUUAAAAGCACCACUGCAGAUUUAAGUAUUUUUGGCUGUAGAAAAUUGGAGGACUUGAAGAUGGAAUAUACAGGGGGAGCGAAAAACAAGCGGCAACCUUGUGUUUUCUAAGGCCUACAUACAGUUCACAUAGAGGUUUGUUCUAAAUUGAAGGACUUAACAUUCCUUGUUUCUGCUCCAAAUCUCAAGAACUUGGAAAUACAAAAUUGCCCUGCUGUGGAAGCAAUCAUCGGUGUGGGAGAAUUUGCGGAAGCUCUAGAUGUGGUGGAAAAUCUAAACCCAUUUGCAAAACUCCAGUUUCUUGGACUAGAAAAUCUGCCAAAUGUGGAGAGCAUCUAUUGCAGGCCUCUGCCCUUUCCAUGUUUGAAAAGAAAUGACUGUGGAUAGUUGCGGUUGUCUUAAAAAGCUUCCACUCUACUCCAACAGAGUAAAAGAGUGUACAAUUGUUAUUUCAUCAUUCGGAGAGUUAAUGGUGCAAUGAGAUUUGGCAGUUAACUCUCGUGGGAAGAGCUUUAAUGGGAAGACGAAGCCACUCGAAUUGCUUUUCAUUUCUGUUUCAAAUCUCUAAUUGGAUUGGAGAUUGCAUUUCGCCUCAGGUUCGUACUUUUCUUGAAUUUUUCUUGUUAACUUCAUUUGUUCAUUUAUCCAUUUUUUUUUUAAAGGAAUCAGAAGGGUUAAUAUUUUUGGUUGUGUUAGGUCGACUUCUAAUCACGAGGCAGAAGGAGCUGAGAUGAAGUUUAAUUUUGGUGGAGAAAUUGUUUGAUUUAAAAAAUUUAAAUGAGUUGACCAUCAUUCUUUAGCAUAUUUGUAUGAACAGGAGUGUGUAAAUAUGCAAACUGUCCAGCUGUAUGUGUAUAACGUAAUAAUUUUGAGGAGUUAAAACAUUGAAGAAUAUUGAUGUUUCCAUUGUCAAACCAAAUAUACUUAAUUACUUGAGGAUAAUGAUUACUGCUAAUACAUUUGCAAAGAAAAAAACAUGCCUAUUGAAAAACUCAUCUUAUUAGCAACAGCAUUAUAAGUAGUAUCCAAUCAUAGUUUCAUGCAAGAUUUUGAGAUUUUUCAAAUGCUGAUUCCGGGAAUGGAGAUUAAUAGAUAAUGGAGACAGGUUGACUGCAAUGGCUAAUUGCAAGAGGGAAUUUUAGUCGUAAAAACAGACCAACUAGCAAAGCAGAUUCCAAAUCUUGGAAUGAAGUAGCAAAAAAACGAAACAAACAACUGGCAAGAGGAAGUGACUAUACAAUAAUAACAUCGACUUGCAAUUCAACAUUUAUAUAGUUAUACACACCAAGAAAAGAGAAAAUUACAAUAGCAAUUUGGCUACUAGAAGAUGUUCAUUCAUGCUUAUGCCUGUCAUAUGGAUUUGAAACAAGGAGUAAAAGCAUUUAGAGUGGCUUUAUCCUUCCACUGCAGCUCAUUCCACCAGUGUUGCUCUCCCCUAAUAACAAGUUUGCGUUCCUUGGCGCUGUUGUAAUCGAGUGGAAGCUUCUUGAGGUUCGGGCAUCCAGAUACAAACAAUUCCAAGAGAUUUGGAAAGGGCAAUGCAUUCAAACAGAUCUUCUUCAAAUUUCUUAGAACUUGCAACCGAAGAUAUUGGAGUUUCGCAAAAGGUUUUAGCCCUGGAACUUCUUCCACUUUCCAAACACUGAUUAUUUCUUCCAUCUCAUAACAACGUUCUACAUGCACCAUCUUCAGAUUUGGGGCAAAAACAAGCCUUGUCAUCUCCCUCAAUUUACUGCAAUAGUCUAUGGUAACACUUUGAAGGCUGUUGAAACCAUAAGUUCUCUUGUUGUUUGAACUUCUGCAUAGUCAACCUUUAGCUCUUCCAAACUUGUACAAUACACAAAAUCUAGUUUGUCAAGGUACUUGAGAUCUGCUAUGGACAAAAUAUUCCAUGACCUUGAAUCCUCACAGCGGCGAAGCUCUAAAGCAUAUUUACAACUCUUGUACUGUUGGCAGCUCAAAAGUCUUCGUAGAGCAUAAAAACUUCUUAACGUGACGCUUAAUACAUUUAAAUGUUCCAAAGUAAUCAACUCCUCUACCAAAAUUUCACUACCACCAAAUAGAACGCUAUCUUCUGGUACUGUAUUAGCAGAGCCACAAUCUAGCAUCCUCAACACCUUUAACCCAGAAAAAUUACAAAGCAGUUGCCGUGGAAUCGUAUGGAGAUAACGCAUGUACUCCAAGUUCAAACACUUUAGAUUUUUCAAGGCUUUUAAUUCAUGUGGUAACUCUUUGAUGAAAGUUUCUGAAAGAUUAAGAUAUUGUAGUGAAACCAAUUUUGAAAUUCCUGAAGGCAAUUGACUCAAGGAGCGAUUCUUUGAUAGGUUUAAAACUUUUUUUUUUUUGGUGAGAGGGGGCUCGUCAAAACGAGCUAAAUAGAAACAAAACGGGGUUGAGUAACCCCAAACAAGUCUUGCGAAAUGAUAGAAUAUAUACCCAUAGGAGGGUCAGAGAACACUUGCAAUCCAAGAGGAGCUGAAUGAGCCAUAUUAGCCAUGAAGUCCGCAGCUGAGUUUGCUUCACGAUAGAUAUGGGUGAUAGCAAUCUGCCAAUUUCUACUUAAUAAUUCGUGGACAGCUACUAUUAAAGCAUGGAACACAUUAGGAACGACCACCUGCUUAGAGAUUAUUUGUGUAAUACAAAGACUAUCCACUUCCACCAACAGCCGUUUUAUGCCUACAUCCCAAGCCAGAAUUAGACCCUGAUACAGCCCCCAAAGCUCAGCCAUAAGCACUGAACUCUCCCCAAUUCUCAUACAAAAUCCGGAAAUCCAAUGACCGACUGAGUCUUGAAUGACACCUCCUGCUCCUGCUUCCCUGUCAUUUUUACGAGAGCCAUCUGAAUUUAAUUUGCACCAUGGCCAUGGCGGCGGAAUCCAACGAAUAAAAAUCUCCUUUCUCCUCGGCUGUUGACUUAUACCGGAAUUAUAAACUUUGUAAAUUUCAUUAGCUCUAGCCAUAGCAUCCAUAUAGACUGUUACACCAUCCACCAACUUCCCCGCAAACAAGAAAUGGUUCCUCCAGAACCACAGCCUCCAAACCACCACUCCAAAGAUACAAUCCCAAGGGAGGGAAGAUGCAAUCUUCCAUUUGUUCUGCAAGUUCCCAGUAAUCCAUUCACGUAGAUUCGAAUUGAAGAAAGCGUUAUGAGUUGCCAUUGGGACAAGCUUACGCCAAACCUGAUUAAUACAGCAGUAAUCUCUCAAUGCAUGGAGAAUAUCUUCAACCGCACCCCCACAUCUAUCACAGCCCUCAGGAGCAUUGAUAUGGCGCCUAGCUAGCUCAACAUGAGUCUUUAAUUUCCCAUGCAUCAGCUGCCACAGAAAAAGACGGAUGGAUUGAGGCCCCUUCCAACUCCACGGAAGCUUCCAAAUUCUGUCAUGAUCAGCCAAGUGAUGAUAGCAAAGGGAUGCAUAAGCUGAACGAACCGUAAACAUGCCGCUCGGAUCCAGACCCCAGUAAAUUUUGUCAGACCCAAAAUGCGGUCUCGGAGGCAUGACUGAUGCGAUCUGCAUGAGAGUAUAAUGUGGCAGCAAAUGCUCAAAGCUCGACCAAUUCCAUCCCCCCUGACCAUUCGUAAACUCACUCACGGUGGCGUUGAUAAGCUCCUGAGGAAUCGGCUGGAGAGCUAGGCUGCUCAAGGGAUAUUUCGUAGCCCAACAAUCUAUCCAAAAGCGAGCUCGACCUCCAUCGCAAACAGACCAGCGAGCUCCCUGAACUAUUGUCAACCACUUGCUACGAAUAGCUCUCCAAAUCUGAGAACCCGGUUUAUCUGGAAGGGACAUCGGUAAAUUUGCUGGAAUCCAAUCCAUAUUUGGAACAGAAAACUUUCACCCACAAUUUAUCCGAGCUGGACACAAUCUCCCAGCUCAAUUUCAUUAUCAGCGCCUGGUUCAUCUCGUCCAUUUUUUUGAACCCCAGACCUCCAUAUUGUUUCGGCAUGCAGAUUUUGCUCCACCCCACCAUACUCAUCUUAGGACUCUUUGAAUUCCCAUCCCAAAUAAAUCGCCGACAAGAUUUGUCUAUUUUAUGCCUCACUGGAGAAGGAAGAAAUGUCGUUUGCAUGGCAUAAAUAGGCAUUGCUUGCAGAACUGAUUGAGCCAGGGUGACGCGUCCAGCAAAAGAGAGAUGAGUCGCAUUCCAACCAGUAAGUCGGUUAUCGACUUUAUCAAGGAUGGACUGAUACGUGGAUUUAUUAACCCGCGUGUGAAUUAAUGGCAUUCCAAGAUAAUCACCCAAAUUAUUUGUGGCCGAAAAACCCAAAGUAGAGCCUAUGAGAUUGGCAUCCCGAGUAUCAACAUUUUUUGAGAAGAACACCUUGGUUUUCAACUUAUUUAUUUUUGCUUCAGAGCUCCUACAAUAGUUUUCCAGAACAACAUCAACCACAUAAGCUUGGUCAAUUGAAGCUUCCACAAAUAAAAGCAAAUCGUCUGCAAAAAAGAGAUGAGUUAAGGGAGUUCCAUAUUUGGCCAACCUAAUAGGCCUCUAUCUCCCAUCCAUUACCGCUUGGGUUAUCCCAUGACUCAAACGCUCGAUACACAGAACAAAAAGAUAAGGCGAGAGGGGAUCUCCCUGACGAAUACCUCUCCCUGGAGUGAAGGUCCCUGUAACCUCACCAUUCCACAAAAUACUCAUACUAGCUGAAGUUACGCAAUCCAUGAUAAGUCUAGAUAAAUGAGUUGGAAUACCAGUCUGUUGAAGCGUAUCAAAAAUGAAAUCCCAAUUAAGCCAGUCAUACGCCUUCUCUAGGUCAACCUUAAUGGCCAUAAAUCCUUUCCUGCCAGUUUUUCUGCGCAUUGAGUGAACAACUUCCUGAGCCACAACAAUAUUAUCUACGAUAUUCCUCCCUGGAACAAAACUUGUCUGAUUGGGGCCUAUUAGAUUGGGCAACAGCGAUUGCAAGCGAGUGGCUAUAAUUUUAGUCACCGUCUUGUAAGCCAUUGUGCAUAGGCUUAUGGGCCUAAACAUCUUUAAGCUAGUAGGGUGCUCCUCUUUUGGAAUCAAAACCAGGAGGGUAGUAUUUAUCUCUUGCGGCACUUUGCCCGUGGUAAAAAUAUCAUCAAUAAACCUGCAAAACGACGGACCCACAACAUACCAUUGGGAUUGAUAAAAAAUAGCAUGCAACCCAUCCGUAUCUAGAGCUUUCAGCGGCUUCAUACUAAAAACGGCACUUUUAAUCUCCUCCCUCAAAAUUGGGGCUGCGGCACCAUCAACGUCAUGAGAACUCAAGUCUGGAAAAAAAUUUGGCACAUGGUAGUUCUGAUAAAUAGCAUUUUCUCUUUUAAAUAAUUCUGAAAAAUACCCCACUGCAUGCCUCUUUAUAUCUUCCUCAUCAUACAGCCAAUUCCCUGAACUGUCUCGGAUAGCCUCGAUUCUAUUCCGCCGCCUUCGAGCAAUAGUUUUUUUAUGGAAAAAAUUCGUAUUUCUGUCUCCAUGUAAAAGCCAAUCCUUUCGAGAUUUCUGGAGCCACAGAAUUUCCUCCUGGCUCAUCACCAUUUCGAGCUCAUUACGCAAUCGGGCCUCCAAUCGCCUCAAACUGCGAGAGCUAUAUUUCUCUAGGGUGGCUUGAAUUCCAUUAAUCCGAGCCAUAAGCCGGCGUUUCCUCUGAAAGAUAUUCCCAAACACAUCUCGAUUCCAAACUUGAACCUCCUGAACAAAAUGAGAAGCUGCUGCACUAUAGUGGGAUUGCGGAUUCCACAUCCGCUUAACAAAAUUGUUAAAGUGCUCAUGAGUUAACCAAGCAGCCAAGAAGCGGAAAGGCCUGGUGUUGAGUGUUAGAAAAUGCAUAUUUAUAAAGGAGAAAACCGUCAUUUUACAUUUUAAGUCUUACUAACAACCCUUACUUUUAUAUAUUUAACCUUCUUGUGAUUUAAUUACAUGUGUUUUAUUUUAAUUAAGUAUUUUAUGUAUUUUAGGGGCAUUAUAGUCAUUUCACAAUAAAGGAGAGAUCAGACGGCAAAACGGACAUCACUUUUGAACUCAGGACGGUCGAAAACCUUAGGAGGAGCAUAAAAGGAAAAAUGGCACUAUUCACAUGUACGGUACUAUUCACGUAUACGGUACUGUCUACGUUACUGUUCACGACACUGUUCACAUAGACGGAUCGAUGACGUGGCAUUGACCGAUGAUGUGGCAUUGACUGAUGAGGUGUCACGAUCCUGUUGGGCUAAAAUUCUUAUGUACUGUUGAUGGUGACGUGGCAGCAUAUCAGUGGACGAAAAAUCUCGUGUACGGUGCAUGCAUCACACAGGAUUAUUUUCAACCAAACCGCGUUACUGUUCAUCCGGGUCAAACCGCGUUACUGUUCAAAGUCGGGUCAAACCGUGUUACUGUUCAUCCGCGUGGUCAAACCGUGGACUGUUGACUGAUGACGUGGCGCAAUCCUGAGCGUCCAAACUGUUUUUAAUCCGAUGGCCAUGAUUUACUCCAUGUAUCUAUAAAAAGGGGGCCUCCCCCCCCUAAUUUGAUAUCUCUGAAUCCAUUUUUGGGAUCCAUUUUCUGUAAUUCCUUCUCCAUCUUGUAUUUUCUUCGUAUUUUAAUAAAUUCCCAUUUUGCCCCUAGUUCAAUUAUGAGUGGCUAAUUUUCUUUCAAGCUUGGGUUGAAGGUGAAGUCUCAACAUGUGUCAUGGGCUUAAUUUGGUAAAUUUAUUUUCUCUUCCCCUCUAGUUUUUGUGGAUGUUUUGACUUCUCGUCGACAAAUAAUACUAAUCUUGUCUAGUACCGCCUUGGUUUCACCGGCUCUCUAGUAUAAGGUUAUUAUUAUUUGGCACGAUAAGCCCUUAGCACCAUAUUGAUUAGAGCGUGGUUCAUGCGGUGUGGAUUCCCCCCUCAUGAUUUAAUUGGUAUUAAUAAGGAAUAUUUAGCCUAUGAUGCAUGUUGAUACGGAUCCAGAUACCCAAGUACGUCAUUUCAAUAGAAUUCUCUUCAAUUUAUUCUCACCAUUUCAAUACCAAUUUUAGAAUUUAUUCUCUCCAUUUUAAUUUAAGUUUUAGCAUAUUCCAAUCAUUUCCACCACAAAUCUAAUCACCCAUUCACAAAAUUAAUUCUACACAAUUAAAAUCCACCUCCUCGUGGGAUCGACACUCGUCACCAUUAAUCUAUACUACAACAGAUUCGUGCGCUUGCGAGUACAUUAAAAUUUGCACAACAAGUUUUUGGCGCCGUUGCCGGGGAGGUAAGUAAUUUUAAUUCAUAGAAUUAAUUUUUGUGAAUAAUUUCUUUUAUUUGUUUUCUUGUAUUUUUUUUAUUAUUAAAAAAAAAGAAAAAAAAAGUGAAUCUACAUUUAAAGGUUAGUAUUUCUUUUCUUUUUCUCUUCUUUAAAAUUCUGUAAUUUAAUUUUCAAUUUAUUUUUUCUUUGUAAUUUUUGUUUAUUUUAUUAAUUUAAUUUUUAGUUAAUUUCACGUAUUUGUUUUUGUGUAUUUUUAUAGUAAGGUUGUAAUAGCGCAAUAAGGUUAGUAUCGUAAUUUCUCCCUCUUCUUUAUUUUUAUUUGUUUUGUUCCCAUCUUUAUUUUUUGUUUUGUUUGCAUCUUUAUUUUUAUUUUAUUUAUUUGCAUGCAUGGUCGUAGGUCAUUAUUACCUAAUCUUGAACCUAUAGACCUUGAAUUAGAAAAAACACUUCGCACACACAAACACGUUAAAAAUAAAAUGGAUUUACAAGCACCACAGGAGAGGCCAUUUAAGGACUAUUUUAGUCCCUUAGCUAAUUUGAGCACGUCAUGCAUAAGAUACCCAAAUGUAGCUGCUAGGAGUUUUGAAUUAAAACCUAGUGUGUUAAAUUGUCUCCCUACAUUUUAUGGCCUAGAAAAUGAGGAUCCAUAUAAUCAUUUGAAUGAUUUUCAUGCCAUUUGUCAAACAUUCAAAUAUGAGAAUUUUUCAGAUGAUGAUGUUAAACUUAGACUAUUCCCAUUUUCUUUAAAAGAUAGAGCUCGUUCAUGGCUUAAUACAUUGCCUGCUAAUAGCAUUGCAUCAUGGGAACAAAUGGUAACGAAAUUUUUGAAUAAAUAUUUCCCAGUGCAUAAAACCAAUGCUAUUCGCAGGGAAAUCUCAGAGUUUACUCAGAGAGAGGACGAGCAGUUUUUCGAGACAUGGGAGCGAUUCAAUGGGCUACUCUUGAAGUGUCCACAUCAUGGGUAUGAGAAAUGGCAUCAAUGCCAAUACUUUUUGGAGGGAUUACUACCGAAUGUGCAAGAAUGGCUAAUGGCAACAAGUGGAGGAGAGCUAAUGUCAAAAAGUGCAUCAGAAAUUUGGGAGUUUUUCCAGCGACAAGCGGACAAUUCCCAACAACGGAGUCGAUCACUCAGGAAUACUAGAAGGAUUAAAGGAGUGAAUGAGGUUCACAUUGGCGAGUCAACUUCGGGAAUCAAAGAAGUCAAGGAGAUGGUUGAAGGUCUUGCUCGACAAAUAGCAUCAUUAUCGAUUGCUAAAUCAACAGAACCACAUGACCAUGACUCAUACUCAGAUCAAGCCAAUGCCAUAGGUGUAAUGAGAAAGCCAUCAAAUUACAACCCAUACUCCAACACAUAUAACCCUGGAUGGAGAGACCACCCUAAUUUUUCAUGGUCUCAAGGAUUCCAACAGAAUGGACCAGCAGCUCCAGCUCCACCAAUUCCACAAAAUCCUCAAGCCUCUCAGCCAUCAUUUAGACCAUUCAAUCAGAACCAUAAUUAUUCUCAACCCAGACCAUGGGAGGAUGCAUUUCAGAAUUUCAGGAAUGUUACUCACUCCACGAUUGAGCAACAGAACCGCACCAUUGAUGGAUUACGAAAUGAGUUGAAAGCGGGCUUCAACUCACAAGCCCAAUCAGUUUCAAGCCUUGAGAAGAUGGUGGGACAACUUGCUUCUUCAGUUCAGACCUUGGCAAUGACCGUUGAGAAAGGCAAAUUUCCAAGUCAACCAGUACCUAAUCCUAAAGGAGUGCAUGAAGUAAGUACCAGUUCACCACAGCAGCAUGGAGAGGUCAAAGCAGUAAUGACCUUGCGAAAAGGAAAGGAAGUCGACAACAAAGUGGAGAUGCCGGUGACAAAAGAAAAUCAAAUUGUACCUGUGAAUGUUGAGGACUCAUCACCGGAGGAGAAAGAAGAAACUAACCCACGAGAAUAUGUUCCGAAAGCUCCAUUUCCCCAGAGGUUAGCUAAAGGCAAGAAGGGAAAAUCCACAGGUGAGAUUCUCGAAAUCUUCAAACAGGUAAGUGUUAACAUCCCUUUACUUGAUGCUAUUAAACAAGUUCCAUCUUAUGCCAAGUUUCUUAAAGACCUUUGUACUAAAAAGAGAAAUAUGCAUGUUCAAAAGAAGGCAUUUUUAAUAGAAAACGUUAGUUCUAUACUCCAACAUAAAAUUCCUUUAAAAUGCAAAGACCCAGGCUCCCCCACUAUCUCAUGUAGUAUAGGGAACCACACAAUUGAGAAUGCUUUAUUGGAUUUAGGAGCUAGUGUAAAUCUUUUGCCUUACUCUGUAUUCGUGAAACUUGGACUUGGAGAAUUACACCCAACUCCAGUGGUGUUACAACUUGCAGAUCGGUCCACAAAAAUACCUCGUGGUAUUGUGGAGGACGUGCUUAUCCAGGUAGACAAGUUUUAUUUUCCUGUUGAUUUCAUUGUAAUUGACACUCAACCAAUACAGGAUUCAAGGAAGCACAUCCCCAUUAUUCUAGGCCGACCUUUCUUGGCAACUGCGGAUGCUCACAUUCAAUGCAGGACUGGAAAUAUGCAGUUGUCUUUCGGCAACAUGACUAUGGAGCUGAACAUCUUCAACAUUGCCAAACAACCUCACAGUGCAGAUGAUGGAAUUGUUGAUGUGGAUUUAAUAGAAACAAUAGUUGAUAAUACUUUUCUUUCAAACCUUAGUGAUGAUCCUUUACAAACAUGUUUAACUCACUUUGGUUUGGAUUUUGAUAUUGACAGAUCAGUCGAUGAGGUCAACGCCCUGCUUGACUCAACACCAUCCAUGGACACUAAUAAAUGGAAGUCAAGAGUUGAACAACUAACACCAUCAGAGAAGAAACUCAUCACAUCAUCAGAAUCACCACCGAAACUCGAGCUCAAACCAUUGCCCAACACAUUAGAAUAUGCGUUUUUGGGAGAAGAAAGUUCUCUGCCGGUAAUCAUCUCAUCAUCCCUUAAUGACGAACAAAAAGGUAAGUUGUUGGAUGUUUUGAAAGAGCAUAAAGGGGCAUUAGGAUGGACCAUAGCAGACAUAAAAGGUAUAAACCCUGCAGAUUGCAUGCAUUACAUUCACCUUGAUGAAAAUGCUAAAUCUACUAGGGAAAUGCAACGUCGGUUAAAUCCUAAUAUGAAAGAAGUUGUUAGAACAGAAGUCCUUAAGCUAUUAGACGCAGGUAUCAUUUACCCAAUUUCUGAUAGUUCAUGGGUCAGUCCUGUACAAGUUGUCCCCAAAAAGUCAGGAGUCACAGUAGUUACGAAUGCAGAUAAUGAAUUGAUACCCACUAGAGUAACUACAGGAUGGCGUGUACGCAUUGAUUAUAGAAAAUUGAAUUCUGUCACACGUAAAGACCAUUUUCCUUUACCAUUUAUUGAUCAAAUGCUUGAUAGAUUAGCAGGCCAUGAAUUUUAUUGCUUUCUAGAUGGUUACUCAGGAUAUAAUCAGAUUCCCAUAGCACCAAAAGAUCAAGAGAAAACUACUUUCACUUGCCCUUUUGGCACAUUUGCAUAUAGGAGAAUGCCAUUUGGAUUAUGUAAUGCACCUGCUACAUUUCAACGAUGCAUGUUGAGCAUUUUUUCUGAUAUGGUGGAACGAUUCCUUGAAGUCUUUAUGGAUGAUUUUUCUGUCUUUGGUGACUCGUUUGAUCAAUGUUUACAUCAUCUAACACUAGUUCUGCAGAGAUGUAUCGAGAAGAACUUGGUCUUAAAUUGGGAGAAAUGCCAUUUUAUGGUAAAACAAGGUAUUGUUCUCGGUCACAUCAUUUCGAGCAAAGGUAUUGAGGUUGACAAAGCCAAGGUGGAUCUCAUUUCUAAUCUUCCUCCACCCAAAACAGUCAGAGAAGUAAGAUCUUUCCUUGGGCAUGCUGGUUUCUAUAGACGUUUCAUUAAAGAUUUUAGUAAAGUUUCUAGACCCUUAUGCAAUUUGCUUGCUAAGGAUGUACCUUUUGUCUUUGAUGAUUCAUGUCUUGUUGCGUUUGAAAAAUUAAAGCAUUUGUUGACAUCAUCACCCAUCAUUCAGGCCCCAAACUGGAACUUACCAUUUGAGCUAAUGUGUGAUGCAUCUGAUUAUGCAGUAGGAGCAGUAUUAGGACAAAGAGUUGAUCGAAUUCCCCAUGUUAUUUACUAUGCUAGUAUGACAUUGAAUGAUGCACAGUUGAACUAUUCAACUACUGAAAAAGAAAUGCUAGCAGUAGUGUUUGUAUUGGAAAAAUUUCGAUCAUAUCUCAUUGGUUGUAAAAUAAUUAUAUUCACAGAUCAUGCUGCUCUUAAAUAUCUUCUCACAAAGAAAGAUGCAAAAGCCAGACUAAUUCGUUGGGUGUUACUUUUGCAGGAAUUUGACUUGGAAUUCAAAGAUAAAAAAGGGACAGAAAAUGUUGUGGCGGACCACCUCUCUCGUCUCCAUUUUGACACAAUAAUAGAACAAUUACCAUUAAAUGAGUCAUUUCCAGAUGAACAAUUAAUGAGUGUGGAAGUAUUACCUUGGUAUGCUGAUAUAGUUAAUUAUCUUGUUACAGGUAAACUUCCAGAGCAUUGGACCAAGCAAGACAAGGCUAAAUUCUUUGCAGAGAUAAAGAAUUUCUUUUGGGAUGACCCGUAUUUGUUCAAGUAUUGUGCGGAUCAAAUUGUUAGACGAUGUGUCCCAGAAAGUGAAAUUCAGAAUAUCCUUUCAUUCUGCCAUGAACAAGCUUGUGGAGGCCAUUUCAGUGCUAAGAAAACAGCGACUAAAGUUUUACAAUGUGGUUUCUAUUGGCCAACACUAUUUCGAGACGCUUACACUUUUUGUUCUUCAUGUGAUAGGUGUCAACGAAUGGGGAGCAUUACACGAAGGAACAUGAUGCCACUAAAUCCAAUUUUAGUGGUUGAGAUUUUUGACGUAUGGGGUAUCGACUUCAUGGGACCCUUUCCCCCUUCUUUUGGCCAUCAAUACAUAUUGGUUGGUGUUGACUACGUCUCAAAAUGGGUAGAAGCAAUUCCAUGUAGGACCAAUGAUCACAAGGUGGUGAUAGGAUUUUUGAAAAGCAACAUUGUCUCGCGCUUUGGAUUCCCUCGAGCAAUAAUCAGUGAUGGUGGUGCCCACUUUUGUAACAAAGCAUUCAAAGCUCUUUUGACAAAGUAUUCAAUCACGCACAAAGUGGCGACCCCGUAUCAUCCGCAAACCAGUGGCCAAGUUGAGAUCUCCAAUCGAGAAAUAAAGCACAUAUUAGAAAAAACGGUGAGGCCGGACAGAAAAGAUUGGUCAUUAAGACUUGAUGAUGCCUUAUGGGCAUAUAGAACGGCUUUCAAGACCCCGAUUGGGAUGUCACCCUACAGGCUAGUGUAUGGAAAAGCUUGCCACCUACCUGUGGAACUCGAGCAUCGUGCGUAUUGGGCCAUCAAGAAAUUCAAUUUUGACAUGCAGCAAGCCAGCUCAGAAAGAAGAUUACAGCUGGCAGAACUUGAAGAAAUUCGCAAUGACGCGUACGAAAAUGCCAAGAUUUACAAGCAACGAAUGAAAGUCUUCCAUGACAAGCAAAUUAUGAGAAAAUCUUUCACCCCAGGUCAGAAAGUGCUUUUAUUCAAUUCUCGCUUGCACCUAUUCCCAGGUAAGUUACGCUCUCGAUGGUCUGGCCCAUUUAUUGUUCAUACUGUUUUUCCACAUGGGGCAAUUGAAAUUAAAGACCCAAAGAACGGUGUCACGUUUAAAGUUAAUGGUCAAAGAUUAAAGCCAUAUCUAGAGUACCAACCACAUGAAGAAGACACCGAAAUAAAUUUGAGUGACCCACCAAAUUUGAAUUGAUUUUUUUUUUCUUUUCGUUGAUUUGAUUUUUCUUUCUUUCUUUUUAUUAUUAUUCUUUUGCUAAUUGAAAUUGUUUUUGCAUAAGUGUGUUUAUUUUACCAUUAAGUUUUCUCUUAUCAUUUUUAAUCAUGAGUCUCAUACUUAGACCGUUCCUCCUGAACAUUCUUAAACCACUUCAACGUGUCAAAACUCAUCUCAAAAGACAGAUUCAAUUUUGUAAAACACAUCGCAUUUGGGCUCUACAACCACCAGAGUUAGUAGCCUAUGUUGAGGGUUUAGAACACCAACUCAGAGACAUUGAGAGAAGUGUUUACGACAUCCAGUUGGAGCUUGAGGUAAAUUCAAUAAGAGGACGAUUUUAAUUUUCUUUGUGUGUUUUAAUUUGUUUUUCUAUUUGUGUGCUUUAGUUUGUUACCCCGGUGAAAUGGCGGAUAACGGUACUCCGUGACAAUCAAGUCGGUUACUUCAGUCUCCCAUAAUAACUGAUAUUCUGAGGCGAAGGUAUGGACAGAAACGAGAUUCUAGCGAAGCUUCACAAGCGAUUCCCUUCACUUCCUCAGAAUGCCCUCCUUACGAUCUAUAAAGCUCGGUCCGAACGCAUGCGAUUACUCAUGAGGAAUAACAUACCUGCUGACAUCCGUUGGUUAAUCGAGGCUAAAGUACGAUCGGCAGGUGAGUUACCUCCAAAAUUUAUUGCAUACAUGCCUGGUUGUGGUAAAGGAAAUUAUGCAAGAAAACGACGAGCUCGAAGAAUUUCUGUUGCUUGUCAUAAGUGUGCCAGAAUGAGUUGCAAUAAAAACCCAUGUUCUUUAGGAAUGGUGUCUGAUAACAGGGAAGAUAAGAUUCAAUUCAUUAGGGAUGGCUUGAAUAAGGAGUCAUUGGAUGAUAUCCUUUUGUCUCUUGAAACGCAUCCCAGUGGAUAUGUGCAAGGAGCGAUUCUCCAGUUAUGGCCAUUAUUCCAGAAAGAGCAUGCACGAUAUAGUCUCGGGAAUCUGACUAUAAACGACCCUGUUUGCCAGUUUAUAAGAAAAUUGGAUAGGAAGCCUAUCCUCGACCCAUAGAGGGCGUUCAAGCCGUUUCUGGACGUAAAACCAGAGGAAGAUGUGAGCCACAGUCGCAACUACCUGUAAAUAUUCUUUUACUUUAUUAUUUCACUAUUGUCUUAUUGUUUGCAUUAUUGUCUUUAAUAAUUUUAUUACUGUUUGCUUUUUUUCUUUUUACUGUUUUCUUUUUGACUCGCGAGCCACGUGCUUUACGCGUUAUUUGACAUGGACAUGUGACCUCAUACACAACUAUGACCCAUUAUCACCAAGACUCUUAAAUGUGAUUUUCUUUGUCAAUCACUCACAAAUUAUUUUUGCGAAGUAUCACAAUGGCAGCUACUCCCAAUAGACAAUUCAAGAACAUUUGUGUGCUUUCUGGAUUUACAUAUGGCAAACAUAAAGAGUUCGUUGAGGCAGCCAUAGAUCUUGGUCGAAGCAUAGCAGCGAGAAAAUUACACUUGGUGUAUGGAGGAGGUAAUCGAGGGUUAUCAAAAAUGGUCUCAGAAGCAGCUCUUAUCAGAGGAAGUCAAGUGUUAGGCAUCAUCCCAAGAGUCUUAAAACCAUUGGGCAGUUCGUCUGACUCAUCAACUGGAGAAGAGUUAGUCGUCUCAAGUAUGCAGGAAAGAAUAACUGAAAUGCUUAAUCAUGCUGAUGCUUUUAUUUUCCUUCCAGGAGAUCUUGCAACACUAGAGGCACUUAUGACACUAGCAUCUUGGGCCCAUCUACACAUUCACCAGAAACCCAUCGGUUUGUUAAAUGUCAAUAACUUUUAUGAUGGCUUUAUCGCAUUUCUUAACCAUGCAAUAAAAAACUAUUUCAUUCCCUCUAAUGCGAAAAAACUCUUUAUUUGUGCUCACACUGCUAAUGAGCUACUUGAUAUGUUACAAGCUUAUCGACCGGAGCCAGACCCCUGGACCUUUGUGUUGGAGCGUCCAAAUAAUGAUGGUAACAGUAGCCGCAGUAAGAAGUACAAAUUAGAUUUAACUCUCCGCCUGUAAAUAUUUUCUUCUGUGUUGCACCACCCAGGUGAUGUCUUCUAAACUCUACUUCUUUCAUUUCAAACAUUGAGGACAAUGUUUCGUUCUGGUUGGGGGGAGGGAAUAGUCGACAAUUGUGGAAUUUUGGUUAAGUUUUUACUAAUUUUUUGUUGUAGAAACUAACUGUUGCUAACUUUUUGUGUUGAAGAUGGCUGAAUAUGGAGUGUAGUUACUCUAGAAACGCAUCUUCAUUGUUUGAAAAAAAAAAUUCAAAAAAAAAAAACAAUUCAGACAUUUUCUUUUUCUUUAUUAUGUGUUUAUGUUUAUUUUUCUUCUUUAAUUUCUCCUCUAUAAAUAUAAAUUUUCCAACUUUUGAGUCGAAGAUGGCUGAAUAUGGAGUGUAGUUCCUCUAGAAACGCAUCUUCUUUUAAAAAAAAAAAAAUCAUUUUCGUUUUCUAUCAUUUUACGUGUAACUUUUCUAAUUAGUUUUUAUACAUCAUUUUCACAUUUCUGCAUGCAUAUUUUCCUUUCAUGUUUAGAAUAGGUUGGGGGGUAGAAUGAUGUUUAAAAAAAAAAAUGUGUGAUUUGUUUUAACAUUGGAUGACAUGAUUAAUUUCAAAUUUUAGUAUUUGUAUUAUCUUUGGUCUUAAGUGAUGUUACGCUAUGUUUGCUACUUUACAUGUUGAUGUCGGAGACAAAUGUGAGUUGCUUGAAGGAAUGAAUAUGUCAUAAUAAGUACCAAGUGAGUUUUUGAGCCUAUUAUUUUUCUUGGAGAAUAACCCUUUUGCCCACUCUUUAUACAGCUUAGCAGUUUAUUAUUUUAUACACGAUCUCUAAAUUACUUUUGAGUUAACCCUUAAAAAAAAAAUUGUAAAAUAAAAAAAAAGAGAAAAAAGAAAAAGAAAAAAGAGUGUGUUGCUACAUUUGGAGGCCCAUCUAACUAGUAGAUAUGGAAGAUUAUUUAGAGCCCUAAAAGACGAUGGAGAGGCCAUCUUUGAUCCGUUUGAGCCUUUCAAGCCAUCCCUUUUUAAUAUCCAUAGUUAACCCUUUUGAGCCUAUAAAAAAAAAAAAAAAAAAAAAACCUUUUCUUUGUCAACUUAUCAUCUUGACCCACUCCGAUUUGGAGUAUUACCCGAUAUCUUAUAAGUUCCAUCACCUAUUUAUGUUUGAGAAAAUGUAAAUAAUUAUUUUGUUCAGUGAAGUUAUGCCAAAUAAAAAAAAAACAAAAACAAAAGUUGUUGUUUCAAAAGAAUAAAAAUAGGUGAAAUCCACCUUGCAACUUCCAAAAAAAAAAAAAAAAUUCUCUGCAUUUUUCUCAAACAUACACUUUGUUUUCCUUAUUUUCCUUCUUUGUUAGCCAUGUCCCUAGCCUACGUUUCGUCCUAAUAAAAGUCCUUCUUGAUUUUAGGGAACUAUAGUUUGAAGUAGAAGCUAGUUAUAUGGGCUAAAAAGAUGUAGUGAUGCAUAAUUAAAAAAAAAAAAAAAGAUAAAUAAAGUGGGUUGACUAACAUUUUAUUUGACUUGAGAUCGUAUUAUUUCUAAGCUGAGGGCAUAUUUAUUUCAUCUUGGUGAGAGCAUGUGAUAUCACUUCUUUAUUAUUUUCUCUCUCAAUUACCAUUCAUUGGAGUGACUAUUUUUAUUGGGAUUAAUUUAUUUGUGAGAGUGUCACUACUUCCAGUGAGAUUUUGGGGUUUGACAUUUCAUUCUUGAGAGUAGCUAUAACAAAGUCUACUGGGCUAAUUCAUGUGGAUGGUUGAUGUGGGUGUGAUGUUGCUUUAGACUGGAGAUAAUGCUUAUACUUUUAUUUGAUUGCUAUCAUUAAUCUGAUGGAAUAAAUACGAGUGUUUCUAUUAAAAAAAAAAAAAUUAUUUUGAAUUUGAAUUUUGUUUUCGCUUUAUUUGCUAGGGACUAGCAAUAAGCUGGUUGGGGGGUGUGUUGAGUGUUAGAAAAUGCAUAUUUAUAAAGGAGAAAACCGUCAUUUUACAUUUUAAGUCUUACUAACAACCCUUACUUUUAUAUAUUUAACCUUCUUGUGAUUUAAUUACAUGUGUUUUAUUUUAAUUAAGUAUUUUAUGUAUUUUAGGGGCAUUAUAGUCAUUUCACAAUAAAGGAGAGAUCAGACGGCAAAACGGACAUCACUUUUGAACUCAGGACGGUCGAAAACCUUAGGAGGAGCAUAAAAGGAAAAAUGGCACUAUUCACAUGUACGGUACUAUUCACGUAUACGGUACUGUCUACGUUACUGUUCACGACACUGUUCACAUAGACGGAUCGAUGACGUGGCAUUGACCGAUGAUGUGGCAUUGACUGAUGAGGUGUCACGAUCCUGUUGGGCUAAAAUUCUUAUGUACUGUUGAUGGUGACGUGGCAGCAUAUCAGUGGACGAAAAAUCUCGUGUACGGUGCAUGCAUCACACAGGAUUAUUUUCAACCAAACCGCGUUACUGUUCAUCCGGGUCAAACCGCGUUACUGUUCAAAGUCGGGUCAAACCGUGUUACUGUUCAUCCGCGUGGUCAAACCGUGGACUGUUGACUGAUGACGUGGCGCAAUCCUGAGCGUCCAAACUGUUUUUAAUCCGAUGGCCAUGAUUUACUCCAUGUAUCUAUAAAAAGGGGGCCUCCCCCCCCUAAUUUGAUAUCUCUGAAUCCAUUUUUGGGAUCCAUUUUCUGUAAUUCCUUCUCCAUCUUGUAUUUUCUUCAUAUUUUAAUAAAUUCCCAUUUUGCCCCUAGUUCAAUUAUGAGUGGCUAAUUUUCUUUCAAGCUUGGGUUGAAGGUGAAGUCUCAACAUGUGUCAUGGGCUUAAUUUGGUAAAUUUAUUUUCUCUUCCCCUCUAGUUUUUGUGGAUGUUUUGACUUCUCGUCGACAAAUAAUACUAAUCUUGUCUAGUACCGCCUUGGUUUCACCGGCUCUCUAGUAUAAGGUUAUUAUUAUUUGGCACGAUAAGCCCUUAGCACCAUAUUGAUUAGAGUGUGGUUCAUGCGGUGUGGAUUCCCCCCUCAUGAUUUAAUUGGUAUUAAUAAGGAAUAUUUAGCCUAUGAUGCAUGUUGAUACGGAUCCAGAUACCCAAGUACGUCAUUUCAAUAGAAUUCUCUUCAAUUUAUUCUCACCAUUUCAAUACCAAUUUUAGAAUUUAUUCUCUCCAUUUUAAUUUAAGUUUUAGCAUAUUCCAAUCAUUUCCACCACAAAUCUAAUCACCCAUUCACAAAAUUAAUUCUACACAAUUAAAAUCCACCUCCUCGUGGGAUCGACACUCGUCACCAUUAAUCUAUACUACAACAGAUUCGUGCGCUUGCGAGUACAUUAAAAUUUGCACAACACCUGGUCCUCUGGUGGCCAGCCACAUCUCUCUCAAAACGAACCAGCACCGGCCUGUGAUCCGAAGCAAUUUUCGGGAGAUGGAGCACAUAAUUAUUCAUAUAUUUAAGCAGCCAUUCACUAUUACACAAAGCUCUAUCAAGCCUUUUAAAAAGCAAUCCACGUGACCAAGUAAACCUUGGACCCUUAAAUUUCAAGUCAAAAAGUUUAUGCCCAUCAAACCACUUCCGAAACAGAUUACACACUCCUGAGUUCCUGGCCACACCCCCUUGCUUUUCUGAGGCGUAUAAGAUAGAGUUGAAAUCCCCACCUAUCAACCAAGGCUCUUGAAUUAAAGGCGCAAGGUUCUCCAUAUGGCACCACAGCUGUCUCCGCAACAUUGGGUUUGGACUGGCAUAAACAGCCGUUACCCAAGACACAAAAACAUUGUUCCUGCAAAUUUUAAAAUGGAUGAACUGCCUGUGAUUAAUUGAGACCUCCACCUCUAUAGAACUUCGCCAAAGAAGCCAAAUUCCUCCAGAAAAACCCACAGCUUCCACCCGGUGCGAGUAAUCAAAUCCACUUUUCUUUAUAAAUUCAUCGGCUUUCACCCCACUAGUACGAGGUUCCAUUAAUACCACCAUCGAUGGGUUGUAAUUUUUAAUAAUAGUCCUAAACGAGCACCUGAAUUCCCCCGAGGCUGCCCCUUGGACAUUCCAGAACAUAAUACUGACUGUCAUAAAAAAUAUAAGAAGAGAGAACAUGAGGCUACUGUUGCUAUCCAGAGACAUCAUCCAUCAAUGCCAACGGCGUUUCCUGAACCAUCGAAAAUUCAUCAUCAGUCAUCCCAUCUCCAUCUAUACCACUCAUAGGAACAUCUGGAUGGUUACAAACAUGUCCACCUUCUUUCACCCGAGAAGUGUUAUGGUUAUCAGGAGGGUCUGCUAAGGGUUGCGGAUCCGAUCCCUGCAUCUCUAUAUGAUCCGUGGCCACUUCCCUUACAUCUCCAUUAAGAAGUGUUGGGGGAGAACAAAAAACCAUUGUGUGUUUAGUAGGAUCCAAGGUGGAUUCGAAAGAAACCACACGUUGGUUACUAGAUACUUUCUGGGGGAAACUAUGUGAAUUGGAUUUUUGGUUGGCAUGGGGUAAGAGAGUUAUAUCCUCAUCUCUGAUACUUAAAUCACUAGGCUGGAAAGGGUUACUAGUAGGGACCACUGGAGCAUUUAGCUUUUUGCUCUGAUUCCUUAUUACCACGGUCUUAUUUUGCAGCUUUCGACGAGCUAAAAUCUGUACUGUGUUAUUUGUUUUGGCUGUAAAUGUAGGGUUUGAGGCGGAUAUGAAAGGCUACCGUGAGGUGGAGGGGAAGUCUGUGCAAGCCUCCUGCACUUGGUGUCCUCCUUCAUCCGGGACUUGGGAUAGAAUGUGAAACCUUGAGGUACCAGCUCCAGUAAACUCCCUAUUCCGAUUUAAGUCUCUAGUAUUCAUCCUUCCAUUAUUAGGCUUUCUUCCUCUCCUAGGAGCCAUCAUCCAGGGACCAAAUGGUUCCACAGUGCUGUCGCCAUUACAACCUUUAGCCUGUUGGCCAGGAGCCUCGUUUCCCGGCAUUGCCUGAUGGGAUUGACCAGCUUCUUUAGAGCUUGUCGAGUUCUUAGCAUCUUUGCAAUUAUUACUAUUGUGCCCGUAAAGUCCACACUUAUAACAAAUUACUGGCAAGCCCUCAUAUUCGACCUUCUGUAUCUUCCCAUCCAACUCAAACUGAGACACCAGUGGCCUAGUUAAAGAGAUACUCACUGCAAGGCGGGCAAAUCUUCCACGAGAUGAGGAGGCUGUAUUCAAAUCGAUUGUAAUCACGUUCCCCACUAACUGACCCAGCUUUUGAAGAACUUUUCGAUCGUAAAGAUGAACAGCAAGGCCAGGUAAUCUGAUCCACACCGUGACCUGUUCAAGAGCCGUGUUUGUGAAGUCAAAGGAUGGCGUCCAUGGCUGCACCGUUAAAUAGUGACCCAUGACAAGCCACGGCCCCUUGGUUAAUGCAUCCAUAGCAUCCCCUACCGAGCGAAACCGAACCAGAUAAUAGUUAUUCUCCAAGUCUAUCACUGAAAACCCCAUGGCUGAUUUCCACAUGCCAUUCAAUCUUGCACAAAGGGCUCUAUAGCCAAUUGUGCGGCCAAGCAACUUUACAACAACCGAGUUCUUCCAAGGCUCACUUAACUUAGCAUGAACCCUAGCCGAAAAAGUGAUGGAUGGCAUGGAUCCCUCGUUACUUUCAGUAACGUCCCCUUCCUCAAAAUCCCAGUCAUCUAGUCCACCUCCAACUCCUUGCUCCAUCGCUUGCGUUGCAUUCACUAGGGUUUCUUUGUACGAUACCUGAGCAGUGGGAUCACCAGCAUGUUCCUCAUCGCGAAACCUCGCUUUUUUAGUCGUUCUAGCCUCCCUGAACGGCGGGGGAAAAAUCCCUCCGGAGAUAGGGUUUCCUUCACAUCCGUGGUUUUCGGAGCUUUCCAUUGAAUUUCGCUUGAUUCACUAAAAAAAUUAACGUUUUUAUGAAGGCUCGAACCAUUGCACUCAACAUUGUAAGUGCAUAUUGGAGUUAUUGGUAAAAUCACAAUUUUAUUUCUCAUCAACGAUAUCCUUCUCUUAUCUUCCCAUUGUUUAACCUCGGGUGGUUCAGUUAAUUCAAUACCGGCAGAAACCAAAAAGUUUUCAUUCUCCACUUCACAGGCUAUCCACAAGGUCAUAUCACGAAUCACAUCAUGCAGUUUUACAUAAUCUGAUCCUGCUUCUUCCAAUAGGCAUGCAUGAACAAGAACACCAAUAAUGUAGUAUCCUUGGUUAUGUACUCCAUUAAUUCCUUUAUAUUCCUUUAGAAAACCCUCACCAAUCCAACACCCUACCAAUUCAAUUUUGCUAAUUUGAUAAUCCUCAAGAAAUAAACUACAGUAUAACAGACAAGAUCUAAGGACGUCACUAGACAAACUAUCAUAACUGAAUUUUAAAAGACGAAACACCUCUUUCUCCAUACCUGGAAAUUCAUAAGCUGAUCUCCUUAACAUCUGAAUUGCAUAGCUCCAUUCUUCGGGUGUCUUCUUGCUGCUCAUGGCACGACCGGUGGUAAUAAGUGCAAGUGGCAAACCACUACACUCCUUUGCCACAGUUUGGGCUAACUCCGGAAUAUCGGGAUGACUUUCAAGAGUCUCUUCUCCGACCUUCUUUAGGAACAAUUCCCAAGCAUCUUGAUCUGCCAAACACUCCACCUUGAACUUUUUUUGAGCUUCCAUGAGGCCACAGACGUCCACAAGACGAGUCGUAAAGACUAUCUUUGAUGCAUUUCUUGAACUCCCAGGAAAAGGGACACCCACUUUGGCUAAAUCAAUUCUUUCCCAUAUAUCAUCUAACAAUAGCAGAAAUUUCAUUUUGCUCAAUAAAUUGAAUAUGCCUGAUGCUUUCUCUUCAAAGCUUCUAUUCUGAAGCCAUCCUAUUCUUUCUCCGAUUUUCUGUUGAAUUCUCUCAAGUUGCAUGUCUUUUGACACCACCACCCAAAUCACAAUAUCAAAAUAAUUUGGUGUAUUAAGGAACUUGUUGUUGAUUUGGGUUAAUAGUGUAGUCUUGCCGACUCCCCCCAUGCCAUAAAGUCCGAUGAUUCCAAAUUGUCCUUCUACAAGACAUCUCCAAACUUGAUCAAAUGAUGAUUCUAGGCCGAUUAUUGUUGGCUGAAGAGGCCUUUCAUCCACUGCUGGUUGUGGUACCUUUUCAGCUACCACUGCAAAAGCUCCAUCAUCUAUUAAAGUAGCCACAAGCUGCAGCUUUUUAGACACCUUUUUCCCAAACUUGUAGCUUGACUUGCAGUUCUUGGAGCAGUAGCCUCCAAGACAUAGUUUUUCAAUUUCUUGAGAGCUGUCCCUUCUCAAUUCACCUACUUCAGCUUCCACAGCCUCCAACCUUGCACUCUGUUCAGCCGUCUUAGUUGUUGUUGCUCAGCAUUAGCGACCCUCAUCAUCACAUCGUUCUUUGUUUCAAUUAGUUUCUGCAAUUCGGUCUGGACGGCAACCAGAUUAUUUUCAAGCUGGCUUAGAUAUGCUGCUUUUCUGCGGGUACAAUUGAUGAAGCCAGUGGAAAGGGCAUCACAUGUAAGUUGGAUUCCCAAAAUAUUACCCAUAGUUUGUAUGAGAUUCAGAGUACAAUAGAAGGAAUGCAACACAGUAUGUAUUCGGUUGUGGUGUCUAUGAUUUUACAGUCGCAGAAGCUUAUUCACCUUGUGAGGGCUGGUCAGGUGGGCACCAUCACUCUCCUUACUCUUUAUAGAGAGCGAUAGUCCAUGUGGUCAGAUCUCAUUCAGAUAACUAGCCAAGUGGGCAAUCGCUCCACCUUAUCAAAAUUCUUCAUCUUAUAAUAAUAUCAUGAGUAGGCCUUGAAUUUUUCUUUUAAUUUUAACAUUUAAAAGGUAGAGGUGAAAAAGUCUACAUAGUAUUUUUGUCCUCGUACUUUAAUAACAUUUCUUGAAAGUCACUCGAUCUCAAAAUUUAAUUAAGAAGAUAUUAUAGAUUUAUAAGCCCUUAAAUUUUAUUUGCAAGUAAGCCCAUAAGACUUACUAAAAGUCGUCAACUCGUCAUGACCAAAAUUGAAAAUUCGUCCGCGCGUGAAAUACGGCAUGCACAGUCGUAUUAAAAGCAAAGGCCAGCUAUGAUAGUCUUCGUAUACUUGCAUUCCCUAUCAUCUUAUUAAUAAUUUCAGACACGUAGUUCGUUGCUUGUGAUUUUUCAUAUGCAAAAGCACAGUCAGUGUUACAUUUUACAAUUACAAUUGAGUGCCACCUAUAUACUCCUUCAUUCUUUUCAAAAUAUGUUGUAGGAUGGGUAAUUGUGACAAAAGUGAUUUUUAAAAAAAAUUAACUUUUAAUUUUUUUUAAAUUACUUUUGAGAUUUGUGAAAAAAAUCCUAAACGGGUCUCAGAAGUAUAAUUAGCACCGCGAAUUUAUAAAAUGAUCAAAGGAAUCCAUCGCCUAAUAUUAUAGUACGCAAUUGAUUGCUAUAAACUAAAUUGCUAUGAUCUCACUUCAUAAUAAUUUAUUUUCAAUCUCCAUCAUGGUAGAAAAAUUUCAUCAAUCAACAUACCCUACCACCACCCAAUAGUCGACCAUUUAUCAUCUUCUAUCCGUAAAAAACCGAAAAAAAAAAAGAAAAGGAAAAAUUUAGUCCACAAAAGAAUAUAUCGCAAGACCAAACAGAGAGAGAAAAUAGAAAAAGCAAAGAGCUGUACUGAAUACCGGCGGUGAUGGCUCCGUACUUGACCAUUUAGGUUUGAUUCUGCAUUCACAUAAUAUUUUUUCUACACUGCAGUCACAUCACAACCAUUGAAUAGUCGUGAUCUAUUUUUCUAAAGCGAAUAAUAUUAUCUUCUCGUGUCGGUGGCUUGAUCAUAUAACAAAAUAGACUAAUAAUGUUUCAAUAGACAUUUUGGUAAAUGGAAGAAGUUAUGAUCUGUCCAUUUUUAUGUUACUUUAUUUUAAUUUGUUAAUUACUAUUAAUAUCUUUGAGUGGGAUAGAAUCUUGACCUAAGAUAUGACUAGGCUCCACAUGUUAUAUAUUAAUUUGAUUAAGCCUAGCUAAUUGUUAAUUAUUAAUUUGAUUGCGGCUUUUUAUUUUACCCACAUUUUUUAUGCGUGAAAUCUUUCUUAGUGAAAAACUACACGUAUUUGCAAAUAUUCGGAAUGGACAUUUUCGAAAAAACAAGUAAAAGAAAAUGACUAAAAAGUAAAAGAAAAUAGACACCCAAUUGUAAUUGCGAGGACAAUAGAAGGAAUGCAACAAACAGCUCUCUCCUUACACUCUUAUAGAGAGUUAUAGUCCAUGAUCUCAUUGAGAGAACUAGCCAAGUGGGCAAUCGCUCCACCUGAUCACAAUUCUUCAUCUUAUAAUAAUAUCUUGAGUCGGCCUUCAAUUUUUUUUUUCAAUUUUUAUCUUUAAAAGGUAGAAGAAGUGAAAAAGUUAAAUAAUAUUUUUGUCCUCCUAUAUAACAUUUUUUGAAAAUCACUCGAUCUUAAAACUUAAUUAAGAAAAUAUUAUAGAUUUUUAAGUUAGUGGCCCUUAAAAUUUAUUUGCAAGUAACAAUUAGAGAAAAGUCGUCAUGCCCAAAUGACUUACUAAAAGUCUGCAACUCGUCAUGACCAAAAUUCUUCCGAGUGUGAAAUACGGCAUGCGCAGAUGCAUUAAAAACAAAGGCCAGCUAUGAUAAUCUUUGUAUACUUGCCUUCCCUAUCAUCUUAUUAAUAAUUUCAGACGCGUCGUUCGUUGCCUGUGAAUUUUCAUAUGCAAAAGCACAGUCAGUGUUACUUGCAUUCCCUGUCACCUUAUUAAUAAUUUCAGACACAUCGUUGGUUGCCUGUGAUUUUCAUAUGCAAAAGCACAGUCAGAAUUACAAUUUACAUUUGGAAUUGAGUGCCAUCUAUUUAUUCUAGCUGGAUCUAAAAUGAUAUUGCAGUAUUGCACUGACUUUUCAGUCACAGCGUUUCUCUAUGAAUUCCUUAAAGUUUAGACCCAUCAUGGAAUAAUUAUUUUCUUAAAGACCAAAUUAACAUAAUUCUUAAAUCAUCUUCCGAGUGUCAAAUACGGCAUGCGCAGAUGCAUUAAAAACAAAGGCCAGCUAUGAUAUUCUCUGCAUACUUGCAUUCCCUGUCACCUUUAUUAAUAAUUUCAGACACGUCGUUGGUUGCCUGUGAUUUUCAGACACAUCGUUGGUUGUCAGAAUUACAAUUUACACUGAUUUUUUAGUCACAGCGUUUCUCUAUGAAUUCCUUAAAGUUUAGACCCAUCAUGGAAUAAUUAUUUUCUUAAAGACCAAAUUAACAUAAUUCUUAAAUCAUUUAUAAAACAACAUUUAUCAUAUAACAGAUCGUACAUGAAUAAAUUUACCUUGAACCGUAGCAAACAAACAAGAAUCUCAACCACAUCAAUAUCAUAAUCCCUUCUGACCUUAACAAUAAUUUUAUUCGUCCUUAAUUCAUAGGUAUAAGUAUCCCAAUAUAUACUUGAUGUCAACCUUUACAAUUCUUUACAGAAUUGCAGCAGACCAAAUUUGUAUGCAAAACUGAAAUCAUACAGUAAUUGAAUACAGUGAUAGUAAUUAGUAUAUAUAAAUAUCUUAAUAAUUUAAAAGUUUCUUAAACUGCUUUUACAUAUCUGAAAAAUUAUAGAAAUCGGAACUGCUGCAGAAAUCAUAAUUUCCCAGCGAAUGUGUUACAACUUCAGAAACUCAUAAGAAAUUAAAUUCUUGGGAUCACAAAAUAAUUCAAUAGAAAGCUUAAGAUGUCUAGUUCAUAAAAUCUGAAUUUUUUUUUAAAAAAUAAGAUCUUUGGAAUUUAAGAGAUUCAGCAGUACUUUUAUUACAUCAAUUCUUCAAACAAUCACCAAUCUAACAUUCAUCAAAAUUAAGUCAUAAAAAUCAUGUGGUUUAUAAAAAGAAUUACCUGAAAAAGAUUAGCCUUCCCCUUUCAAAAGCAACGUGAAACUCCAAAAACUCUUCUUCCAUUGCCUAUUCAAACAUGAAAAAAAAAAUUAGUAUAUCUUCUUUAAACGCGUGAUGAGUGUGCUCUGUUUUCUCUGUUCUUCUUCUUCUUUUUUAGAUUUCGAAAACGUAAAGAGUGUUGGAGUCUUUAUUUUCUAAAAACAAGACUUUUCCAUGUAUUCAGUUAAAUUAAAUUAUGUCCUAAUGCUAUGUCAGUUCCAUCAUUAGCAUUUUUUUUUUUGGCUUUUAACACCAACAUUAGCGUAUGUUAAGUAUCAUAAUCCAUAGUUGGACAAUUUGAAAUCUCUUCGUGGUUUAUCUCAAAGUAGAGCUUCAAUCAAUUUGUACCUCAUAAAUUUACAAUAUCUAUGAGGGCUAAUAAGACCAAACUCUGGCAUAUUGUCAAAUGUGCUUAUACUUUCGCUUGACAAGUCAUUUUAAAAUUGUCUUUCAAUGCCAAAAAAACCACAUCAACUAAUGGUCCACUACUUUAAUUUGAAAGCAUGCAUGCGAUCGCCAAUAAUCAAGGAUGUUAGGGUCAUGCUACAGAGUAUAGAAUAUGAUUUUAUGGUAUAGCCUUCUUUCUUUAUAAUUUUUAAAUUUAAUACUGUUACUUAUGUAGCACAUAAGUUGGAAAACAUAACAUAAAAUUUGAAAAAUGUAUAGUUUUCGUUCCCUUUUUUCCCCUCUAAAAAUGGGAAAAAAGAACGUAAUUUUGAUUUAUUUAAAUUACUGUUGUGAUAACAAUUUUUAUUUUAUUGAUUAUUUACCCAUUCAUGUGGCAAAUUUUUUAAGAUAAGGUGAAGGAUGAAGCUCAAAAACAUAAAUUAUAUAAUUAAUUACCCUCUCUAGUAAGUUUAAAGUUUAUUAUUUUGAACUACAUGUUUAUAAUUUAUUUUUAUUAUGUGUUAAUAUAUAGAUCUAAAUUCACUUUGGAACCAUAUACAUAUUUAGACCUAAUGUGCAUGUUAAUCUAUAGAUCUAAAUUUACUUCUAAAUUCACUUUAGAUCUAUAUGAGUAUUUAGACAUAACGUAUUGCAACCAUAUUGGCAUGUUCUCACUAUAGUAUUGGUGUAUUGACAUUAUAUCUAAUUGUCCCUAUAAAUCCAAAAAUAAUCUAGAUAUACAAAUUAACAUAAAAUAAAGAUAAUUGGUAGAAAAUGCAAAUUAUAAACAUAUAAUUGAAAACGAUAAAUUUAAAUUUACUUAAGAAAGUAAUUAAUCACUUAUUUCUUUUUUAUAAUAUGACAAAUAUUAUAAUAAAUAUUAAUUAAUAAUAAUUAGAAUAACAAACUAAAGAUAUUUUAGUAACUUAAAAUAAUUCAUUUUGAUUUCGAGACAAAAUAAACACAUCAAUCGCAAUACAACUCAUUCUGAUUCCACUCAUUCAGAUUUCAACAUAUUUUAAUUAAUUCAAGUGCUCUCCAUUAUAAUUGAAGCCGCUGCCCCAUCCCACUCGUGAUUCCAAACUUUAUCUUUUUCCUUUUUUAAAUUAAUGCAAGCAGCCGCUGUCCUUUUUGUUAAUUAAUUAAUUAAUUCGGCCGCCCACAUUUCUUUUCCUAAUGUCUUCGGCUUUCGAUUUUCUUUUAUUUUCUUUUUAUUCUUAAAAUAGACUUAUAAUAAUAAAAUAUAAAAAUAUAAAAAAAAUUAACAUAAUCAAAAUAUAAUUUAACAGAAAAUUAAGAUAAAAAUGUGAAAAUAAUAUAUAAAUUAUGAGCGUAUCAAUCAAUAAAUGAAAAAUAAUAAUUUUUAUUUUUAUUAAAUAUAUAUUUUUCAAUAUUAAUCAGUUAUCUAAAUAACUAAAAUCAGUUAAAAAUAAAUAAAUAAAUUAUUCUUAAAAAAAAAAAACUUUUUAUACCACUCACUAUGCUGGCUGUCAAGGGUAGAAGCUUUGGGGACUGAAGUUGGUAACUUCUACAAGUAGUCUUAAGUUGACUGGCAACAACUAUAUUGGCAUUUGGACAUAAUGUUCUGCAACCAUAUUGGCAUGUUCAAUUGUUCUCACUAUUGUGUUGGUGUGUCGAUAUUAUCUCUAACUGCCCUAUAGAUCCAAAAAUAAUCUAAAUUUAUAAUUUAACAUAAAAUAAAAUAAUUGGUAGAAAACAAUUAUGGUUCAUUUACUUAUCAGUAAUUAGAAUAGACUGAAAUCAGAAUGAGUUGUACUGCCGUUAAUGUGUUUAUGUUGUCCUUGAAUCGGAAUGAAUUAUUUUAAUUUACUAAAAUACCCUUGGUUUGUUAUUCUAAUUAUUAUUAUUUAACAUUUAUUAUAAUAUUUGUCGUAUUAUUAAAAAGAAUUAAUAAUGAUGAUAAUAUUAUCAUUAUUGUUUGUUAUAUUAUUAUUAUUAUUUAAAAAGUUAUUGUUAAUAACAAUAAUAACUUUAUUUCAAUAAUAAAAAUGAUAAAAUUAAUAAUAACAAUCAUGACAACAACAAUAAUUAUUUAUUAUGCCAAAAAUAACAAUAAUAAUAAGAAUAAUAAUCAUCAUCAUUUCAAAAAAAAAUCAUCAUCAUCAUCAUUUUUGUAGUGGCUGCCUAUCGGCUGUUGCUUUCAUGCGAGAUUAACUUGCGACGCUUCAACUGCUAUUAUUUCUGGCAAUGUCAGGUGUUGUUGUUUCAAUGGGGGGAGAAGCUGUUUCGGUGCACUAACGAUGGGAGGUGUUGUGGCUGCGAUUCGAGGAGCUACUGGUUCAGUGCACUAAUGACGGCAGGUGUUGCUGCUCAAUGCAAGGUCCAUGGCCAGUUGUCUUGUUUUACACCCAGCUCUUGUAGGAAAUUCUUUAUCAAAAAUAUUUUUUUUGUAACCUUCAAUAAUUGUAAUAUCAUUUGCUUCCGUGGUAGAAAGGACAACUCAUUACUAAGUCUAGAUUGUGAUGAGACUGCUCUCCCUACAAAAGUGAGCAAAUAUCAUUGUAGGGAUUUUUCAGAAUCAACAUCUCCUGUCAUAUCUACACACUUGUAACACAAGUUUGUCACCACCAAAAUAUAAACAUAUUCUGGAAAUGCCUAUAAGAUAUCUGAGAAUUCAUUUCACUGUUGUCCAGUGCUCUUUGCCGAGAUUGAAGAGAAACCGACUGACUACACUGACUGCAUAGGCAAUAGCUGGUCUUGCACAAAUCAUGGUGUACACCAAACUGCCAAUUGCCUAAGCAUAAGGAACUCCUCUCACUGAGAAAUGGGUUUUGCUCUUGAGAUUUUUGGGAACAUGAAGAAUAAAGAUGUAAUUUCUUGGACUACCAUUGUGUUGGGGUAUAUAAAUAGAAGACAAGUCGAUAUAGCUCGACAGUAUUUUGCUCAGAUGCCAGAACGAGAUUAUGUCUUAUGGACUGCCAUGAUUGAUGGGUACCUUCGAGUGAAUAGGUAUAGAGAGGCUUUGACACUUUUCCGGGAGAUGCAAACUUCAAAUAUAAGGCGAGACGAGUUUACCAUUGUUAGGAUUCUUACAGCUUGUGCGAAUCUGGGGGCACUAGAACUGGGAGAAUGGAUAAAGACUUACACUGACAAAAACAAGGUCAAGAAUGAUAUAUUUGUGGGGAAUGCUUUGAUAGACAUGUACUGUAAAUGCGGAGAUGUUGAGAAAGCUCAAAGGGUAUUCAGGAAGAUGCUUCGAAAGGACAAAUUCACAUGGACGGCCAUGAUUGUUGGCCUUGCCAUCAGUGGCCAUGGUGAUAAAGCUCUUGAUAUGUUUUCCCAAAUGCUUAGGGCUUCGAUCAGACCAGAUGAGGUAACUUAUGUUGGUGUUCUGUCUGCCUGUACUCACAAUGGUAACGAAAAUUUUGUGAUAAACAGUUGCAACUUAAGGUGAGAAUUGGAGGAAACGAAAUAGACUGAAGUUGUUCAAUCAUCGGUGGUUGCUAUUUGAUUUUAAGUUGUUCAAUCAUCGGUCGUCUCUAUUUGGUUUUCUCCAAUAUCUCAUCUCCAGUUUUGACUCAGAUUCUGUCUUACCACUAGUAAUUACAUAGACUUGUUGCCAAAGGUAAGAAUGGGAAUAAAUUAAAUAGAUUAUGUCGAUAACGAAAUAGAUUUACUAUUGCUAUGUGCAUUCUAUUUGGUUCCUGCAAAAUAUUUUCUCCUGCCUAAAAUUUUUUGAAUCAGUAAGUUUUUACCUUAUGCAAGAAUUGUGCUAAGAGUAAUUCCAGUCUCUCUAUGUUUCAAUGAAGACGUAAAACUUGUGUUUUAGAGCACCAAUGUUAUGCUUCUUACAAUUGGAUUUUAAUUUACUUCGUAGAACUUUUGUCAAAAAGUACUAAGAGUGUAUUUGAAAUUGAUGUACUGUAUCUUUUAAGCUACAGCUGCUGUGGAAAAAAAAACUGUAACUAUGAAAUAAAAGUUAAUAAUAUAUAGUAAAUAUAAAUUUUAAAUAAUAAUUUUGAUAAAAUUAUUAAAGAUAUAAUAGUUUUUUUAUUAUACAAGUGAAAAAUUAUAUAAACAUAGUUUUCAAGUUACAGCAGCUAGUGUUUAUCAAACACUUUAGUACUGUAUCUUUUAAGUUACAGUUGCCCGAGUUCAAUCUCAAACGCAACUUAACGAGUAGUGCACCAAACACCAACUUUAUUACAGAGAGGACUUUGGUUAAACUUUAAGAAAAACACUCAAAGGAAGAGUUAUAAAUUAUUAUAGAAAUAUUUGACAUAAAUAAAAGCCAUUCCACAAUGCGAAGAUCUUGCUAUCAUCACCAGAAACCAUCGGGAGCUUUCAGGGUUUCCAUGAAAACGCCAUUUCAUUCCAAGAGUCAAUGGUGGGUAGAAAGUGGUGCAAACGAUACUCAUUGUUAAUGCUAUAAGUUUUUGCUAAAUUAUGUCUUACCCAAAAUGAUGAUUUAAUUUCCAUUCUCAAUUAAUUUUCAAAUUUCAACACUUUUCUUUGUAGCAUGACAUUGGAAAGAUCUUGUACUACUAAAAGCUAGCACCACACGUUAAUUAUUGUUAAGUUCUUUUUCAACGUGAAAUAAAGGAAGUAGUCCUUCGUUAAAACCAUUAUAGCCAAAUUUCAUGUAAUUGGACACUUACAGACUUUCAUUUCAAGCUGGAAUUUGGUCCAACGUUUCAAAGUUGACCCAACUAAUUGUCUGGUCAAGUCCUACACAGCUAAGACCCUCAAUGAAUGAGGGUGAGACUGCUAAAAAUUACGACAGUUGAUAUUAUUAUUAUUUUGGGAUAAAUCCUCACCAAGGUGAGUGAGGAGAUUUUAUCAAAAUAAAAAUAAAAAUAUAACAAGAAAACUAGCUAAAUUAAAAUAUUACAAAAGCUAGAUGAAAUGAAAGGCAGCCUAAAAACAACCUUAUGCAAAAGAGAAGCAACAUGCUAGUAUUCCAAGCUUCUUGUUAUAAAAGUGUAGAAUGAAGUAGGUGAUGUAGUUUUAAAUUACACCUCCAUGCCCAAUCACAAUAUCAAAUAAUGCUUAAAGUAGUUAUAUUAACUCUUAAAUUUAUAAAUAAUUAAAUUUUUAAAAGUUUGGAUUUAUAUUAAAAAAUUUCUAUAUAAAUAAAUAAUCUAUGCAUUUUUACAACAUAGUCUUUAAAUUUAAACUUUUCUAGAAAAAUCUUCUGGAUAUCUUUUCUAUUAAAAAAGAGAUUCUCAAAAUUUAUAAAAGUAACUUAAAGUUUUGUCUUCCCUUUUCUUUUAGCUUAUACAUAUGUGUGUGUAUUCUUUUAUAGCAAUAACUAACGUUAUUUAUUUUUAAAUCAUAAAAAAAUUAUGAAAAAAAAAUGUACCAAAUUUAAUUGGACCCAGCACAAUGCACAUGCAUAGAACACAUUCUGAAAAGCCAUGCUAUUCGGAAAUUGACGAAUGGAAAGUGAAGAGGCAGCAGUCAAUGCUAUUUCGGCUUGGCCCAAAAUUUCACCAGUUUGUUAAUCAGUGUUCUGCAGCUCUUGCUGCUUUCCUAGAGAUUCUACAUCUUUUGCAAUCUGAUAGAUUUAAAAAAAAAAAAAAAAUUAGUGGCCAUUUGGAAUGGAGGAGAGAUUUGUGUGAAUGGUAUAGGUGAAAAAUUGGAUGAAAAUAAACAGGCAACCGUCCGUAUAAAACAACAAUAACAAUAUACAAAAAGAUAAGUAAUUCACGAAAGGAAAUUUACGGUUGUUUCUGGAAAACAUACAUAUUAAUUUCACUUAUACUCUAAGAUUUGCCAUCAUGACUGGACUUGUGAGGAAUUUGGAAACAUGUAUGCUGUAGAAAUGCUGAAGUAGCUUGAACCCGAUAAAAAUUGAUUGGUAGAAUUGUUAAAAAGUCUAAAUUUUUAGUUCAAACCUAUUGCAUAUUUAAGAAAAUCUCAAAUGAAUUGCUUAUUGCUAUCGUCAUCAUCAUUGCCCAUAUAAUUAUUAUUAUUAUUAUUAUUAUGUCUUUAUAAUUAUUAGUAUCGCUGUUAUUAUUUUUAUGGGUAAAUGGUUUUUCUAUCCUGGCAAUUUAAGCCAAUUACCUAACUAAUCCACGUAAUUUUAAAAAUGUUUCAAAAGAUCUUUAUUUUAUAUAUGUUUCCACUACAAUUUAUUUAAUGAUUCUUUAUUUUUCAAUUAUUGCAUGUUCGAUAUUUUUGAGUUCUAAGCUAUAUCAAUAGAAAUGUUAUCUUAUCCAUAAAAAGUUAGAUCCAGCAAUUAUGAAAAUUACUAUAGAGCUGCUUUGAAUAAUUUUAAAAAAAUACCACAAGCAAAUAAUAAUUAGUUUAAAUAGUGGAGACUAAAAAGCAUUCACCCUUAUUCUUUAUCUGUUAUUUGUUUUUUUUUUUUUCCGUUAAUGCACAUAUUAUACAUUUUAAACAUUCCGUUAAUUGCCAAUUAUGCAAGCGAGAUAGUAAUUUAAAUUUUUUUAUUUUAAAAAAAAGUGAAAAUUAAUCCUAUGCAAUGUGAAUAAAUUUCUUUCCUUUUUCCUUCUCUCUUUUUAUUUGAUAAUUAAGUUUCAACCUAUGUACCCAAAAUUUCUGCAACAGGUAAAAAAACAUAAAAAUAUAUGAUUGUUAAUGUAAACACGCGGAAGUUCAUCAUUUCAAUGUUCAGUAUUUCCAAUUUUGGCAUACGAAUAUAUUCCACUUAGAAAGCCAAAUAUUAGAAUUGUGAUUUUAAUUCAUUCAUCAUAUCUCAUUUCAAUCCCAAAAUAUUCAAGAGGAUCCAAGUUACCAUAAGACUUCAGAGGCUCGAGCCUUAGCCAGAGACGGUUAAUUGAUAGACUAUGUGCCCGGGUCGAGCACUGGAAGCCUGCAAUGCAGACUGAUUGAUUUAUCAGUUUGAUGUGUGCCAGGAAUGAAGAACUGGAAUAUCACCGUCAAGCAAGCACCCAGUGAAGCAAUACCAUAGAAUGCACAAUCCGGCCUUGCUAGGUGACACUGGAGGCUUUUUGAAAAGUGCUUCACGCUUACUUGCACAGAUUGAGCAUACCCUCUGGAUAUUGCCCUCUCUGAUCCAGUCUGAGCACUCAAAUUUCGGUCCUCAGAUGGAGCUACAGCUUUCUCUCCAAUAACCAACAAUUUUCUAAACUCAGCACCUAGUGUGAUCAGAGUUGUUGAUAUUUGUAAAUGGAGAUCCCCAUAUUUGAAAAUGGAGACAUUUAACAAAUCACCAACAUGCUUCAUCCGGUCUACGAAAUUCUGCAGCUGAUUCAAAUCCGGAACCUGAACCAGAGUCGGAGGUAAAUCUUGAGCCAUAUCUAAAGCAGUUUGAAGUUCAAGUACUUGAGCCCUUGACAGUGGUUUUGAAAUUGGAACAUCUUGAAUUACUGCAGACCUGUACCCUUUGGUUUCAAAGGUAAGGAAAGGCAUUGCUUGAGUACAAUUUGGAGGCAGCUUCUUCACCAAUUUUAUUUGGAGGCGAUUGGCAGCGGAUCCAGCUGCACCAAUUUCAGAGCAAAUACUGACACUACUUCAAACAGCACGCUGAAGAAGCGCUAUGUCUAUGGCAAAGGCAAUGCAGUCCUCAUUUUGGCUUGAGAUGCGGUAAUCAUCGAAGAGAGUUUCCUUAUGAAACUGGGCAACACAUUGAAUCCCUUCACCACUGAGAAGGUUGUGGAGGAAGUACGCUUUCUCUCUAGUGAGGAAGAGGUGGCAUACCUUCCCCAUUUUGUCUAGGGCAGUUAGGAAUCUUUUUUCUAAGAGAUUUACUCCAUUCUCUGUGAGAAAUGCUUUGAACUUCAUCCCUCUGUCUCUAUCCUCACUUAUCAGUAAAACAGUUGAAAGUGAUACAAGGAGAGAAAAGGAGAGUACUAAGAUAUAUAGACAAGAAAAACAUUAGGUGUCGAUCUUACAUGUUAAUACUUCAAACAGUAUCCUAGAAAGCUAAAAACUGCAGAAUGGCUUGAAAUUUGAAAAGAACACAUGCUUUUCCUCCUUAACUUGAGAAAAUGUUUGACAUAGCGCGCCUUACAGAAGCAAGCAAUUAGAACUUUGCACAAAAACAUUCAAGAAGACCAAUAUUUCAACUAUUUUACUGAUGAAAAUCUCAAAGCACAAAUGGCAUUGCAUUUUGUCCUCAACUGUAAUAUUUAUUGAUGAAAAUCAGUACAGGUCCCUCAUUUGUUAUGGAAAGCUUUCUUGUAGUCUGACCGGUUAAUUCACGGGUCUAUAAUCAUCUUGCAAAGUUACGGACAUUUCUUUCGAUUUAAAGUCUUUGCAUCACCACCUCAUCACACACCAAACCAAUAUUCUGUCUACCUCUACAACAAAAAGUUUUAAGUAAACGAUCCUAAUGCACGCAGCCAAAUAAAAUGCAGUAAGAAUAUUCAACUUAAAAAUCUGAAAGUAUCUUGGUGAAUUGCCUUCUUAGGGGAAGUUCCAUGAUUUACUAUACUAGACAGAACUGAGCAAAAGCUUCCAUACGACAGAUUUUGACAAUAAUGAUGCCAACAGAUCCUCAUUAACUCCAUUAAAACUCCUAAGGUUCAUUGUUCAUGGAUGUUUACAGAGUUUUGGCCAUCAAAUAGCUCAGACCACAAUCCCAAAGAAAAGACGAGUGAAAGUUAGAUAACGAGCAGCUAAUUGUAAAUUCUAACUUAACUCUUCAUCUCCUUUGUAAAAAGGAAACAAAAUGGAGACGCGUAAAUUCUAACUUAACUCAAAUAAAAUGAGGGCACGAAAGCAAACAAAUGGCAUGCACAAACAAACCAAGCAUCAAUCAAAAACUAAUUAACCAUUAAAAAAAAUAAAAAUUGGUCAGAGAAUGAACUCCAAAUUCGGGAGUGAAGCAAGAAGCUUUCACUAUUUCAGAAGCUCCUGUACAAAUUAAUAAGUUAUGCUCUUUGGAGACAAUCCUAAAUUCCAAGAGAAACAGAGCUCAAAAAAAUUUUGCAAUUAUGCGCAAAGGAAGUGAAGCACAGCAUUCUACCACACACAGGAAUUGUAUAACAUGAGAUCGAUAUAUCGAAUUGGAAGAACUCAAUUCUAAUUUGUGUCAAAAAUCAAAAUUAGAAGAUUGCAUAUUUCGAGAGGAACAAGCAACAGGUGAGGUUCAAAAUUUCAGCCAUAACAUGCUAAAAUUGCUACAUUUAACGGUUUAUUUUCAUGGAUUUUCUCGGGAAACAAACAGAAAAUUACGGUUUAGAGAGUUGACUGACCUUUUGGCUUUUAGAAUUGAGAAGAUCGCGCACUGCAUUAGUCCAUAGUAUAAUUAUAGACAGUUUUGAGUCAAAGUGUAGUUUCAGUGAACAGUAUUACUGUAGCAAAAUUCAAAAAUAACGGUAAUAUUACUGUUCCUGAGCGGCUAGCCGGAUAAUCAAGCGGCUAACCGCUUGAGCACGGGAUUUUGCCUAUAACGACUAGUUUUUGGGCUUCCACUAUAAAAACUCAACUCAAACUUCUUUCUAAGGACUAAUGCACGCAAAUAUAAGAUCAUACAACAUAUAUUGAGCUUCCAAAACGUAAAUCAUAAUUGAUUGAAUCAUUGUUGAGCUAUUAGUUGCAUAUCCACUCUUAAAGAGAGUUUUUGUUGUAAUUUUCAUUUCUUAUCAAAUUGUGAGUGUGUAAGUGUGGGAAACACUUGGGGUAAAGAGAUUAGGGAGAUAAUCUCUUGGUUGUAAAGGUUCAUUGACACCUUGGAAGGCAAUUGUAAAAACUUGAAGCCUUGGGAGGCUUGGAUAGUGAAAUCCUCGAGCUCGGUUGGCUUGGAGGCGUGGACGUAGGCGGGGAUUGCCGAACCAGAUAAAUAUCCGCGUGUUUGCUUUUCUCUUCCGUAACUCUUUUAUUUUUAUGCUUGCUUGAAUUUAUUGUUCUCCAUUUCAUUAAGGCGUUAGAUUGAUUUUAUUGUGCGAAUUGUAUUGCAUUAAUUUUAAAAAUCCAAUUCACCCCCCUCUUGGGUUGCGUUACUUAUAUUUCAUUUGGUAUCAGAGAUUGGUUCUCUUGUUAGGACUUAACCGUCUAGAGUAAAAGAUCUAUGGCAAUCCAAAUUGAUUCAACCUUUAGGGAAGGACAAUCCACAACUAGGCCACCGUUCUUUGACGGAAAUGACUACCCAUAUUGGAAAACUAGGAUGAGAAUUUAUUUACAAGCAUUAGAUUAUGAAAUUUGGGAAGUUGUAUGUGAUGGUCCUUUUAUGCCUUUGACUAAAAACGAAAUUGGGGAAGACAUUCCAAAACCUUCACGGGAAUGGAAUGAAUUGGAAAAGAGAAAAGCUUCUCUAAAUUCCAAAGCCAUAAAUGCCUUGUUUUGUGCACUCGAUAAGAAAGAGUUUCAUAGAGUGUCUAGUUGUGAAAGUGCUAAUGAAAUUUGGCACAACUUGAAGUUGUUUAUGAAGGCACGAAUCAAGUGAAAGAGUCUAAAAUUAGUAGGUACACUCGGCAAUAUGAAUUGUUCCAAAUGGAACAAAAUAAGAGUGUGUAUUCUAUGUAUACUAGAUUUACGGACAUAGUAAACACUCUAGGAGCCCUAGGAAAGACGUUUUCAAAUAGCGAGAAAGUUGAGAAAAUCAUUAGGUCAUUACCUAAGGAAUGGAGACCAAAAAGGACUGCCAUUGAGGAAGCUAAAGAUUUGAAUAUCUUACCUACUGAUGAUUUAAUUGGUUCUCUUAUUUCUUAUGAGAGAGAUUUGGCAGCUGAAUGAGGAAAUGAGGAAAGAAAGAAAAACAUUGCUCUCAAGGUCACCAAACAUGAGAGUGAUGAGGAAAGUGAGCCGGAUGAUGAGGAGUUGGCUAUGCUAGCAAGGAGGUUCAGAAAAUUUUUCAAGAAAACUGGUGACCAAAGAAAAUUCAGAAAUUUCAAAAACCAAAAGGAGAAGAAAGAGGUAAUCAUAUGCUAUGAAUGCAAGAAGCCUGGCCAUAUAAGAUCGGAAUGCCCACUUAUCAACAAACUCAAGAAGAAAGCUAUGGUUGCUACUUGGGAUGAUAGCGAUGAAGAUUCAAGUGAUGAAGAUGAGUCACAAGAAGUAUCAAACCUAGCAUUUAUGGCACUAGGAGAUGAUGAUGAUCUCAAUGAGGUAAGUGAUCCAACCUAUGAUGAAUUGUAUGAUGCUUUUAAAGAAAUGCAUGAUGAGUUGAUGAAAAUUGGUAAAAAGAAUGCAUGCCUUAAAAAGAAAUUGCUAGAAUCUACAAAUGAAAAGGAUACCAUGCAAAAAUGCAAUGAGCCAUUGAAUGAGAAGACUAAAGGAUUAGAAUUAGAGAAUAAAACCUUGCAUAAUAGAGUUGCAUUAUUAAAUGAAAAAUCUAGCACUUCACAUGAGCAUUUAGAGUCACAUGUACAUGAUUUGAAAAAGGAAAAUGAAAUGCUCAAGAAAAAGAAUAUUGAACUUAGUAAUGUUGUUCUAAAAUUUACAAAUGGACAAAAGAUGUUGGAUAACAUGCUUAACUCCCAAAAAUGUGUUUUUGAUAAAAGAGGACUUGGGUAUAAGCCUAACUUGAAGUAAAAGUAUUAUAAGAAUUAUUUUGUUAAAGCUACCUCCACAAAUGAUCAUAAGAUUGUUUGCGAUUAUUGCAAUCAAAAUGGUCACAUGAAAUAUAGAUGUCUUGUAAAAAGGAAUGCAUAUAAUGGUGUCAAAUGUGUGUGGGUUCCAAAAGGAACCGUUGCUAACGAUCAAGGGCCUAAAAAGGUUUGGGUACCUAAAACAUAAGAUUUUCUUUGAAGGGCUUGAAGAAAAAGAAAAAUAAAUGGUACUUGGAUAGCGGAUGUUCUAGGCAUAUGACCGGAAACUAUGCAUGGUUCUCAAGUUUUACCAAAAUCGAAAAUGGUGGAGAUGUAUCUUUUGGAGAUAACUCAAAAGGAAAAAUUCUCGGAAUUGGAAAUGUUGGUAAAAUUUCUUCAACUCUAAUUGAAAAUGUAUGUUUGGUUGAAAAUUUGAAACACAAUCUGAUUAACAUUAGUCAACUAUGUGACAAAGGCUAUAAAGUUAUUUUUGAUAAAUCAAGAUAUGUUAUUGAGAAUGCAUGUGAUGGGAAAAUUUUGUUUAUGGGAAAUAGAUGUGGCAAUGUUUACACGAUUGAUAUAGAGUGUGCAUCUACUCAUGAUAAAUGUUUUUCGGCAUUGCAUGAUGAUUGAUGGGUGUCGAAGCCAACAAAAAUAAAUUCCUACUCUAAAUAAAUUGUGUAUAGUGAUUGAGCAGGGUCGUGUCCACAGAGAUCGGUAAUUAAUUAAAUCCUUUUGAAACGUAAAACGUAAAAUGGGGGAAUUGUUGACAAUAAUAAAAAUCAAAUUAAAAUAACAAGAAUACAAAUUAAAGUUGUAAUUCAAAUUAGAGAAAGCUCUGGUUGAAGGAAUUAACUCAGCUUGAUUCGACUACUGAUCAUUGAUUCAAAUAUAGAUUAUUAUUACUCAUGAAUAGACCGGUUAUAGCUACUGAGACCCUCUAAUAGCCAAUCUCUCCUUAACUAGUCGAUAACCAAGGUACGACCGUUGGUUAUUUCCCUAAUCAAUAGACAACCCUAGAUACGAUCAUAGAAUUUAAUCAAUUGACAGCCUGAAAAACCAGAGAGACCCAAAUCCUAAUCAACACAUAUGAUGAUUCAUUUAAAUUAGAUUGUUUAUUCUCACAACACAACUCUCUGCUAUGUUAUUUGUCACAAGCAUUAAAUUCUUUAUACGAUGAAUCCUUUAAUUGACAAUAGAUUAAGUUGAUAAUUAAAUAGUGGCCAAUUACCUAAUUAACAAACAUAAUCAUGAAAAUAAUUCAGAGAAUAAACAAAUACCCAAAAAGUAAUAAAACAAUUAAAGUAUAAGAAAGAUCUCACAGUAGUGAUGAAUCAAAGCUUCAUUAUCCUUCAACCAGAAAAAUAGGUUUAGUUCUUCAUAAAGAGAAGAGAAAAAUUAAGUCUAGGGUUUCUUUCUUUCUCCAAUCCCCCAAAAAAUCCCCAUUUUCCACAAUAGAUUCCUCCCUUAAAUACUCUCUCUCUCUUCUCUUUUAGAAUUCUAUUUAAAAUAAAAUCCUAAUAUCUGAAAUAUUAAAUUCGUAAUUACAAAUAUAGCCAAAAAUAUAAAACACGUUAAACUAAAAACUGCAGGUCCGCAGUUGACAGCACGCGCCCACGCCUUAUCAACAAAGUUCUUCUGCCGCUCAUAAUUUCUCCAAGGGAACAAUCAUCCCUAAACAUCAUCUUGUAGCUCAAUUUUAUCACCAAUCAAUAGAAUUGCACCUACAAAAGUAAAUCACAAGUAAAUCACUAUUAUUAAGUGCAAAACAUCGAUAUUAAGAGAAGUAAACAAUGCAAAACUAGUGCAUAAAUUGCACUCUAACAAUGAUGGUUGGUUAUGGCAUAGAAGACUAGGACAUGCUAGCAUGGAUUUAAUUUCAAAAAUUUCGAAAAAUUAUUUAGUUAAAGGUCUUCCAAAAAUUGGUUUUCAAAAGGAUAGAAUUUGUGAAGCAUGUCAAUUUGGAAAACAAAUCAAAACCUCUUUCAAAAACAAGAAUCAUAUCUCUACUUUAAAACCUCUUCAAUUACUUCACAUAGAUUUGUUUGGACCCUCUAGAUAUGCUAGUUUAAGUGGCAAAUUUUAUGCAUUUGUAAUUGUAGAUGAUUAUUCUAGAUACACAUGGGUAUUAUUCUUAGUUAAUAAGGAUGAUGACAUUGAUGCAUUUAAAAUUUUCUGUAAAAAGGUUCAAAAUGAAAAGGGUUAUUAUAUUACUUGUAUUAGAAGUGAUCAUGGUGGAGAGUUUGAAAAUCAUGCAUUUGAAAAUUUUUGUAAUGAUUUUGGCAUUGAGCAUCAAUUUUCAUCACCUAGGACUCCACAACAAAAUGGAGUUGUUGAGAGAAAGGAUAUGUCUAUUCAAGAAAUGGCUAGGACCAUGUUAAAUAAAAAUGCAUUACCGAAAUAUUUUUGGGCCGAAGCCGUCAACACCGCUUGUUAUGUUUUAAAUCGGGUGUUGAUUAGACCUUAUCUCAAUAAAACUCUCUAUGAGCUUUGGAAAGAUAGAAAAUCCAACAUUGGUUAUUUCAAAGUUUUUGGAUGCAAAUGUUUUGUUUUAAACACAAAAAAUAAUCUUGGUAAAUUUGAUCCAAAAUCUGAUGUUGGCAUCUUUCUCGGGUAUUCAAACUCAAGCAAAGCUUAUAGAGUUUAUAAUAAAAGAACUUUAGUUGUGGAAGAAUCCAUGCAUAUUACGUUUGAUGAAUCUAACCCCUCCUCUGCUGAGAAAGGAGUUGUUAAUGAUGAUACAAAUGGAGAGUUACAAGAAGAAUCAUCAAAAGAGAAUCAAGAGAAUGCACCAUAAGAAAAUCAAGAGGAUAGACAAGAAGAACAAACAAAUAUGGAGCUGGAGCAACAGGAAGGUAGUUCUCAAACACUCCCCAAGGAGUGGAGGUAUGUUUCCUCUCAUUCUAAGGAUUUAAUUGUAGGUGAUCCUUUAAAAGGUAUCACAACUAGAUCGUCACUUAGAAACACAUGUGAGCAUGCUGCAUUUAUUUCUCAAAUUGAACCAAAAUCUUUUGCGGAUGCGGAAAAUGAUAAGUUUUGGAUUAUGGUAAUGCAAGAAGAGUUAAAUCAAUUUGAGAGAAAUAAAGUAUAGGAAUUGGUUCCUAAACUGGAACAUCAAUCCAUUAUAGGCACUAAAUGGGUAUUUAGAAAUAAAAUGGAUGAAUUCGGUAUGGUUGUAAGAAAUAAAGCUAGAUUAGUGGCUCAAGGAUACAACCAAGAAGAAGGAAUUGAUUUCGAUGAAACAUUUGCACCUGUAGCUAGAUUAGAAUCCAUUAGGAUGUUGUUAGCAUUUGCAUGUCAUAAAGAUUUUAUUUUGUUUCAAAUGGAUAUCAAGAGUGCUUUCCUAAAUAGUUAUAUUAUGGAGGAAGUUUAUGUGAAACAACCUCCUGGUUUCGAAAAUGAGAAAUUUUCAAAUCAUGUGUAUAAGUUAUCAAAAGCAUUGUAUGGAUUAAAACAAGCACCUAGAGCAUGGUAUGAUAGACUUAAAAAUUUCUUGUUGGAUAACGAUUUUUUGAUGGGAAGAGCGGAUACUACCCUCUUUAUUAAAAAUAAAAAUCAAAAUAUAUUUGUUGUUCAAAUUUAUGUUGAUGAUAUUAUUUUUGUUCUACUAAUGAAUCUUUGUGCAAAGAAUUUUCCUCUUGUAUGAGUAAGGAAUUUGAGAUGAGCAUGAUGGGAGAAUUGAAGUAUUUUCUUGGACUUCAAAUCAAACAAAACAAUGAGGGGAUUUUCAUCAACCAAGCUAAGUACGUCAAAGACUUGCUCAAGAGAUUUGGUAUUGAUGAAUCAAAUACCAAGAAUACUCCAAUGAGUACAACAAUCAAGCUUGAUAAAGAUGAGAGAGGUAAAGAGGUUGAUAUUAAAAAGUAUCGAGGUAUGAUCGGAUCCUUACUUUACUUAACUGCAAGUAGACCCGAUAUCAUGUUUAGUGUAUGUUUGUGUGCAAGAUUUCAAUCAUGUCCCAAGGAAUCUCAUUUGCUUGUUGUUAAAAGAAUUUUUCGUUAUUUAAGUGGAACCAUAGAUAUUGGCCUUUGGUAUCCUAGAGGAACUCAUAUAGAUUUAACUUGUUAUUUAGAUGCCGAUUUUAAUGGUCACAAGGUCGAUAGAAAGAGUACUAGUGAAACUUGCCAUUUUCUUGGUCAUUCACUUGUUUCAUGGUUUAGUAAGAAACAAAAUUUUGUGGCACUCUCAACUACUGAGGCGGAAUAUAUUGCCGCAGGAAGUUGUUGUGCACAAGCACUUUGGAUGAAACAAACACUUAGAGACUAUGGUAUUGUUCUUGAAAAAAUUCCUAUCAAGUGUGAUAAUACUAGCACCAUAAAUCUUUCAAAGAAUCCCAUUCAGCAUUCUAGGACCAAGCAUAUAGAGAUUAGGCAUCAUUUCUUGAGAGAUCAUGUUCAAAAAGAUGAUAUUGCAUUAUAAUUUAUCUCUACGGAAAAACAACUUGCCGAUAUUUUUACAAAACCCCUUUGCGAAGAACAAUUUUCAAAAAUUCAGCAUGAACUUGAGAUGAUGAAAUUUUCGCAUUAACAUCUCUAGUUAUGUUAUUUAAUCUAUUAAAAUUGUUUGGAAAACAAAGGAUUCGUUGAAAAUCCCAAGUCUGCACAAGCUGUAAUGAAUUGGUCAUAACUCCUUCUAGAGAACUCCAAAUCCAGCUCUAUAAAAUUUAUUGGAAAGCUAACUUAAUUAUCUUUCCAACGGUAUAUAGUUUGCACAUUACUUCUGGCUCAAUCAAUACAGUUUUUAUUCCGAAUUUGACAUUUCUGCAUUUUAUUAAGUUUUGAAUGCUUAUAUGCUUCAUGAUUGUAUGCUUGUUGGAUGGAUUAUUUGUUUGAAUUAACUAUCUUUUGGAUGUUUAAAAUCAUGAAUCAUGCAUUAAAUUGGCUCUUGAGAUGUUUCGGGAUCACAAACUGGUCACGAAAUUAAUUAAAAUUGGCCGAAAAUUAACUAAGGUACAGCUGGACAACAACCAGGAGGCUAGCCGCUUGGAAAUGUCCCCCCAACCCGAGAGCAAGCGGCUAGCCGCUUGGUCACGGGUGUGGCAAUUGUUUUUUGCUUCUUCUUCUUCCUUUGUUAAUUUUCUGCACAUGCUUUCUCUCUCACUCAAAACCGUGAGCAACCCAUCCAUUUUCACCUCCAUUUUCUUCCUUUUUCAUCUAUUUUCAUGCCCAAAUCAACCAUUCAAACUAAUACCCAUGCAUUUCAUCUUCAUUAAACACUUCUCCAUCAUGAUUUCUUCAUUUGUUUUUCAUCAUUUCAUCAUCAUCUCUCACGCGUGAACAGUACCUCUCCAUUUCUCUCUCAAAAUUCUUCAUUUUUCACUCACUUUCUUGUUAAAAUCAAUCAUCCAAAUCAUUAUUCAUCCAUUACUCCUUCAAUUUUCGUUCUCAAAACUUCAUUUCAUCAACUCUCCACAUAAAACCCAAAAUCAAAAAACCUAACUCUACCCUUUCUCUCUCUACAUUUUCAAGCUUCCUUUAGCCCAUUUUUGAUCCAAUCUACAUCAUAUAUUAGCUUCAUUCAUCUCUAGGAUCAAUUUUCUUGGCUCAAACAAAUCCAUUUCACUCAAUUUUUGUAAACCCGAAAUUGCAUAUUUAAGCUCUUUUUAGUCCACUUUUGAUCCAAUCAACACCAUCCAUUAUCUUAAAUCAUCUCUUGGAUCAAUAUAAUUGGUUUAAAAUCAUCUAUUUCACUCAUUAUUUUACAAAAUUAAAUUUGUGCAUUUUGGGUAUAUGCACCUACAUUUUCAUAUGCAUAAUUGUUUUAAUUGUGGAUUACGGAUGAUGGUUGUUUAAUAUUAAGAUAAUUUAUAUUUGGAUGAUAUUUUCUGAAUUCUUAGAAUGAAUAUGACUCUUUAGUUAAUUGCACGCUUAAUUUUUAUAUGCUUCUUGAUUAAUCAUUGAGAUAUUCUUUUUGGUAUAAACAUGGAUUUAUAGUACUUUUGAUGAUUGAUGAUUAUAUGUGUGUUGCUUGAUGAAUUAAUGGAGUUGUUGGUUUGUGUUACUUGUUUAAGUUCAUAUGGAAGUGUUUUUAAUCACAUUGUGUAUUUGAGGAUUUGUUCAUUUUUAAGGGGAGACUCUGCCGAAAUUUUUACUCGCACACAAUUGGUAAUAUCUUCCUUGAAUCAUUUUUUAUGAUCUUGCUUCAAAUUGCAUUUUUCUAUUUUUUAUGAAAUGGGAGAUAAAUAUGAUAUGUUUUUGGAUAAUAUUAUUUUGGUUAAAUUUUUUAAUUGGCCAUAUAUUUAGGGGGAGCAUACAAUAUGAUUUUGGAUAAUACGCAUUUUGAGCAUUCUUUUGAUGGCAUAAUGGUUCAUGAUCAUUUAAUGGUUAAUUGGAUGUUUGGUUAUUAUAUGUUUCUUGAUUAACCAUUGACAUAUUAUCGAUCUUCGGAUGAAUUUCUAGUAAUUUUGAUGAUGAAGGGGGAGAAGUCAUGUAUUUUGAAUAUGAAGACAUGUAAUACAUAUUUUUGUAUUUCAAGUAUUUAUGCAUGUUUUUGAAAUAUUAAGGGGGAGCUUUCAAAUUAUCAUAAAUCAAAUAUUCAGGGGAAGUUUUUGAUUUAUAUAUGCCAUGUAUUAAGGGGGAGUUUAAUGUCAAAAUAAAUGAGAUGUUUGUCAUCAUCAAAAAGGGGGAGAUUGUUAGCCUAAAGGGCUAUACAUAAUGUAAUUUUGAUGAUAACAAAUAUAUGUAUUAAGUGAUUUAAUAAAUAUUGUAUUUCACAUUUUCACUAGUUUUUUAAGGAUAAUAUUUAUGCAAGUGAAUCAAAUGAAAUCAAGAUUGAAGACACUCAACGGACAACGGCGACAUCAAGAAUAGUCUAGAGCUCAACGAACAAAUUAGUGCGAUAAAUUCUUAUAAAGCCGGUAUGAUUUAAUUGAUGCAUGAUUUAGCAUUUGAGAAGCUCAAGAGAUUAAUUAAUUAAAUAUUUUUCAUAAACUAAAAUGUUUUAUUUUUAAAAAGUAAAGUAUUUUGUGGAUUUGAGUAAAUUGGACUUAAAUGUUAAGAUUUAUAAUCUUUGAGUUUAAUAAAUAUUAUUUUGAAAUUCAAAUUUGGACUUAUUUGCAAAGGUUUGAAACGUUUUGAGGCAUAUUAUAAUUUAUGAAAGUUUGAGGACCCGAAUGUAAUCUAGACACUUGAAAUCCAAAGUUGGACAGAGAGGAAGCGGCUAACCCCCUGAGCGCUAGCGGCUAGCCGCCUGAGGGAAAUCUCAUAUUUUCAAUUUUUGGACUAAAGUGAAAGAUUUUGAUAACUUUAAAAAAUAUGGGUAUUAUGCUAAAUUUAAAAAGGACCUCUUUGAAAAAUAAUAAUAUCUUUGGGGCUAUAUCAUAAUUUUAGAAAGUUUUGGAAAGAUAACUAAUCUUAAGUAAUUCUAAAAUUAGAUCUAUUUGCAAACUUUUCUGACGUUUUGGGUCAUAAUAUAAUUAUAGAAAGUUUUAGGUCAAAGUGUAGUUUCAGUGAACAGUAUUACUGUAGCAAAAUUCAAAAAUAACGGUGAUAUUACUGUUCCUGAGCGGCUAGCCGGAUAAUCAAGCGGCUAACCGCUUGAGCACGGGAUUUUGCCUAUAACGACUAGUUUUUGGGCUUUCACUAUAAAAACUCAACUCAAACUUCUUUCUAAGGACUAAUGCACGCAAAUAUAAGAUUAUACAACAUAUAUUGAGCUUCCAAAACGCAAAUCAUAAUUGAUUGAAUCAUUGUUGAGAUAUUAGUUGCAUAUCCACUCUUAAAGAGAGUUUUUGUUGUAAUUUUCAUUUCUUAUCAAAUUGUGACUGUGUAAGUGUGGAAAACACUUAGGGUGAAGAGAUUAUGGAGAUAAUGUCUUGGUUGUAAAGGUUCAUUGACACCUUGAAAGUCAAUUGUAAAAACUUGAAGCCUUGGGAGGCUUGGAUAGUGAAAUUCUCGAGCUCGAUUGGCUUGGAGGCGUGGACGUAGGCAGGGAUUGUCGAACCACGUAAAAAUCCGCGUGUUUGUUUUUCUGGUCCCUAACUCUUUUAUUUUUACGCUUGCUUGAAUUUAUUGUUCUCCAUUUCAUUAAGGCGUUAGAUUGAUUUUAUUGUGCGAAUUGUAUUGCAUUAAUUUUAAAAACCCAAUUCAUCCCCCUCUUGGGUUGCGUUACUUGUAUUUCAAAAAGUGCGUGUGAAGUGUAAAAUUAGGGUUGGUCUUUUGGCUUUAUGUGUUAUGCUUAAAAUUACAAUAUUAGUUUUCAUAUUUUAAAAAGUUUCCAAAUUAAUUUAAGGAUAAAAAAGUAAUUUAAUUAAACAAAUUUUAAAUGAAUCGACCUAUAUUUGAUUCGUUUAUAACUCGUUUAUUAAAUGAAUUUUAAACAAAUAAAUGAAUCAAAAUCUUCUAACCUGCAAUUUGUUUAAUUAGCGAAUCGAAUCGAAUCGAAUUCAUCCAUUUAUUAAAUUAAUUAAUUUUUUCAAACUUAAAUUUAUUUAAUUCACAUCUAAUCGAAUUAAAUAAAUAAAUCCUUACCCAUAUUAGUACCCGUAAACGGAUCAUUAAUGUUACCGGUCUUUCCUAUAUUUUAUUGCAAAUUGAUGCUAACAAGAAAAAGCUAGAUCAUAUUCCACAAAAGCAAAAGUGAUAAAACAACCAGCUGGAUUCUUUUAUUAAACUACAAAUUAAAAUGGACUUUUUUUUAAUAAACUAUAUAUGAAACUGGAAUCUUUUGAAUAUACGUGGGGUAGGUUCCCUUUCAAAAAAAAAAGCGGGGUAGGCUCUUUUAUUAAAGACAAGUCACAAGACGAUUAGGGUCUUUUAUUAAACUACAAAUUGUAUAAUAUUUUUCAAAUUGUACAGACAUUUAUAAAUUGGUGGUCCCUUGGAAAUUUAAUGCCAAUCAGAGAAAAGUCAUCAUGCACAAUCUUCAAUAAUUGUUUCGAUAUUUAUAAAUUGGUAGCCCUGCGUCUUUAAUAAAUGAAAUCAUGUUACGAUUGCAUAUAGUCGUUAGAUGCACUUAAAUUAGUGAGAUUUAUUAAUAUCUAAUAAUUAGAUAUAAUUAUAACCCAAUACAAUAGUUACACCAAAGUUUCCCCCAAUAAUUAUUCGGAUACUUAUAAAUUGGUGACCCCUUAGUAAUUUUACAGCAGCUUGCAAGUGCCAACUAGUGAAAAGUCAUCAUUCACAAUCUUCCAAGUGAAACAGGGGAUAUACAAAGAUUAAGACAUGUCAUUUUUUUUUUCAUUCCGUUUCAUGUAACUUACACCCAAAUAUAUAAAUAAUAUAAAAUGAAUGGAGAGAUGCCGGAGCAGAUCGGCAGGGUUUGAAUAUGACCUUUGGCGCUUGCUUUUUUUUGUGAUUUUUUUUUUCAUUUUUUCCUUCCUGUCAUUUUAUCAUUUCUUUGGCUUUGUCUCUGUUGCGGGUGUUACUGCAUGCUAACUGUUGCUUGACAAAGUUUGCUAGCUUUUCCUUUUGUUUAUUAAUUUUUUUAUGGUCACAAAGUAUUACUCGUUCUAUUUGACAGUGAUGUGAAUCAAUUUUUCAAUUUUAUAUUUUGUGGUCAAUGUGAAUUCAAUUUCAGUUGUCUCCUGCAAUUAUGAAAAAAUUGCAGUCAUAAUAUGGAAAAGUACGCGGGCAAAAAUUUUGUAAAAGCUUCGGAGUGAUACGGGGAAUUCACUUACUACUAAGGACAAUUGGUGGCAAGCUAUUCCAUUCAUUUUAUGUCCAUCCAUCUAUUUAGUUAUUGAAGACUAGUGGUCUAUUUAUAAAUUUCAGAUUGUUUCUCUCUCUCUCUCGAAAUAACAAUAUUUAAAAUAGAGUAAUGAUACAGCUACAAACUCUUGUACAAACUUAUUUUGUACAAACUGACGUGACAUUAAUUCAUUGGUUGAAUGAAAAUAUAAAUUAAUAAAAACAAAUCAUGUGGGACAAGUGAUAUUUAAUUCAACCAAUCUUAUCAUGUCAUAUCAGUUUGUACAAAAUAAGUUUGUAUAAGAGUUUGUGGCAGUAUCAUUACUCUUUAAAAUAUCUCUUAAAUUAUUAUAAAUUUUAAUUUACUCUCGAUUUAAAAUGGAGCAUGUCAAUAAAUUUUUUUUCUUCUUAAUAAAAUUGACGUAAGUUGUGUUUACAGUAGUUUGAAGUUUGAAAUAUUUUAAAGAUUAUUAUUCUAUAAGGGAGUAAUAUGAAAUGAAAUUUACUUUUCAUGUGUGAAAUGAAAAAGGACGAAGCAAGUGUCCCUGCUUUUAUUUUAUUUCAAGGAGGAGUCAUCUCACAGACUUUAGCUCUUAACAUUACAUUUUUUCUGGUUACAUUUUUAUUUUUUAUUUAUUUUUACACAUGCGUGUGGGUUGCUUUUCUGUAAGCUCCUUAAUAUAUAUUUAAGACAAAUUAUGGAAGAGAUGGGAUUAUAUCAAGAUGAUCAAACCAUGUAAAAAAAGAAAAAAGAAAAAAAAUUAAGAAGUAAGACACUGAAAAUGGAGAAGAGAUGGAAUCAAAAGAUAUUCCAAAACAAAGCAAUCUGUCCCCUUUCCAGGGCAGACUUAUCAGGUUUAAAAAAGUACAUGCUUUGGAUUGGUAGUUGCAAUCAAUUGAAAAUAAAUAGGAUCCAAUGAAAUUUAAAUUUCGGAGAAAUAAAAUAAUCAUGCAGAUUUUUAAGAUUUUAAUAAGAGAUACUAAUAUCUUAUUUUGAUUAAUAAUAUUCUUUCACUGUGUUAACUCAAAAAAAUAUAUUUUAAAGUUUUACAGUAAAUAAAAAUAUAAUAUUAAAAUAAAUGUGACAAAUAUAUAUAUAUAUAUAUAUAUAUAUAUAUAUAUAUUAAAUAAUUUCAAUAAAAAAACAUUUUAAUGUUUUACAAUCUACUACACAUAUUUUAUUAAGUUAAUAUAAUUUUUCAAAUAAAUAGGGACAUAAUAUUAAAAUAAAUUUAUAAAAAUUUAAAUUAUUUUGAAUUUAAAAUAAUUUUAAUAUUAUUAAUAUUUUAUAUAUGUUUUAUUAAUUAUAAGAAUUAUUUAACCCAAAGUUUUUUUAUAAAUAUUUUCAGUGGAUAUAAAUAUAUUAUUUAUACUUUGAUUAUUUAACCAUUAUUAGUCUACAAUUAUUUAUAAUUAUAUUUUCAUUUAUUAGAAUACAGUUAAAGUCAAAUCUUUUGCACUUUUACCUAGCUAGAAUUAUUGCACACAGAGAAAUAAACAUAUAUUCUUUAUAACUUUAGAAAUCGGUUUUUUUUAUAGCUGGGAACAGAGAUGAUGAUUAUUAUAAGGAUGGAGAAAAGGAUAAAAAAUAUCAAUGAUUAACAAAGUCUCUGUGCAAAUUGAUUUUAGCAGUAAAAUAGUGAGCUGAAUGAUGUACGCGAUUAGUGGUAAUAGAAAUCUUCUCAUAAAUCUCCUUUUUGAGUUAUAGUUAUUUUAUUUCCGAAAUAUCCUUUUUCUUCUUUAAUACACUUCUAAUUUUUCAUUUAAUUUUUUUAUUGUUAAACUCAAAAUAUUAUUGUGAUAUUUUUCGUGUCUUUUGCAAUCUUAUUAUUACUCUACACACGAAUUAAAAAAAUUUUUUAGGUGAUGAACUUUUGAAUGUUAAUCUUGGCUUAAAUUUCACAUAUUUUACAUUAUAAUAUAAAAUUAAUUACAAAAAUAUUUAAUCAAUAAAAAUUAUAAAAAAUAAAUUAUUUUAAAUUUAUACAAUUUAUUUUAAUUAGAUAAGCAGUAACAACUACAAAAAGGAUUUGGUUAUGAAAUUUGUUGCAGCUUAAUAUUCCACAAAAGCAAAUCGUAAUAUUCCACAAAGGAGUACGAUCCACAAAAGCAAACAACCAGCUGGAUUUUUUUAUUAAGCUACAAAUUAAAGUGGAAUCGUUUAUUAAACAACAAAUUAAAGUUUGAAUAUUUAAGUAGUAGUGCGUUAGAUGNNNNNNNNNNNNNNNNNNNNNNNNNNNNNNNNNNNNNNNNNNNNNNNNNNNNNNNNNNNNNNNNNNNNNNNNNNNNNNNNNNNNNNNNNNNNNNNNNNNNCUUGUAGCUAAUUUGUCAAUAAUAUUAAACUACAAGUGCUGACAACAAGUGCGAUGCUCUUUUUCUAAAGAGAAUUAAAGUUGGUCCCGAAUAGGACGUGCCUAAAUCUGUUUAAAUUUUUUCCAGUAAAACUAACAGAGGUCAUUACUAGAAUUAUUUAUAUUGUUUUAUAUUUAUUAACAAAUUUUAAAGUCAAUCUUUUUAAUUAUUAUUCAAAAGAUAUUAUAAUUAAAAAAUAGUGUCUACUAUUAAAAAUUUAGAAAUUUACAUUACCGUUCUCUUAAAUCUCUAAAUAUUUAAGAUGUAAUUGUUAUUUUCCUUUUAUAUAUAUUAGGAAAUAGAACCGCGCUUCGCGCGGUUUGAGAAAAAAAAAUUAGUAUUAUUAUUUUUUCUCACUUUGCAUUUGAUGAAAUUGAUAAAAAAUUAUGAAUUAUUUUUUUUAAGAUGAGACAGCCUCAUAAAACUAAUGUCAUUUAUGAAAUAAUUAUUUUUUUUGUUAACUUUUAAAAUAUAUAUUAAUAUGUAUAGUGUAAGUGUACAUACCUUAUACCUUUUGUAGUUGUUGAUAAGUUCCAAGUUAUACUCAACUUGCUAAUCUGUUAGAACUUUUAUAUAUCUUUUUUUUUCUAACUAGUUCCAACGAUCUCAAUAUCACCCACACUACAUAAACUUCUGACAACGUCUGUAAUAUUAUGAAAAAAUAAUAUAAAUAUGUUAAAACAUAAGGAUCAAUAAUUUCUAAUAUACACUUAAAGAUUAACGAACAUUAAUAAUUUAAAAAUAAUAUCUGAGAGGAUUGUAUUAUCAUUCACACGUAUAUCAAUCAAAUUCAGAGAUAUGAAUUGAAAUCUAUUAAUCGAAAUCUUAACAGUUCCUUCUUCUAAACUCUUAAGUGAAGUUAUAAGCAAGAAAAUUAAUUUUAUACUGAUUUGAAAGUAGUCUGUACUCGCCUGUAGUUGAAACAACUUUCAAAUUCUUGACACUAUACAAAGAACCAUCACUCAACAUGUGCCUAAACCUUGUCACUAAAUUUUUCUUAGUUGUUGCAUGCAUUAGAAUGUCCUAUAAAAAAGAAAAACAUGCUACAUUAAGCGUAAAACAAUUGGGAAAAAAAAGAGAAAAUAAGGGGAGAAUGAAUUUUUUAUACAACCUUUUCAUCAAUAAAAAUUAUGUUCACACUAAUCAAUUAUCCAUUCUUUUUAGUAUUAACAGACUCCCACAUCCUAAAAAACAUAAUCCUUAUCAUCUAACUAUCUUUAUCAUUGUUCAACUCAUGAAGAAAAUAGUACUUCAUGAAGCACACAAUACAAAAACUUUAAAAAGUCAAAAAUAAAAUCAUGAGGAUAUUUUUAAAGAGGAUAUUGGUUAAAUAUUUAAAAAAAACUCAAACAUAACAAAUAUUAAAUACUUAAUGUUUAAAGAGUUUUAAGAAGUCAAAAGACACAAAACAAAAUGUUGAAUAAUUAAAUAUGAGAUUAUUGCAUUAAAAUUAUACUCUAAUGCCAUUGGUGAGAGAAGAUGAAGGAACCUUCCUUCAUUUAAUAAUUAGUUUAUGUAUUUUAAGCCACUAAAGUUUAGUUGUUGGCUUAAUAAAAUAAAUGAAUGUUUCAAGACUUAUAAUUAAUUAUUAUUAAUGGUUACAUAUUGUUGAAUUUAAUAGAAAGAUGAAGAGACAUGUAAUCUUUUGCAAUCUAAUAAUUAUUUUCUAUUUUUAAUACUUUGUAAUGUAAUUAUUUUUUAAUUGCAACCAAUUUAUUAAAUAAUAGAGAAUAUAAGAAGAUGAGAAAUGGUGAUGCCACAUCACCUCCUGUAGUCCCAGCUUUAUAUAUAUACUAGGAAAUAGAACCGCGCUUCGCGCGACUUAAAAAAAAUUAAUAUAAUUUUUUUCUUACUUUGCACUUGAUGAAACUGAUAAAAAUUAUGAAUUAAUUUUUUUAAAGAUGACACAACUUUAUAAAACUAAUAUUAUUUAUGAAAGUUCAUUUUUUUGUUAACUUUAAAAAUAUAUAUUAAUGUGUACACAAUAUUUUCAUCAAUAAAAAUUAUGUUCACAAUAAUCAAUUCUCCAUUCUUCUUGAUAUUAACAGACUCCCAUAUCCUAAAAUCUAACCUUUAUCAUCCAAUUAUCUUUAUCAUUGUUCAACCCAAGAAAAUAGUACUCUAUGAAGCACACAAUACUAAAAUUUUAAAAAGUCAAAAAAUAAAAACACAAGAACAUUUCUAAAGAGGAUGUUAGUUAAAUAAUAAAAAAAACUCAAACAUAAUAAAUCUUAAAUACUUAAUGUUUAUAGAGUUUAAAGAAGCCAAAAGACACUAAACAAAAGGUUGCAUAAUUAAAUAUGAGAUUAUGACAUUACAAUUAGGCCCUAAUGACAUUGUUGAGGGAAAAUGAAGGAACUUUCCUUUCUAUAUUAAUUAAUUGAUGUAUUUAAAACACUAAAGUUUAAUUAUUGGCAUAAUAAAAUAAAUGAAUGUUUCAAGACUUAUAAUUAAUUAUUAUUAAUGGUUACAUAUUAUUGAAUUUAAAUAAACAGAGGAAAGGACAUGUAAUCUUUUGUAAUCUAAUAAUUAUUUUUUAUUUUUAAAAUUUUGUAAUGUAAUUAUUUUUUUAAUCUCAACCAAUUUAUUAGAUAAUAGAGAAUACAAGAAGAUGAAAAAUAGUAAUGUCACAUCACCUCUUCUAGUUAAUUAAUUGAUGCAUUUAAGCUACUAAAGUUUAGUUGUUGGCUUAGUAAAAUAAAUGUAUGUUUCAAAACUUAUAAUUAAUUAUCAUUAAUGGUCACAUAUUGUUGAAUUUAAAUAGAAAGAGGAAGAGACAUGUAAUCUUUUGUAAUCUAAUAAUUAUUUUCUAUUUAUUUUUUAUUUUUAAUAUUUUGUAAUGUAAUUAUUUUUUAAUCUCAACCAAUAUAUUAGAUAAUAAAGAAUAUAAAAAUAUGAGAAAUAAUGAUGCCACAAAUCUUAAUUACUUAAUAUUUAUAGAGUUUGAAGAAGGCAAAAGACACUAAACAAAAUGUUGCAUAAUUAAAUAUGAGAUUAUGAUAUUAAAAUUAGGCCCUAAUGGUAUUGUUGAGGGAAGAUGAAGGAACCUUCCUUCCUAUAUUAAUUAAUUGAUUUAUUUAAGCCACUAAAGUUUAAUUGUUGGCAUAAUAAAAUAAAUGAAUGUUUCAAGACUUAUAAUUAACUAUUAUUAAUUGUUACAUAUUAUUGAAUUUAAAUAGAAAGAGGAAGAGAUAUGUAAUCUUUUGUAAUCUAAUAAUUAUUUUUAUUUUUAAAAUUUUGCAAUAUAAUUAUUUUUUUAAUAUCAACCAAUUUAUUAGAUAAUAGAGAAUGCAAGAAGAUGAAAAAUAGUGAUAUCAUAUCAUCUCAUCUAGUCCUAACUUUAUUAUCUAUGUAAGAAAAUAAAAAAAUAGUAAUGGCACAGCACCUCCCCUAGUCUCAUCUUUAUAUAUAUAUAUAUAUAGAUAUAUAAAAACCACGGUGGUGAAACUUUAUUUAAUAUUAUUGAUUUAAAUAACAAUAUCUCAAUUAAAAAUGAACAGAGAAGAAAUUUCGGUGGGUAUAUUAGUCUUUUACAAUUAUCAUGAUUAGCCCUUCCUCUUGUAACGUUGGUCAGAAAAGUUUUCUUUUACUUUUAACGUUAGCGGCCUUCCUUAUAUUUUAUUACAAAUUAAUCCUAACAAGAAAAAGCGAGAUCAUAUUCCACAAAAGCAUAAGUGACAAAACAACCAGUUGGAUUCUUUUAUUAAACUACAAUUUAAAAUGGUUUUAAAGUGGAUUCUUUUGAAUACAGGUGGGGUAGACGAUUAGGCUUUUUCAAAUUCUUGUUUUAUUAUUUUUCAAAAACUAGUUUUUGGUAAUUACAAUCGGGUCAUUAAUCAUUAUUCAGUGUUAGUUUUAUCUUCGGGGGCAGUGGGUAAAAGGCUAAAUGAUAAUUACUACCUGUUUUUCCUUCAAAAGUUAGUGGCUCGUGUUUUGCAAGUGUGAACGUGCGAUGCUCUUUGUCUAAGGGCAAUUACAGUGGGUCCCGAAUCGGACGUGCCUAAAUCUUUUAAAAAAUUUUCCGGUAUAACGGACAUAGGCCAUUACUAAAAUUUCUCUUCCACAGGCAAUUACAGCAGCUCGAGUUUAUCAAACUCAACCAAUUUUCUUUCUUAACAAAAUCCAAAGAUGUGUAGCAUUUUUCAGAUCACAUGCGAUGGUGCUUUUUUCAAUCGUUGCUUGGAUUGCUUUCUUGGAAAAGCAGCGUACAUAAGCAACCUCCAAGAUAAUCUUGUAGCCUUGGAGACUAAAAUGGGAAAUCUGAUCGCAGCAAAGAACGAAGUGAUUAUGAGGGUUGUCGCUACUGAACGGCAACAAUUGAGAAGGCUGGACCGAGUGCAAGUGUGGGUUUCCAGGGUGGAAGCUGUUAAAAUUGAAGCUGAUGAACUUAUCAGAGACGGCUCUCAAGAAAUUGACAAAUUAUGUGUUGGAGGCUACUGUUCUACGAACUGCACGUCAAGCUACAAGUUCGGGAAACAAGUGGCUAAAAAGCUACGAGAUGUGGAGACUUUAAUCGCCGAAGGAGUUUUUGAGGUGGUGGCUGACAGAGCUCCAGAGUCUGUAGCAGAUGAAAGACCUACUGAGCGAACACUAGUAGGCUUGCAAUCACAACUUGAACAAGUCUGGAGAUGUCUUAUAGAAGAAUCAGCGGGAAUCAUUGGCCUAUAUGGUAUGGGCGGUGUUGGUAAAACUACACUAUUGAUCCAUAUCAACAAUAAAUUUCUCGAGAGUCGAACCAACUUUGAUUUUGUGAUUUGGGUAGUAGUUUCAAAAGACCCGCGACUCGAAAAAAUUCAAGAAGAUAUUGGGAAAAGGAUAGGUUUGGUUGAUGAUUCAUGGAAGAGUAAAAGUGUAGAGGAGAAAGCUCUCGACAUCUUCCGGAGUUUAAGAGAGAAGAGAAUUGUAUUGUUGUUAGAUGAUAUAUGGGAGCGGCUUGAUUUAACAAAAGUGGGCGUUCCACUUCCCGGACCAAAAAAUACUACCUCAAAAGUCGUAUUCACAACCCGUUUCUUCGAUGUUUGUGGUAGCAUGGAAGCUCACAGGACGUUCGAAGUGGCAUGCUUAUCAGAAAAGGAUGCUUGGGAACUGUUUCAAGAAAAAGUAGGAGAAGAAACUCUUAAGAGUGAUCAUGAUAUCGCUGAGCUAGCCCAAACCGUGGCCAAGAAGUGUGGUGGUUUGCCGCUCGCACUUGUUACUAUUGGUCGAGCUAUGGCCAGCAAAAAGACAGCCGAGGAGUGGAGACAUGCAAUUGAAGAGUUAGGAAGAUCAGCUUCAGAGUUUCCAGGUUUGGGAAAAGAGGUGUAUCCUGUUUUAAAAUUCAGUUAUGAUAGUUUGCCGAAUGAGACGAUUAGAUCUUGUUUCUUAUAUUGUUGUUUAUAUCCUGAAGAUUAUGGCAUUCUUAAAUGGGACUUGAUUGAUUGUUGGAUUGGUGAGGGAUUCUUAGAGGAAUCUAACAGGUUUGGUGCAGAAAACCGAGGAUACUACAUUGUGGGCACUCUUGUUCAUACGUGUUUACUAGAAGAGAUAGAAGAUGAUAAAGUAAAAAUGCAUGACGUUGUUCGUGAUAUGGCUCUAUGGAUAGCUUGUGAAACUGAGAAGGAGAAGAUAAACUUUUUGGUUUGUGCAGGUGCUGGAUUAAAGGAGGCACCGGAUGUUAAAGGAUGGGAAAAUGUGAGAAGAUUGUCAUUGAUGCAAAACCAAAUUAAAGUUCUGUCAGAGGUUCCUACAUGCCCUCAUCUCCUCACUUUAUUUCUUGACUUUAAUAGAGAGUUAAUGAUGAUCGCGGGUGGCUACUUCCAAUUUAUGCCUUCUCUCAAAGUUUUGAAGAUAUCAAACAUUGGGUAUUUCAACGUUUUGAAAUUACCUUUGGGGAUGUCAAAGUUGGGUUCACUAGAACUUCUCGAUAUUUCACAUAGCAGCAUAGAGGAGUUACCAGAAGAGUUAAAGUUGUUGGUAAAUCUGAAAUGUCUGAAUUUGAGGUGGACAGAUGUGUUAAAUAAAAUUCCACGGCAACUAAUAUCAAAUCUUUCAAGGGUACGUGUGUUGAGAAUGUUCGCUACUGGCUAUGAUCGUUUUCAUGAAGCAUCAGAAGACAGCGUUUUAUUUGGUGGGGGUGAAGUUUUGAUACAGGAAUUGCUCGGUUUGAAAUAUUUAGAGGUAUUGGAGUUGACCUUGGGAAGUUAUCAUGCUCUCCAAAUUCUUUUGAGCUCAAAUAAGUUAAAAAGUUGUAUUCGAUCUCUUCUCCUCUUCGGGUUCAGAGGUACAAAGUAUUUUAUUGAUGCUACGGCUUUCGCAGAUCUAAAGCACCUCAAUGAAUUACAGAUUCAUGAUUGUAGGGGGUUGGAAGAGUUGAAGAUUGAUUACACAGAGAUAGCACAAAAAAGGCGGGAACCUUUUGUUUUCCGCAGCCUUCGUCGUGUUACUAUGGUUUCGUGCCAUAAAUUGAAAGAUUUGACAUUCCUCGUUUUUGCUCCAAACCUCAAGUCUAUUUCGCUAGGCGAUUGCGAUGCUUUGGAAGAAAUAAUCAGCGUUGGAAAAUUUGCUGAGGUUCCUGAGAUGAUGGGACAUCUAAGCCCUUUCGAAAAUCUCCAAAAUCUUGACCUAUCGUAUUUGCUGGCUUUGAAGAGCAUCUACUGGAAGCCAUUGCCUUUCACUUAUCUGAAAGAAAUGGUGGUAAAUGGGUGUGAUCAACUUAAAAAGCUUCCACUCGAUUCCAGCUGUGCAGAAGAGCGUAAAUUUGUUAUUCGCGGAGAAGCACACUGGUGGAACUGCCUUGAAUGGGAGGAUGAAGCCACUCAAAUUGCUUUUCGUUCCUGUUUCCAGCCUUAUUCCUGAGUGGUGGUUGCAAAAUUUGAUUUCUGGUGUGGUCUUUUAUUCUCUGUUUUUAUUUAAGUUUCUUUUCCUUUCCUUUUCCUUUUUUUUUUUAAUUUCUCCUGCAAAUCACAAUUAAACAUUGAAUUAUAUGGAAUUAAUGCUUUAUAAAUUUGCCGGCACUGCCUUUUUUUUUUUUUGUCGGAGUGAUACUCUAGCUUUUGACUUUUGGUUGUCAAAUUCUGCUCUGCCUUUUUAAAUUGAUGCUUUAUUUAUAUUUUCUUAGUGAUUUAGUUUCCUGUCAAAAGACGAACGAGAAGAACAUUUGAAUUAAAUAAAUGCUCGCAAAUUUGCGGUAAAAAGAUGUAAUUAGCCGAGAAAAUAUUAAAUAUAGUAGCCCUCUUUACAGAAAAUCAAGUGGAAGUUAAUUCAGCAAGUUAUAUUCUUGAUUAAUUCCUUUUCUGAAGUUUUUAUUUUCUAUGGUCAAUUAUACCUUCAUACUAAAAAUUGCUGCUAUUGGGUGUUGAGUGUUAUGCUAAAAUUUUGCCCUAUUUUGGGCCAAUAUUUUAGAAGUGAAACAUACUUCAGAGUUGAAGUAAACUUUGAAAAUAGAGAUAAUGAUUAAUUUAGAAGAGAUGCAAGUAAAAGAUAUUCUAAAAAAAAAAAAGCAAUAUGUCCCUUUGGAGGGCAAACUUGUCAGUUUGAAAAAGUUACAUGCUUUGGAUUGAUAGUUGCAGGAUAUUUGUUUUGUCACUGUGUAUUAGGUGCGUUUGGAAUUGAAGUGUUGUAGUUUUUAAGUUAUAAUUGUUGUAAAAAAAAAUUGUAACUAUAAAACAAAAGUUAAUAAUAUAUAAUAAAUUUAAAUUUAAAUAAUAAUUUUAAUAAAAUUAUUAAAGAUAUAAUAGAUUAUUUAUUAUACAAGUGAAAAUUAUAUCAACAUAUCUUUCAAGUUACAAUAGUUAUUGAUUACUAAACACUUUACUGUUGUAACUUUUAAGUUAUAGCUAUUUAACCUCAAUUCCAAACGCAUCGGAGAAGUCACGCCUAGUGAAGAAUGUUAUGAAAGAGCAAAGGAUAUUCCUAAUCGAGCUCUAUUUGAUUAUGUAUCCAGUGAAUGGAUGUGUUGUUGGAAGAUAUUUGAGUGCAUUAGUUCAUUUGUGUCGGUCAAUGUGCUUUUAAUGAUUUUUCCACUUGUUUGUUGUAAAAGAUUAUUGUAAAUUGAAAUGAAUUGGAUGUUGUAAUAUUUUCUCUUUAGUGGAAUUUCACCUUGUAUGUAUUCAGUUGUGUUGUCUAAAAUUUUACAUUCGAAUAAGUUUUCACCUAAAAUAUUAGCAUGAGUUGUGGCCCUUGAAACUUUGGUCAAAAUUAUUGUUAUUAUUUCUUACUAGAUGUAAACUUUUUAUUAAACCUCGUUAACAUAAUUCUUAAUUAAAAGUAUAGGUUAGUGUCGGUGCAGAAUUUGCAACACCAAAUCCUGCCUAGGCAAGUGUCAAAAGUGCAAAAUAAAUGAAGAGAAAGCACGAAUACAUGAUUUAGAUUAGGAUAGAAGGAAACUUAAAUCCUAGAGAAAAGGAUAGCUAUAUCCCAAGAUUUAAAAAAAUAGUCAUGUAGAUUUUUAAGAUUUCAAUAAGCGACUAAGAUUUUCUUUUGACAAAUAAUUUCCUUUAGCUCUAUUAACAAAAAAAAUAAAGACUCAAAUAUUUUAUAAUAAAUAAAAUAUAAUAUUAAAAUAUAUGUGAUAAUAUAGAAAUUUUAAAUAAUUUCAAUCCAAAUAAAUAGUUAUGUUUUACAAGCUAUUAAACAUAUUUUAUUAAAUUAAUAUAAAUGUUUUAUAAAAUAGGAACAUAAUAUUAAAAUAAAUUUACAAAAUUUUUAAGAAUUUUGAAUGUAAAAUAAUUUUAAUAUAUUAAUACGUGAGAUUUUUUUAUUAUUAUAAAAAUUAUUUAACUUUAAGAUUUUUUAAAAUCCUUACAAUAAGUAUAAAUAUAUUAUUUACAUUUAAAAAUAUUUAAAUAUUAUUAACCUACAAUUAUAUUUGCAUUUAUUAGAAAAUUUUAAAGUCAAAUAUUUUGCACUUCUACAUUAUUAGAAUUAUUGAACACAAAGAAAGAAACAUAUAUGCUUUAUAGCUUUAGAAAUUGUUUUCUUUUACAUCUGGAAACAAAGAUGAUGAUUAUUAUAAGGAUAAAAAAUGGAUAAAGAAUAUUAAUGAUUAACGAAAUCUCUGUGCAAAUUGAUUUUAGUAGAAAAAGAGUGAGAUGAAUGAUUUCUUUUACAACUAGAAACAAAGAUGAUGAUUAUUAUAAGGAUGAAAAAAAGAUAAAGAAUAUUAAUUAUUAAUGGAAUCUCUAUGCAAAUUGAUUUUAGUAGAAAAAACGAGCUAAAUGAUUUAGACAUUCAUUCUGUGUUUAUUUUUGUGAUUAGCAUUAAAAAUUGUUUAAUUAUCAAACGAUAAUAAUGUUAUUUUGUACUUAUGUUAUAAUUUAUAUUUGUGUUUAUGUAAUAUAUUAGAAAUUAUUAAUUAUGUUUUAAAUAUAUCUAAUUUUGAGUAUAUUUGUGUGUUUAUUAGGAAAAAUAUUAAUUUUAGAUAAAUUGAGGCUCCAAACAAUUAAACGGAGGUCAAAUUUGGAUUCCGGAGGUUUGAAAACCUUAAGAUCAGUCAAGAUCGGCUUAAAAUUAGGUUUGUGUAAAAAGAGUUGACUUUUUCUGCUGACCGAGCACUGAUUGGAUGAUGAAAUGAGCUUACAAUAGAUAUGAGUGCAUGGGAUAACUGGCAAUUUUGACUAAAUCUCAACCGUUCAUGAUUCAAUGGCCAUGAUUGUGCCAUGUGGUAGUGGUUGAUGAAGCAAGUUGUAGGAUCUGAAUCUUUGUAUACGGGUCGACCUGAUCCGCCCAUUAACUCGCCAAAUCACAACCGUUCUUUGGCCAAAUCGGACGAGUCAAACGAUGCCACAUGUGAAGUUGACUUUUGAAGUUUGACCAGCCAUUGGAUCUUGAUCUAAAGGUUGUGAGAGCAUGAAGCUUAUGGAGCUUAUGAUGGACCGCAAAACACUGGAUUAUAAAUUUAUUUUUCUAUAAAUAGAGCCUCAUUUUUAUGUUUUUAAUUAUCUCUACAUCUCUCUUCUUCUCAAAUUCUCUCCAUCUCCCUGUAAUAUUUUGUAUAAUUAUUUUAUUAAAUAAAUUUAGUUUUAUUUUCAAUUUUAGUUGUUUUUAUUACUUUUAAUUAUAAGUAAUUAAAUUUUAAUAUUUCUUUUUAUUUCAAUUAUGCUUAACUAAAUAAUAUUAGUUGGGGUAAGGUGAAACUCUUAGGAAAUAAAUAUGAUUUAAUCAAAUUUUAUUUUUAAUUUUAUAAAUUAAAUUAUUUUCUAUUUAAUUUUAUACAUAUUUUAUAUUUUAAAAUUUUGAUUUAUUGUAGACAAACAAAUAAAUUUGGCACAAUAAAUUCUUAAGAUCUUAAUAUAAGGUAUGGUAAAAUGGUAUUUUGACUUAUUGUAGACAAAUUAAAUUUUGACACAAUAAAUACUUAAUCCAUCAUAAAAUUAGAGGGAAAAUAAUAAUAAUUUAUAUAAUUAAUCUUUUGGGCAAUAAAUUUAAAAAAAUAGCAAAAAGAAUUUAUUGAGUUUUAUUUACUACUAAGAGUGGAUCCACAAUCCUAACUAGAUCAAUUUCAUAAUUUCAUUUAAAUUAAGUUGUUUUUAUUCAAGUUUUUAUUUCAAUUUUUAGAUAAAAUAAAUUAAAUUAAUUAAAUCUUUUCUCUGUAGAUCGACCUCAGACUCACCGAGGACUGACCAAGGUAUAAUACAACAAGACACUCUUAUAAUUAAGAGUUUAAAAUUACUUUUAAGUUGUGUCAUUUUGGAUUGGUGAAUUAGAAUUAUUGACAACGCUAACUUCAUCUUCACAAUUUGCAAUCCAAUAGCAGCAAUUGUCACCGAUAAUGAUAUCUCCAAUGAUAAUGACGAUUUUAUUAUUAUUAUUGAUAAAAAGUAUUAUAAUUAAUUAAUAUAUUAAUGUUAAUAUUAUUAUUAUUAAGAUUAACAAUAAUUAUUAAUAAUAACAAUUUUUUGAAUAAAAAUAAUUACAAUAAUUUAAAUAUAAAUUAAUAAUUAUGACAAUAAUUAAUUAAUGUCUUUUUAAUAAUUUACUGAUUAUCACAGUUCAAGUAAACAAAUUAUUAUGAUUCCUAUUCUCCAUUUCCAUUUCAGCUCACUCCGAUUCCAAUCCAUUUCGACUUCUGCCUAAAAAACUCACCAUUAGUGCUAUAGUAAUAUUUCAUAUAGAGAAAAGUAAAAUCUACACCUAAGAUUAAGGUAAAGGACUUCAAAACUCUCUUUUGAUUAUAAUACCUUUUGUCCUAAUUAACUUAAAGAUUUUGAAUCUAAUAUUUUAUAAUAAAUAAAAAUAUAUUCCUAAAAUAAAUAUAAUAUCAAUAUUUAAAGUAUGUUUUAAUAUUUUACAAUCUAUCAGACACAUUUUAUUAUAUUAAAGUAAAUUUUAUAAUAAAUACAAACAUACUAUUAAAAUGAAUAUACAAAAAAGUUUAGAGUAUUUUGAAUAUUAUAUAAAAUAAUUUUAAUAUAAUGCGUGAGAUAUAUUUUAUUAAUUUAAAAUGCUAUUUUACCUAAAAAUUUAUUUAUGAUAAAUUAAUAAUUAUAUUUUUAAAAUUAUUUUAAAUAUUAUAAAAAAUUUAAUAUUAUUAGUGUUUUAGAUAGAUUAAAUUAUUUUAAAAUGCCUUAAUUGUUUUUACUUUUAACGUUACCGGCCUUUCUUAUAUUUUAUUGCAGCUAACAAGAAAAAGCCAGAUCAUAUUCCACAAAAGCAAAAGUGACAAAACAACCAGCUGGAUUCUUUUAUUAAACUACAAAUUAAAGGAUCCCAUUAUCUUACAACUAAUGUAAGAUACAUCCCUCACAUAAAUAGUAUAUAAACUCCACAUAUAUACUGUUCAUGUGAGGAAAUGUACCUUACAUUAAGAUAGUGUUUGCCCAAAUUAAAAUAGAUUUUUUCGAUGAACUACAAAUUAAAGUGGAUUCUUUUGAAUAUAGCUGGGGUUAGGGUAGGCUCUUUUAUUUAAGGCAAGUCUAGAGUAGUCAAAGACGAUUAGGCUCUUUUAUUAAACUACAAAUUGUAUAGUCUUUUUCAAAUUGUUCAGAUGCUUAUAAAUUAGUGGCCCCUUGUAAAUUUAACUGGAAGUGCCAAUCAGAGAAAAGUUCAAUUCUAAAUAAUUGUUCCGAUAUUUAUAAAUUGGUGGCCCCUACAAUCCUCAAUAAUUGUUCCGAUAUGUAUAAAUUGAUGGCCCCUACAAUCCUCAAUAAUUGUUCCUAUAUUUGUAAAUUGGUGGCCCCUUAGAAAUUUAACCGCAAGUCUGCAAGUGACAAUCGGAGAAAAGUCAUAAUUUACAAUCUUCCAAGGGAAGUAGGGAACCAGGGGAUAUACAAAGAUUAAGACAUGUCAUUCAUUUUUUUGGCUGCAUUCCCUUUCGUGUUCUUAAUAAUUGAAGACAGGUUGUUCAUUACAUGCUUACUUUUCAAAUGUGGAGCCGCAGCUAAUGUCGCUACUUUAAUUUGGGAUUAAAUUAGGGAAACAUUAUAUUGUAGUAUGCACUAACUUGAUGUUUAUCUAAACUCCUUAAAUUUAAGACAGAUUAUGGCAUAAAUAAGAAUAUAACGAUAACAAAAGAGUAUAUAAAAUAUUUAGAGUAUUUUGAAUAUUAUAUAAAAUAAUUUUAACAUAAUGCAUGAGAUAUAUUUUAUUAAUUUUAAAUGCUAUUUAACCUAAAGAUGUAUUUAUGAUAAAUUAAUGAUUAUAUUUUUGAAAUUAUUUCAAAUAUUAAAAAAUUAAUAUUAUAGACUAAAUUAUUUAUAUUAUUUUUUAUUUAUUAAAAAAUUUUUAAGUCAAUCUUUUUAAUUACUAUUCAAAGAAUAUAAUGAUUAAAAAAAUCUUUAUGCCUUCAUUAAAAAUUUAAAAAUUUACAUAACGAUUUCUAUAAAUAUUUAGGGUAUAUAUGAAGCACGGUGGAGAAGCUUUAUUUAAUAUUAUUGAUUUAAAUAAUAUCUCAAUUAAAAAUGUACAGAGAAGAAAUUUCGGUGGGUAUUUUAGUCUUUUCAGCAAUUAUCAUGACCAGAUCUGCCUUUGGCCUUGAAACGUCGGUCAGAAAAGUUUUAAAGUGCUUUAAUUGUUUUUAAGGCCGCUAAUAACUCUGCUCGUGCAAGUUGAGGAUAAAUGUUAAAUUAAUUACAAAAGCAAAAGGCUAAUUUAUUGAAGACAAGUAAAGCAGUCACGAAUGGUACAUGCCUAAUCUUUUCUAUAUUUACAGAAACACAAUUUUUUUUCAAUCCGCCGCAGCUUCUGUUAAAAUUAUCUUGGUUUCUCGUAGUUGAUUUCUAUUAUCCCAAAAAAAAAAAAAAGGUAACUGUUGAUGCCGAAAAAUGAUUUCAACAGCUGAAUUUAUUUUUUUUGGAGAAUUACAGUGUGAAUCCAAGCUCAAACGCAAGUCUGAUCGCAACUUUCUAUAUCUGCUAAUCAGAAAACACAGUUAGGAUACGCCGGUGGGGUUUCGGCUAGACCUUCCGAUACUUAAGUCAGAAAUUAUGUAUAAAAGGAGAAAAAUGAGAAUGAAGAAUUAUGAAUGAGUUAAAGUCAAGUAAUUUUCCGGUAGAGGGGUUGAAAAUCUUGUAGAAGCUUUGGUUGAUUUUGCUAACCCCUUCACCUGAUGCGCUCUUCAGUUUAAAUAGACUCUUGGUCGUGUACGGUUACCUCCUUAACUUCAGAAGUUGCAAGUGGUUGUCAGUUGGAGGUGGUUUAAAUAGAUCGUGGCACACAACUUCCUUAUAAAUUAGGCCACGUUCUCUUAACUAGCAAUUUUCCAUGUCAAGCUAAUUCUCAGGUCGGACAAGAGAAUUUCAAGGUCGGAUUACUUCACUUUCAGAUUAGACAGAUGAAUUUCUCAGUCGCUCAUAUAACGUUAAGGUUGUAUUCUUAAACUAAGUCAUUCACAUAGAUCUUAGGUCGUACUUAUAAACCAGGUCGCCAACAUAGGCUCCAGGUUGUACUUAUGAGGUUAGCUCAACAACAAUAAGUUUUGAGUAGAUUAGGAUCGACUAUAUUUUGAGACACUACCAGAAAAAUCCAACCCAAACACCAGUCCCCUAAUUUUCAAUACUGGAAAGUCAUUGCCAGUGUUGGAAACUAAUGGAAAACAUUUCUCAAAACCCAAUACCAGUCCCCUAGUUUUCAAUACUGAGAAGAUAUGAACGGUAUUGGAAACUAAAAUAAUUAAGAAAGAGCAAUAUAGCCACAAGCAAAAGAAAGACGGUGUAGAGCGGAACAAUGAGCAAAGAGAAGAGUAAAAAGAAAACUUCAGGUGUGGACCAAGAAAAUAACCAUGACCAAAUGCCUCGAGGUGAUAGAGUCGGGGUUGAGGGUGAGGUCUUCCUAACUAGUAGGGUUGUUGAAGACCAAGAGAGAACUUCCUAAAUUUAAUUAUUACAAUGCUUGCCCUUUUUUGCAAUAUGAACUUGUGUAGACCGUAUGCUACUGAACUUUAUUUUGCCUUUGUAAUCGGAUAAUUAUUAUGCUGACCUUGCCUUUUUUACUCUUUAUUUACUAGGGUUGGUUAUGAAUUGCAUUCCGUAGACUGAGCCCAUUUAAGACUCUGUUGAGGUCAAACAAAUAGAUAUGGUCAACUUUGGUAGCAAUAACACCAAGCAAUGACCUUGAAUUCACCAAGAUUCUAUCAUUUCGAUAUCAAUCUUGAUAAGGAAAAUGUUGACCUCACGAAAAUAUCAACUUCAACAAGAUAAAUUGUUGACCUCAACAAGAUAAAUUGUUGACCUCAACAAGAUAAAUUGUUGACCUCAACAAGGUUAAGUGUAGAGCUAAAAUGCCAACCUCACGACAAGGAAAAUGUUGACCUCACGAUAAGGAAAAUGUUGACCUCACGAAAAUGUCAACCUUAACAAAAUAGAUUGUCGACCUCAACAAGGUUAAGUGUAGAGCUAAAAUGCUGAACUCACGAUCUCACGACAAGGAAAAUGUCAACCUCACGAAAAUGUCAACCUCAACAAGAUAGAGUGUUGAACGCAAUAAGGUUAAAAUGUAAAGCUAAAAUGCCGACCUAAAAAAAAAUUGAAAAUUGGAGAACUUAAAUGUUAAGCUUAUGAUCAACCUCAACAAGGCAAUGACUGACCUCAAUAAAAUUGAAAAUUGGGCAACGACCUCAACAAGGCAAUGGCCGACCUCAACAAGGCAAUGGCCGACCUUAAAAAAAAUUAAAAAUUGUAGAACUUAAAUGUUAAGCUUAUGGCCGACCUCAACAAAAUUGAACAUUGUAGAACGUAAAUGUUAAGGCUAUGGCCAAACUCCACGAGGCAAUGACCAACCGCAAUAAAUAGAAAAUUGUAGAUUUUAACUUAUGGCCGACCUCAAUAAGGUAAUGGUCGACCUCAACAAAAUUAAACAUUGUAGAACGUAAAUGUUAAGGCUAUGGGCAAACUCCAUGAGGCAAUGACAAACCUCAAUAAAUAGAAAAUUGUAGAAUUUAGCUUAUGGCUGACCUCAAUCAGGCAAUAGCCGACCUCAACAAAAUUGAACAUUGUAGAACGUAAAUGUUAAGGCUAUGGCCAAACUCCACGAGGCAAUGAGCAACUUCAAUAAAUAGAAAAUUGUAGAACUUAGUUUAUGGCUUACCUCAAUAAGAAAAUGGUCGACCUAAAUAAAGUAAAGGCGAAUUUCGAUAAAAUUGAAAAAUGUAGAUCUCAACAAGAUAAAAGUUAAGGCUAUCUAACCACAAGGUAAUAGCUGUCUUCAAUCUCAAAAAGGCCGAAUUACAAUUAGACCUCAACAAGGUCAAAAUGACAAUCUCGAUCUCAAUAAGAUUUGAUAAAUUUUUCAGGUAGGACCUCAACAAGGCAGCAAUGUCGAUCUCAAUCUCAAUAAGAUUGGAUGAAUUUUUCAGGUAGAAUCUCCACAAAGCCGAAAUGCCGAUCUCAAUCUCAAUAAGAUUGGAUAAAAUUUUCAGGUAGGACUUAAAUAAGGCCGCAAUGUCGAUCUCAAUCUCAAUAAGAUUGAAUGAAUUUUUUUCAUGUCAGACCUCAGUAAAGUCGUCAUGUCGAUCUCAAUCUCAAUAAGAUUAGAUAAAUCUUUUCACGUUGGACCUCAAUACGGUCCAAAAAUGCCGAUCUCAAUCUCAAUAAGAUUGGAUAAAAUUUUCAGGUAGGACCUCAACAAAGCUGCAAUGUCGAUCUCAAUCUCAAUAAGAUUGGAUGAAUUUUUUCACGUUGGACCUCAGCAAGGCCGCCAUGUCGAUCUCAAUCUCAAUAAUAUUGGAUAAAUCUUUUCAUGUUGGACCUCAAUACGGUCCAAAAAUGCCGAUCUCAAUCUCAAUAAGAUUGGGUAACUUUUUCAUGUUGGACCUCAAUAAGGUCACAAAGUUGAUAUCAAUCUCAAUAAGAUUGAAUAAAUAUUUUCACGUUGGACCUCAAUACGGUCCAAAAAUGCUGAUCUCGAUCUCAAUCUCAAUAAGAUUGGGUAAUUUUUUCACGUUGGACCUCAACAAGGUUGCAAUAUCGAUAUCAAUCUCAAUAAGAUUGGAUAAAUUUUUUCACGUUGGACCUCAAUAAGGUCCAAAAAUGCCAAUCUCAAUCUCAAUCAGUCUGGAUAAAUUUAUUUCAUAUUGGACCUCAAUCAAGUCCAAGUGUCGAUCUCGAUCUCAAAUAAGACCGGUCACAAGUAGAUAAGAAAUAAAGUUGCACUUUUAAAUAACCUCAUUGAUACUAAUAUAACAGAAGUUAUAGAAUUGAACGCAUAACAAAUUGAAAUAACAAAGAAACAAACUUUCUUAGCAUAUUUAAAGAAAAUAAACAAACAAUAUUUAAAGAAAAUAAACAAACAAGGACAUCAUAAAUAAGAUAUAUCUUAACUGAUAGUAUUUUCGCAGGUGCUCUGCAUUCCAUGCCUUGCCAACGACCCUGCCAUCCUGAUAACUUAAUUUAUAUGCCCCAUUAUCAAAUUAGGGUAGCACUUUAUAUGGUCCUUCCCAGCUCGGCCCUAGAACUCCAUCAAUAAAUCUGAAGCUCAUUGGAGAUGUCAUCCAUCAUUUUUGUUCCCACUCUUACCACCCUGCUCGGAUCAACCUCACUUAUCGGCAUGUUUCAUUUCUUCAUUAGGUCACUGUUGGCACAAUCUAUUCUCAGCUCGUGGGUCGAUACUCGUGAUCUGCAUGGAUUCUCUUGCAGCUGUAGCGUAACAACUUCGAGCUAUUUGUUGCUGGCCCCUCAUCACUCCAACCCCAUAUUGAACUCUAAACUUCACACGUUGCAUGUGGGUUGAGCUCACGGCUCUUACUAUCCUAUUGAAAGGUCUACCCAAAAUAAAUUGAUAAGGGUUGGGCUCAUCAACUACCACCCAUGUCACCAUCACUGUCUUUUGUAGUGGGUUGGACUUUAUUAUCAGUGGCAAGUCAAUCAUCCCAAGGGGAAUCAACUCAGCUCCGCCAAACCCUUUUAGUGAUGUUCUGACGGGAUCAAGCCUAAGGUCCCCUAUUUGUAGAUCUUCCAGGGUUUGCUUAAACAAAAUGUCGACUGAGCUUCCUCCAUAUAUAAGAGCUCGGUUCAAAUCCUGCCCUACCAAGGUAACCUUCACUAUGAGCGCAUCCUCAUGUGGAUGUGCGACCGCUUCCUCGUCCUCGUCUGUGAACAUGAUCGGCACCCUUUGAACCCGUUGCUUCUUUGGUAUUGAAACAUUAAAAUUCAACUUAUAACUUUCUAAUGACUAUCUACUAUAAUUUCUCCUUGAACGAUUUGAGUCUCCUACUAGGGUCGGCCCUCCCAUAAUCAUCAUCGCUACAUUAUCUCUGAUGUCUCCUCUUCUCCCACCUAUUCCUUGGUCAUUCACAUACUCCUUUAGAUAUUGAUUUUGCACUAGCCACAAAAUCUGUUCUUUCAAGUCUAUGUAAUCUGCAGUUCCAUGUCCGAACACAAUGUGAAACUCGCAAUACUUGUGGUGAGCACUUCUGCCCAGACUUCUUACAAUUGGCUUUGGCGGUUUAAGUAGCCCCUUCUUUUCUACUACAACAUAUAUUUCCGCUCUGCUUUUGUUCGAUGGUGUGUAUCUUCCACUCUACUCUAAUAAGUUCACCCCAUGGUCAGAUCUCGAUACUCUCUGUUCUAUAGGCAGUGGCAACCUAUUGUAGUCUCUUGCUCGGUUCUCCCUUUAGUUCAUCUCAUAAUUAUUUCCUCUAUCUCGGCCCCAUCCCAUUAAUGAGAUUUAUCUCAUUUCACGAUUUCUUUCCCAAUCUCGACCCGACCUUUCUGGUCAUCUGUAAUUGAACAACUCUCCGCCGUAAUGACGUCUAUCAUCCGAGUUCCUCCUCGAGCUAUACUCGAGGUUAUCACUUGACCCUCUCUCUGCUCUUCCAUUCUCCUAUUUUCUUCCUCUGCAUCUUCAGUUUUCAUAUCUAAUUUUGUCUAGUCGUACGCCUCAGCGUAUGUUGUUAUCCCCUUGUUAUAUAAGCUAUUCCAUAAUCGAUUGAUUCUCAACUCCUUCUUUAAUCCCUCUAGAACAUCUGGAAGAUCAAAGGCCCCUAGAUCGGUAACCUCUCUAUGAUACCUGGUCACAAAACUCGUCAAACUUUCAAAUUCUCCUUGGACCAAUUUUGUCAAGCUGCUCAUAUCCUGCUCUGAUAUGCAUGAACCUCUAAAAUGCAUAGCGGAAAGCACACAUAACUCCUUGAAAUUUCCUAUGCUUCUAUUCUUUAAUCUCCGGUACCAUUCCCAUGCUUGUCCAUCUAGAGUUAAGGGAAAAAUACGGCACCUUUGAAAAUCAUUCAAACCUUGAAUUACAGUCAUCUCAUUAAACUUCUCCACAUGAUGAUUUGGGUCAGUUUUUCCUUCAUACACCAAGACUUGAACCACAUACUUGGGUGGCAAAGUUACUGCCAUCACUUCAGGUACCAAGGGGGACUCGUCAUCGAGUAACAGCCUUCCUACCACUUUCUUGCCCUCUGUUUUCGCCUCUAAUACCUCUAAGGUUUUUUGAAAUUGCAGCAUUCGUUGCUCAAGCUCAUUUGCCCGUUGGGGUCUCUCAGCUCUUCCCUCUCUCUUUCUUGAUUCAAGUCAUUGAUUCUCCCCCUCAACUCAUUCACUUGUUCUCCUGCACUUCUAUUCUUUUGUCGUACCCCAACUUGUGGUAGUCCCAUUCCGCUCUGCUGUUCACCAUCAAGCUCUUCCCUCUCUCGCGCUCCACUACAUUUUGGAUCACUAGCUCGAACGUGAGCCUCUCUGACUUGGGCAUCAACCAGCCCCCGAUCAUCUUCUCAAAUCUCGCCAUUUGCCUCUCAAUCCCUUCUCUCCAUCUCUUAUCUGCCGUGGCAUUCAUUUCCUCAGCCAAUUGGCGCAAGGUCUACGUAUCUUCAUCCUUAUCAUCUAUCACUAUUUUGUAAUCCGAUAGCUUCUCCUUCUAAAUCUUCAAACGUAUGGCUUUUCGCACUGAUCCCCACAGAUAGCGUCAAGAUGUUGAUGCUGAAAAACGACAUGAACAGCUGAAUUUGUUUCUUUUGGGGAAUUACAAUGUGAAUUUAAGCUCAAACGCAAGUCUGAACGCAACUUUCUAUAUCUACCAACCAGAAAACACAGUUAGGAUAUGCCGGUGGGGUUCCGGCGCAGACCCUCCGAUGCUUAAGUCAAAUUAUGUAUAAAAGGAGAAAAAUAAGAAUGAAGAAUUAUGAAUGAGUUAAAGUCAAGUAAUUUUCCAGUAGAGGGGCUAAAAAUCUUGUAGAAGCUUCAGUGAAUUUUGCUAACCCCUUCACCUGAUGCGCUCUUCAAUUUAAAUAGACUCUUGGUCAUGUACGGUUACCUCCUUAACUUCAGCCCGCUUUCUUCAGUAGUUGCAAGUGGUUGUCAGUUGGAGGUGGUUUAAAUAGAUCGUGGCACACAACUUCCUUAUAAAUUAGGCCACGUUCUCUUAACUAGCAAUUUUUCAUGUCAAGCUAAUUCAUUGGUCGGACAAGAGAAUUUCAAGGUCGGAUUACUUCACUUUCAUAUCAGACAGAUGAAUUUGUUAGUCGCUCAUAUAGCGUUGGGGUUGUAUUAUUAAACUAAGUCAUUCACAUAGAUCUUAGGUCGUACUUGUAAACCAAGUCGCCAACAUAGGCUUCAGGUUGUACUUAUGAGGUCAACUCAACAACAAUAAGUUUUGAGUAAAUUAGUAUCGACUAUAUUUUGAGACACUACAAAAAAAAUCCAACCCAAACAGUAACAUUUUGCAAAUCUCAAUCGACGGUGCUAUUUUCAAUCGUUGCCUGGAUUGCUUUCUUGGAAAAGCAGCAUCUAUAAGAAACCUGCAAAAAAAUGUUGUAGCCUUGGAGACUGAAUUGGGAAAACUAAUCGAAGCAAAGAACGAUGUGGUGGCGAGGGUCGUCAACGCUGAAAGGCAACAAACGAUGACAAGGCUGAACAAAGUUCAAGGCUGGCUUUCGAGGGUGGACGCUGUUAAAGCUGAAGCUGAUGAAUUGAUAAGACAUGGCCCUCAAGAAAUUGAGAAACUAUAACUUAGAGGCUACUGUUCCAAGAACUGCAAGUCAAGCUAAAAGUUUGGCAAAAAAGUGGCUAAAAAGCUAAGAGACGCCGGGACUUUAAUGGCCAAUGGAGCAUUUGAAGUGGUAGCUGAGAGAGCUCCAGAAUCAGUAGCGGAUGAAAGGCCUAUCGAGCCCACAGUAGUAGGCCUGCAAUUGCAACUCGAGCAUGUUUGGAGAUGUCUUGAAGGAGAAUCAGUCGGAAUUGUUGGCCUAUACGGCAUGGGCGGUGUCGGUAAAACUACACUAUUGACCCAUAUCAACAACAAAUUUCUUGAGAGUCCAACUAAUUUUAAUUAUGUGAUAUGGGUCGUAAUGUCAAAAGACUCGCGACUUGAAAACAUUCAAGAAACUAUCGGGGAGUAGAUUGGUUUGUAAAAAUUUGCCAAUUUACACAGCAAACAAUUUCCACCCAAUUAAUGUUUUUUAGAAAAUUGUAAAAAUUUGGAGUUAUGAAAAUAGAAACUAUAUAAUAAGAAGAAAUAAUUUAAGAUUUUAAGAUUUAUAUAUAUUUUAUAAAUAAAACAUUAAAAGAGAUGCUUGUUAUUACGAUGAAAUUUUAUGAGUAAGAUGAUUAACUUUAAUAUAUGAGUUUGUAUUUUAUAAAUUAAUCAGAGGUAUUUUAGAAAAUAAAUUCAAAAUGGGAGUUAUAAGAGUUUUAGAGUGGUGUUAAAAGCUCAACUCUUUUGAAUUUUACUGCCCAAUUAUAUAGUACAUUAGCGUGAUUGUUAUGUAUUCAUUUUUUUCAGAUACAACAAACGAGCUGCGUAGUGCUCAAAUAACAAAAAUUAAUAAUUUCACACACCCAUAUACAUAUAUGUAUACAUAUAGAUACAUAUUAUAUUUAAUUAAGCAAAAGAAAGAACCCCCUGUACGACGCCAGUGAGAAGAGAGAGAGAGAGAGAGAGAGGAAGAGAGCUUUUUGUGUUAUAUUUCAUAAUUUUUAUUUAAUUAAAAAUAUUUGUAGUUUGGAUUUGGGCGCCCCAAAGAAUUUCUAAAUCAAAACCUUAAUUUUUAUUAGGUCUUGAGCCUAUUCUCGAAAUAGAUCCUAUUAUAUUCUUAGGUGGUGUUUGGUUUUAAGAAAAUGGAAGAGAGGAGAGGUGAAAAAAGAAGAUGAACGGAGAGGUGAUGAGAGGAAAAGAGUGUAAAAAUUAAUUGUUAUUGUUUGGUUUCACAUUAAAUUUGAAAGGAAAAGAAAUUACAUAUUUUUUAUUUGGACGAAUAUACCCACUAUUUUAAUGCUAAUAUUGUUAAUAAAUUAAAAAAUAAUAAAACUAUGAAUUAAUUUAAUCUAGAAAUUACCUAAUUAAAUUAAAAAAUUAUUUUUUAAAAAAAUACAGCAUUUGGCCAUGGACAGCCUCCACGUUGACCACCGUUGACUGGCGAAUUUGACUGUCGUUGACCGUCAUUUUUCAUCGCGUUAAAUGCAUAAUAAUAAUAAGAAAUGAAUGAUUUAUUCAUUGGAAGUGUUAAUUUUGCAGAAAAUACACUAUAUAGUAGGAAAUAUGAGAGUUAAAAUUUUCCCAAGCAUUUAAACAAGACUUGAGGUAAAUAACAAUGUAUAUUAGCAUUUUUAAUCUCAUAGCAUUGUAGAUGGACUCAUGAGGAUUCCAUUGAUACCGGUUUUGAUGAAAAAGUGCGUCUCCGGCGAAACUCCGACGAGUCACUUUACUGUUUUUUCUUUUUUCAAAUAAGUUUAUCCUAUUAAUUUAAGAAAAUAAAUAUAAAUUAUUUGUACUUUAAUUUAUUUAACAUUGAUUUUGUUUAGAGGAUAAUAUUGGAAUUUUUGUGUUUAAAUAGAUAAGAAAUUUAAAAUCUUUAGUCAUUGAUAAGAAAUACAAAUUCUUCAAAUUGAUGGAAAUUCAAUUCCAUUAAACUUGGUCCAAGUAGAAAAGAAAUCAAUUUUUUUUGGCUCUCCCCACUUCCCUACCCCUAAGCAAACAUGGCCUUAUGGUUUUUGAGAACUCAUACCAAAUUCAAAUUAAUCAGGAGCCCACGGGUCCCGGGGCUCGCGGGAAAGUUGCCAUCCCUACCUUCAUCUGACGGAAAGUCCCUACAAACAAAUGUUUCUUUAUUUAUUUAUUUUUAUAAAAGAAAUUUCAGUUUGAAUGUCUUUUGGACGUUUCCAAUUGUCAUGAUUAGCCCUUGAACCUUUGGUCAAAAAAGUAUUAUCACGCGUUGAUUGUUUGUAUCGCAAAUGCUAGUGGCAUUUGAAAGUUGAUAUAAUUAAUUACAAUCUACAAAUGUUUAACAAAAAAGUGGGAUGGAUAUGGCACAAAAGUAAAGCAAGCAGGAUUCGUUGAAAAAGCUAUUUUGACACCUACUUCGGUUAUAAAAUUUUCAAAAAAAAAAAAAAAUUUUGAUUAAAAGUAAAUUGUAUAGGUUCAACUACCGUGCACUUGGUGCAUGGGACAUGUAUUUUGUCUAUAUAUAAGUUACCCGUCAGAUAUAACAUAGAACUUGCUUCAACGGCAUAGAUGUAUUCUCUUUAGUUUUUAACAUUGACAUCUAUGUUGUUUUUCAAAAAAGAAAAAUAGUGAAAGGUUUGACACAUAAUUUUAGAUUAUUUUUAAAUUUUAUAUUUUAAUCAAUUGAUUUAAUUUACUGUUAAAAUUAAUGACAGUAUAAGCGUAAUAACUUGAAAAAACUUUUUAAUACAUAAUUUUUUUUAUUUUUUGAAAAUAAUAUAAUAUCAAUUUAAUCUAUAAUAAAUAAUUUUAACAUAUAAUUAAAUUUUAAUUUAUCAAUAAUAAUAUGACCAAAUGACAAUGUUAAAGAAUUUCAUUAUAAUCAACUAUGAUUUAGUAUUCAAAUAUAAAUAAUAGAAAUAUACUCUAAGUGUAAAUAAUAGAAAUAUAUCAAACUUAUAUGUUAAAAUUUCAAAACUUUUAAUUUUUUCACUUUUCAGCAAACAAGAGGGAGUAAUUUACCAAAAACAAGGGGUAUCGUACACCUGGGGCACCAUAGCUUCCUCCAAAUUGUAUAAAAAAUAGAAAUAUUUUUAGUCUCCAAAUUGUAUAAAAAAGUAAAAAUAUUUUGACUAAAAGUAAAUUGUGCGUAACUACUUUAAUAUUUUAUUUCUUUCAUAACUUUAUCAAAAUCUUGUCAUCAAAUAUUUUAUCAAUGUAACGCUGUAAACAGCAAAUUAAAGUUUAAUUAUUUAAUUACAACUGGCAAAAGAGACGUUUAAUUAUUUAAUUACAAGCGGGAUAGUCUCUUUUGUUGAAGGAAAUUAAAGUUUAGUUAUUUAAAUCGAGCACGCGUAAUCUUUUCAAGCACAAACAAAAGAGAUCAUAAUUCAAAGUUGAUGUUCUCUUCACAGCAGCUUCUAUUCAUCGAACUCCAUCGUUAAAAUUUCCUUGGUUUUUCCUGGUUGAAUUCUCAUCCAAAAUAUGGGUAACAUUUUCCAAAUCACAUGCGACGGCGCUCUCUUUAACCGUUGCCUGGAUUGCUUUCUUGGAAAAGCAGCAUAUAUAAAAAACCUCAAACAAAAUCUUGCAGACUUGGAGACUGAAUUGGGAAAACUAAUCGACGCAAAGGAAGAUGUGAUGAGGGAGGUCAACGCUGCUGAAAGGCACCCAAUGAUGAAAAGGCUGACCAAAGUUGAAGGCUGGCUUUCGAGGGUCGAAGCUGCUAAAUCCGACGGUGACAAAUUGAUAGCAUUUGGCUCUCAAGAAAUUAAGAAACUAUGUCUUGGAGGCUACUGUUCCAAGAACUGCAAGUCAAGCUACGAGUUUGGCAAACAAGUGGCUAGAAAGCUAGGAGAUGUCAAGACUUUAAUGGCUGAAGAAGCUUUUGAAAAGGUAGCUGAGGAAGUACAACCACCUUUGGUAGAUGAGAGACCCACCGAGCCAACCGUAGUAGGCUUCCAAUCACAAUUUGAACAAGUCUGCAAAUGUCUUGAAGAAGAAUCAGUCAGAAUUGUUGGCCUAUACGGCAUGGGCGGUGUCGGUAAAACCACACUAUUGACUCAUAUCCACAAUAACUUUCUUCAGAGUCCAACUUUUAAUUGUGUGAUAUGGGUCCUAGUGUCAAAAGAUCUGCGACUUGAAAACAUUCAAGAAACUAUCGGGGAUCUGCGACUUGAAAACAUUCAAGAAACUAUCGGGGAGCAGAUUGGUUUGUUAAACGAUACAUGGAAAAAUAAACGAAUUGAACAGAAAGCUCAAGACAUCUUCAGGAUUUUGAAGGAGAAGAAGUUUUUGCUGUUGCUAGAUGACUUAUGGCAGCGGGUUGAUUUAACAAAAGUGGGCGUCCCUCUUCCUGGCCCGCAAAAUAAUGCAUCCAAAGUGGUAUUCACAACCCGUUCCGAAGAAGUUUGUGGUUUGAUGGGAGCUCACACGAGGUUUAAAGUGGCGUGCCUGUCAAAUAUCGAUGCUUGGGAAUUGUUUCGGCAGAACGUUGGAGAAGAAACUCUGAACAGUGAUCCCGAUAUUCUUCAACUCGCCCAAGCAGCAGCCAGAGAGUGUGAUGGUUUGCCACUAGCACUUAUUACCAUUGGCCGAGCUAUGGCUUGCAAGAAGACACCUGACGAAUGGAUUUACGAUAUUGAGGUGCUAAGAACAUCAAGUUCUCAGUUCCCAGGUUUGGGAAAUGAGGUUUAUCCUCUUUUAAAAUUCAGUUACGAUAGAUUGCCGAGUGACACAAUUAAAUCAUGUCUCUUAUAUUGUAGUUUAUAUCCAGAAGAUUAUUGCAUUUCUAAAGAGAAAUUGAUAGACUGUUGGAUCGGCGAGGGAUUUUUGACAGAAAGGGACAGGAUUGGAGAACAAAAAGAAGGAUACCAUAUUCUGGGCAUUCUUCUUCAUGCCUGCUUACUGGAAGAGGGAGGAGACGGUGAAGUAAAAAUGCACGACGUGAUUCGAGAUAUGGCAAUAUGGAUAGCAUGCGACAUUGAAAAGGAGAAGGAGAAUUUUUUUGUUAAUGCUGGCGUUGGAUUAGUUGAAGCACCCGAUGUCACAGGAUGGGAAAAGGCGAGGAGAUUGUCACUGAUGCACAAUCAAAUUACGAAUCUAUCAGAGAUUCCUACAUGUCCUCAUCUCCUUACUUUUUUCCUUAACAAAAAUAGGUUUCAGAUGAUCCCCAAUGACUUCUUCCAAUUUAUGCCCUCCCUCAAAGUUUUAAAUCUGUCAUACAGCAAACUAACCAGCUUACCAUUGGGGAUUUCAAAGUUGGUUUCACUGCAACAUCUUGACCUGUCAGAAUCCGACAUAGAAGAGUUGCCAGGAGAGUUAAAGGCAUUGGUAAAUCUUAAAUGUUUGGAUUUGGAAUAUACAGGGAAUUUAAUUACAAUUCCACGUCAACUAAUAUCUAAUCUUUCAAGGUUACAUGUGUUGAGAAUGUUUGGUGCUGGUCAUAAUGCCUUUGAUGAAGCAUCAAAAGACAGCAGUUUAUUUGGUGGGGGUGAAUUCAUAGUAGAGGAACUGCUUGGUUUGAAAUCUUUAGAGGUGAUUAGCUUCACCUUGAGAAGUUCUCAUGGUCUCCAAAUGAUUUUGAGCUCGGAUCAGUUACGAAGUUGCACUCGAGCACUCUCAUUCCAAUGCUUCAACGAUUCGACAUCGCUUGAAGUUUCAGCUUUGGCAGAUCUGAAGCAACUUAAAAUGUUGCGGAUUGCAAGGAGUGAAAUAUUGGAGGAAUUAAAGAUGGAUUGUGCAGGGGAAGUUCGACAGUUUGUUUUCCAUAGUCUCAAUAAGGUUGAAAUAUACGGUUGCAGUAAAUUGAAGGACUUGACAUUCCUUGUUUUCGCUCCAAACCUCAAGUCUAUUAAAGUAACAGGUUCCCAUGCUAUGGAAGCAAUCAUAAGUGUGGGUAAAUUUGCAGAAGUUCCAGAGGUAAUGGCAAAUUUAAACCCAUUUGCAAAACUCCAAAAUCUUGAAGUAAUUGGUGCGAUAAAUUUGAAGAGCAUUUACUGGAAGCCCCUGCGCUUCCCACAUCUGAAAACAAUGAGUUUCUUUCAUUGCAACAAGCUUAAAAUGCUUCCACUUGAUUCCAAUAGUGCAAGAGAGCAUAGCAUUGUUAUUCGUGGAGACAGAAUGUGGUGGGCACAGCUUCAAUGGGAGGAUGAAGCCACUCGAAAUGCUUUUCUUCCCUGUUUCAAAUCUUGAGCAGAGAUCACAUUUGAAUAAUUUCUGGUGCGUGCUUUUUCUUACAUUAUUCUUCUUGUUAAUUUCCUUCAUGCAGACAUCUGCACCUAAUAACUCGUUACUUCAAAUAUUCUCUAAAUUAUUUGAGGGUACUCGCCCCUGCACAUAAUGUAUAUUUAUAUCUAAUUAAAUUUUUUAAAAAGUCAAUAUUAUAUUUUUUAUGUCAUUAAAUAAAGUCUUGUUAUUUUAUCGAAUUAUAUUCAACUUGAAAAUAGUUCUAGCUUUUAGAUAUAAGUUAUGUAAGUACAAGUUCAAAGUGUAUCAGCAUUAAAUUACUCAUAUUCAAUCAUUUAUAAUCUGAUGUUGAAAAAAAAAUGUCAUUCAAUCAUAUGCAUUUAACUAAAUUCAAAUAUAAUCUAAAUUCAGAUACGUUAAAAUUAUUUGGGAAAAAAAAGCGCCACAACUCUAUAUUGUUUAUUGAGUAAACCAGAUAUUAACUCUAUCAUGAACGUAAUAGCCUCCAGCAUUUUUUAUUAUCUGUUCAAACCAUAUUUUAUUAUUUUAAUUUAUUUAUAUUCAUUGCAUUUCAAUUAGGUCAUGUUUUCUUUUGUUUUCUGUUUUAUAUUCUUUGAUCAUUUUGGCAACAUGGAGUACUAUGAUUAAUCAUUUUGUACUGGUCUCAAAUUUCAGUCGGAUUAUCUGCGGAAAAUAUCUCUGAAGAUGCUUUCAAUGGAGUCCAGUACUCAGAAUGCGAUGCCUAAUCCUUUGCAAUCCAACAAUGCUAGCAGGAGCAACGAACCCCCUCAUCCAGGUAGUGACGUGGAAUAGUAAAUGCAGCUUCACUUUCAAUUUGUCUCUGAAACCGCUCCCUAUAAUCAAUCCUAGCAUUCUUAUGUGUUCUUAACUUCUGCAGCCUGAAUAUUUCUUCCUCGACAAUCAAAGUCAUAACAGUAUGAUUGGCUGGAGUAGCUUUCCUCCAGACCCCUCAUUAUAGUUAUAAAUAAUUCCGAUAUUUGAUAUCAUGAUCGGGGAUUUCAGAGCUUAGAAAAUAUGAUUUGUACCCAUAUGUGUCUGAUCAUGAGAAGUUUGAAAAUAUACAUCAAAAACUGUAUGGAUUGGAAAAAUAUAAUCUUAUUAUGGUGUGUUAAAUCGUCAUUUGAUGAACGGAUUUGGGAUACAUUAUAAUAUGAUGUCAUUAUUAAUUAGGGUGUGUUUUUGGAAGUGCUUAAUUAUAUUCGUUUAAUGUGUAUUUCUUUUAUCACUUUUGAAAAGAAUUCUUAAAUAUUUAAAUAUUUCAAUGUUUAUAUCUUAACUUCAAAUAUAAUAAAAUAAAAUAAAAUAACUGUUCUCCAAUAUGAGGGUCCGAACUAAGGGUCUACGUCAAUAACAUGAAAUAUAAUAAUUUUUGUAAAUUUUUCUUAAAUUCAAAAUAAAUUUUGUUACUGAUUCAAAUGUUUAACAAAAUGUGGCAGCUUAUCUGUAAUUGCCACAUCAAUUGAGAUUCAAAUUACUACUCAAAUCCUGAAAUUCCUAAAGGUCCCUAACAUUAAUAUUUUAUUAAGUCAAUAUUGAAGUUGAACUAUGGGGUUCGUCGGCUAUUUCACACUAACAGAGGAAUCAUUUUAUCUUCUACAAAGGGUUCAGUUUUCUUGCACUGUAUGAUAUGAAGUAAUAUUGUCAUAUGUUGUUCUGAAUUAAUUUUUUUCUUCUCUCGUGCGAAUCAGAAAGAAAUGUUGUAUUUAAGAUGUGGAAAGUAUAAGAUCUUAGGAGUUUUACAGUGUAUAUAUAUAUAAAUUUUUUUUUGACAAACAGAGAAAUUCAGUCUAGAAUAUGAGAACAAACUAAAAGCUACGAAAUACAUUGGCAUUUUUGAGAAGUAGGAUAAAUAUUAUUUUUUUUUUUGAAAAAAAAAGGACUUGGCACCUCAAUGCUUUAAUAACCUAAUGUUAUACUUUUGGUUUGAUUUUUCUAUGUACUCUCUUCCAAUGGUCAAUUUAGGCUAUGUUUGGUAUUGAGAUAUUAUAACUAAAAAAUUUUAGGAUUUAUCACUUAAAAGAUAGAGUAGCCGUGGGAAAAAAGAGAGAGAGAGCUGAAAUUAUGAAAUAAAAUUAUUAAUGUAUUGUAAAUAAGAUGUUCAAAUAAAAAAAUUGACAAAAAUAGUAAAAAUACAAUACCAAACAAGAAUUUAUUUAGGAUACCGAUUCCAGGUCUCUAAAGAUUUGUUUUUAUGCUUUGCAGUUAUUUUCUUCUAGCUGACUGAUGAAUUAUUGUGAAAUUGCUAUGAAAAUUACUAGGGAAAUUAUCAGUCAUACACUCUUAAAUGACACCCGUAUCAAAUAUGCUACAACAUUUUUCAAGUAUAUCACUCGUAUACUCUAAGUUGACAAAACACUUCUACCGUCCACCAAUAUGUUAACUUCUAUUAGAAAGUUAAUAGAAUUGUGGCAAAUUGACUAUUUCGUCCUUGAAACUCAAAAUGAGAUUAAAAAAAAUUUACCCAAAAAAUUAAAGUAAAUUUUCAAUACAUAAUUUUUUUUAAUUUCGUUAUUAACAAUACAUUUUUUUAUUAAAAAAUAUGAAUUAUUAAUGGUACAUAUUAUUAACAAUUAUCCAUAAAAAUAUCCAUAUUAUACCAUAAAAAAUUAUUAACAACAUAUUAUUUACAAUUAUACAUAUUAUACCAUAAAAAACUCCAAUUGGAGCUUGGAGGAGUAGAUCUUAAAAAAUUUAGGUUAAAUUUUGGAUGAGUAGAUUCGGUUGUAAAGUAGUUGUUUUUUUAUAUGUAAUUAUUAACAAUUAUCCAAUAAAUGGGAUGACAUGUCAUUUUAUCAAUAUAUAUCAUAUGACAUGUCAUUGCUUAAUAGGAAAAUGGGAUGACAUGUCGUUUUUAAAAAAGACUAUAUUUACCCUUAUGAUGUCAGCACUUGCAAACGGCAGUUAACGGAUUGGUGAACGGUAGAAAUGUUUUGUCAACUUAAAGUAUACGAGUGAUAUACUUGAAAAGUGUUGUAUCACGUUUGAUAUUAGUGUCAUUUAACGAUAUAUGACUGAUAAUUUUCCAAAUUACUACUAUAACUUAUGGCAAAUUGGCAAUUAAAAAUCAUAAAAGUCUUUCCUCUUGAAUGAGAAAGUGGGUUAUUUUCGUUUACUAUAUAUAUAGUGUCACAAUCAAGAUUAGCAAAGGUUUGUUCACAAACCACCAUCUAUGAAACUAUGAUGACAAAUAUUAUUUGCUAUUAUCAUGUCACUGCAUUACUCUAAUGCCAUUAUUUGCCUAAUUAAAUAUUCAUGUCGGUUUUAAGAUGAAUUUCAAGACAUUUAACUAACCAUAUCUAUUGUAUUUUAUUAUGGUGCUCUAGCUAGCUGGUUGCCAGCUUUGCCUUUCAAUGGGGUUUGAUUAAUUACUCUGCAUAUAGACCAUUAUAUACUAGGACGGCCAAUGGUUAAUGUAAUAUAAACACAAUAAAUUUUAAUCAAAUAUGAAUUUUCUGAAUAAUUGUUUCUUUAUUUUAUGAAUUUUAUUUAAACGAUAUCCCAAUUUAAAAAAAAAAAAGAAAGAAAGAAAAUCAGCGCGUUUGUCUCCUCCCCAUUGUCAUGAUCAACCUUGUUGGAAACGUUGGUGAGAAAAGUAAUACUAUACGUUAAUUGCUUUUAAUAUUUUAAUCGUUGGUGGCACAACCGCACAAGAAAGUAAAAGUUGUUAUAUAUAUAUAUAUUUUAAAUAAAAGUUUAGCUUUCAAUAAUUCAACUUUGAAAAAGGUACAAAAGAUGUGUAGGACAUUCGUUGAACCACAUUAUUGGUUGUACACUUUCUAAAGCUACUUUGGCUAUGGAAUAGGCCAUGAUUAUGAAGCCGAGAAGUAUGUUGCAGUGUGGGGUUGUGUAGUUCCUUUUAGCUUCUUCUUACAAAUUAAUGCUGACAGAAAAAGCAAGAUCAUAUUCCACAAAAGUAAAAGUAACAAAACAACCAGCUGGAAUCUUUUAUUAAACUACGAUAAACUACAAAUUAAAGUGGAUUCUUUUGAAUACAAGUGGGAUAGACGAUUGGCUCUUUUAUUAAAGGCCAGUAGUCAAGAAUCGAAUAUCUCGAUUGCAUAGUCUUUUUCAAAUUCUUGUUUUAUUAUUUUUCAAAACUAAUUUUUUAUUAGUCUACAAUUAUUUAUAAUUAUAUUUUCAUUUAGAAUACAGUUCAAGUCAAAUCUUUUGCACUUCUACCUAACUCGGGCUAAUACUAGUCCACUCAUUAUUCAUGUGAGAGAGUUGUAAGGUACAUGCAUGUAACUUCUCUAACUCGAAUUAUUCCACACAGAGAAAUAAACAUAGAUGCUUUAUAACUUUAGAAAUCCGAUCUCUUACAGUUGGAAACAGAGAUGAUGAUUACUAUAAGAAUGAAGAAAAAGAUAAAAAAUUGUCAAUGAUUAACGAAGUCUCUAUGCAAAUUUCUCUAUGCAAAUUGAUUUUAGCAGAAAAAUAGUGAGUUGAAUGAUGUAGGCGAUUAGUGGUAAUAUUUCAUAGAGUUAGAGUAUUGGCAACCCUUCAAUCUUCUCAUGAAUCCCCUUUUUGAGUUAUAGUUAUUUUAUUUCGAAAUAUCCUUUUUCUUCUUUAAUACACUUCUAAUUUUUCAUUUAAUUUUUUUAUUGUUAAACUCAAAGUAUUAUUGUGAUAUUUUUCGUUUCUUUUGUAAUCUUAUUAUAAUUAAAAAAACCAAAAAAAAAGAUUGGCUAUGAAAUUUGUUGGAAAAAAUCUAUGUGCGUUUAAUUUUUGUUUGUCUUUGACUGUAAUUUAUUUGAAGUGGGGUUUUAUAAGCAUAAUGAAGGGAUCAAAGGAUGCCCAUAACUUCACUCUAUUUUAUAUGGAGAAAAGUAAAAGGUACACCUAAAGUUAAUGGAAAGUACUUCGCAGCUUUCUUUUGAUUAUAAUAUCCUUUAAUUUAAUUAACUUAAAAAUUUUGACUUUAAUAAUUUAUAAUAAAUUAAAUUAUAAUCUUAAAAUAAAUAUAAUAAUAUAUUUUAAAAUAAUCUCUAUAUUUAAAAUUUAUUUAUUUUCACAUUUUAUAUAAAUUUUAUAAUAAAGACAAACAUACUAUUAAAAUAAUAUAUAAAAAAUUUAAAAGUAUUUUGAAUAUUAUAUAAAAUAACUAUAACAUUUUUUAAUACAUGAGAUAUAUUUUGUUAAUUUAAAAUUCUAUUUAAUCCAAAGAUUUAUUUAAGAUAAAUUAAUAAUAAUAUUUUUGAAAUUAUUUGAAAUACUAAAAAAUAUUUUAAUAUUACUAGUCUAUUAAAUAAAUUAAAUAUAUUUAAUAGACUAGUAAUAUUCUGAAAAAUAAUAAAAGAAGAAUUAAAAAAAGACUAGACAAUAGAGAUAUUCGAUUCUUUUAAAGCAAAUCGUAAUAUUCCACAAAGGAGUAAGAUCCACAAAAGCAAACAACCAGUUGGAUUCUUUUAAAGUGGAAUCGUUUAUUAAACAACAAAUUAAUGUUCAAAUAUUUAAAUAGCAGUGCAUUAGACGAUUAGACUGUCUUAUUAAAGGCGAGUAUAAAGUAGUCAAGAAUCGAAUAUCUCUAUUGUCUAGUCUUUUUUUAAUUCUUCUUUUAUUAUUUUUCAGAAUAGGUUUUGGUGAUUACAAUGGGUUAUUAUUCAGAGUUAUUGUUAUCUUCCGGGUCAAUUUCUGUUCAUCGAAGUCGUUAAUUCAAAUUUUAGAACUUUUAUCAAAAGAAUGUUUUUCGUUAUCUUUUUUAUGGUCUAAUUCCAAUUGUAAGAAGUAGUCAUUUUAAAAUUUGGGUCUUGAAUCGAAUUUCAGUGCAUGAAUUAAUAUUAAAAAAAAAUCACUACACACAGUUUAGGCUGCAGACUACUUUUUGCAAAUUUGACUCUGAAAAUUGGAGAAAUUAAGUAAUUUAGAAUGUUUGCAAAGAAAAAGACUAACAUACUUCCUAUUACACUAAAUCUCUAUUAUCAUAAUGUUGAGACUAAACUAACUUAAAUACGUUUUAUUUGAAAAGCUAUAUUAAAUGCAGCCUAAUUUUAUUAACCUGAAGAGCUAAUAGAAGUGUAGUUAUAAAAAUUAUAUUCUGACUUAAUUAGUACAAGUGAUAUAAAGGUUAAGUGUGCACUAUAUUUAAUAAUUAAUUAAUGGAGCAUGUUAAAUAAAAUGAUAAUUUAUAUUUAUAUAAUGUUAGGAAUAUGUAAAGUCUAAGUCCACAAGUUGCAUUAUCUUUAAUAUUUUCUCUCAAUUAAAUUCUAAAAAUACUUUACAAUUAUUUAGUAACAACUGUAAAUUAAGAAUAAAUUAUUGUCCCAAACAACAUUAAAAAAUAUUUUAUUCCAUUUGAAUCCUUUAAUUUUUUUUACAGUAUAUAGAUAAUUAUUACUAUGUGAAUGUAAGUUUCUUAAGAUGGGACCUAUAACAAUUUAGAACUUAUUACAACGGGGAGUUUAUUAGGACCAAAAUUUUUUAUGAGUACAUAAAGUUAUCUUGUAUAGAAUAUUAGUAUAUAGAUGUUUUACUGUAAUUAGUCUAGAACAUUUAAAAAAAAAAAACAUAUACCGUCCCUUGGAUGUAGCUCUUGGGUGACCAUGAAUGUUCUUUGUUCCACAUACGNNNNNNNNNNNNNNNNNNNNNNNNNNNNNNNNNNNNNNNNNNNNNNNNNNNNNNNNNNNNNNNNNNNNNNNNNNNNNNNNNNNNNNNNNNNNNNNNNNNNACCCUCUAUGGGAAUAAUCUAUUUAGUUAUAAAAAAUUAUGAUCCCAAUUUAGACUAGUUAUAAAUAACAACAAAUUCCACUUUGUAAUAAAUUAUAUUUUUUCUAUAUCUUAUCUUAAGAAACUUAUCUCUACAUAGUAAUAAUUAUUUGUAUAGGUAAGAAUGGAUCAAGAUCCUCUCCUGAUCUGAGCACUCCUGAUCUUUUACAGAUCUUAUACCACCUGUGUUUUACUGUUAGUGGAUGAUUAUGAUUUGACUAUUUUUUCUUUUUAAUUUAUUAAUCACCAAUUAUAUUAAUAAAAUUUGCUCAGAUGAAGAUCAGAUCAAGAAAGGAUCCUGAUCCAAUAAGAAUACAUGUUAUAUUAGACUAAAGGAACUUGUCUGCACAUAACGAUUAGACAACGAGCGAAAAUUAUUAAAGCGAAUGCAAAUAAUUAGAAUUUUUUAAGAUGACUUUGUAUAUUCACAAUAAUAAUUGAUAGAUACAUGUACCAACGUUUUAAUAUAUUUGACAUCCUCCAUUAAUAAAUCAUUGAUGUAAUAUAGACUUUAUCUCUAUAUCCUCACACUACGGACAACUAAGUCAUAAUAAUAAUUUUUGUAACUACAUCUCUAUUACUUCCUCAUAAUAAUAAGUUAAUUUGAUCUCUACAUUAUGACUAUGGAGAUUUUAUUGUAUAGGGACACCCAAUAUAAAUAGUAUCCCAACUAAAAUUGUCCCAAAAAAAAAAUCGCUAAAGGAUAAUUAUAAUUUUUUUUCACUUCUCAAACGUUGGUGGCAGUUGUAAGCUAAGUUGUCAAAUAUAUUAAACUACAAGUGCUGCCACCAAGUGCGAUGCUCUUUUCUAAAGAGAAGUACAGUGGGUCCCGAAUAGGACGUGCUUAAAUCUGUUUAAAUUUUUCCAGUAUAACUAACAGAGGUCAUUACUAGAAUUAUAUUACUAGCCUAUUAGAUAGAAAAAAUUAGUUAUAUUAUUUUAUAUUUAUUAAAAAAGUUUAAAGUUAAUCUUUUUAAUUACUAUUUAAAAGAUAUUAUAAUAAAAAAAUAGUGUCUUUACUAAAAAUUUAGAAAUUUAUUUGACCGUUCUCUAAACUUUAUUUAAUAUUAUUGAUUUAAAUAAUAUCUAAAUUAAAAAUGUACAGAGAAGAAAUUUCGGUGGGUAUAUUAGUCUUUUACUUUUAACGUUAGUGGCCUUCUUAUAUUUUAUUACAAAUUAAUCCUAACAAGAAAAAGCUAGAUCAUAUUCCACAAAAGCAAGAGUGACAAAACAUGAAAACAACCAACUGGAUUCUUUUAUUAAACUACAAAUUAAAAUUGUUUUUUUUAAUAAACUAUAAAUUAAAGCGGAUUCUUUUGAAUACAGGUGGGACAGACUUAAGCUCUUUUAUUAAAGGCAAGUAUAAAGUAGUCAAGAAUCGAAUAGUCUUUUUCAAAUUCUUGUUUUAUUAUUUUUCAAAACUAAUUUUUGGUAAUUACACUCGGGUCAUUAAUCAUUAUUCAGAGUCAUUGUUAUCUUCGGAGACAGUGGGUAAAAGAUAAUUACUGGCUGUUUUUCCUUCAAAAGUUAGUGGCUCAUGUUUGCAAGUGUGAAUGUGCGAUGCUCUUUUUCCAAAUGCAAUUACAGUGGGUCCCGAAUCGGAGGAUAAAAAUCCUUUUAGUUUUUGUAUUUUAAGAUUAGUAUAUAUUUAGUCUUUAUAUUUUUAAAAAUACCUCGAAACAUUCAUGCCGUUAAAGUAUUGAUACCACUACCAUUACUUUUCAUUUCUUUUAACUUAAUUUUACAAUAUUACCCUUUUAUAAUAAUUUUUUUAGACAUUAAUAAAAAAUAAUUAAAUCACUAAUUUAACUCUAAAAAAUAAAAAAAUUAUAUUAAUUUUUUUGCAAGCACCGUUUGCACACUUGGUAGGUUGCAUACAAUUUUUGAUAAUUAAAAAUUAAUAUAAAUUUUUAUUUUUAUUUUUAGGGUUAAAUUGAUAAUUUAAUUAUUUUAUUUUUAUUAAUGUACAAACAAAAAAAUUAUUAUUAAAGGGUAAUAUUGUAAAAAUAAGCCAAAAGAAAUGAAAAAUAACGGUAGAAGUAUCAAUACUUUAACGACAAGGAUGUUUCUAGAUAUUUUUAAAAAUAUAGAGAUUAAAUGAAUACUAAUCUUCAAAUACAGGAUUAAAUAGAAUUUUACCCCGAAUCGAACGUGCCUAAAUCUUUUUAAAAUUUUUGCCGUACAACGGACAGAGGUCAUUACUAAAAUUUCUCUUCCACAGCCCACAUCAGCUUCAGGAAUCAGUUUAUCAAACUCAAUCAAUUUUCUUUCUUAACAAAAUUCCAAAGAUGUGUAGCAUUUUUCAGAUCACAUGCGAUGGUGCUUUUUUCAAUCGUUGCUUGGAUUGCUUUCUUGGAAAAGCAGCAUACACACGUAACCUCCAAGAUAAUCUUGUGGCCUUGCAGACUGAAUUAAUGAAACUAAACGCAGCAAAGGACGAUCUGAUGAGGAGGGUCGUCAAUGCUGAACGUCAACAAAUGAGAAGGCUGGACGGAGUGCAAGUGUGGGUUUCGAGGGUGGAUGCUGUUACAACUGAAGCUAAUGAACUUAUCAGAGACGGCUCUCAAGAAAUUGAAAAAUUAUGUCUUGGAGGGUUCUGUUCCAGGAACUGCACGUCAAGCUACAAGUUUGGGAAACAAGUGGCUAAAAAGCUACGAGAUGUGGAGGCUUUAUUUGCCGAAGGGGUUUUUGAGGCGGUGGCUACCAAGGUGGUGCCUGAGAGAGCUCCAGAGCCUGUAGCAGAUGAAAGACCUGCCGAGCGAACAGUAGUAGGCUUGCAAUCACAACUUGAACAAGUCUGGAGAUGUCUUGCAGAAGAAUCAGCGGGAAUCAUUGGCCUAUAUGGUAUGGGCGGUGUUGGUAAAACUACACUAUUGACCCAUAUCAACAAUAAAUUUCUCGAGAGUCCAACCAACUUUGAUUGUGUGAUUUGGGUAGUAGUUUCAAAAGACCUGCGACUCGAAAAAAUUCAAGAAGAUAUUGGGAAAAAGAUAUGUUUGGUUGAUGAUGAUUUGUGGAAGAGUAAAAUUUUUGAAGAGAAAGCUGUAGCCAUCUUGCGGAGAUUAGGAGAGAAGAGAUUUGUAUUGUUGUUAGAUGAUUUAUGGGAGCGGGUUGAUUUAACAAAAGUGGGCGUUCCACUUCCCAGACCAAAAAAUACUACCUCAUAAGUCGUAUUCACAAGCCGUUUCAUCGAUGUUUGUGGUAGCAUGGAAGCUGGCAGGAAGUUCCAAGUAGCAUGCUUAUCAGAAAAGGAUGCUUGGGAACUGUUUCAAGAAAAAGUUGGGGAAGAAACUCUUGAGAGUGAUCAUGAUAUCGUUGAGCUAGCCCAAACCGUGGCCAAGAAGUGUGGUGGUUUGCCACUCGCACUUAUUACUAUUGGUCGAGCUAUGGCCAUCAAAAAGACAGCCGAGGAGUGGAGACAUGCAAUUGAAGUGUUAAGACGAUCAGCUUCAGAGUUUCCAGGUUUGGGAAAAGAGGUGUAUCCUCUUUUAAACUUUAGCUAUGAUAGUUUGCUGAAUGAGACGAUUAGAUCUUGUUUCUUAUAUUGUUGUUUAUAUCCUGAAGAUUAUGGCAUUCUUAAAUGGGACUUGAUUGAUUGUUGGAUUUCUGAGGGAUUCUUAGAGGAAUCUAAUAGGUUUGGUUGUUAGAGUGCAAUUUAUGCACUAGUUUUGCAUUAUUUACUUCCCUUAAUAUCAAUGUUUUGCACUUAAUAAUAGUGAUUUACUUGUGUUUUACUUUUGUAGGUGCAAUUCUAUUGAUUGAUGAUAAAAUUGAGCUAUAAGAUGAUGUUUAAGGAUGAUUGUUCUCUUGAAGAAAUUAUGAGCGUCAGAAGAACUUUGUUGAUAAGGCGUGGGCGCGUGCUGUCAACUGCGGACCUGCAGUUUUAGUUUAACGUGUUUUGUAUUUUUGGUUAUUUUUGUAAUUACGAAUUUAAUAUUUCAGAUAUUAGGAUUUUAUUUUAAAUAGAAUUCUAAAAGAGAAGAGAGAGAAAGUAUUUAAGGGAGGAAUCUAUUGUGAAAGGGGGAUUUUGGAUUGGAGAAAAAGAAACCCUAGAUCUAAUUUUUCUCUUCUCUCUAUGAGGAACUAAACCCAUUUUUCUGGUUGAAGGUUAAUGAAGCUUUGAUUCAUCACUACUGUGAGAUCUUUCUUGUGCUUUAAUUGUUUUAUUACUUUUUGGGUAUUUGUUUAUUCUCUGAAUUAUUUUCAUGAUUAUGUUUGUUAAUUAGGUAAUUGGCCACUAUUUAAUUAUCAACUUAAUCUAUUGUCAAUUAAAGGAUUCAUCGUAUGAAGAAUUUAAUGUUUGUGACAAAUAACAUAGCAGAGAGUUGUGUUGUGAGAAUAAACAAUCUAAUUUAAAUGAAUCAUCAUAUGUGUUGAUUAGGAUUUGGGUCUCUCUGGUUUUUCAGGCUGUCAAUUGAUUAAAUUCUAUGAUCGUAUCUAGGGUUGUCUAUUGAUUAGGGAAAUAACCAACGGUCGUACCUUGGUUAUCGACUAGUUAAGGAGAGAUUGGCUAUUAGAGGGUCUCAGUAGCUAUAACCGGUCUAUUCAUGAGUAAUAAUAAUCUAUAUUUGAAUCAAUGAUCAGUAGUCGAAUCAAGCUGAGUUAAUUCCUUCAACCAGAGCUUUCUCCAAUUUGAAUUACAACUUUAAUUUGCAUUCUUGUUAUUUUAAUUUGAUUUUUAUUAUUGUCAACAAUUCCCCUAUUUUACGUUUUACGUUUCAAAAGGAUUUAAUUAAUUACCGAUCUCUGUGGACACGACCCUGCUCAAUCACUAUACACAAUUUAUUUAGAGUAGGAAUUUACUUUUGUUGGCUUCGACACCCAUCAUUGGUGCAGAAAACCGAGGAUACUACAUUGUGGGCACUCUUGUUCAUGUGUGUUUACUAGAAGAGAUAGAAGAUGAUAAAGUAAAAAUGCUUGACGUUGUUCGUGAUAUGGCUCUAUGGAUAGCUUGUGAAACUGAGAAGGAGAAGAUAAACUUUUUGGUUUGUGCAGGUGCUGGAUUAGAAGAGGCACCGGAUGUUAAAGAAUGGGAAAAUGUGAGAAGAUUGUCAUUGAUGCAAAACCAAAUUGAAACUCUGUCAGAGGUUCCCACAUGCCCUCAUUUCGUCACUUUAUUUCUUGACUUUAAUGGGGAGUUGAAGAUGAUCGCGGAUGGCUUCUUCCAACUUAUGCCUUCUCUCAAAGUUUUGAAGAUGUCAAACUGCUGGAAUUUGAAAUUUCUUGUUGGGAUGUCAAAGUUGGGUUCGCUACAGCUUCUUGAUAUUUCACAGAACGCCAUAGAAGAGUUACCAGAAGAGUUGAAGUUGUUGAUAAAUCUGACAUGUUUGAAUUUGAGGGGGACAGGCCAAUUAAAUAAAAUUCCACGGCAACUAAUAUCAAAUUUUUCAAGGUUACGUGGGUUAAGGAAGUUCAUAACGUGUGCAAGCAGUCAACUCAAGGUUAGCACGUGGGAGAAUUUGCUGAGCUAAAGUUAGUUAAAUAAGCAAUGCCAGCUCAACAAAUUCAGUCAAGGUUUACUGAGAUUUUAUUCCUAUUGUUUUCUUUUCUGUUAACAAUGUAUAAAGGUGUUCUUUGUACUCAUUUGAUCAUUAAGAAAAAAAGAAAUAAAAUCUAGAAUAUUCUCUGAAGUUUUCUCAGUAAAACAGAGUAAAUUUUCUCAGUAACUAAACAGUAUAUAUCAGUGGAAUUUACGUUUUAUAACAUGGUAUCAGAGCCAAACAGUAACCAGCAAACAAUGAUGAGAAAUCUAGCAAUCAAUAAUACACAUCAACACACUCAAAUCAAUUUCUCUUUCACGAAUCCAAUUAAACUAGAUCGAUCAAACUACCUGCUCUGGCGUUCACAAGUUCUGGCUUCGAUUAGAGGUAAUCGACUAGAAGACUUCAUAACUAGAAUCAAAUCAACAUCUGAAGAAAAUAUUUUGUUAGCUGGAGUUGAUGGAUCUACACAACAAAUUGAGAAUCCUGAGUAUCAGAUCUGGAGAUCACAAGAUCAAAUUCUUCUUGGUUGGCUACUGUCAACCUUAAGUGAAGGUAUCCUUAGUCUUGUUAUUAACUGUAAAAGCUCAUUUUCUUCAGCUCAGAUAUGAACUGAACACUCUUAAAAAGGAGUCUCUUAGUAUUGAAGAUUAUUGUGUUAAAAUGAAAGCAAUAGCUGAUAAGCUUGCUAGUGCUGGUAGCUCGAUAACAGAAAAGGAUCUAAUGCUAACCAUACUCAAUGGAUUAGGAUCAGGAUAUAGUGAUAUUGCUACUUUCAUAACUGGUUCACGAAUGGAAUUUGAUGAUACUUAUGCAUUAUUGCUCACUCAUGAAACUAGGUUGGAACAAGAUCAUGAUGAUAAGAGUAUGUUCAAUGCUAACUAUGCAUAUACUAAUGCAUUUCAUCCUAAGGUUUAUUAUGCACAGCCUAGAGGAAAUUUUAAGAGAGGAGGUUAUUAUGGUGGUAGGAAUGUUUUCUCUGGUAGAGGGAAUAUGAAUUUUUCUCCAAGAAUGUUUAAUGGAGGUUUUAGAAGUGGUUUUGGUAGAGGAUAUUAUGUUGGUAAUCCUUUUAAUGGUAAUAAUUCUUUAGCACCAAAGAAUUCAUCAUCUGUUAUCAAGAAUGGAUCACAGAGAACUUUUAAUAACAAUCCAGGGGACUCAGUAUGUCAGAUUUGUCUCAAACUUGGUCAUACUGCUGAUAUUUGUUGGCAUAGAUUUGUUGAAGAUUAUGUGCCAAUGCCAAGGGGUUUUUAGAAAAGGAAAAGCACCCAGAGCAGCAUCACUACUAGAAAAAUAGCUUUUACUGAUACUUGUCUUGUGAUACUUUUCUAAAAAGUAUCAGCAAUUACAUAUAUUUGGGCCAUUUUCCGUGUUUAACAAACAAGUGUCACAAAUUACUGAUUCUAUGAUGUUUGUAUAUUAAACAUCAGAGAUCGUCGACACUAAGGUAUCAGAAACAACAAAAAAAAAUAAAAAAUCUAUUUUUGUUUUAGUUGCGACUCGAACCUAGGACCUCAAAACUAAAGUGCUUUAUGUUCAACCAACAAACCACCAUGCCAAAUUCAUAAAUUAGUUUGUGUUGAACAUGUUGAAAUUAUCAAAUUAAAUUAAUAUAGAAAACAAAAAUAUAAAAGCAAAAGAAAAAAACCCUAAAUCAACAUAAACAUAAAAUUCCCUAACUCCUAAAUCCAUGGCCAGCCGCCUCAUCUCUCUGGCGAUAUCCUUCUUCUUCUUCAUACCUCUAAAACUUCGAGCCCUAAAAUUCAAGGGUCCAUGUCAUAAGAAAUCCUACCACCACUGCUCAAAUUCUAACACCCAUACCAUACGAAACCCUAAUGAUCUACAUUAUGCAAAACAUCCACCAUGCCGCUAUGCCACAAGCUCACAAGACCCGCUUUAGAUCUCCACAUUUUGCUCACCCUACUCGAGUGCACACCGCCCCUCUCGCUUCGACUUCUCGGGAUUUCUUGUUAGCUGAAGUUUUGUUUUCUUCCGCUAAUUCGAUCUUCGAAAGGUCUCGGAGCUCCAAGUAACUAAGUAAGCUCGGUUUUCUUCUAUUCUCUCAGAUACUUGCUUACACAUUCCUUUUUUUUUCGUGUUAAAUUUUGUUGUUUCGUUGUGUUAUAUGGAUCGAUGAGAGUCACAGACUUUGACGAGACAAUGACGAUAUUGUUUUGGAGUUUCGUUUCGUAGAUCUGUGAUAGAGUCUCCUUUUUCAGAUAUUUCCUUUCAUUUACCAUAUUUGCACAAUUUGUUUUGUCAUUAAAUUAUUUGCGUUUGAAUGUACAAUUUUUGUUUUCGUUUUAUAUUUUCAAAUACUGUUUCUUGGAGCGAAUUAGUGGAGGAAUUUUUGGUUGAAGCAGAGGAUGGAUAACUUUUGUAUUUUGAACUUUGUAUGUUAUUUAUUAUUUGAACUUGAAGCUAAAAGGUGACCAAAUUUUCCAAAGGUUAGGGUUUGGUUGGCUUAUGUGAAAAUGCCGAACGAAUGUGUAUUAUUCAUACUCCAAUAUUGUAGGUGCGUCAAUGCACCUCCUUGCGAUGGUUGCAGCAACGAAACUGUAGGUCAAGGUUUGGGUACCCCAUUUCCUUCAAAGAUCCAAUAUGGAGCAACUCGAGUCGAGCUUUUUCGGUCAAUUUAAACAAAACCUUUACUCCUAAUUUAUUGUCUUUUGCUUUCUGUUUGUACCUGUAGGAGUUCAUAUUUUGUAAUGUUCCGUAAGUGUCCAAUAACUGGUUAAAUUAUGACUUAUGCUAGGUGAAGAUUUUGUGUUACAAUCCCCUUCAAUAGGCAAUCACUCUUUUUGUAAAUGUUCAUGGGUAAUUGCUUUGCCUUUGCUUCUGUUGUACUUUUGUUUUUGUGGGGUUUUAGUUAAUGGAUGUUGAGUUAUAUUUCAAUCAGUUUGAUUUCUCUGCAUAUUUUUCAUAUUUUAGUAUUAGAAGAGGUAUUUAAUCAAAUGAAGACAAAAACAAUUGUCGGCCAACCAACAAACUCACUUUAGUUUGUUGUGAAAUGAUUUUCUCUCUCUCUCUCGAUUUUCACUGGUUCUGUGGUUUUUUCCCUUCCACAAUGUGAUUUAGUUCUGUUCUAUUUAUGGAUGUUACCAACAUUUUAGCUUUUAAGAAACAGACAAAAAGAUUCUGAAGUUUGUUUCUUGUUUCUUACUCUGAAUUUCCAAGGCAUCUUAUUUGGAGAAAUGCAUUCUGAAUGGAGAAAUUUCUCCAAAUUUAUGAGAUGUGGUUCUGUCUUGCUGAAUGAACAUUGUAUUUCCUUCAAUGGUUUGCGAGCCAUUAAGUUAUUUGAGCAAACAAAAUUAGCAAUAUGGAAUCCUGUUUCUACAGGAUUAUAGUUGUAGGACUCUAGAAUUUAGUCUAGGUAAUGUUUUUACCAUUGUAAAAAGUAUCUGACAUUGGUGAUGUUUAAGCAUAUGUGUCAUUUCUUUUGGGCUUCACUUUGGAUCCUUUUUUUCUUUUUUUACAAACAAUGGAUGGUUAAAACCUAAGAGACUGAUUGAUUUUUGUUUUAAAUCCAGUGGUUAUGCCUUGUAAACUUUUGAGUUGUAUCAAUUUCUUUUCCUGGCCUAACUUGGCUAAAUUUAUGCUAUAUAAUUGAAUUCUACAAAUUUUGGCUAUGUAUGAUGUAAAGGUCAUAAGUCUUGUAUCUUCAUUUGUUCACCACAGGCUUGAUACUUCACAACUACCAUAAGUUAUGUCAUGCCAUGUCUUCUUUAGCAAUAUUGUGUGGCUUUGAGUAGUAUUAAUGUUUUUGUUUGUUAAUUCACGACUUAAUGGAACCAUUUUCCUUAUAAUCGAGAACCUUCGUGCGAGUGUUGUGGAGAAAUCUUAUGAUUCAUGUGUAGGUGUGUUUGCUUAAUGUGAUGACUUUUAUUAUGUGUUGUAGUUCUUGUGUCUAUAAGAGGAACCUUUGCUCCUAUGUCUAUUUAUCUCCGACUUUCAGUUUAGGCGUAAAUAGGUUACUCUUCUUUCUUUCUCAUUUUUUAAUUUCUAUGUUCUCCUAUGUCUAUUUACAUGGACUGCUUUGCUGCUUCUCUGCAGUGAAAACAACCCUGGUAAUUUACAGGAGCUUUUUUCACUUCAGAACAAUAGCAAGACAUCCCCUGCAGAUUUUUUAUUGAUUUUGCAUAGAUUGGUUUGUUGCUUUGGGUUGGAAUGCUACUGGAUAUAUGUCAGAAUUAUAGCGCUAUUGGAAGAUGGUGGGUUGUUGCAUAUGAGUUGGAGUGUUCCUGGGUAUGUAGCUAGAAUUAGAGUGCUGUUGGAAGAUGGUAUUGCUACUGGAAGUUUUGCUCAAAAACUUGUCGUUGGAAUACUUGCAUUAAUUUUUGGAAAUUUUAUUGGGUAACUUGGCUAGGUGGCUGAAAUUUUAAUUGCUUUUGUGUAUUGAAGCAUUUGGAUUGUGUAAUAUAUAUUGAUAAUAUUUAAAUGUUAUGAAAGGUUUUGAUAAAUAAAUUGAUUUUUGUUCUUAUUUCUCACAGCCUUUUAAUUCUAUCAACAAAUCAAUGGGUAAUGUCAUUUUGUAUAAUUAUUUUUUUAAAUAAUACAUAAAGUAGUGAUACUAUAGUAACAGUAUCACAAAUACUAAUAUAGUAUUGUAAUAUUUUGAUACCAUGGUGUUAUGAUUUUAAUGAUACUAUAGUAAUAGUAAUUACUGACACCACUUACAAGUGUCACUAUUUUUCUGACUGCCAGAUUACUGACACAAUUAGCAAGUGUCACUAAAAGUAAUUACUGACACUAUUCUAAUGUCAGUAAAGACCAUUUUUCUAGUAGUGCAUAUCUGUCAAAUUUUGAUGGUUCUGUUUCAAAUCCAAACUUUGAAGAUUAUGAGAACUUCAACUAUAUGCCUUCAGCUUAUAAUCCUAUGUCUGGCAAUAGCUAUUAUUCUGGUUUUGAUGCUUGUACUCCUGGAGUAGCAUUUAUGGCUAACUUUGAAGGAGUUGCUAAUGAUGAAUGGUACUUGGAUAGUGGGGCAACUCACCAUCUGGACAACAACAUGGAGAGCUUGCAGAUCAGUGAGGAGUUUAAGGGUACUGAUUAGCUCAUAAUUGGUAAUGGUCAAGGUUUGUUUAUCACUAAUGUUGAUUUUGCAUUUCUGUCACAAAGAGCAUCAAAUUACUUAUCUGCACAUUCCAGAAUAGCACUUAAGGAUAUAUUACUUGUUCCAUCAAUUACCAAAAAUCUACUAAGCAUUUCCAAAUUGACAUCUGAUAACCCUAUAACUGUUGAAUUUUGUGGGAAUGUUUGUUUUGUGAAGGACAUGAAUAGACAAGUUCUGCUGCAGGGACUUGCCGAAAAAGGUCUAUACAAGCUGCUGCUGAGUUCUAAUUCCUCUUCUUCAUUUCCUUCAUCUCAUCUUUGUCAUACUCAACUAAAUAAUUAUGUCUCAAUGUUGUCUAGCUUUCAAAGCUUUGAUAAUCCUUCUAAAGUUUGUUAUCAUUCUGUUUUCAAUAAAUGCAAAACCAAAUAUGAUGUAAUGACAUUGUUACAUAGAAAAUUUGGUCAUCCAAGUUCAAUGAUUCUGAUGCAUUUAGCUAAGUCUUGCAAGCAAUUAAAAAUCUCUCAAAAAGAUAUUCUAUCUUGUACAAAUUCUUUGUGUGAGGCAUGUCAGUUAGGCAAAGUUCACAGGCAAAGUUUUCCAGCAACUGAAACAAAAACAAAAGGAGUAUUAGAACUGAUUCAUACUGAUAUCUAGGGACCUUCACCCACUGUAUCUAGAAAUGGAUACAAGUAUUACAUUAGUUUUGUGGAUGAUUACACUAGAUACACCUGGAUCUAUCCACUUAAGCUUAAAUCACAAGCAUUUGAAGUUUUCAAACUGUUCAAGGCACAAGUUGAAAAUUAGUUUAAUACCAAGAUUAAGGAAUUACAAUCUGAUCUGGGGGAGAGAGUUUAGAGUAUUCAGUAAUUUCCUAAGUCAAAAUGGAAUCAAGUUUAGACAUUCAUGCCCUUAUACUCAUCACCAGAAUGGUCUUGUUGAGAAGAAACAAAGACACAUAAUUGAAUUAGCAUUAACACUCUUAGCUCAAGCUAAUCUCCCUUUUCAGUUUUGGUGGAAAGCUGUUCACACAGCAACAUAUCAUAUUAAUAGGUUACCAACACCUGUUCUUAAGCUUUUAUCUCCUUAUGAAAAGCUCUUUAAACACAAACCAGAUUAUUCAUUUCAUAAGUGCUUUGGUUGCCUAUGUUAUCCAUAUAUGAGAGAUUUAAAUAAACACAAAUUUGAUUUUCACACCACCAAAUGCAUCUUCAUUGGCUAUAGUCAUUCUUACAAGGGUUAUAAGUGUUUAACAAGCUCAGGAAAAAUUCAUAUCCUAAGGCAUGUUAUCUUUGAUGAAAAUACAUUCCCUUACUUAACAAACAAAGUCUUUCAUUUAUCCGAGAACAGUUCAAAUUCUGAAAUAUCAGUGUCAAACUUUUCCCAGUAACAAAUUUAUCAUCUCUCCACAUUAUCCUUAACUGACAGCAGCUUGGAAGAUCUUCAAUCAGCAAGUUCAGAAAGCAAUGAACAAGUACCUUCUGUUUCUGCACACACAAAUAAUCUGCAUCAACAAGAGCAUUCUCAAGAGCAUUCCUCAUCAACUAUACCAUUAUCACCAACACAACAACAAACUGAAUCACAACCACAAAAUGAACCACAUCUAUCUACUUCCUAGCACAUAAAUCAAACUCAAACUAGAAACCUUCCUUCACAACCAUCACAUUCAAUGGUAACCAGAUCGAAAAUAUGGAAUCUUCAAGCCAAAAGUUUACAUAACCACCUUAACCAACAAAGAACCCAGUACUGUUCAAGAAGCUCUAAGUGAUCAGAAUUGGCAUCAAGCUCUGAAAGAUGAAUAUGAAGCUUUGCUUAGGAAUGAAACAUGGUCACUAGUACCAUUUUCAGAGGUAUACAAGGUUGUUGACAGUAAAGGGGUUUUCAGAAUUAAACAAAACACAGAUGAGAGUGUAGCUAAAUACAAAGCCAGGUUAGUUGCAAAGGGUUUCCAGCAAACUAAUGGUGUUGACUACUUUGAGACCUUUAGUCUUGUGGUAAAGGCCUGCACAGUAAGAAUUAUUUUUAGUUUGGCUGUGAUGAACAAGUGGAAAAUAAGGCAAGUGGAUGUCAAUAAUGCAUUCUUAAAUGGAGAAUUGACUGAAGAUGUUUACAUGUAUAAGCCAGAAGGUUUCAUUGAUGAGAAAAAGUCCAGUUAUGUAUGCAAGUUGAAGAAAGCCCUGUAUGGCUUAAAACAAGCUCCUAGAGCUUGGUAUGAUAAGUUGAAAAACCGUCUGAUAAGUUGAAAAACUGUUUGAUAAGUAAUUGGGGUUUUCAAAAUUCCAGAGCUGAUACUUCUCUCUUCUUCAAAGAGAUUCAAGGCUCAAUAAUACUUGUGCUUAUAUAUGUGAAUGAUAUACUUAUUACAGGGCCUGACAUUGGAGAAUUAGAGAAGUUUAUCUUAGAAUUCAGUAAGACAUUUGCUUUAAAGGAUCUAGGAAUACUAUCAUACUUUCUUGGGAUAGAAGUCUCUUAUGCUGAUGGUUGUAUGUACUUAUCUCAGAGAAAGUAUAUUAAUGAUCUCUUGUCUAAAGCUGAUAUGUUGAACUGUAAAGGGUGUGAUACUCCCAUAGCGAUUGGACUGAAACUUCAAAAGGAGGUUAAAGGUUGUUUAGGUCAGUAUGUUGAGGAUGCAACCAGUUACAGAAGUUUGGUUGGAGGCUUGCAAUAUCUGGUGUUAACCAGACCAGAGAUAGCCUUUGCUGUGCACAAACUCAGUCAAUAUGUGACAGCUCCAACAUUGCAGCACAUAAUGGCCUGUAAACGAGUUCUAAGAUACCUAAAGGAAACCAUGGAUUAUGGUCUAAAGUUUUCAGCUGGUGGAGAAAUGGAAAUCACAGGUUUUAUAAAUGCAGAUUGGGCAUGCGAUAUUGAUGACAGAAAAUCUAUAGGUGCAUACUGUAUCUAUUUUGGAAAUAAUCUGGUGUCAUGGUCAUCUAAGAAGUAGUCUGUGGUGAUAAGGUCUAGUGCAGAAAGCGAAUACAGAGCUUUGGCUUCUGCAAGUGUAGAAAUAGCAUGGAUUCAAUCUUUGUUCAGUGAGCUAAAUAUAAGAUGUGUCUCAGUACUUAUCAUCUGGUGUGACAACAUGAGUGCAACAAAGUUAAGAUAAAAAUCUAGUCUACCAUUCACGUACCAAACACAUUGAACUGGAUAUGCAUUUUGUUAGAGAUAAGGUUUUAGCAGAGGAGCUGAAAAUUAACUUCAUUCAAAGUGAAGAACAGAUAGCCGAUGUCCUAACAAAACCUCUCACAUUCAUUCAUUUUAAUUAUUUCAUAAACAAACUCAAUGUGCAGCCAUGCCCCUUGAGUUUGAGGAGGGCUGUUAAGGAAGCUCAUAACGUGUACAAGCAGUCAGCUCAAGGUUAGCACGUGGGAGAAUUUGCUGAGCUAAAGUUAGUUAAGUAAGCGAUGUCAGCUCAGCAAAUUCAGUCAAGGUUUACUGAGAUUUUAUUCAUAUUGUUUUCUUUUCUAUUAACAAUGUAUAAAGGCAUGCUUUGUACUCAUUUGAUCAAUAAGAAAAGAAGAAAUAAAAUCCAGAAUAUUCUCUGAAGUUUUCUCAGUAAAACAGAGUAAAUUUUCUUAGUAACCAAACAGUACAGAUCAGUGGAAUUUACGUUUUAUAACAACGUGUGUUGAGAAUGUUGGGUAUUGGCCAAUUCAAUUUUCAUGAAGCACCAGAAGACAACGCUUUAUUUGGUGGGGGUGAAGUUUUGAUACAGGUAUUGCUCGGUUUGAAAUAUUUAGAGGUAUUGGAGUUGACCUUGGGAAGUUAUCAUGCUCUCCAAAUUCUUUUGAGCUCAAAUCAGUCAAAAAGUUGUAUUCGAUCUCUUCUCCUCCACAAGUUUAGAGGUACAACGCCGAUUAUUGAUGCUACGGCUUUCGCAGAGCUAAACCACCUCAACGAAUUAUUUAUUAAUAAUAGUAUUGAGUUGAUAGAAUUGAAGAUUGAUUAUACAGAGAUAGUACAAAAAAGGCAGGAACCUUUUGUUUUCCGCAGCCUUCACCGUGUUACCAUAUUUAGGGCCCGUUUGGGAGUGAGGUGCUGUAGCUUUUAAGCUGCAGUUGCUGUGGAGUAAAAGCUAUAGAUGUGGAAUGGAAGUUGAUGGUGUUUGGUAAAAGUGUUGUAGCUUUUAAGCUGCAACUACUGAUGGUGUUUGGUAGAGUGGAUGAAUAUUUGUAAUAAUUAAUUUUAAAUAACAUUAUUUUUAAUUGUUAACAAAUCAAUUAUUUUUCAUUCUUCAAAUUAUUAUAUUGACAUACAAUUACGAUUUAUUCCGUUACAAAUUAAAUUAAUAUUUAAUAAAUCAAAUUUAUUUUUUUGCACAAGUUGUAAUAAAUAAUUUAUAAAACACAUCAUGGGGUCAAUUAUAAAUAAUUUUAAAUAACUAUUAUUGACAAUGCCAACCGGGCAGUGUACAUGAUAUGCUUCUCCAAAUUGCUUCGGUUUGUACCUGAUAUGAUUAAUCGAGUAUUAUUUACAAUACCAAAUAUAUCUAAUAAAAAUCAUACAACAAAACAAAAUAAAAUUAAAAUGUAAUUAAUUACAAAAUUUGUAUAAAUAUUUCUAUUGUUGUGCCUCCAUUAAACUUGCAGCAAUGCCAUCUUUCAAGAUUAUUAUAUCUUGAGUUGUGCUAUCAAUUGUUUCAUAACUUUCUUCAUGAGAUGCAAUAUGUUCGCUAAUACUAUGACUUGGUUCAUCCGUCAUUUCAUCAAAAUGAUCAUUAUUUUGUGAAUAUCUUCUGAUAUAAUUAUGCAAGGCCAUGGUAGCAAUAACUAUUUUCACCUGCUUCUUGAAUGGAUAGCUUGGCAUACUUCGUAAAAUCUUCCAUGUAUUCUUCCAAACCCCAAAAGUACGCUCAAUAACACUUCUCAAGGAAGAGUGCUUGUAGUUGAACAAUUCUUUAUAACCCAUUGGUUGGCUACCUCUACGAAAUUCAGGAAGGUGAUAUCUUUCACCCUUAUAUGGUCCUAAGUACCCACAUAACUCCGGAUAUCCUGCAUCUACUAAAUAAUAUUUUCCUAAAAAUAAAAAGAAAAAUACAAAAUAAAUAAAACAAUCUAAUCAAUUGAAUAUGUAUAUAUAAAAGAAAAAUUAGAAACACAAACCUGGAGGAGGGUUUGGAAAAUUGAAUGCAGGAUUCGUAAUAGUUGUUUGAAAUACCCUUGCAUCAUGGGCACUGCCUUCCCAACCAGCCACUGCAAAUAUGAAUUGCAUAUCAAAGCUACAUACAGCCAUUACAAAUUCUUUUCCCACCAUUCCUCACUUGCAUCAACUGUCCUCAACCUAUGAUUCCACCCUAAACCAGUUUCUUUGCCAAUCAAAUUCUUCCACAAUUUCCAAUCAGUUCUAAGAGAAUCCCAUUUAUUUUUCAUUUGAGUUCUGUUGUAAUCUAAUCCAGUUUCUUUAGUGAACUCCUUAAUCAAAUUUUCAUAUCCUUGGGAAGUCAAAUGAGUCCCUGGACGAUGUCCGGCAUCCACCUCUUUAACGCAUAAGUCACAAAAUACAUCUAAAGUCUGGGGGUUCCAAGUAGCCUUACUAGUUGAGCUAUUAGACACAAUUUCAUACACUUAAACCUAGGAAAAAAAAUAUUUCUUUAUCAAACAACAAUACAGAAAAAAUAAGAAUAUAGAAGUUAAGAAAAUUACUAGAAUCUUGUUAUGGAUGGUGGAAGGAAAAAUAAUUCGAUAUUAAAAAAUUAAAAAAAAAGACAAACCAGAACAAGUUACCUUAGUUGUUACUUUACUUGAAAUACUUUUCCAGCAAACAAUAAUGAUCAUAGCCCACGAAUAGAAACAAUUACAAGCAAGUCAAUAAAGCAACAAAAGACAAACCAGACUAGGAAACAAAGAAAUUCAACUAAACAAUCAUUAGGUACAAACUGCAAUUGCAUUUAGCCUCACAAUCUCAAAUUUGCUACGUGCUUUGAUAUUUCCUGUACUAUUCUUUUGGCCCAUCCUAAGACAUAUACAAUUGCAAUUGCAACACUUUCUCCCUUCUUUUUUCUGUAAUUCGUAUGGCGACUUACGUAUAUAUAACCUAAUUAAUUGAAUUAAAUUGAUGAUGGGUUAGAAAAUCAUUAGGCUUAUUAAUUAUACGCGUCAAAAGAAUGGUCGGCCAAUAAUUAGGUGUCCUGCUUAUACUCCUGUAAUUUAGUCAUUCUCUAGUAAAUAUUAUUAAAUAAAAAGAAACACAAACAAUUAAGCUUAUUGGUAACUGAACUGGUGCCCAAAAAUAACAAGAGCAGGAGAAAGCAAACACACCCAAGAAUUUGACAAACUUCAACUUGAAAUCCAGAAUUUGACAAACUUCCUUUUGUUUACUGAAGCAUAGUAUUUCAUAACGAAGGCAUGCAUUUUAUUAUUUAAUGUCUUGUAGAACUGGAAACUCAAAUCAAACAGGGGUUGUGCAUGUUUAUAAAAAGCAACUACAAAAAUAAAAACUACAAUAAAAACAAUGGUUACAAGCAAAUAAAUCACGCAUGACCCAUCACCCAUCAAUUUAUUCUAACAAAAGCCCCAACAUUUUAUGAAUGAAAAGGAAGAAAAUGAAAAAUUGCUUGAAAUAGAGUAAAGGAGUACUCAAAAAUGAACAACAGAUAGAGGAAAAGGCACCACUGACAGAGGCGUAUGAGAGUGGCCGGUGUCGGAAUCGCGCCGAUGAGAAUUUCGGUGUCAGAAUCGCAUCAAUUGGAACUCCCACAGUCGGAAUCGUGCUGAUGAGAAUGGGUGUUUAGGGUUUGUUUAAAAAAAUCGAUUUGAAAUAGAACUCCCACUGACAUGACUGUUUGAUAAAAUGAAAAUGGAAUAAUAUAUAAAGUUAAUUUAGUAAUUAAACUUGCAGCUGGGAAAAAAAAUCUGUCAAGUUGUCAAAACACAACUAUAAGUGGUACCAAACACUUUGGUGGCUGGGCUGCUCACCACACUCCCAAACGGGACCUUAGUUGCGGUAAAUUGAAAGAUGUGACAUUCCUCGUUUUUGCUCCAAACCUCAAGUCUCUUUGGCUAUUCGAUUGCGGUGCUAUGGAAGAAAUAAUCAGCGUCGGAAAAUUUGCUGAGACUCCUGAGAUGAUGGGACAUAUAAUCCCUUUUGAAAAUCUCCAAAUGCUUAAUUUAAUGGAAUUGCCGGAGUUGAAGAGAAUUUUCUGGAAGCCAUUGCCUUUCACUCAUCUGAAAGAAAUAUCUGUGGGUUAUUGCCGUAAUCUUAAAAAGCUUCCACUCGAUUCCAACAGUGCAAAAGAGCGUAAAUUUGUAAUUCGUGGAGAAGAAGACUGGUGGAACCGACUUCAAUGGGAGGAUGAAGCCACUCAAAUUGCUUUUCGUUCCUGUUUCCAACCUCGUUCCUGAGCGGUGGUCGCAAAAUUUGAUUUCUGGUGAGUGCGUUUUUGUUAACGCUUAUGUUUUUAUUCCAGUGUGUUUUUCUUCUGUCUUCUGCAAAUCACGAUUAAAUGUUGAAUAAUAUGGAAUCAAUGCUUUAUAAAUUUUCCGGCGUGGCCAUUUCCUUUUCCCUUUUUUUUUUUGGGGGGGGGGGGGGGGCGUGGUUCGAUUGAUGCUCUGGCUUUUUACUUUUUGUCUUCGAAUUUUGCUCUGUUUUUCAAAUUGAUGCUUGAAUAGUUGAAUUCAAUUAAUGCUCACAUAAAUUUGUUUAGUUGCCGUAAAACGGUAAAAGGAUAUAAUUAGAUUGAAAUUCGCACUUCUAGAAUGAAUAGAAUUACAAUAGAGAAAAUAUUAAGUAUACAAGCCCUCUUUACAGAAAAUCAAAUGAAAAUAAAAUUUUUUGGAUAUUUGAUUUUCUAUGGUCUACUGUAUACGCUUUAUAAAUUCCUCUGCUUUAACGAUAACCAAAUCCUUUUUUCAAGGAUUUUUAUUUGGGGUAUUGAUAAUAGUCCACCAACAUAGUGAACGCUUGGAUGCUGCUUAAGGAUCUCUAAUCAGUAGCUGGAAGCAAAUGAGAAGGCGGUCGCUACUUUGUACAAAGCCAUGCAGCAAUUGCUAUUCAUUUUCAAACAAAGUUGAGAUGUUAUUUUCAGAUUUGGUUCCAGAUUUUGUAUGAAUAUCGUUGUUCCAUUGAGUUGUAUAUGAAUUCAAAUGUAAAAUAUUCUUUGGUUUUCAAUUUUGAAUUCAAUUUCUUUUUCUUAAGCAUGUUGUGCAGAAAUGAUUUCUACUAAAUCAUUUUUGAUAAACUAUUUAAAUUAAACAACUGGAAUAAGAACUGUAAGGAUUUAUCGUAAGCAGACUAAUAUGAUAAUUCUGAAACUAUCAUUUUUUUUUUUUCAAUUUGUUGCAGGGAAAGCCAAAUUUUGCGUUUUUCAGUUUUAUCUGAUAUGGGCUUUAUUUCCUCUACACUAGCUACCUAAAGAUUUAUCAAAUUGCUUCUCUUCCCUGCUUCAAAUAUCUUCAUGGCAUCAUAGGAAAAGAGAGUUUGGGUUGUAUUUAUUAUAGUUUUUAUUUUUUUUUUUGUUAUAAGCAAAUUUAUUUUAAAUACUUUAGUAGUAACAGUUUUUAUUGAAUAAUAAUGAGGGAUGAUUAUUAUAGGUUCAAAUAGUUGUUAGAACAUUAUAAAAAGUCUAUUUACUAUCAAAUGUUUUAAAUUGAUGCAACGUGAUAAUUGUCUCAUAUAAUUUUUUUAUAAUAUAUAUGUCCCAUAAUCUUAACAUGAAUAAAUGAAUUUCAACGGUUAAAUUUGACACGAUUAUUAAAUAGAUCAUAUCUAUAUUAAUUCGAUUUAAAAUCUGGUCACAUUUGGAUUUAGAGUUUCUAACAUGAUAACUUGUUUUAUGACAUGAUUUACUAAUCAAUUAAUAGUAAAUCAAAUGUCAGUCAAUUAAAUAUGUGGUACAUUUGUCAUAUUUUAAAAAUUAUUUAUUUAUAUUUGAAAUGAAUUUGGUGCNNNNNNNNNNNNNNNNNNNNNNNNNNNNNNNNNNNNNNNNNNNNNNNNNNNNNNNNNNNNNNNNNNNNNNNNNNNNNNNNNNNNNNNNNNNNNNNNNNNNAUAAGACGACGCGACACAAAUACAACCAACAAGUCAACCCAAAUUGCCACCUUUUACUAUCUUCUUUGUGUUAUUUCUCUAAAAAUUUGUGCCUUCUCUUACACUUUUAAAUCUGAAGUGUUUGAACUGGAGUACACAAAUUAUCUCUCUACAAUUCCAAAACAACCAAUUUGUUACUUGGUAAAUCUUAAUCAAUGGCAGGAAGCAAUUGAGAAGGCGGUCGCUACUGUGUACAAAGCCAUGCAGUAUUUGCUAUUCAUCUUAAUAAUUGUUAAGCUUUGGUAAAAUUUUCAAACAUAGUUGACAUCAUGUUGUUUUGAGAUUUGGUUCAUGAUUUUGUAUGAAUAUCGUUGUUCCGUUUGAGUUGGAUGUGAAUUGAAACCUAAAUAUUCUUUAUUUUUCAAUUUUGAAUUCAAUUUCUUUUUCUCAAGCAUGUUAUGCAGAAAUGAUUUUUACGAAAUCAUUUUUGAUGAAUUAUUUAAAUUAAACAAUUGGAAUAAGAAUUGUAACGAUUUAUCAUAAGCAUGCUAAUAUGAUAAGUUGUUUUACGAACGAUUAAUUAAUCAAUUAAUAUUAGAUUAUAUAUUAGUCAAUUAGAUAUGUGUUACAUUUGUCAUAUUCUAAAAACUAUUUAUUUAUAUUUCAAAUAAAUUUGACCAGAGGUUACGUAGGUAAUACUACAUAAUUUCUAAAGGAAUGUAAAAAUUUAAAGUUUUAUUAAAUAGGUGACUCAAUAAUAAAUGGAUUUCUGCAAGAAUUGAGAUUCUUGAGAUAAUUAUUACAUAGGGAAUUUUGGUUAGUUCAAUUUUGACAUGGUAAGAAGACGACACGGCGCAGAAAACCCAAAUUGCCACUUCUACUAGUAAUAAAAGAUACCUGUUUGAAAAGUAAUUAUAAACUAUCUUCUUUGUGUUAUUUCUCAAAACUUUUGUGGCACAAUGUUAUUUCCCUGGAGAAAAGUACGAAAUACCCCCUUUCACGUCGGCAGAAGCAAAGCAAAGCUAUGAGCUAUCUCUGUAUACUUGAAACGCCAUUGCUAAACGAUUCUCGAUGAUGGGUGCCACUGGGUCAGUGUUGUCUCUGAUUUACAUGAUUUAUUAGUUGUCCAGAUGCCAGAGAAACCAUGGUGGCAUUGAAGUUGCCCAGAUGGUUAGUUUUCUGAUCAUUUUUUUAUUCAAUUAUUUAUUUUUUUAGAAAAAUGUGAGAAAUAUGUAGAAAUGUUGACAGCUAUGAUUUUGAAACUUUGCCUAAAAUUGUUAUCAUCACUUAUUUAAAGAGAAAUCCUAGAAACAUGAAAUGAUUAGUAGCCUAAUUCAAAAUUAGACGUGAUUACAACAAGAGAAAAGUGGAGAGAACUUGAUAAUCGAGUGCAUUUAGAAUUUAAUUUUUCUUUUAGCUGCCGAUCAUUAAAUUUUCGAUUUCAGAAAAUUAUACCUAGAAUAUUUCAAGGAUAUACUAUGAAGAUUAUGAAGGUUUGAUUACAUGUCACUAUCAAUUGCCCCAAUCAUUUGUAGUAAAUUAAUUGAUCAUUUUGAUGCAAAUGAUUCCCUACUAAAAAAUUUAAGUCAAGGCUGAAUUGCAUAGUAGUUAGUCGCGCUUGCACUUCAAAUUAAGUAUUGUAUUUUCUGCCUGGUUUGGUUGAUUAAAGUGUGUGCAUUUGCUUUUGAACGUUGUAGUAUAGAAAUCGAAACAUUUGUUUUUCGCUAAGCCCAGAAGCAAAGUUCUUUGUACUGUACUCAUCACUUCUCUUCAUUCUCUUUGUUGAAAUUUUUUCCAAACAGCGGUUUCUUCGAAUUUGUGCCUUCUCUUCCACUUUUAAAUCUAUCAAAGAACCGUUACCUGAGAAGAUUGCCAUCAGGAAUUUCUAAAUUGAUUUCACUAUAAUACCUUAAUCUUUCAGAUACUCCCGUCACUGGGUUGCCAAAAGUGCUAAAAGCCUUCGUAAAUCCUACGUGUUUGAACUGGAGUACAAAUGUUAUCUCUCCACAAUUCCAAAACAACUGAUUUGUUACUUUUCAAUGCUACACGUUCUGCGAAUGUUCAGUUGUGGUUAUCUUGCUGAAAUACCAGAAAAUAGGGUUCUAGUUGGCGGUAGUGGAUUCUUGGUUGGGGAAUUGCUUAGUUUAAAACAUUUAGAUGUAUUAAGCAUCACCUUAAAAGGUUUUUCUUCUGUCCAAAAACUUAUGAGCUCCCAACAGUUUCAAAGCUGUACAAAAUGUUUGGAGCUUAUAGACUGUGAUGAUUCAAAGUCGUUUGCCUUGGCAGAGUUGAAGCAUCUUGAAAAACUAGGUUUUUCAAAUUGUGGAAAUUUGGAAGAUAAAUUACAUUUAUAAACUGUGGAUCGCCCUUUAUAAGUAUUAGGCUUAUCCCAUACUCGAGCAAUGUGGAAUACCUUUAUAAGCAUUAAGCCUCUCCCAUACAAUUUCUGUACAUGACUUUAAAAGUGGUUGAUGACCCGUUUUGUAAUAUCAUAGAGGGAUCAUGAAUUCCUUUUCUUUUCUGUGGCUAGGCAACACUUUUGGGCCAAAGUAAGGAAAUCUAUUUUAGGUAAUGUAAAAACCAGUUGUGGGAUGUAAUAGUUUAUUAUGCACUGACAACAACUUUUUGUAUAAUUGUCAGUUUAAUGAAUACGAGAGGAACUCUGUUGGCAAAUUCAUCCAUGAUAGAUGCUAAAAUUAUACCAGUUGCCUUAACUAAUUUUUCUCAACACUGGUAUUGAACAGGAAAAUGAAUAUGCAAUUUGUAUUUGUGCCAUUGUGGAGAAUUUGGAUAUUCUUAGUUUUAGUAACAAGGAGAGUAUUUGCCUCAUCUUUAAACAAUGAAUCUUUGAGAAAUGAGGACUGGGUGAUUGGCAGUGUCAGAGUGUCUUCAUGUAAAUGUUCAUUUAUUUGUAUUUUGAACUAUUAUUAGAAUCUUUAUAUGCCAAAUUAGUAAUACAAAUGUUCAGAUGAUUUUUCCUGGUGAUCAUUUCAUUCUUGAGAGCCAUGUACAAUACUAGGAUACCAGAGAAACCAAGGUAGCAUUGAAGUUGCCCCAGUGGCUAGUUUUCCGAUCAUUUUUUAUUCAAAUUUUUAUGUUUCAGAAAAAUGUAAGAAAUUUAUAGAAAUGUUGAUAGCUAUGAUUUUGAAACUUUGCCUAAAAUUGUUAUCAUCACUUAUUGUUUCUUAUUUAAAGAGAAAUCCUAGAAACGUGACAUGAUUAUUCCAUACUUGUUUUAAUAUUAUUUAUUAGCAGCCUAAUUCAAAAUUAGACGUGAUUAUUUGUUACUUUUAAUGCUACAUGUUCUGGGAAUAUUCAGUUGUGGUUAUCUUGUUGAAAUACCAGAAAAUAGCGUUCUAUUUGGUGGUAGUGGAUUCUUGGUUGGUUUGAAUGUAUUAAGCAUCACCUUAAAAGGUUUUUCUGCUGUCCAAAAACUUACGAGCCCCCAAAAGUUUCAAAGCUGUGCACAACCUUUGGAGCUUAUAGACUGUAGUGAUUCAAAGUUGUUUGCCUUCGCAGAGUUGAAGCAUCUUGAAAAACUAGGUUUUUCAAAUUGUGGAAAUUGGAAGAGUUUAAGUUCUGCUGUGUUGAGGAUGGAAAGGCUCGAGAAUGUUUUCGUGUGAACAGCUUCAACGAGUUAAGAUAAAGGCUUGUCAUAAAUUGAGGGAAGUGACAUGGCUUGUAUUUGCUCCGUAUCUUGAGGUUAUUCAAAUAGCCAAAUGUAUGGGGAUAGAAGUAAUAAUCAGUGCAAGGAAAUUGGGUGAAGUUCCAGAGAUGAUGGCAGAUCUAAACCCUUUUGCAAAACUCCAAUAUCUUGGCCCACGAGUUCUACCAAAAUUAAAAAGCAUCUAUUGGAAUCAGUUGCCCUCUCUACAUGUCAGGCGAAUUUUGUGUCUGAAUGCCCAAUUCUCAAGAAGCUUCCACUUGGUUUUAACAAUGCAAAGGAAUCUAAAACUAUCAUUAGGGGAGAAGAACACUGGUUGAAUGAGCUGCAAUGGGAGGACAAAGUGACCCUUAAUGUUCUUCUUCCUUGUUUCGGAUCCAUUUGAAGGCAUCAACAUGGAUUGAUACUUUGCAGUGGAGAAAUUUGAAUAAAACCUAUGGUAAGCGCUUUUCCAUUUAUUGCAUAUUUAUAUCUAACUUUUGUUUUCCUUUGUGGUUAAAUUUUGCUCUAUAUACGUUGUUGUACGGUGACAUUCUCAUAUCAAUUAUUAGCUUUUUAAUUCUCUUCUCACAUUAACUGCCCUUUUGAUCAUGUAGGAUAUGCUGAUGUCAAAGAGUCGUAAUUUGGGAUGCAAAUGUAAGAAUUAGACAGAUGACCAGUUGUUUUGAAGCGCUCGAAGAAGGAUUAAUUACGUCAUUGAAAGGCUCCAAUUUUGUGACUUUUUUUUUUAAUUUGUUGUUUUUUCUAUUUUUAGAUAGCUUGAUUGUCAGUUGUCGUGAUGUAAUGCUUUAGUGUAGAAAAAUGAUAUUCGGCCAAGACAACAUUAGCAGGGCACCUUGUGCAUGCAUACUAGUGGAUAAUUUCGGCAUGCUAAAUCCAAUUAGGGUGGAUGACCCUUUAUAAGCAUUAGGCUUCUCUCAUACCCGAAAACAAUGUAGAAUACGCUUAUAAGCUGCGGAUCACCCAUUAUAAGUUUUAGGCUUCUCCUUUACUCGAGCGAUGUGGAAUACCUUUAUAAGCAUUAAGCUUCUCCCAGUAUCUUUAUGUUAAAAAUAAUAAUAAUAAAAGAAAUCCAUUUUAAAAUAGACUCUUUUUUCUUUUUCUAUAUAAACAAAUGCAUUCUUCAAAUCAAUUGUGGGCAGAAGAAGUUAGUAGAAAAGAACUAGUCCCCUUUCAUUCCCCCUUAAAGCUCACCAAAGCCUCUUUUGUAAGCUUUUCGGAUUUUCUUUCUAUAUUGCUUAUGAUCUCAUUUUUGAUUGAAUCACUUCUUUUGCAUGCUGCAUAUUUUGUUUGUUGUAUUUGGAUAUUAUCGUAUCUGGAAUGCUGUUAUGAUUGAUGGAACAAGUAAUCGAUAUUUGGUCUGAUGGAAGUUGACUUAUUUAUUUAUUGUUAUUUUAAUUUGAAACUAUGUACAAUUGCAUUUCAUUCAUUUCUCUCUCUCCCCCCCCCCCCCCCCCACACACACACACAUAUAUUUGUUAUGUAUAAUUGCGUUUCAUUUGAUAUUGAUCAUGCUGUAGAUAACCAUGUGAUUGUAGAUGGGGAUUUCAAGUUUGUUGAAUAUUCAAGUAAGUGAAGUAACUGUCAAAAUACUAGUGAAAUUGGGAGCUUUAUUCAUGAGCUUGUGGUUUUGAAAAGUACCACAGUUCAACCGAUGAAGGUUCCUUUUUGGGGUUCUUCUUUUUCUAGGCUGCAAUUAGGAUAUGUACAUGUUAGACAAUCUUUUGCGGGUUUAGCAUAUCUUCUCUGAUUUUGUCUUUUAUUCCCCAAUCUUAUAAUUGCACACCAUGAAUGUUGAGUGAUUGUAUAGAAAAUUUGUGUUAUAACCAAAGCGUUGUGAAGGAGUUAAGUUAGUGGCUUCUGUUUUAUUGGCAUUGAUUGGGUAGAUUAUGUGUUACAGUGAUUCAAUUUGUGCUCCAAAGUUUGCUUUAAUUUCUUUUUUCCCUAAUUAUUUAUGUCAAAUUUAAAUCCAGAAGCAUGUACUGAUUUUUUCUUUUUGUAUUAAUCUGUGAAGGUUAUUUGGAAUGGAAGUAUCUGGGUUGGGUCUAACGGAUUAAAUUAUGACAUUGGGGGGAAGGCAGUAAAGGGUUUGCUCGACACAUUUGGUUCUGUGUUUACUUUGCAAGAAAUAGCUUUUGGUUAUCACAAUGCCGGUGGAAUCCCGAUUUGGCUCGUGAAUUUCUUUGUGACAAAUAGGCAAACACAUCAACCUCUUCUAUCCAUCCUUCUACUGGUAAGGCAAGGGGUAAAGAGUCUUCAAAAUCAUCAAAUAGUAACAUCUCUGAGAAUUCAUUUUAUGCAAAUGGAAAAUCUAGACCUUCUAAGACAAAAUGGCGUCCUGUAUCAGGAGGUACCGUUUCAAGUUUUCUUGGUAAAAAUUAUGUUAAACCUGCACAGCCAGCUAAUGGCACAUUUCUAGCAUCAAAGCCAUUGAAGUUGGAUCCAAAGGGGUUUCCCAUGUCUCCACUUUUGCGGAGAAGAUACUAAACUGAAACAAUCAAAGGAUGACCAUUUGCAGAAGGAUAUGGAAGAUUUUCUGUUUAAAUUGCUAGGAGAAGUGUUCCUAUUGUCCUUUUCAAUGUUCUUUCUUUCUUUCUCUUCUUUUCUUCUUCUUCUUCUUUUUUCUUUUUGUGUGCGUGUGAUCACUAAUUUGGUAUUGUAGUUUAGUUGCAGAUAGUUGUGGAUAUGAUAUGCAAAAGGUAAGGACUAUAUCUUCCUGAUGGAGGCCUCUGCUUUUUCCUUUAUGUGUAAUUUAAUAAAUUGCAUCUUCCUUUGUGAUUGUUAUAUCAUAUCAAAGACAAGUCUUAAAUACUGCUGUCAUAUGUUAAGGUUCAACUUGCAGUUUGAUUAACAUUCAUGGCUCAAAGGCCUGAAAAAACUUGCCAGUAAUUGUAAAAUGACAUUCUUUGCUUUUAAUGCAAUAGAGGGAACAGGGAAGUAUAGCUUUGGAAGCCUGGAUUGGUAACUAUAGAGAGACUUAGUAUUUAAUUGAUAAAAAUUCCCAUAACCCAAGGUCAAGAAAAUUUUAGAUCGUUAAAGACUUCAUUUUGUUUCGGCCAGAAAUGUUUGUUUCGAUCGAAGACUUGAACCAUUUCGAUUGAACCUGAUUAUGAUGCUUUACGUUAUGCAUGUUCCUCUUAAUCAAGAAAAGUUGAGGUGAUGAUUUUAUAUUUCUAUAUUGUAAGUUGAAAUAAUAAUUGGUCUGCUUGUUUCUGUAGCUUGAUAACAUGAAUUUUCCUUCUCAAGUUAAUUUAAUCAAUAAAGUAAUUCUUCAAAGAAAAUAUGCCCAUUCUAUAAUCAUUUUCUUAAUUAACAUGUUUUUUUCUUCACACUUCAGAGCAUGUUGAAACUAAUUGAUCGCUCGGCAGAGACUUUGGGUGAGAAGACAAAAUUUCUCGGUAAAUCCUCUGAAAAGGUAUGCAUAAUUCCGCAGUAUUAAAUAACCAAUGGUCAUAAUUUUUGUACAGGACUCUUUUCUUGUGGAGAUAAUUAAAAGUGGCUGAUGAUCCAGUUUGUAUAUCAUAGAGGGAGCAUCAAUUCCUUUUGUUUUCAGUGGCUAGGCAACACUUUCAGGGCAAAGUAAGGAAAUCUAUUUUAGGCAAGUAAAGCCAUGUAGAUGUAAUAGUUAACAUGCACUGACAAUAACUUUGUAUAAUGUCAGUGAACGAUACAAGAGGAAUCUGUUGACAAUCAUCCAAGAUAGAUGCUAAAAUUAUUAUGCAUGCCAGUUGCUUAAUAAUUUUCUUACACUGGUAUUGAAGAGGAAAAUGAAUAUGCAAUUUGUAUAUGUGCCAUGUGAGAAUUUGGAUAUCUAUCUAAGUAACAAGGAGAGUAUUGCCUCAUCUUUAGACAAUGAAUCUUGAGAAUUUGGAUAUUCAUGUAAAUGUUCAUUUGUUUGUAUUUUGAACUAUUAUGAGAAUCUUUUAUAUGCCAAAUUAGUAAUGCAAAUGUUCAGAUUAUUUUUUCUGUUGAUCGUGCAUUUGUGUCUGCACACAACCAUUGUAUAUCACUUCAUUCUGAUGCGCAAGUGUCUGUAGUUUAGAAGAAAAGAAAUAAUAAUGAUAUAUUAUUGCUUGAUUCAUGAUUAUUAAAUGAUUAUGGCUUUAAAAAACCUACAAAUUCCUUUUGUUGAUAUAUGAAUGUACCAAGUUUGCUAUAUCUUAGAUUACCAUUUCCAAGAUAACAAGUUCAAAUUUUUUCUUUAUCCUUUUCCUUCACAGUUGCAUUUUAAGUGUAAGAUUUGUUAUUAAUACCUGGUUUCCCGUCAUUAUGAUUUCAUAAACAGUGUAUGGGUAUGUGCUCUACUUUUGGAGGGCCUCCACGUGAAAGAAAAUUGUAACAAUUGAAUUCUUCCGGAUGGUAUGGUAUUUAAUUUAUUUUCUCAACCUCUUGUAAGACUAAUAUAUUUUCCUUUAGUAGACACGGCAUGGUGGGAAGGGUUUUUUAUUGAAAGAAUUCUGAUAUUUCUUAGACUUUGUUUUGGAAGGGGGUGCAGGGGUUUCUCAUCCAUAUAUGGUUACUUGAUUAGCUUUUGACUGUAUUGCCUCAAUCGUGCAAAGGAAGAUCCAAAUACAAACGAAAGAGAAUUGUUUAGACACCCAGAAGAUGGAAAUGAACUACAGAAGGAAGUUUUUGCUGCUUUAUUUAGUGCUCCUGAGAAAUCUGAUGAAUUUCCUGAAAUUACGGUGAAGACCAAGUGUGAGGUCCAAAGCAUUAGGAAAGGUGGUGAGUGAACUGCCGGAGCAAUUGGUACAGAAUACAAGGCUAAUGUGGUGGACUUGCAGCAAGAUAACCGGAACAGUACGUGCUCUUAUAUUAACUAUAUUGACUGGAUUUGCUAGUGUGUGCAUUUUCGUGUGUAUACUUUUGUAUUUAUGCAUAUUAAUGUGUGUAGGAUUCUUGAUUUCUGCCACUUAUUGGAGAACUAAUGGAAAGCUUUAUACUGGUAUAUCUGCAAUAACUAAUGGAAACUAUGAUAUUAAUAUUUUCUCUCGCUUGGAGAAUGCGUAACAGAUAUACUUUGUGGCUCUGGAAUACUAAAGAUUCUGCAAUAACUAAUGGAAACUAUGAUAUGAAUAUUUUCUCUCACCUGGAGAACUUUGUAACAGUUACACUUUGGGGCUUGGAAUGUCUAAAGAAUUUUGUCUGCUUCAGUUAGAUCAAAUAUCUUUUAGUUACAUACAUUAUAGAAAAGAUAAAGUUCUCUGAAUCUGAAAGACUUAAAAUUUUGCAUAUUUCUUGAUAGGGAAAUAUCUGUAGAUACUAGUUCAUGCAUUGUGGUAGCAUCAGUGUUAAAGAAAAACAGCAGUAAGUUAUUAUAUAGAAUUAGGUUCACUUGCUUUAAAUCCUGGUCUGGUCAACCAUAUGAACCUGUAAGUGGUUCUGUAGAAAUAUAUAUAUACGGGGAGAAAGUAGCUAAAUUUUCCUUUCAUUUAUGGGUUUGGUCAUUUUUUCCCCUUAUUUAUGUUUUCUCACACAUUUUUUAAAUGCCCCAGACAUGCAAUUUUGUAUGUGUCAAUUGCCUUUUAAGUUUUAAAAACCAUAAAGUAAGAAUACAGUUUCUUGUCAGGCUAUUGAUGCAUUUGCUCGGGGGGAUCAUGCUCGAGCAGGAAAACUUCUAGAACAGGUAAGGUUUCCAUCUACAGCCAUUUAUUGACAACAUAUAUAUUUUCAUUCAGCAAGCACUGUUAGCAUUCAAGAUGCUGGCAGAUUCACUUGAUUCUUAUUAGUUUGUUUAGUAGCAAAGCAUAUAACCUGUAUUUUAAAGCUAAGUUGUGCUAUUGAUUAUGUUAACUUUAUUGUUCACAUAAAGUGAUAUUGAGGAAAUAAUCAAUGUAGGAAAAUUAGGUGAAGAGAUGAUGUCAAAUCUUGAACCUCUUACAAAACUCCAAGUUCUUUACUUGAAGAAGCUACCAAAUUCGAACAGCAUCUACUGGAAGGCCUUGCCAUUCCCUGAUGUAUGCAGAAUUUUUGUAUUUAAAUGCCCAGAGCUUAAGAAGCUGCCACUGGAUCUUGAGAGGGCAGGCCAAGGUAAAAUUCUUAUCAAGGGAAAGAAAGAUGGGUGGAAACAACUUCAAUGGGAGGAUCAAGUAACUCAGAAUGCAUUGCUUUCAUUUUAAAAAUCAACCAACAAGUGAUUGAAGGGGGCAUCAUCAACGUAAUCAACAUGGAUGGAGAGAUUCUGGAGCAGAUCAGCGGGGUUUAGUACGACCUGUGGUGGUUUCUUUUUUGUGACUUUUUUGCCUUUCAUUUUUUCACUUCCUGUCAUAUUAUCAUUUCUUUGUCUGUGUUUCUAUUGCUAGUGUUGCUGCAUGCUUGCUGUCCUUGACAAAGUUAGCUAGUUUUUUUUGUUUAUUAAAUUUUGUAUGUUCGGUCGGGACAGUCACAAAGUACUACUUGUUCUAUAUGGGGGUGAUGUGAAUCAACUUUUCAAUUAUAUAUUCUGUGGUAAUUGUGAAUUCAAUUUCAUUUAUCUCCUGCAAAUUAUGAAGAAAGUGCAGAGUUACAAUAUGGAAAAGUUCACUGGCAAAUACUUUGUAAAAGCUUCGGAGUGAAACAGGAAAUGCACUUGCAACUAAGGACAAAUUGGUGGCCGGCUAAUGCAUUCAUUUUAGGGAAAAGGACACAGACCCUCAACGUUUUAAUAAGGGACAUAAAACUCCCUAAUAUUUUAAAAAAAAUACUCAAACCCCCAUUUGUUAAUAGUAAAUUCUAAGUUUAAAGUGUAAUUACCAUUAUACCUUUAUAGCAUAUUAAAAAAUAAUUAUUCAUUAUUCAAUUUAUUCUUAUAUUAUUAAUAAAAUUACGAAUAUAAUUUCAUUAUCUAAUUUUUUCAUUUAAUUUUUGUUAAAUUUUCUCUUCAAACUAAAUAAAUUUAAUCCAUUGCUUAAGAAUAAAAAUAAAUUAAAUUGAUUACUAAUAUAAUAAAAAUAACAUAUAUUUAAUAUAAAAAUAACAUAUAUUAAAUUAAAAUAAAUUUAAUUUAUAUAUAGAGAAUUGUUAUUUUUAAGAAAUUAUCAAUUUAAUUUAUAUAUAAGAAAUUAUAAGAAAUAACAUAUGGAGAAUUGUUAUUUUUAUUAUAUUAAUAAUCAAUUUAAUUUAUUUUUAUUUUUGAGCAAUGGAUUAAAUUUAUUUAGUUUGAAGAGAAAAUUUGAUAAAAAUUAAAUGGAAAAAUUGGGUAAUGAAGUUAUAUUCAUAAUUUUAUUAAUAAUAUAGGAAUAAAUUAGAUAAUGAACAAUUAUUUUUUAAUAUGCUAUAAGGGUAUAAUGGUAAUUGUACUUUAAAAUUAGAAUUUACUGUUAACAAAUAGGGGUCUGAGUGUCUUUUUUGAAACAUUAGGAAAUUUUGUGUCUCUUAUUCAAACGUUGGGGGUUUCUGUGUUAUUUUCCCUUCAUUUUAUGUACAUUCAUCUUUUUAAUUAUUGAAGAUAAGUGGUUCGUUGCUUUUGUUGUAGAUAAAAUUCAGACGACCUCAAUUGUGACAUGACAAUAUUUAAAACAUCUCUUAAAUUAUUAUAAAUUUAAUUUAUCUUAACUUUAUUGAAAAGAUAAAAGAAAAAUGUGGUGUAUGGAUAAAUUUUUUUUUAUCUUCUUAAUCAAAUGGAAUAAAUUAAAAUUUACAAUAAUUUAAAAUAUUUUAAAAAUUAUUAUUUCAUAAGAGAUUAAUAUGAAAUUAAUCGUUUUUACUUUUUUAAUGUGAAAGGACAAGAAAAGAGAAAGCAUGUGUCCCUGCUUUUUAGUUUUUAUUUUAUUUGAAAUCGGAGUUAUCCCAUAUACUUUACUAAUUUAGCUCUAACAUUACAAUGUUUUUAGGCUACACUUUUAUUUUUCUUUUUCCCCCUUUUUUUAUACAUGCAUGUGGAUUACUUUUCUCUAAGCUCCUUAAUAUUUAAGACAAAUCAUAAAAGCAAUUGAAGUAUAACAAGAUGAUCAAAACAUUUAACCAAAAAAAAAGAAAGAAAAAAGAAAGAAAACAUUGAAAAUGGAGAUGUUGAUUAAUUUAGAAGAGAUGCAAGCAAAAGAUAUUCCCAAAAAAAAGAAAAAAAGAAAAAAACAACGUUAGUUCAUCCAUGUCUGUCAAUGCGUUUUUUAUGGUUUUUUUUUUCCAGUUGUUUGUUGUAAUAGAUUGAUUGUAAAUUGAUAUGAAUUUGAUGUUGUAAUAUGUUCGCUUUUGUGGAAUUAAAUUUGAAUAUUCAAGAUUAUUCAAGUCUUAUCUAGUAUGUGUUCAAUUGUGUUGUCGAUAAUUUUGCAUUCGAAUAAUUUUUCACCUAAAAUAUUAGCAUGAGUAGUAGUCCUUGAAAUUUUGGUCAAAAUUAUUGUUAUUGUUUGUUUUAGAGGAAAUUUUUUUAUUAAAGCCUCGUUAACACUAUACCUUAUUAAGAUUAUAAGUUAGUGUCAGUGCAGGAUUUACAGCAACAAAUCUUGUCUAGCCACGUGUCAAAAGUACAAAUAAAUCAAGAGUAAGCACAUGACAUGGAUUAGGAUCCAAUAAGAUUUAAAUCCCAAGGAAAAGGACAAUUGUAUCCUAAAGUUUCAAUAAGAGAUACUGAGAUAUCUUUUGACUAAUGUUAUUUUUUUAGCUUUAUUAAUAAAAAGAUCAAAUAGUUUAUAACAAAUAAAAAUAUAGUAUGAAGCUAAAUGUGAUAAUAUAUACAUUUUACAUAAUUUCAAUAAAAAAAAUUUCAAUAAAAAACAUUUUAAUGUUUUACGAUCUAUUAGACAUAUUUUAUUAAAUUAAUAGGAAUUUUCUGAUAAAUAGCAACAUAAUAUUAAAAUAAAUUUAUAAAGAUUUAAAUGUAAAAUAAUUUUAGUAUAAUUAAUACGUGGGAUAUAUUUUGUAAAUUAUAAAAUUACUUAACCCAAUGAUUUUUAAAAAUCUUUAAAAUAAAUAAAAAUAAAUUAUUCACAUUUUGAUGUAAAUAUUUAAAACAUUUUUAUACAUUAGUCCACAAUUAUUUAUGUUAUAUUUGUAUUUAUUAGAAAUUUUGAAAGUCAAAUGUUUUUCACCUCUAUCUUAUUAGAAUUAUUGCACACAGAGAAAGAGCCAUAUAUGCUUUAUAGCUUUAAAAUCGAUUUGUUUUAUAGCUGGGAACAGAGAUGAUCAUUAUUAUAAGGAUUAAAAAAAAGAUAAAGAAUAUUAAUGAUUAGCGAAAUCUCUAUGGAAAUUGAAUUUAGUAAGAAAAAAUUGAGCUGAUUUUAGCGGUAUAGUAAUAUUUUAUAUAGAGAAAAGUAAAAGCUGCACCCAAGGUUAAGGGAAAUGGUCAAAACUCUUUUUUAAUCAUAAUACUCUUUUUCCUACAUAAUUUAAAAAUUUGACAUUAAUAUUUUAUAAUAAAUAAAAACAUAUAAUCCUAAAAUAAAUAAAAUAAUAUAUAUUUUAAAAUAAUCUCAAUAUUUAAAAUAUAUUUUAACAUUUUAUAGUCUAUCAGAUAUAUUUUAUUUUUUUUAAAGUAAAUUUUAUAAUAAAUACAAAACAUACUAUUAAAAUAGAUAUAAAAAUUUUAAAGUAUUUUGAAUAUUAUAUAAAAUAACUUUAAUAUUGUUAAUGCGUGAGAUGCAUUUUAUUAAUUAAAAAUUCUAUUUAACCCAAAGAUUUAUUUAUAAUAAAUUAAUAAUCAUAUUUUUGAAAUUAUUUUAAAUAUUAAAAAAUAUUUUAAUAUUACUAACUAUUAGAUAGACUAAACUAUUUAUAUUAUUUUCUAUUUAUUAUAAAAUUUCAAAGUUAAUCUUUUUAACUACUAUUCAAAAGAUAUUAUGAUAAAAACAGAAUUUUUCUGUUUUAUUAAAAAUUUAGAGUUUACACCUAUUUUUUCAAAUAUUCGGGGUGUAACUGUUUUAUUUAAAUAAAAUCUCAGUUAAAAAUGUACAGAGAAGAAAUUUCUGUUGGUAUUUUAGUCUUUUACCAAUUAUCACGAUUAGGCCUUGGCCUUGAAACAUUAAUUGUUUCACUUUUAGCGCUAGUGGCGUUGAAAGUUGUCAAGAAAAAGCAAGACCAUAUUCCACAAAAGCAGCUCUUUUAUUAAAGGCAAAGUAUAAAGUAGUCAAGAAUCGAAUAUCCUGUCGUCUACUCUUUUUUAAAUUCUUCUUUUAUUAUCUUUUAGAAUAGUUUUUGGUAAUUACAAUCAUUAUUCAGAGUUAUUGUUAUCUUCUGGGGCAGUCUCUGUUCAUCGAAGUCGUUACCUUUUUUUCAUGGAUCAGUUCCAGUGCCAAGCAGUAAUUUUCUUAGAACUCGGAUCUUUAAUUCGAGUUUCUUUGUGAAUUAAUAAUAAAAAAUUUUCAUUACACGCAAUUUAAGCUACGAAUUACUUUUUGCAAAGUUGAAUAUGAAAUUGGAGAAAUUAAAUAAUUUAGAAUGUUGGUAAAAAUUGACUAACAUAUCCCCAAUUACAGUAAAACCUCUCUACAGUCAUAACAUUAUAACAAAAUUAAUUUUAUUACUAUGUUGAGGUAAUAUAGGUUUAGUUACAAAAUUAUUGUUUUAAUAUGGUUAGUGUCAAGUGAUAUAAAGGUUAAGUAUGCAGUACAUUGAUAAUUAAAUAAUGAAGCGUGUCAAAUCUAACGUAUAUAUAUUAAUGAUAUAGAUAGACAUAGUUUUAAAAAACUAAUUAAUGUAUAUUUAUGUACUGUUAUGAAUAUGGAAAGUCAAGCCUACACUUUACAUUAUCCUUAAUUUUUUCUCUCAGUUAAAUUCUACAAAUAUUGUACAAUGAUUGGGUAAGAACUCUAAAUUAAGAAUAAAUUAUUGUCACAAAUAAUUUUAAAAAAUAUUUUAUUUCAUCUUAAACCUUUAAUGUAAGUAAAUAUAUAUAUAUGUGUGUGUGUGUGUGCAUAUUUUGCAAGGUAUAGAUAAUUGUUAGUAUAUGGAGACAAGUCUUUUAAGGUAGGACCUAGGAAAAUUUAUAACUUACUACAUUGGGGAGUUUUUAUUCCUUUUUAUAAUUGGCUCAUAUUGAUACAUUCUUACACAAAAUAUUACCAUUGACAUAUUUUACUACAAUUGGUUUAGAACAUUUGUUAGGAAAAAAAAAAGAAAAGAAAACAUUCAUUGGAUGUAGCUCUCCCUCGUAUGCUUUUUUCUCCAAAUAUUCCUGCGUCCACAGAAACAAGUCAGAGCACGCCGGUUGUUUUCCCGGCGUAAACCCUCUGACGCUCAAGUCAGAUAUGAAGGCUCUGGGAAUGCUUGCCACAGAUCUUAUGGUUUUUCUGUAGUUUCUAUUCUUUAGAGUUUCAUUUAUCUCUGAAUAUAAUCUCAAAAAUGCUAACCCUUUUACCUUCCUUGGCUACCUUUUUAUAGGCUUCCUCUGAAUCCCGGUCUUCCGUAGUCCACGCCCGUUAUUCUCCCCACCCUCGGAUGUGGAUGCCCCAUUAUCGCCAUUGUGGGCGAAUGGAGAUGGACUUCGUGCCUUGAUUCUCGGAUAGGAAUGCACGUCUUGCCAACUGUCGUUGACUGGGUCUCCUCGCCUCUCGACCUCUAGCCGGAAUGGCCUUAUGCCUCUAACAAGAGUUCGACCUCGUGAAUGGCAUACUCGCGGACGAGCCGAAUAUUUCUGCUCAUGUUCCCCUGCUACCUGGCUCUUACAGGACAUACCUGUUCGCAGAACUCCGCCAUCAAAUAUCUGCUCAUCACGUCUGGUCUCGUUGAAGUAUUUCCCUCAAACAACAUAUUUUACUACAAUUAGUUUAGAACAUUUGUUAGGAAAAAAAAAGAAAAGAAAACAUUCCUUGGAUGUAGCUCUCCUGACUAUUUAAAUCUUUUAAGGAAAAAAAGAAAAAAGAAAAACUGACACAUUCAAAUCUUGAAGCAAUUACAUUAAAACCUCUCCAUAAUGAUAGGAAUAAUCUCCAUUUAGUAAUAAAAAAUUUUGUUCGCAAUCUAGGCAGAGUUAUAAAUAAGAAUAAAAUCCUCAUUGUAAUAAGUUGUAUUUAUUAUGGAUCCCAUCCUAAGGAACUUGUCUCUAUAUAGUAAUAAUUAUUUGCAUAUUAUAAAUAUAUAUGUUGCAUUAGAUUAAAUGAACUUGUCUCCACAUACUACUUAGACAAUGAGAGAAAGUUAUUAAAGAGAACACAAAUAUUUAGAGAUUUUUAAGAUUACUUUGCAUGUUUAUAACAAUAAUACAUUGAUAUAUGUAUUAGUUUUUUGAUAUAUUAGAUUUGACAUGCUCUAUUAAUAAAUUAUUAAUACGAUGCAAACUUCAUCUCUCUAUCCUUGCAAUAAAAGUAACUAAGUUAUAACAAUAAUUAUUAAUAAAUUAUUAAUACGAUGCGUACUUCAUCUCUAUAUCCUUGCAAUAAAAGUAACUAAGUUAUAACGAUAAUUUUUGUAACUACAUGCUUAUUAGGUUUUAACUACUUCAUAAUAAUAAAUUAAUUUCGUCCUAAUAUUAUAAUUAUGUAGAGUUGUAGUGUAUAGACACACCCAAUUUAAAUAGUAAAUCAAAUAAAAUUGUCCCCACAAAAAAGAAAAAAGGGGUAAAGGAUUGUUAUUUCUUCAAACAUUAGGAGCACGUUUGUUCAAGUGCGAUGCCUUUCUUUUGAAGGCAACGUCAGUGGGUACCCAAUAGGACGUGUGUAAAUCUUUCCAAAAUUUCUCCGGUAUAACGGACAGAGAUCAUUACUUUUCUCUUCCAUAGACCACAGCAGCUUCAGUUAAUCAGACUCAAUCAAUUUUCUUGGUUUCUUCGCUUAUCAAAAUUCCAAAAUAUGGGUAGCAUAUUUCAAAUCACAUGCGAUGGUGCUUUUUUCAAUCGUUGCUUGGAUUGCUUUCUUGGAAAAGUAGCAAACACAAGUAAGCUCCAAGAUAACCUUGUUGCCUUGGAGACUGAAUUGGGAAAACUAAUCGUAGCAAAGAACGAUGUGAUGAUGAGGAUUGUCAAUGCUGAACGGCAACAACUGAGAACGCUGGACCAAGUGCAAGUGUGGCUUUCGAGGGUGGAAGCUGUUAAAACUGAAGCUGAUGAAUUGAUAAGACACGGCUCUCAAGAAAUUGACAAAUUAUGUGUUGGAGGCUACUGUUCCAAGCACUGCGCGUCAAGCUACAAGUUCGGGAAACAAGUGGCUAAAAAGCUACGGGAUGUGCAGACUUUAAUCGGCGAAGGAGUUUUUGCGGCGGUGGCUACUGAGGUGGUGCCUGAGAGAGCUCCAGAACCUGUAGCAGAUGAAAGACCCACUGUGCCAACAAUAGUAGGCUUGCAAUCACAACUUGAACAAGUUUGGAGAUGUCUUGUAGAAGAAUCAGUGGGAAUCAUUGGCCUAUAUGGUAUGGGCGGUGUUGGUAAAACUACACUAUUGACCCAUAUCAACAAUAAAUUUCUUGAGAGUCGAACCAGUUUUGAUUGUGUGAUUUGGGCCGUAGUUUCAAAGGACUUGCAACUCGAAAAAAUUCAAGAAGAUAUUGGGAAAAAGAUCGGUUUGGUUGAUGAUUCAUGGAAGAGUAAAAGUGUAGAGGAGAAAGCUCUCGACAUCUUCCGGAGUUUAAGAGAGAAGAGAAUUGUAUUGUUGUUAGAUGAUAUAUGGGAGCGGGUUGAUUUAACAAAAGUGGGCAUUCCACUUUCGGGACCAAAGAAUACUACCUCAAAAGUCGUAUUCACAACCCGUUUCAUCGAUGUUUGUGGUAGCAUGGAAGCUGACAAGAAGUUCCAAGUGGCAUGCUUAUCAGAAGAGCAUGCUUGGGAACUGUUUCGAAAAAAAGUUGGGGAAGAAACUCUUGAGAGUGAUCAUGAUAUCGUUGAGCUAGCCCAAACUGUGGCCAAAGAGUGUGGUGGUUUGCCACUCGCACUUAUUACUAUUGGUCGAGCUAUGGCCUGCAAAAGGACAGCCGAGGAGUGGAGACACGCAGUUGAAGUGCUAAGAAGAUCAGCUUCUGAGUUUGCAGGUUUGGGAAAAGAGGUGUAUCCUCUUUUAAAGUUUAGCUAUGAUAGUUUGCAGAAUGAGACGAUUAAAUCUUGUUUCUUAUAUUGUUGUUUAUAUCCCGAGGAUUAUGGCAUUCUUAAAUGGGACUUGAUUGAUUGUUGGAUUGGUGAGGGAUUCUUAGAGGAAUCUGACAGGUUUGGUGCAGAAAACCAAGGAUACUACAUUGUGGGCACUCUUGUUCAUGCGUGUUUACUAGAAGAGAUAGAAGAUGAUAAAGUAAAAAUGCAUGACGUUGUUCGUGAUAUGGCUUUAUGGAUAGCUUGUGAAAUUGAGAAGGAGAAGAGAAACUUUUUGGUUUGUGCAGGUGCUGGAGUAGGAGCGGUACCAGAUGUUGAAGGAUGGGAAAAUGUGAGAAGAUUGUCAUUGAUGCAAAACCAAAUUGAAAUUCUGUCAGAGGUUCCCACAUGCCCUCAUCUCCUCACUUUAUUUCUUGACUUUAAUUAUAAAUUGGAGAUGAUCACUGAUGGCUUCUUCCAAUGUAUGCCUUCUCUCAAAGUUUUGAAGAUGUCAAACUGUGGGCAUGUCAAAGUUUUGAAAUUACCUUUUGGGAUGUCAAAGUUGGGUUCACUACAACUUCUUGAUAUUUCACAUACCGGCAUAAGAGAGUUACCAGAAGAGUUAAAGUUGUUGGUAAAUCUGAAAUGUUUGAAUUUGAGGUGGACACAUAUGUUAAAUAAAAUUCCACGGCAGCUAAUAUCAAAUUCUUCAUGGUUACGUGUGUUGAGAAUGUUCGCUAUUGGCUUUGAAAAUUCUAAAGAACCAUCAGAAGACAGCGUUUUAAUUGGUGGGGGUGAAGUUUUAGUACAGGAAUUGCUCGGUUUGAAAUAUUUAGAGGUAUUGGAGUUGACCUUGCGAAGUUAUCAUGCUCUCCAUUCUUUUUUGAGCUCAAAUAAGUUAAAAAGUUGUAUUCGAUCUCUUUUCCUCAAUAAGCUGGGAGAUACAAAGUCGAUUGAUGCUACGGCUUUGGCAGAUCUAAAGCAUCUCAAUGAAUUAUAUAUUCUUUUUUUUNNNNNNNNNNNNNNNNNNNNNNNNNNNNNNNNNNNNNNNNNNNNNNNNNNNNNNNNNNNNNNNNNNNNNNNNNNNNNNNNNNNNNNNNNNNNNNNNNNNNNNNNNNNNNNNNNNNNNNNNNNNNNNNNNNNNNNNNNNNNNNNNNNNUCUUUCGCUAUACGGUUGUAAUGCUGUGGAAGAAAUAAUCAGCGUUGGGAAAUUUGCUGAGGUUCCUGAGAUGAUGGGACAUAUAAGCCCUUUUCAGAAUCUCCAAAAGCUUGAUUUAUCACAUUUGCCAGCUUUGAAGAGCAUCUACUGGAAGCCAUUGCCUUUCGCUCAUCUGAAAGAAAUGGUGGUGCAUUGGUGUGAUCGGCUUAAAAAGCUUCCGCUCGAUUCCAACAGUGCAAAAGAGCGUAAAUUUGUUAUUCGUGGAAGAGCAGACUGGUGGAACCGUCUUCAAUGGGAGGAUGAAGCCACUCAAAUUGCUUUCCAUUCCUGUUUCCACCUAAUGAAAUAUAAAUUCCUUAGCGGUGGUUGCAAAAUUUGAUUUCUAGUGAGUGCUUUUUUCUUAAACUCUUACAUUUAUUUCAGAUUCGUUUUUUGUCUCCUGCAAAUCACAAUUAAAUGCUGAAUUAUAUGGAGUCAAUGCUUUAGAAAAUUUUCAAGGCACUGCCAUUUCCUUUUUUCCAUUUUUUUUUGGGUCGAAUUGAUGCUCUGGCUUUUUACUUUUUGUUGUCAAAUUUUGCUCUGUUUUUUCAAGUUGAUGCUUGAAUAGUUGAAUUCAAUUAAUGCUCACAUAAAUUUGUUUAGUUGCCGUAAAAGGAUAUAAUUAGACUGAAGUACACACUUCUAGAAUGAAUACAAAAUGUUAAGUAUACUAGCCCUCUUUACAGAAAAUCAAAUGAAAAUCAAUUUUUUGGGGCUUUGAUUUUCUAUGGUCUAUUAUAUACUCUUUUUAAUAUCUUCUGUUCUAACUAUAACCAAAUCCUUUGUUCAAGGAUUUUUAUUUGGGGUAUUGAUAACUAUCCACCAAAAGAGUGAACACUUGGAUGCUGCUCAAGGAUCUCUAAUCAAUAGCUGGAAGCAACUGAGAAGGCGGUCGCUGCUGUUUACAAAGUGAUGCAGUAUUUGCCAUUCAUCUUAAUAAUUAUGAAGCUUUGGUAAAAUUUUCAAACAAAAUUGAACAUGUUGUUUGAGAUUUGGUUCAUGAUUUUGGAUGAAUAUCGUUGUUCCGUUUGAGUUGGAUGUGAAUUCAAAAUCUAUAUAUUCUUUGGUUUUCAAGUCUGAACUCAAUUUCUUUUUCUCAAGCAUGUUAUGCAGAAAUGAUUUUUACUAAAUCAUUUUUGAUGAAUUGUUUAAAUUAAACACUUGGAAUAAGAAUUGUAAACGUUUAUCAUAAGCAUGCUAAUAUGAUAAAUUGUUUUAUGAACGACUAAUUAAUUAAUCAAUUAAUAUUAAAUUAUAUAUUAAUCAAUUAGAUAUGCGUUACAUGUCAUGUUUAAAAACUAUUUAUUUAUAUUUCAAACAAAUUUGACUGGAUGUUGUGUAGGUAAUACUACAUAAUUUCAAAACAAAAAAAAGUAAUAAAAACACGUUAAAUUUUGUUUUUAUGAAGAAAAAUUUAAAAUUUUAUUAAAUAGGUGAAAAUAAUAAAUGGAUUCGUGUAUGGUUUGAGAUUCUUGACAUAAUUAUGAAAUAAGCCGGAUUCGACUUAGUUCAAUUUUGACGCGAUAAGAAGACGACACCACACAAACACACGACAAGAACCGUUACCUGAGAAGAUUGCCAUCAGGAAUUUUGAAAUUGAUUUCACUACAAUAUCUUAAUCUUUCAGAUACUCCCAUCACUGAGCUGCCAUAAGAGCUAAAAGCCUUGGUAAAUCUUAAGUGUUUGAACUGUACACAAAUUAUCUCUCUACAAUUCAAAAACAACUGAUUUGUUACUUUUCAAUGCUACAUGUUCUGCGAAUAUUGAGUUGUGGUUAUCUUGUUGAAAUAUCAGAAAAUAGAGUUCUAUUUGGUGGUAGUGAAUUGUUGGUUGGGGAGUUACCUAGUUUAAAACGUUUAAAUGUAUUAAGCAUCACCUUACAAGGUUUUUCUGCUGUCCAAAAACUUAUGAGCUCUCAAAAGUUUCAAAGCUGUACAAAAUGUUUGGAGCUUAUAGACUGUGAUGAUUCAAAGUCUUUUGCCUUGGCAGAGUUGAAGCAUCUCGAGAAACUAGUUUUUCGAAUUGUGGAAGAGUUUAAGUUCUGCUGUGUUGAAGUUGGAAAAGCUCAAGAAUGUUUUCGUUUGAACAGCUUUCCCCGAGGUAAUAUAAAGGCUUGUCAUAAAUUGAGGGACGUGACAUGGCUUGUAUUUGCUCCAAAUCUUACGGUUAUUCAAUAGAAAAAUAUAUGCAGAUGGAAGUAAUAAUCAGUGCAAGGAAAUUGGGUGAAGUUCCAGGGAUGAUGGCAGAUCUAAACCCUUUUGCAAAACUCCAGUAUCUUCGUCUGCGAGUUCUACCAAAAUUAAAAAGCGUCUAUUGGAAUGAGUCACCCUUUCCACAUGUCAGGGAAAUUAUUGUAUCUGAAUGCCCAAUUCUCAAGAAGCUUUCACUCGGUUUUAACAAUGCAAAGGAAUCUAAAAUUGUCAUUUAUUACAUGUUUAUAUCUAACUUUUGUUUUCCUUUAUGGUUAAAUUUUACUUUAUAUAUGUUGUUAUACGGUGACAUUCUCGCAUCAAUUGUUAGCUUUUUAAUUCUCUUCUCCCAUUAAUUGCCCUUCUGAUCAUGUAAGAUAUGCCGAUGUCAAAGAGUAGUAAGUUGGGAUACAAAUGUAAGAAUUAACCAGAUGACAUGUUGUUUUGAAGCUCUCGGAGAAGGACUAAUUAUGUCAUUCAAAGCAUCCAAUUUCGCUACUUUUUUUUUCAUUUGUUGCUUUUUCUAUUUUUAGAGAGCUUGAUUGUCAGUUGUCGUAAUGUAAUGUUUUAGUGUAGAAAAAUGAUAUUCGGCCAAGACAUCAAUAGGAGGGCACAUUGUGCAUGCACACUAGUGGAUGAUUUCGGCAUGCCGAAUCCAAUUAGUGUGGAUAACCCUUUAUAAGCAAUUGGCUUCUCUCAUACCAGAGCAAUGUAGAAUAUAUUUAUAAACUGUGGAUUACUCUUUAUUAGGCUUCUUCUAUACUCGAGCAAUGUGGAAUACCUUUAUAAGCAAUAAGCUUCUCCCCUACACUUUAUGUUAAUAAUAAUAAUAAUAAAAUAAAUCCAUUUUAAAAUAGACUUUUUUUUUCUUUUUCUAUAUAAACAAAAUGCAUUCUUCAAAUCAAUAGUGGGUGGAAGAAGUGAGUAGAGAAGAACUAGUCCCCUUUCAUUCCCCUAAAACCUCACCGAAACCUCUCUUGUGAACUUCUCAGAUUCUCUCUCAAUAUUUCUUAUGAUCUCGUUUUUGAUAGAAUCACUUCUUUUGCAUGUUGCAUUUGGUGUGUCUUUUUUGGGUAAUAUCUUAUCUGGAAUGCUGUCAUGAUCAAUAGAACAAGUAAUCAAUUUUUGGCUUGACGGAAGUCGAUUUAUUUAUUUACUAUUAUUUUUAUUUGAAAUUUUGUACAAUUGUGUUUCAUUCAUUUCUUUCCUUUUUUUUUAAUAUUUAUUAUGUAUAAUUGUGUUUCAUUUGAUAUUGAUCAUACUCUAGAUAACUAUGUGAUUGUAGCUGGGGAUUUUAAGUUUUGUGAAUUCAAGAAACUGUCAAAAUGCUAGUGAAAUUGGGACCUUUAUUCAUAAGCUUGUGGUUUUGAAAAGUAGCCCGGUUCAACUGAUGAAGUUCCUUUUUGGGAUUCUUUUUUUUCCUAGGCUGCAAUUCGGAUAUGUACCUGAUAGACAAUCUUUUGUGGGUUUAGCAUAUCUUCUCGGAUUUUGUCUUUUAUUCCUCGAUUUUAUAAUUACACACCAUGAAUGUUGAGUGAUUGUAUAGAAAAUUUGUGUUAUAACCAAAGCAUUGUGAAGGAGUUAAGUUAGUGGCUUCUGUUUUAUUGGCAUUGAUUGGGUAGAUUACGUGUUACAGUGAUUCAAUUUGUGAUCCAAACUUUGUUUAAAUUUCUGUUUUCCCAAAUUAUUUAUGUCAAAUUCAAAACCAGAAGCAUGUGCUGAUUUUUUCUUUUUGUAUUAAUCUGUGAAGUUUAUUUGGAAAGGAAGUAUCUGGGUCUAAUGGAUUAAAUUAUGUAAGUGGCAGAAAUUCCUACACACAUAAAUAUGCAUAAAUACAAAAGUAUACACAAAAAAAUGCACACACUCAUACAUCCAGUCAAUAUAGUUAAUGUAAGAGCACAUACCGGUUUGGUUAUCUUGCUGCAAGUGCACCGCAUUAGCCUUGCAUUCUGGUGCCAACUCCUCCGGCGGUUCACUCACUACCUUUCCCAAUGCUUUGGACCUCCAUUCGGUCUCCAUCAGAUUUCUCAGGAGCACUAAAUAAAGCAGCUAAAACUUGCUUCUGUAGUUCAUUUCUGUCUUUCGGGUGUCUAGGCAAUUUUCCUUCGUCGGUAUUUCGAUCUUCCUUUACAUGACUGAGGAAAUACAGUCAAAAGCUAAUCAAGUAACCAUAUAUGGAUGAGAAAUCCCUCCACCCCCCUUCCAAAACAAAUUCUAAGAAAUAUCAGAAUUCUUUCAAUAAAAACCCUUCCCCCCAUGCUGUGCCUGCUGAAUGAAAUAUAUUAAUCUUACGAGAAGUUGAGAAAAUAAAUUAAAGAACAUACCCUCCGGAAGAAUUCAAUUGUUGCAAUUUUCUUUCACGUGGAGGUCCUCCAAAGUUAGAGCACAUAUCCGUACACUGUUUAUGAAAUCAUAAUAACAGGGGACCAGAUAUUAAUAACAAAUCUUGACACCUAAAAGUCAACUGUGAUGAAAAACAUUAAAAAGAAUAUGAACUUGUUAUCUUGGAAGAAGAUAAUUUAAGAUAUAGCAAACUUGGCACAUUCAUAUAUGAACAGAAGGAAUUUGUAGACGUUUUAAAGCCAUAAUCGUUUAAUAAUCAUGAACCAAGCAAUAAUAGAUGAUUAUUAUGUUGGGUGCAAGCGGAAGUGCAGAAAAAUUUUUAUUUAAGAUCAGAGUAUUUUGCUGGAAAUUUCUGAAACUUUAUUGCUUAAUUCAUUUUUUCGUUUCUCUCUUACUUUUCAUACAACCAGAGUUCUAUAUUUAUAUGCAUUAUAGACAACUCUAGAGAUUACAUUAAUCAUGCUUUACAUUUCCAAAGCCACAUUGCAAACAUCAAUUCUACCCUUUACUUCACGUUGAAAAACAAACCAAAUAAUCCUUCAAACUUCUUGCUCAAUUUACUAGAUUACUAAUUAUAUCUCAACACCCCCUCUUAAUUAGUAAUCUUCAAUUGCUUCUUGAAUUUUUCAAACUUCUCAAUAAUGAUUGCUUUGGUCAGAAAAUCUGCUGGCUGCUCAUUAGUGCUGAUAAACUCCAUAUUAACUUCUCCUUUGCUUACUAAGUCACGGAUGUAGUGAUAACGCAGCUCAAUGUGCUUAGAUUUAGCAUGAAAUACGAGGUUCUUUGUUAGAGCAAUGGCUGACAUGUUGUCACAAUAAAUUGUUGUUGCAGCAUCUUGAUUGAACUGCAAAUCCUUGAGAAUUCUUCUAAGCCAAACGGCUUCACAAGCUGAUUCAGUUGCUGCAAUGUACUCUGCCUCGGCUGAGGAUAAAGCUACUGACUUCUGCUUCCUUGAGCUCCAUGAAAUCACAUUUGUACCAAGACAAAAUAAAUAACCUGAUGUGCUUUUUCUGUCAUCAAGGGAACCAGCCCAGUCACUGUCAGUAAAACCAACAAGCUUGCAAUUGUCUUCUUUUUCAUACAUGAUCCCCUGCUUUUUUGUUCCUUGAAGAUACCUUAAGAUUCUCUUUGCUGCAAUAUAAUGGGACUUCCUUGGAUCAUUCAUAAAUCUAGAAAGAACACUAACUGAGUGCAAAAUGUCAGGUCUUGAGUUGGUUAGAUAAAUCAACGAACCAACCAAGCUUCUAUAGAUUCUUGCGUCAGCCUUUUCUUCUUUUUCAUCAUGUUUCAAUUUUUCAUUCAAACCCAUAGGAGUAGGUGCUGGUUUGCAUUUGAACAUGUGGAAUUUCUUCAACAAAUCUUCUACGUAUUUUUCUUGACAAAAGAAGAUUUUUCCUCUGGCUUGCUUCACUUGAAUGCCAAGAAAAUACUUCAUUAAGCCCAAGUCAGUCAUCUCAAAUUCAUCUAGCAUGCUUUUUUUAAACUCUUCCACCAUUUUCAGAUUAGUGCCACAAUAAAUUAGAUCAUCAACAUAAAGGCAAACAAUAAGGAAAUCAGUACCUUCCUUUUUGACAUAAAGAGAAGGUUCACUUGAGCUUCUGUCAAAUCCAUUUUUAACGAAAUAUCUAUCAAUUCUGCUAUUCCACGCUCGAGGGGCUUGCUUCAAGCCAUACAAGGCUUUUCGGAGUUGAUAAACUUUGUUUUCUUCACCUUUCACUUCAUAUCCUUUAGGUUGCUCAACAUAAACCUCUUCUUCAAUUUCACCAUUUAGAAAUGCCGAUUUUACAUCUAGUUGAAACACAUGUAAUUCCAUUUGGGCUGCCAAGGCAAGAACAGUUCGAAUAGUCUCCAUUCGAGCUACGGGAGCAAACGUUUCUGUAAAAUCAACUCCAGGCAGCUGAGAGUAUCCUUUGGCAACGAGCCGCGCCUUAUAUUUUUUAACUGAACCAUCUUCAUUGUACUUGAUUUUGAAGAUCCAUUUCAGCCCAAUUGUUUCUUUUCCAUUUGGCAAAUUAACCAUCUCCCAAGUUUUAUUUUUCACAAUGGUGGCCAUUUCCUCGUUCAUUGCUUGGAUCCAAUUUUCAUUUCUUGAGGCCUCCUCAAAGUCUUGAGGCUCACAAGAAAAUAAAGCAAGUUCACAUGACUCAUAAAUUUCUCUCAUUGACUUUAUCUUCCUUGGAGGGCUUUCAUCAUCCGAAGAACUUUCUGCUGCUGAAUUUGGAGAAUUUGGUUCCAAAUUAUUUUGCUGUGAAGAAUUUGGUGGAGAUACAGGAGCUUCGAAAAAGCUAGAUGCUUGAGAUUGAUCUUUUUCCCACUGCCAAGCUGAUGCCUCAUCAAAUACAACAUCUCUUGAGAUAACAAGCUUAUUUGUUGUAGGAUUCAACAACCGAUACCCUUUAGACUCAUCACUAUAGCCAAUAAACAAAUAUUUUUCACCUUUUUCAUCAAACUUCUCUCUGUUUUGAGCUAGAAUAAGAGCAUAAGCAAUACUCCCAAAAAUCUUCAAGUGAUCAACAGUUGGCUUUCGGUUGUGCCAAGCUUCAAAUGGAGUUUUGUCUCUAACAGCUUUUGUAGGAGACCUGUUGAGGAUGUACACAGCUGUAUGACAUGCUUCUGCCCAUAAGUUGUUAGGAAUGCCUUUGCCUUUUAACAUGCUUCUUGCCAUCUCUACAAUGGUACGGUUCUUCCGUUCUGCAACUCCGUUUUGUUGUGGACUUCGGCUGACAGUAAGUUGUCUUUGAAUUCCAUUAUCCCUGCAAUAAUUCAUGAAUGGAGUGUAGAUAAAUUCACCACCACGAUCAGUUCUCAAGGUCUUCAUUUUGCAUCCACUUUGCCUUUCUGCAAGAGCUUUAAACUGAAGAAAAGUUGAGAAAGCUUCUGAUUUUUCAUUCAAAAAAUAAAUCCACAUCAUCCUUGUAUAGUCAUCAACAAAAAGAAUGAAAUAUCUCCUGUUAUUGAGAGAGAGAGUCCUUGUAGGACCACAAAUAUCAGCAUGCACCAACUCCAACGGAGCUUUGGCUCUCCAUGAAUUUUUAGGAAAUGGAAGUCUAUGCAUUUUUCCAUAUAUACAGCCCUCGCAAACUUUUUCAUAUCUUCCAACAUCAGGUAAGCCAAUCACCAUGUUCUUUUGCUUGAGCAAAUUCAGCCCUUUAUAGUUUAAAUGACCAUAUCUGAGAUGCCAUAAAUUUGACAAAUCUGAAUUUUCAGUUUUGAGAGCAACAUUCUCAUCAAGUGGCAUAACAAGAGGAAAAACUUUGUUCUUUGACAUUUCAACAACGGCCACUGUAUGAUUAUUAGUUUUAUCAAUGAUUUUGCAUUUUUCAUCAUCAAAAUAAAUUGAAAAACCCUUUUGAAUUAGCUGCCCCACACUCAAGAGGUUUUGAGUUAAAUUUGGAACAUAAAGAACGUCAUAAAUGAGCUUUUUGUUACCUCCCUUUGUAUGGACAGCAAUAGUGCCUUUUCCCACAGCUUUCUGCAUCUUUCCAUCUCCAAGCUUCACUUGCGAAUUAAAACUUUGGUCAAGGUUGAUGAAAAUGUCACGUUCUCCAGUCAUGUGGUUGCUACAACCGCUAUCCAAGUACCACAAAUUAUAUGAUUCACGUUCAGCACCUUUACUUGAAUAAAACAAGUAAUCUCCAUCACAUUCUUUUGUAAAAUUUGCCUCAUUUUUGCCUUUCUUAUUUUGAUACCAGCAAUCCCUUUGAGAAUGGUUAGGAAUGCGACACCUUGUGCAUUUAUAACGACAAUCUUUUGAUUCAUGAUUAGACCGAUUACAAAUGAUGCACUGAGAAUCUGAAUUUUGCUGUGAAUUCCCUCUGUCAUUUUUCCACUUGUUGCGGUUGUCGUUCUGUUCUCUUUGCCCUAUGCCACGCUGCUCGUUUCUUUGAGACGAGCCUCCGUUCUUCUGGUCUUUCUUGCUGCUUUUAUUCUGAUCUGAAUUAUUAAUCUUUGACUGAAAAGCUUGCUCUGUAGGCUGACUUGAAGGUCGAUUGAUUCUUUGCUCAUGAGACCGUAAUGAUCCUGACAAAUCUGAAAAAGUCAUCUUGGACAAAUCCUUUGAUUCUUCAAUGGCUGCUGCUACAUGAUCAAACUUUGGAGGAAGACAUCUCAGCACCUUUUCAUUCACCUUCUUGUCUUCAAUGGAGUCCCCACAACCUUUAAUCUGGUUCACAAUCUCAGUAACUCUACUGCAAAAAUCCUGAAUUCCUUCUCUGUCUUUCAUUGAUAAAUUAUCGAACUCUUUCCACAAAGUCUGUAACUUGAUGGUGACUGCCUUUUCAGAACCUUGAAAUUCUUGUUUUAGGAUUUUCCAAGCAUUUUUGGCCUUUUUGACACCAAAUAUUCUGGGGAAAAUUGACUUACUAACACCUUGCUGGAUAUAUCGAAGUGUCGUGGCAUUUCUCUGUAUGUUUUCUUUGUACUGCUGUUGAUGUGCUGGAGUCCAAUCUGAAGAACUUGCAGAUUCUGGUGGUUCAGCAUAUCCAUCUUCAACAACAUCCCAUAAAUUUUGAGAGAGGAAAAAGGUUUCCAUUUGAUUACUCCAAUAUUCAUAAUGUACCCCUUCAAAUAUUGGAACUUGACUGGGAGCAUAUGAGAAUAAUGUGGGUAGGGUAUUUGAUGUCAUUUUGAGGGUGUUUUGGAAAAGCUCUGAUACCAAAUUUGUUGGGUGCAAGCGGAAGUGCAGAAAAAUUUUUAUUUAAGAACAGAGUAUUUUGCUGGAAAUUUCUGAAACUUUAUUGCUUAAUUCAUUUUUUCGUUUCUCUCUUACUUUUCAUACAACCAGAGUUCUAUAUUUAUAUGCAUUAUAGACAACUCUAGAGAUUACAUUAAUCAUGCUUUACAUUUCCAAAGCCACAUUGCAAACAUCAAUUCUACCCUUUACUUUACGUUGAAAAACAAACCAAAUAACCCUUCAAACUUCUUGCUCAAUUUACUAGAUUACUAAUUAUAUCUCAACAUAUUAUUCCGUUUCUUCUAAGCUACGCAUACUUGCACAUCAGAAUAAAGUGAUAUACAAUGGUUGUGUGCAGACACAAACGCAUGAUCAACAGGAAAAAUCAUCUGAACAUUUGUAUUACUGAUUUGGCAUAUAAGAUUCUCAUAAUAGUUCAAAAUACAAAUAAAUGAAUAUAUAUAUAUUCCCCACCGGAAUCACCCCCUGGAUCCUCACUCAAGGUGUCUUCCGAGCCAGAAGAUCCCUCCUCACCACUAUUUCCGCUCGUGGAGGUUGUUUGGGGGGACAUCCUCCUAGCGCUAGUCCCAACACUAGACCUAAUGGGUUCUAAGGGGAUCCCGGGGUCAAAAGCAGGAUCGGUGAGCAGACUAGACAAGAAACCUAAUUCGUCGUCAUCAAUCUCAACGAUUUUCUCUUUACCCUUCGACAUUCCCUAAACUAUAAUCAGAACACCACCACCAACUACAACCCCAAGCAAAGCACAGAGAAAAGAAAUUAUCUACAACUAACCAAGACCGAGAAAAUAGAAGAAAUACCUGAAGCAGGGAUUCGAUCAGAGAGAGAUAGGGAUGAAAGCUUUAAUGCCGAGGUUCAUUCGCCGGAGAGACAAGAAGGGAGAAAAUGACGAGUUCGUGUUUGAGGAUUUUGGGUUUUCUUACUGAGAAGCAAACUCUUGGGCUGCCAGCAUUUAAUGACACAUAUUCCGAGAAUCUUGCAACCGUAGGUUUGAAAUUCAAAUGGAGGGGUGGAUUUCUGCCACAUCACUUCAUCUGCAAUUAAAUGCGACACGACUCUUGGCAGUCUUUUCCAGUCCCACGCGAGCAAGAACCGAUUGAGUUUCUACUGCUGGUCCAUUACAUUACCCAACACCAGAAACUGGGGGACUGGUGUUUGAGGGAAAUACUUCGACGAGACCAGACGUGAUGAGCAGAUAUUUGAUGGCAGAGUUCUGCAAACAGGUGUGUCUUGUAAGAGCCAGGUAGCAGGGGAACAGGAGUAGGAAUAUUCUGCUCGUCCACGAAUAUGCCAUUCACGAGGUCAAACUCCUGUUAGAGGCAUAAGGCCAUUCCUGCUAGAGGUCGAGAAGCGAGGAGACCCGGUCAACGACAGUUGGCAAGACGUGCAUUCCUAUCCGAGAAUCAAGGCACAAAGUCCAUCUCCAUUCGCCCACAAUGGCGAUAAUGGGGCAUCCAUAUCCCGGGGGGGGGAGAAUAAGGGGCGUGGACUACGGAAGAUCGGGAUUCAGAGGAAGCUUAUAAAAAGGUAGCCAACGAAGGUAAAAGGGUUAGAAUUUUUGAGAUUGCAACUAAGAAAAGAGAGCUCUAAGAACUGAAACUAAAGAGAAGCCAUAAGAUUCGUGGCAAACAUUCCCAGAACCUUCAUAUCUGACUUGAGCGUCGGAGGAUUUACGCCGGGAAAACGACCGGCGCACCCUGACCUGCUUUUGUGUUCGCAUGAAUUUUUGGGGAAGAAACCUUACGAGGAGAGAUCCUGGUCAUGGUAGAGUUGGUCGAGCAGAGGUCCUGGUCUUGGUAGAGAAGGCAACCAGAAUCUCGCAUCAACAAUUAUUUUACUUGAAAUUAUGUACAAUUGCAUUUCAUUCAUUUCUCUCUCUCUUUUUCUUUUUUCCCCCCAUAUAUUUUUUAUGUAUAAUUGCGUUUCAUUUAAUAUUGAUCAUACUGUAGGUAACCAUGUGAUUGUAGAUGGGGAUUUCAAGUUUGUUGAAUAUUCAUGUAAGUGAAGUAACCGUCACAAUACUAGUGAAAUUGGGAGCUUUAUUCAUGAGUUUGUGGUUUUGAAAAGUACCACAGUUCAGCUGAUGAAGGCUUCUUUUUGGGAUUCUUCUUUUCCUAGGCUGCAAUUAGGAUAUGUACAUGAUAGACAAUCUUUUGUUGGUUUGGCAUAUCUUCGCUGAUUUUGUCUUUUAUUCCCCAAUUUUAUAAUUACACACCAUGAAUGUUGGGUGAUUGCAUAGAAAAUUUGUGUUAUAACAAAAACAUUGUGAAGGAGUUUCUGUGCUAAUAGUUAGUGGCUUCUGUUUUAUUGGCAUUGAUUGGGUAGAUUACGUGUUACAGUGAUUCAAUUUGUGUUCCAAACUUUGCUUUAAUUUUCUGUUUUCCCCAACUAUUUAUGUCAAAUUUAAAUCCAGAAGCAUGUACUGAUUUUUUCUUUUUGUAUUAAUUUGUGAAGUUUAUUUGGAAUGGAAGUAACUGGGUCGGGUCUAAUGGAUUAAAUUAUGACAUUGAGGGGAAGGCACUAAAAGGGUUUGCUUGACACAUUUGGUUCUGUGUCUGCAAGAAAUAGCUUUUGCUUAUUGCAAUGCAGGGGGAAAUCCCGAUUUGGCUGGUGAAUUUCUCUGCAACAAACGGGCAAACACCUUGACUUCUUCUGUCCAUACUUCUGCUGGGGAGGCAAGGGGUAAAGAGUCUUCAAAAUCAUCAAAUAGUAACAUCUCUGAGAAUUCAUUUUAUGGAAAUGGAAAAUCUAGAGCUUCUAAUACAAAAUGGUAUCUGGUAUCAGGACGUACCGUUUCAAGUUUUCUUGGUAAAGAUUAUGUUAAACCUGCACAGCCAGCUAAUGGCACUUUUCUGGCAUCAAAGCCAUUGAAGUUGGAUCCAAGGGAGUUUCGCAUUUCUGCACUUUCAGAGAAGAAACUAAACCGAAACAAUCAAAGGAUGACCAUUUGCAGAAGGAUAUGGAAGAUUUUCUGUUUAAAUUGCUAGGAGAAGGGUUCCAGCUGUACAGGGAUGUGAUUCAGAUGGUUCAUGGUAACGUCUUAAAUAUAUUGAUGCCAAUUUAAUACAUAUUGUCCUUUUCAAUGUUCUUUCUUUCUUUCUCCUCUUUUUAUUCUUCUUCUUCUUCUUUUUUCUUUUCAUGUGCAUCUGAUCACUAAUUUGGUAUUAUUCUUAACUUGCAGAUAGUUGUGGAUAUGAUAUGCAAAAAGGUAAGGACUAUAUCUUCUUGAUGGAGGCCUCUGAUUUUUUAAAUCGCAUUUUCCUUUGUGAUUGAUAUAUCAUACCAAAGUCAAGUCUUAAAUACUGCUGUCAUAUGUUAAGGUUCAACUUCCAUUUUGAUUAACGUCGAUUUGCUACUGCUUCCAAAAGUGAGAAUGAGAUACUUUGGUUAAUUUCAGUAGUUGAACCCAAUAGAGUACUUUAUUUAGAUCUUCAUGGUUCAAAGGCCUGAAAAAACUUGCCGGUGUUUGCAAAAUGACAUUCUGUGCUUUUAUUUAGACUUAUUAUUAAAGACAACAUUUUGUUUCAGCCAAAAAUGUUUGUUUCGAUUAAAGACUGAUUUUAUAUUUCUAUUUUGUAACUUGAAAUAAUUGGUCUGCCUGUUUCUGUUGCUUGAUAACAUGAAUUUUUCCUUCUGAAGUUAAUUUGAUCAAUAAAGUAAUUCUUCGGAGAGGAUAUGCCCAUUCUAUAGUCAUUUUCUUAGCUAACAUGUUUUUUCUUCACUCUUCAGAGCAUGUCUAAACUAAUUGAUCGCUCAGCGGAGACUUUGGGUGAGAAGACAAAAUUUCUUGGUAAAUCCUCUGAAAAGGUAUGCAUAAUUCCCGAGUAUUAAAUAAUCAUUGGUCAUAAUUUUUGUACACGACUCUUUUUUUGGAGAUCGUUAAAAGUGGUUGAUGAUCUAUUUUGUAAUAUCAUAGAGGGAUCAUGAAUUCCUUUUCUUUUCUGUGGCUAGGCAACACUUUCGAGCCAAGCUAAGGAAAUCUAUUUUAGGUAAUGUGAAAACCAGUUGUAGGAUGUAAUAGUUUAUUAUGCCCUGCCAAUAACUUUUUGUAUAAUUGUCAGUUUAAUGAAUACAAGAGGAACUCUGUUGGCAAGUUCAUCCAUGAUAGAUGCUAAAAUUAUUUAUGCAUACCAGUUGCCUUAACUAAUUUUUCUCAACACUGGUAUUGAACAGGAAAAUGAAUAUGCAAUUUGUAUAUUGUGCCAUUGUGGAGAAUUUGGAUAUUCUUAUUUAAGUAACAAGGAGAGUAUUUGCCUCAUCUUUAAACAAUGAAUCUUUGAGAAAUGAGGAGUGGGUGAUUGGCAGUGUCUUCAUGUAAAUGUUCAUUUAUUUGUAUUUUGAACUAUUAUGAGAAUCUUUGUAUGCCAAAUUAGUAAUACAAAUGUUCAGAUGAUUUUUCCUGUUGAUCAUGCGUGUGUAUCUGCACACAACCAUUGUGUACCACUUUAUUCUGAUGCGCAAAUAUCUGUAGUUUAGAAGAAAAGAAAUAAUAAUCAUAUAUUAUUGCUUGGUUCAUGAUUAUUAAACGAUUAUGGCUUUAGAAAAUCCACAAAUCCUUUGUGUUCAUAUAUGAAUGUGCGAAGUUCGCUAUAUCUUAGAUUACCUUCUUCCAAGAUAACAAGUUCAUAUAUUUUUUAAUCCUUUUUCAUCACAGUUGAAUUUCAAGUGUAAGUUUUGUUAUUAAUAGCUGGUUUCCUGUUAUUAUGAUUUCAUAAACAGUAAGAGGAUAUGUGCUCUACUUUUGGAGGGCCUCCACAUGAAAGAAAAUUGCAACAAUUGAAUUCUUCCGGAGGGUAUGGUAUUUAAUUUAUUUUCUCAGCUUGUUGUAAGACUAAUAUAUUUCCUUCAGUACGCACGGCAUGGUGGGAAGGGUUUUUAUUGAAACAGUUAUGAUAUUUCUUAGACUUUGUUUUGGAAGGGGGUGGAGGGAUUUCUCAUCCAUAUAUGGUUACUUGAUUAGCUUUUGACUGUAUUGUCUCCGUCGUGCAAAGGAAAAUCCAAAUACUAACGAAGGGGAAUUGCUUAGGCACCCAAAGGACAGAAAUGAAUUACGGAAGGAAGUUUUUGCUGCUUUAUUUAGUGCUGCUGAGAAAUCUGAUGGAUUUCCUGAAAUUACGGUGAAGACGGAGUGGAGGUCCAACGCAUUAGGAAAGGUGGUGAGUGAACCGCCGGAGGAAUUAGUACCAGAACACAAGGCUAAUGUGGUGCACUGGCAGCAAGAUGACCAGACCUGUAUGUGCUCUUAUAUUAACUAUAUUGGCUGGAUUUGUGAGUGUGUACAUUUUUGUGUGUAUACUCACUUUUGGAUUUAUGCAUAUUAACGUGUGUAGGAUUCUCGAUUUCUGCCACUUACUGGAGAACUAGUGGAAAGCUUUAUACUGAUAUAUGUGCUAUAUAACUAAUGGAAACUACAAUAUGAAUAUUUUCUCUCACCUGGAGAACAGUGUAACUGAUAUAAUUUGUGGCUCUGGAAUACUGAAGAUUCUGCAAUAACUAAUGGAAAAUAUGAUAUGAAUAUUUUUUCUCACCUGGAGAACUUUGUAACAGAUACAUUUUGUGCUGGAAUGUCUAAAGAAUGCUUCAGUUUAGAUCAAAUAUCUUUUAGUUAGAAAAGAUAAAAUUCUCUGAAUCUGAAAGACUGAAACAUUUUGCAUAUUUCGUGAAAGGCAAGUAUCUGUAGAUACUAGCUCAUGCAUUGAGGUAAUAUCAAUGUUAAAGAAAAACAGCAAUAAUUUAUUAUACAGAAUUAGGUUCACUUGCUUUAAAUGCUGGUCUGAUCAACCAUAUCAACCUGUAAUGGUCCUGCAGAAAUAUAUAUACGGGGAGAAACUAGCUAAUUUUCCUUUCACUUAUGGGUUUGGUCUUUUUUUUCCCCUAUUUUUCAGCUUUCCUUCUCCUGAAGUAUGUUAACAAUUGCAGAUAAUGACGAAGAGGACCGCUUCCAGGCUCUUUGUAGAGCUGUGAUGGAAUAUAGGGGCACAAUGAAAGAAUAUUGUAAGGCUGUAUGUACUUUCUCUCAUGUCAUUUAUGUUUUCUCACACAUUUUGUAUAUGCCCUGAACAUGCAGCUUUGUAUGUGUCAAUUGCCUUUUACGUUUUAAAAGCCAUAAAGUAAGAAUACAGUUCCUUGUCAGGCUAUUGAUGCGUUCGCUCAGAAGGGUCAUGUUCAAGCAGGAAAACUUCUAGAACAGGUAAGGUUUCCAUCUACAGCCAUCCAUUGACAGCAGAUAUAUUUUCAUUAAGCAGACACUGUUAGCAUUCAAGAUGCUGGCAGAUUCACUUGAUUCUUAUUAGUUUGUUUAGUGGCAAACCAUAUAACCUGUAUUUCAAAGCCAAGUUGUGCUAUUGAUUAUGUUAACUUUAUUGUUAACAUAAAGUGAUAUGGAGGACAUAAUCAAUGUAGGAAAAUUAGGUGAAGAGAUGAUGUCAAAUCUUGAACCUCUUACAAAGCUCCAAGUUCUUUACUUGAAGAAGCUGCCAAAUUUGAAGAGCGUCUACUGGAAGGCAUUUCCAUUCCCAGAUGUAUGCAGAAUUUUUGUAUUAAUGCCCAGUUCUUAAGAAGCUGCCACUGGAUUUUCAAGGGGCGGGCCAAGGUAAAAUUCUUAUCAAGGGAAAGGAAGAUUGGUGGAAAGAACUUCAAUGGGAGGAUCAAGCAACUCAGAAUGCAUUGCUUCCAUUUUUCAAAUCAACUGACAAGUGAUUGAAGGGGGCAUCAUCAACAUCAUCAACUGGGAUGGAGAGAUUAUGGAGCAGAUCAGCAGGGUUUGUAUAUGAUCUUUGGUGGUUGCUUUCUUUUGUGAUUUUUUUUUUCUCAUUUUUUUCCCUUCCUGUCAUUUUAUCAUUUCUUUGUCUCGUUUUCUAUUGCUGAUGUUAGUGUAUGCUUACUGUUGCUUGACAAAGUUUGCUUGCUUCUUGUUUAUUAAUUUUUUUAUGGUCACAAAAUAUUACUUGUUCUAUUUGAGAGUGAUGUGAAUCAAUUUUCAAUUAUAUAUUUUAUGGUCAAUGUGAAUUCAAUUUCAUUUGUCUCCUGCAAUUAUUUAAAAAAUGCAGAGUCAUAAUAUGGAAAAGUCGACCGGCAAAAACUUUGUGAAAGCUUCGGAGUGAAACAGGGAAUUCACUUACUAACAGGGAAUUCACUUACUACUAAGGACAAUUGGUGGCGAGCUAUUCCAUUCAUUUUAUGUCCAUACAUCUAUUUAAUUAUUAAAGAUAAGUGGUCCAUUUGUAAAUUUCAGAUUGUGUCUCUCUGAAAAUAACAAUAUUUAAAAUGUCUCUUAAAUUAUUAUAAAUUUUAAUUCACUCUCGAUUUAAAAUGGAACAUGCUGAUGAAAUUUUUUUUCUUCUUAAUAAAAUUGAAAUAAAUUGUGUUUGCAGUAGUUUGAAAUAUUUUAAAGAUUAUUAUUUUAUAAGGGAGUAAUAUGAAAUGAAAUUUACUUUUCAUGCGUGAAAUGUUGAAAAAGGACACAGCAAGUGUCCCUGCUUUUAUUUUAUUUCAAAGUGGAGUCAUCUCACAUACUUUAACUCUAUCGUUACAAUUUUUCAGGUUACAUUUUUAUUUAUUUAUUUAUUUUCUUUUUUACACAUGCAUGUGGGUUACUUUUCCGUAAGCUCCUUAAUAUAUAUAUUUAACACAAAUCAUGGAAGAGAUGGGAGUAUAUCAAGAUGAUCAAAGCAUGAAACAAAAAUAUUUAAGAAGUAAAACACUGAAAAUAGAGAAGAGAUGCAAGCAAAAGAUAUUCCAAAGAAAAGCAAUCUAUCUCCUUUCGAAGAAUGUUAUGGAAGAGUUGAACCCAGCGAAGAAUGUUAUGGAAGAGCAAAUUAAUGAUAUUUUUGAUAGAGUCUAUUUGAUUAUGUAGCCUGAAUAGAUGUCUUGUUGAAAGAUAUCUCAGUGCAUUAGUUCAUCCUUGACUGUCAAUGUGUUUUUAAUGGUUUUUCCAAAUUUUUAUUAUUAUAGAUUGAUUGUAAAUUUGAUAUGAAUUUAAUGUUGAAAUGUUUUCUCUUUAGUGGAAUGAAUUUAAAAGUGCAAAAGCUUAUUGCACACAGAGAAAUAAACAUAUAUGCUUUAUAACUUUAGCAAUCGAUUCUUUUACAGCUGGAAACAGAGAUGAUGAUUAUCAUAGGGGUGAAGAAAAGGACAAAAAAUGUUAAUGGUUAACGAAAUUUCUAUGCAAAUUGAUUUUAGCAGGAAAAAAGUGAGCUAAAUGAUCUUAAUGUUCCACAAGAAAAAGCAAGAUCUUAAUGUUCCACAAAAGCGUUAUUUAUUUUUUUUUGGUGAGCCACGUGGAGCUCAAUUAUCAUUGUCUUUACUUUAAAAACGUUAUUUUAUUUUCUUUUAUUACAAAUUAAUGCUAACAAGAAAAAGCAAGAUAUAAUAUUCCACAAAAGCAAAUCGUAAUAUUCCACAGAGGAGUAAGAUCCACAAAAGCAAACAACUAGCUGGAUUCUUUUAUUGAACUACAAAUUAAAACAACAAAUUAAAGUUCAAAUAUUUAAAUAGUAGUGCGUUAGACGAUUAGGCUCUUUUAUUAAAGGGAAGUAUAAAGUAGUCCAGAAUCGAACAUCUCUAUUGUCUAGUCUUUUUUUUUUUUUUUAAUUCUUCUUUUAUUAUUUUUCAGAAUAGGUUUUGGUGAUUACUAUUGGGUUAUUAUUGAGAGUUAUUGUUAUCUUCCGGGGCAGUUUCUGUUAAUCGAAAUCGUUAAUUAAAAUUUUAGAACUCUUAUUGGAAGAAUGUUUUUCCGUUAUUUUUUUAUAUUCUAAUUUCAAUUGUAAGAAGUAGUCAUUUUAGAAUUUGGGUCUUGAAUCGAAUUUCAAUGCAUGAAUUAAUAUUUAAAAAAAAAAUUACUACACGCAGUUUAGGUUACAAACUAUUUUUUGCAAAGUUGAUUAUGAAAUUGGAAAAAUUAAGUAAUUUAUAAUGUUUGCAAAGGAAGAGACUAACAUACUUCCAAUUACACUAUAUCUCUAUUAUCAUAAUGUUAAGAUUAAACUAACUUAAAAUAAAUUUUAUUUGAAAAGUUAUAUCAAACGCAGUCUAAUUUUAUUAACUUGAAGAGAUAAUAGUUAUAGAAAUUAUUGUUCUAACUUAAUUAGUACAAGUGGUAUAAAGGUUAAGUGUGCACUAAAUUUGUUUAAAUUUUUUCCAGAAUAACUAACAGAGGUCAUUACUAGAAUUAUAAUUACUAGUCUAUUAGAUAGAAAAAAUUAUUUAUAUUGUUUUAUAUUUAUUAAAAAAUUUUAAAGUCAAUCUUUUUAAUUAUUAUUUAAAGGAUAUUAUAAUUAAAAAAAAUUUAAUGUCUUUAUUAAAAAUUUAAAAAUUUAAAAAUUUAAAAAUUUACAUGACCGCUCUAUAAAUAUUGAAAGUGUAACUGUCAUUUUCUCAUAUAUAUAUAUAUAUAUAUAUAUAUAUAUAUAUAUAAACCACGGUGGUGAAGCUUUAUUUAAUAUUAAUGAUUUAAAUAACAAUAUCUCAAUUAAAAAUGUAGAGAGAAGAAAUUUCGGUGGGUAUAUUAGUCUUUUACAAUUAUCAUGAUUAACCCUUCCUCUUGUAACGUUGGUCAGAAAAGUUUUAAAAUGCCUUGAUUUCUUUUACUUUUAACGUUAGCGGCCUUCCUUAUAUUUUAUUACAAAUUAGUCCUAACAAGAAAAAGCGAGAUCAUAUUCCAAAAAAGCAAAAGUGACAAAAAAACCAGCUGUAUUCUUUUAUUAAACUACAAUUUAAAAUGAUUUUAAAGUGGAUUCUUUUGAAUACAGGUGGGGUAGUCGAAUAGUCUUUUUCAAAUUCUUGUUUUAUUAUUUUUCAAAACUAGUUUUUGGUAAUUACAAUCGGGUCAUUCAUUAGUCAUUAUUCAGAGUUAUUGUUAUCUUCGGGGGCAGUGGGUAAAAGGCUAAAUGAUAAUUACUAAGUGUUUUUCCUUCAAAAGUUAGUGGCUCGUGUUUUGCAAGUGUGUACGUGCGAUGCUCUUUGUCUAAAGGCAAUUACAGUGGGUCCCGAAUCGGACGUGCCUAAUAAAUCUUUUAAAAAUUUUUCUAAUAAAUAUUCCUAAAAUUUCUCUUCCACAGGCAAUUACAGCAGCUUCAGUUAAUCAAACUCAAUCAAUUUUCUUUCUUAACAAAAUUCCAAAGAUGUGUGGCUGUUUUCAGAUCACAUGCGAUGGUACUUUUUUCAAUCGUUGCUUAGAUUGCUUUCUUGGAAAAGCAGCAUACAUACGUAACCUCCAAGAUAACCUCGUUGCCUUGGAGACUGAACUAAGGAAACUAAUCGCAGCAAAGAACGAUGUGAUGACGGCGGUUGUCAAUGCUGAACGGCAACAAAUGAGAAGGCUGGAACGAGUGCAAGUGUGGGUUUCGAGUGUGGAUUCUGUUAAAACUGGAGCCGAUGAACUUAUCACAGACGGCUCUGAAGAAAUUGGCAAAUUAUGUGUUGGAGGCUACUGUUCCAAGAACUGCAGGUCAAGCUACAAGUUCGGAAAACAAGUGGCUGAAAAGCUACAACAUGUGAAGAAUUUAAUCGCCGAGGGAGUUUUUGAGGCGGUGGCCACUGAGGUGGUGCCCGAGAGAGCUCCGGAACCUGUAGCAGAUAAAAGACCCAUUGAGCCAACAAUAGUAGGCUUGCAAUCACAGCUUGAAGAAGUUUGGAGAUGUCUUGCAGAAGAAUCAGUGGGAAUCAUUGGCCUAUAUGGUAUGGGCGGUGUUGGUAAAACCACACUAUUGACCCAUAUCAACAAUAAAUUUCUUGAGAGUCCCACAAACUUUGAUUGUGUGAUUUGGGUCGUAGUUUCAAAAGACCUGCGACUUGAAAAAAUUCAAGAAGAUAUUGGGAAGAAGAUAGGUCUAUCUGAUGAUUCAUGGAAGAAUAAAAGUUUUGAAGAGAAAGCUGUGGACAUCUUGCGGAGAUUAGGAGAGAAGAGAUUUGUAUUGUUGUUAGAUGAUAUAUGGGACCGGGUUGAUUUAACAAAGGUGGGCGUUCCACUUCCCGGACCACAAAAUACUACCUCAAAAGUCGUAUUCACAACCCGUUCCAUCGAUGUUUGUGGCAGCAUGAGAGCUAGGCCGGUUAAAGUGGCAUGCCUAUCAGAAAAGCAAGCUUGGGAACUGUUCCACGAAAAUGUUGGGGAAGAAACUCUUGAGAGUGAUCAUGAGAUCGUUGAGCUAGCCCAAACAGUGGCCAAAGAGUGUGGUGGUUUGCCACUCGCACUUAUUACUAUUGGUCGAGCUAUGGCCUACAGAAAGAAAGCGGAGCAGUGGAGACGUGCAAUUGAAGAGUUAAGAAGAUCAGUUUCAGAGUUUGCAGGUUUGGGAAAAGAGGUGUAUCCUUUUUUAAAGUUCAGCUAUGAUAGUUUGCAGUAUGAUACGGUUAGAUCUUGUUUCUUGUAUUGUUGUUUAUAUCCUGAAGAUUAUGGCAUUCUUAAAUGGGACUUGAUUGAUUGUUGGUUUGGCGAGGGAUUUUUUGGGGAAUCUGACAGGUCUGGUGCAGAAAACCGAGGAUAUGGCAUUUUGGACACUCUUGUUCGUGCAUGUUUAUUAGAAGAGGUGGAAGAUGAUAAAGUAAAAAUGCAUGACGUUAUUCGUGAUAUGGCUAUAUGGAUAGCUUGUGAAAUUGAGAAGGAGAAGAGAAACUUUUUGGUUUGUGCAGGUGCUGGAUUAAAAGAGGCACCGGAUGUUAAAGGAUGGGAAAAUGUGAGAAGAUUGUCAUUGAUGCAAAACCAAAUUAAAACUCUGUCAGAGGUUCCUACAUGCCCUCAUCUCCAUACUCUAUUUCUUGACUUUAAUAAGGAGUUGGAGACGAUCGCGGAUGGCUUCUUCCAAUUUAUGCCUUCUCUCAAAGUUUUGAAGAUGUCAAACUGUGGGCAUGUCAAAGUUUUGAAAUUACCUAUUGGGAUGUCAGAGUUGGGUUCAUCACUAGAACUUCUUGAUAUUUCAAAUACCAACAUAACAGAGUUACCAGAAGAGUUGAAGUUGUUGGUAAAUCUGAAAUGUUUGAAUUUGAGGUGGACAAUUUGUUUAAAUAAAAUUCCAUGGCAACUAAUAUCAAAAUUUCAAGGUUACGUGUGUUGAGAAUGUUCGCUACUGGCUUUGCACGUUUUGAUGCAGCAUCAGAAGACAGCGUUUUAUUUGGUGGGGGUGAAGUUUUAGUACAGGAAUUGGUCGGUCUGAAAUAUUUAGAGGUAUUGGAGUUGACCUUGGGAUGUCAUCAUGCUCUCCAAAUUUUUUUGAGCUCAAAUAAGUUAAAAAGUUGUAUUCGAUCUCUUCUCCUCCAAUUGGCCGGAGAUACAAAGUCGAUUAUUGAUGCUACGGCUUUCGCAGAUCUAAACCACCUCAAUGAAUUAUGGAUUGAUAGGGCUAAGGAGUUGGAAGAAUUGAAGAUUGAUUGUAAAGAAAUAGUACAAAAAAGGCGGGAACCUUUUGUUUUCCGCAGCCUUCACCGUGUUACUAUACAUAGCUGCCAGAAGUUGAAAGAUUUGACAUUCCUCGUUUUUGCUCCAGACCUCAAGUCUCUCGAUCUAGACCGUUGCGAUGCUAUGGAAGAAAUAAUCAGCGUCGGAAAAUUUGCUGAGACUCCUGAGAUGAUGGGACAUAUAAGCCCUUUCGAAAAUCUCCAAACUCUUCAUUUAAGAGCGUUUAACAUCUUUUCUCGACGACCUGCACGAUUGCCUUUCACUCAUCUGAAGGAAAUGGAGGUAAGUGGGUGCGAUCAGCUUAAAAAGCUUCCACUCGAUUCCAACAGUGCAAAAGAGCGUAAAUUUGUUAUUCGUGGAAAAGAAGACUGGUGGAACCGACUUCAAUGGGAGGAUGAAGCCACUCAAAUUGCUUUUCGUUCCUGUUUCCAACCUGAGCGGUUAGUCGCAAAAUUUGAUUUCUGGUGAUUGCGUUUGUCUUUUAACUCUUAUAUAUAUUCUUGUCGUUUGUUUUCUUCUCUGUUUUUAACUCUUAUAUUGCGUUUGUCUUUUGAAAAUCUCCAAUUAAAUGUUGAAUUAAUGGAAUUAAUGCUUCAUAAAUUUGCCGGCACUGCCAUCACUUUUUUUUUUUUUAAUACAAAUUGAUACUUUAUUUAUAUCUUCUUAGCGAUAUAAUUUCCUGUCAAUUGACGAACGAGAAGAACAUACGACUUAAACCAAUUCACGCAUAAACUUGCUGUAAAAAGAUAUAAUCUCACUGAAAUGCACACGUCUAGAAUGAAUAGAAUUAAAACAGGGAAAAUAUUUAAGUAUAUUAGCCCUCUUUACCGAAAAUGAAAUGACAAUAAAUUUUUUGAAAGUUUUGAUUUUCUAUGGUCAAUUCCACCUUUUGCAAUUUCUUCUGUUCUAACAAAAACCAAUUUCUUUGUUCAAGUAUUUUCGUUUGGGUAUUAAUAAUUCUCCACCGAAAGAGUGAACUCUUGCUCAAGGGAUCUCUAAUCAAUAGCCGGAAGGGCGCCGAGACCUGAUCGGACCUAGGCCCAAGUUUGGUCUUAAAGCCUGGGCUUGAGCCUGGCAAUUAAAUUAAAACAUUAAUUGAUUUCUUGAUUGAAUUGUCGUGUAAUUGAUUUAUGGGGGAUGACACAUCAACAUGCUUGAAAACACACUAAUCUCAGCAUCAUCGGUUAAUAACUUUUAGAAUUAUGGGUAAUCAAUAGUUAAGAUUAGUUGUCAUUAAUACUAAAUAUUUUUUUACUAUUUUCGUCUCUUCUAGAGGAUCUUCUAGAAAAAUGCAUCCACAACAAAAUUUAAUACUUUACAUAAUAAACAAAGCAUAAAUGUUAAAUUUAAGAAACUGCAUUGUAUUUCAGCUGAAGUUGACUUUAAUAUUUAGGGUAGAAAAAUAAUAAAUCCUUAAUGUGUUUAAUUUCUAUCACUUGUGUCAUUAAAAUUUUCUAGUCACCCUAACCAAUUACAUCUCAACCCACUUUUUUUUGGAUGAUUUUAUUUUUACACUAUUAUUUUCAUCAUUUUUUUUCCUUUUAACACCAACAUUAGUGUAUGUUACGUAACAUAAUUCAUAUUUGGAUAAUUUGAAAUUUGUUUGUGUUUUAUCUCAAAAUAGAGCUUCAAUCAAUUUGUACCUCAUAAAUUCACAAUAUCUAUGAGGGCUAAUAAGACCAAACUCUGGCAUAUUGUCAAAUGUGCUUAUCCUUUUGCUUGACAUGUCAUUUUAAAAUUGUCAUUCAAUGCCAAAAAAUCACAUCAACUGAUGGCCGACUACUUUAAUUUGAAAGCAUGCAUGCGAUCGCCAAUAAUUAUAACUUAAUUGUUAUUUUGAAAUUUUUUUCUUUAUAAUUUUUAAGUUUAAUACUACUACAUGUGCAGCACAUAAGUUGGAAAAUAUAACAUAAAAUUUGAAAAAUGUGUAGCUUUCGUUCCUUUUUUUUCUUAAAAAUGAGGAAAAAGAAUGUAAUUUUGUUUAAAUUACUGUUGUGAUAACAAUUAUUAUUUUAUUGAUUAAUUGGCAGAGAAUGGUUAUGGUUUCGCAUGGUUGUUAAAACAUUGGAAAAUCCACUACAUCAUCCGUUAAUAACUUUCAGAUUUAUGGUUAAUCAAUAGUUGAGAUUUGUUAUCAUUAAUGUUAAAUAUUUUUUUAAUAUUUUUUCUCUCUCCUAGAGGAUCAUCACAGCAAAAAUUUAAUAUUAUAAAUAGUAAACAAAAUAUAAACAGUUAAAUCUAAGAAACUGCAUUGCAUUUCAGCUGAAGCUAACUUUAAUAUUUAAUGGAGAAAAAUAAUUAAGUCCUUAAUGUACUUUAUUUACCCAUACUGAUACGCUCUUAAUUCGUGAAACUGAGCAACAUCAAAAUUAUCACUACUUCGAGCGAGUGUUUGCUCCAGAAGAAAGAACUGGAAGUUGAGAAAUGAGAAAGAAGAAAAGAAGAAGAGUCACAGCGAGGAAUAAAAGUGGUCCAUUCAUUUCAUGCCUUCCCAAAAUGACAAAAUCCCGCAAUAUAUAACAGACAAUCGAAAAUAACCAAUUUGACAACGCAACAGAAAAUGACAAAAAAGAAUCCAAAACAAACGUAGCCAAUCACAAUGCUUUUACAGAUCAUCCUAAACGACGUAGUCUCGUAGCCAAUCUAGAAGUUUCUUGUUUCGUUUGGGCCGUUGAUUCUCUUGCACUGGCUCAUGGUGAAUGUCCUCUUUGGGUUGACUGACUGUGGGUUCUCGGUUGAGCUCUUCCACUUGCGCCCCCUCUAAUGGCUCUAAUUUGAUAUAUAAAUUCGUAUCAUUCCCUCCUGCUUGAAAACACACAUUGUCCUCAAGGUGAAAUGCUGGAUAGAGCUUACAAAAGGCGUCAAAGUUUUCCCAAGACGAAUUCUUCGGUGAACUGACGGUCCAUUGAACUAACACUUGAAGCGUUGGCUUCCCCUGUUGCAAAACUAUUCGGGUUGCACAAAUGGCAGCCGGUAGCAAAAGAGGAUGGUUAUCCACACUCAACUCUGGUAAAGGAUGUGAAAUAGCAGGGUCGUUGCCAUGAUAAUGCUUAAGGACAGAGAUGUGAAAAACCGAGUGGAUUUUGGAAGUAUUGGGUAACUCCAAUUUGUAAGCUACAUACCCCACUCUAGCAAGUACCGUAAAUGGCCCGUAGUAUCACUUGGCCAACUUCUGACAGGCGCGAGAAGCUAUAGUGGUCUGUCGAUAUGGCUGUAAUUUAACCAGCACUUUAUCCCCUACUUCAAAGUGAGCUUCACGGCGAUGGGCAUUAGCUUUCUGAGCCAUUCGAUGUUGUGCUUGCCUCAAAUUAGCUUUUAAAGAUUGGAGAAGAGUAUUACGUUCAAGGAGAAUGUCCUCCAAAGUUUGGAUUGAAGUAGAGCCCUUAGCAUAAUGAGGAAUAGUUGGAGGCAAUCGGCCAAAUAAAGCUUGAUAGGGAGACAUCUUCAAGCCACUGUGGAAAUGAGAAUUAUAACUAAAUUCUGCCCAACUCAGUAAGGAAACCCACUUCCGUGGUUUGUCUUGAGUGAAAGCUCGUAAAUAUUGCUCCAAUCCUCAAUUUACCACUUCCGUUUGACCAUCCGUUUGAGGGUGGUAUGCCGUGCUAUGACGAAGAGUUGUGCCACUUAAGAGGAAUAAUUGUUUUCAAAAAUUGCUCAAGAACACUGGGUCUCGAUCGGAGAUAAUUGAACUUGGAAAACCAUGUAUUUUAAUGACCAUGUCCACAAAGAGUUCAGCUGUCUUGAGGGCAGUAAAUUGACAGGGUAACGGACCAAAAUGGGCAAAUUUUGUAAGACGAUUGACAACAACCAAUAUGACCGAGAAACCUUGUGCUAACGAAAGACCUAUAACGAAAUCCAUUGUGACCUCAUCCCAAACCAUAUUAGGUAUCGGCAAUGGUUGAAGAAGACCAGCAGGGGCUUGAGUGGAAUACUUAGUUUGCUGGCAUAUUAAACACUCUCGGAUAAACGUUUCCACAUCAUGACGCAUCUUGGGCCAAUAGAAUGUUGAAGAUAAUCUGAUUAAGGUUCUAGUGACACCCACAUGACCUGCCAGUGGUGUAGAGUGAAAUUCUUGCAAUAGUACGACUUUUAAAGAGGAGGUAGGACUGAUGUAAUAACGCUGACGGUGGAGAAGAAAUCCGUUUUGAACAGAGAAGUCAACUGACAGUUUGCCUUGUAAAAGUUGCUGGUGAAGUGAUAUUAAAUCAGGUAAUGUGGUAUUCUCAUUAAGUAAUGACUGCAGCAAUUCAAAUGAAGGAUGGCUGUUGAAAGAAAGGCAAGUGGGGGAGAUGUUGAUGUUAUCCUCAGGAGCUGUUUCAUGGACACGGGAUAGAGCAUCAGCGGCGCUAUUGGUACAACAUGGUCUGUACUCAAUUCUGAAUUGGAAACCCAAUAAUUUGCGGAGAUAAACUUGCUGAUCUAGUGUUUGUAUCACUUGUUGAAGGAGUUCUUUGAUACUCUUAUGAUCCGUGCGGAUAACAAAGAAUCGGCCCAACAAAUACUGCCGCCACUUAUACACAGCUUCUACAAUUGCAUGCAACUCCUUGAUGUAAGUGGAAGAAGCCCGCAAUUUGGGACCCAACUUCUUGCUGAAAUAAGCAAUUAAAUGCCCAUGUUGUGUAAGUACAGCUCCUAUGCCUACAUUAGAAGCAUCGGUCUCAAUGACGAAUUCGAAAGUAAAAUUCGGCAACUUAAGGACUGGAGCUUGCACCAUUGCUUGUUUAAGAGCUUCAAAGGCCUCCAUGGCUGUCAAAUUCCAUUGAAAGGCAUCAUUUCGCAGCAAAUCAGUGAGUGGGGCUGCCAAGGAAGCAUAACCACGGAUGAAGCGCCUAUAAUAUCCAGUGAGACCAAGAAAACCCCUCAACUGUUUGAUAGAACGUGGAAUUGGCCAAUUAAGCAUGGCAUCAAUCUUUUGGGGGUCGGCUUGUACUCCCGAGGCUGAAACAAUACGGCUUAGAUACUCAAUAGCGGCUUGGCAAAACAAACAUUUGGAUAAUUUAAUAAAAAAUUGAUGAAGAUGUAAACAAGCUAAUACUUUCUCAAGAUGAAGCAAAUGCUCGGCCAUGGAGGAGCUAUAAACCAAGAUAUCAUAAAAAAAAACGAUCACAAAUUUCCGGAGAUGAGCUGCAAAAAUCUGAUUCAUUGUGGCUUGAAAAGUGGAUGGGGCAUUUGUCAACCCAAACGGCAUGACAAGAAACUCAUAAUGGCCCUCAUGUGUUCAAAAUGUCGUUUUGUAUAUGUCGCGGUUGUGGACACGAAUUUGAUGGUAUCCCGCGCGCAAAUCCAAUUUGCUAAAAAUGGUGGCGCCCCCAAGUUCAUCAAACAACUCAUCGAUUGUCGGUAUAGGAAAUUUGUCUUUGAUGGUUACGGCAUUUAAUGCACGAUAGUCAACACAAAACCGAUAGGUGCCAUCUUUUUUCUUGACCAAGAGAACCGGGGAGGAAAAAGGGCUUUAGUUCGGUCGGAUUAUGCCCUACUCUGACAUUUCCCUGAUCAGUUUUUCCAUUUCAGAUUUCUGGAAGUGUGGGUAGCGGUAUGGACGAACAUUGACGGGGGCUGUGUUGGGUAAUAAAUGGAUUUUGUGGUCAAUAGUUCUGUGCGGUGGUAGGCUAGAAGGUUGGAGAAAUAGGUGUUUGUAUUGCUGUAAAAGGUUGAGAAAUUGAGCAGGAAGGGAAAAAGGAAAUUCAAGUGAGGAAGUGUCUGUGAUGGAAAAUGAAGGCAAAGCAUCGAUAGCGGGCACUGGUUGUAAGGCACAAAGGCUGGUCACGGUAUCACUUUGAACCAAUACCUGCAAUUGAUUAUAAGUGAUCAAAUUAUUAGAAGACAAAUCACCAUGAAGCAUCACUGGUUGCUCAUUUAAAGAAAACUCCAUAGGACACUUUGCCCAAUUUCUGUAGCCAUUGAAUGCCAAGGACCACAUAUGUGCCCUCAAUUGGCAAAAUGAAGAGGUCUACCAUAAAAGCCGUGCCUUGCAUUGUUAAGUUCACUUGAGGACAGAACUGUUUACACACCAGGAAGUCACCGUUGCCAAUAUACACUCGGAAAUUGGUAGUUGGAUGAAUGGCUAACCCCAAUCGUUCCGCUAACGCCGGUUUUAUGAAAUUGUGAGUGUUGCCACUAUCAAUCAGCACUUGAAAGGUGUGCGAAUCAAUUUCUCCAAUUAAACGAAGAGAGCGAGGAUUGGCCUGCCCUGCUAGAGCAUUUAAGCUAGAGAUGUCACCAGUAAUACCAGCAUCUACCAAUUCUGAUGGUUCCUCGUUAUUUUUGGGUUCCAAUUCUUCAUCAUCCGUGCCCAUGAGAAGUAGAAAUUUACUGCGACAGAGAUGAUUGUUGCUGUAUUUUUUGUCACAAUUGUAACAUAAACCCUUCUCGCGUUUGUCGCAAAGUUCAGCCGAAGACAAACGGCGAAUUGGUAAUGUUGGUGUCGAUAAUAAUGCAGGUAAAGUGUUUGAUUUAUUGGUAUUGUGGGUUUGUGAGGGAAGAGUUGAAGAUGAUACGGGGGUGAUGGCUGUGGUAACAGUUGCAAGUGAUGAGGAUGGAUAAAUGGGUUUGGGUUGUGUUUGGAAACCAUGUGAAAGGGGAUAUGGUUGCUGCCAUUUAGGCCAUGAGCGUGAGCUCUGUUUCACUUCGUCAUAUUUGGCCUCAAAAGCACGAGCUAAAGUUUCCAUUAGUGAAGACGGUCUAGAGAAAAGCAAUUCCCGUCGAAUGUUGGGUUUCAGACCAGUGAUGAAAAAACUAAUCAAAAGAAGUUCAGAAAUUCCAGUGACCUUGUUCAUUAAAUCUUCAAAAGCUGACUGGAAAUCUGCAACCGUGGUAGUUUGACUCAAUUUGGACAAAUCACCUUGGGGAUCUUCACACAAAGAAGCACCAAAACGAUAGCGCAAGUUAGCUAAAAAUUCUUGCCAAGUAGUGAGCAAGUGAUUGUUCUUUAUCCAUUGAUACCACGCUGCAGCGCGACCCUCCAUAUGAAAAGAGACAAUCCGUAGUCGGAGGAUCUCAGGUGUGUCAUGAAAGUCAAAAAAUUCUUCUAUUCGAAAAAUCCAUCCAUUUGGGUCAGACCCAUCGAAUUUGGGCACAUCCAUUUUCAUGGAACAAAGUACUGGAGAAACUUUAGAACCAGUAAGAACGCCAUCAUAUUUAGAAGAUGAAGGGUGUGAAGGGUUGGAGGAACCAACUGGUUUGUUGGAAGACCCAUGAAUUUAUGUACGUAACUCCUCAAAACGAGAGUCAACUGAUGUCAUGAAUUGUUGGAUUGUUUGAUGGAUGGACAGUUGCUACCCAUCAAGUUUGGCGUCAAAAGUUGCUUGAAGGGUCUGUAAAGCAUAAAGAAUUUCAGAAUUUGCCAUGAUCAAUGAAAGCACCAGUGAUACGCUCUUAAUUCGUGAAACUGAGCAAUAUCAAAAUUAUCACUACUUCGAGCGAGUGUUUGCUCCAGAGGAAAGAACUGGAAGUUGAGAAAUGAAAAAGAAGAAAAGAAGAAGAGUCACAGAGAGGAAGAAAAGUGGUCCAUUCAUUUCUUGCCUUCCCAAAAUGACAAAAUCCCGCAAUAUAUAACAGACAAUAAAAAAUAACCAAUUUGACAACGCAACAGAAAAUGACAAAAAAGAAUCCAAAACAAACGCAGCCAAUCACAAUGCUUUUACAGAUCAUCCUAAACGACGUAGUCUCGUAGCCAGUCUGGAAGUUUCUUGUUUCGUUUGGGCCGUUGAUUCUCUUGCACUGGCUCAUGGUGAAUGUCCUCCUUGGGUUGACUGACUGUGGGUUCUUGGUUGAGCUCUUCCACUUGCGCCCCCUCUGAUGGCUCUAAUUUGAUAUAUAAAUUCGUAUCACAUACAUGCGGUUAAUUUUUUAAGAUAAAGGGGAAGGAUGAUGCUCAAAAAUAUAAAUUAUAGAAUUAAUUGAACUCUCAAAUAAGUUUAAAGUUCAUUAUUUUUAAUUACAUGUUUAUAAUUUAUUUUUAUUUCGUAUUAAUCUAUAGAUCUAAAUCCACUUUGGAUUCAUAUACACAUAUAGACAUAAUGUGUAUGUUAAUCUAUAGGUCUAAAUUCACUUUAGGUCUAUAUAGGUAUUUUGACAAAUGUACUCCAAUCAUGCAUAUUGGCAAGUUCAAAUUCAAUUUGGAAUAUGGUCAUGGUACGUUCUUGUUCUUCCCUCUUUACGAGUGCAUUCCCCCCAACCUCAAGCUCCCUCUCUCGUCUUCAAUGUCACUGCUUAUAUCCUUAUGUUGUUCUAGUUUGAAACAGUGGCUUCCACUAUUUCAGGGCCCCCAAAAAUCCAGAAACAUACUAUUCAUCACGAUGACAAAAUUUUGGGCAGGCAGGUGCUUCCUGACUUUCACACGGUAAUUCUCAAAUUCUGAUUUCACCAUAUUUUAAUUACUGAUUAUGCUCUCCAUUAUAAUAGAAGUCGCCGCCACACUAGUGAUUCCAAACUUUAUCUUUUUUCCUUUUUUAAAUUAAUGCAAGUAGCCGCUGUCCUUUUUAUUAAUUAAUUAAUUCGGCCGCCCACAUUUCUUUUUCUAAUGUCUUCUACUGUCGAGUUUAUUUUAUUUUCCCUUUAUUCUUAAAAUAUACUUAUAAUAAUAAAAUAUAAAAAUAAAAAUAAAAAUUAACAUAUCAAAAUAUAAUUUAACAGAAAAUUAAGAUGAAAAAUAAAAAAAAAUAAAUUCUGAACAUAUCAAUCAAUAAAUGAAAAAUAAUAAUUUUUAUUUUUAUUAAAUAUAUUUUUUUCAGUAUUAAUCAAUUAUCUGAAUAACUAAAAUCAUUUAAAAAUAAAUAAACAAAUUAUUCUUUAUAAAAAAAAAAAACUUUUUAUAACACUCACUAUGCUGGUUGUAGGGUAGACGCUUUGGGGACUGAAGUUGGUAACUUCUACAAGUAGUCUUAAGUUGAUAACUUCUACAAGUAGUCUUAAGUUGACUGGCAAAUGUUCUCAGUAUUAUAUUGGUGUGUCGAUAUUAUCUCUAACUGCCUUAUAGAUAAAAAAAUAAUCUAAAUUUAAAAUUUAACAUAAAAUAAAAUAAUUGGUAGAAAAACAAUUAUGGUUCAUUUACUUAUCAGUAAUCAGAAUAGACUGAAAUCGAAAUGAGUUGUAUUACCGUUGAUGUGUUUAUGUUGUCCUCGAAUCGGAAUGAAUUAUUUUAAGUUACUAAAAUAUCCUUGGUUUGUUAUUCUAAUUAUUAUUAUUUAAUAUUUAUUAUAAUAUUUGUCAUAUCAUUAAAAAGAAAUAAUAAUGAUGAUAAUAUUAUCAUUAUUGUUUGUUACAUUAUUAUUAUUCAAAAAAAUUAUUGUUAAUAACAAUAAUUACUUUAUUUCAAUACUAAUAAUGAUAAAAUUAAUAAUAACAAACAACAAUAAUUAUUUAUUAUGCCAAAAAUAACAAUAAUAAUAAUCAUCAUCAUUUUUUUUCCCAAAGAAGCAUUAUCAUCAUUUCAAAAAAAAUAUCAUCAUUAUCAUCAUCAUUUUUGUAGUGGCUGCCUAUCGGCUGUUGCUUUCAUGUGAGAUUGACUUGCGACGCUUCAACGGCUAUUAUUUCUGGCAAUGUCAGGUGUUACUGUUUCAAUUUAGGAAGAAGCUGUUUCGUUGUGCUAACGAUGGGAGAUGUUGUGGCUGCGAUUCGGGGAGCUACUAGUUUAUUGCACUAAUGACGGCAGGUGCUGCUGCUUGAUGCGAGGUCCAUGGCCAGUUGUCAGCAGUUCGACUUUGGUAUGGGUGCUGCUGGUUCGAUUUUAGGUGUUGUCCAAUUUCAUUUUCAGGAUUUUAAUUUUAUUUUUCUUUUAUAUUUUCAUUAAUUAAUCAGGACAAAGUUGGAUUUUAGAAUUUGGAAUGAAGGUAAUUUUGUUAAUCAUGGAAAUGAGAUUCUGAUUGUCGAGAAUGAGCUUACACAAACAACUACAAAUUAAGUGAAAACAAAACGCUUUUUCUCUUUGUGUGAUUAAAACAUGAUAUGUACCAUAAAUAAAUAGGUAAAAAAUAAAUUAAUACAAUCCAAAACAGUAAACUAAUUACAAGAGGCACAAAUUUUUAUGUGAAAUACCAAAAAUAGAAAAAACCACAGCAUCUUAGUAUGAGAUAAUCUUCUACUAUAUUAAUGAGAUUAUAGCACAAAUUCUUCCUUAUAUAACACUAGAGGUUAACAACAUCAAGAAUUUCAAUAAUCUUGACUUACAAUACAGCCUAAUAUUUGUCUCUCUAAUAAGUAGAUAUCUAAAAUAACAGUCUCUAAUAAAUAAGUAUCUCAAAUAACAGUCUCUAAUAAGUAUCUCAAAUAAUAAUUUCUAAUAAGUAUGUAUCUCAAAUAAUAGUUAACAAGAGGAUAAAACAAAAAUUAAGAUUAGUAGGAUUGUAUAAGGCGAUGCUAUCAACUUAUCUUCUAAAUUUGAGAAAAAUAGUUAAAUUCACUUUUUCGAUUGUGACCAAAGAUGGAAACCUUUGCCCCAAAACCAAAGGAAUCACCAUUUCUCUCUCUCUCUCUCUCUCUCUCUCUCUCUCUCUCUCUCUCUCUAUCUCUCUCUCUCUCUCUCUCUUCUUCUACUUUUCUUAAUGUUAGCCGCCACUCGCUUUUAUUCUUUAUAGCAUUUAAAAAGCUACUUUUAAUGGUAAAUUUCAUUUAAGUCCAAAACUUAGUGAUAAUUGUACACCAAACAAUUCUUUUUGGACUAUGAGCUUUUGGGCCUCCAAAUGAGAUGAAUACAACAAAUCUCCCCCUUUAGAUCAUGUGGGGGGCACCACAAGCCUGCUCUCUGCAUAUAGUUUUUCAACUUCUCCUUGAAUAAUGACUUUGUCAUCAUACAUAACCCAUUCUCUGUUGUGUAAAUUUUCUCAAGCUGUAGCUGUUGCUUCUCAAGCACGUCUCGUAUCUAAUGAUAUCUCACAUCAAUAUGCUUAGAUUUCGAAUGGUUUAUCAAAUUCUUUGAACGGCACUCUGACUGUCGCAGUACAUAACAUAGCUGUCUCGUUUUACACCCAGCUCUUAUAGGAAAUUCAUUAUCCAUAAUAUUUUUUUGCAACCUUCAAUAAUUGUUAUAUCAUUUGCUUUAGUGGUAGAAAACGUAACUUAUUACUAAAGUUUAGAUUGCAAUGAGACUUCUCCCCCUGCAAAAGUGAGCAAACAUCCUAGAAGGAAUUUUUCGGAAUCAACAUCUUCUGCCAUAUCUACACACUUGUAACACAGGUUUGUCACCACUAAAAUAUAAACAUGCUCUGGAAAUGCCUCUAAGAUAUCUGAGAAUUUUUCAUUGUUGUCCAAUGCUCUUUUAUAAUAAAUACAAACAUAAUGAAUUUAUAAAACAUUUAGAGUAUUUUGAAUAUUAUAUAAAAUAAUUUUAAUAUAAUGCAUGAGAUAUAUUUUAUUAAUUUAAAAUGCUAUUUAAUCUAAAGAUUUAUUUAAGAUAAAUUAAUAAUUAAAUUUUUUUAAUUAUUUCAAAUAUUAAAAAUUUGUAAUAUUAUUAGUCUAUUAGAUAGAUUAAAUUAUUUAUUUUAUUUUGUAUUUAUUAAAAAAUUUUAAAGUCAAUAUUUUUAAUUACUAUUCGAAGGAUAUAAUGAUUAAAAAAAUCUUAAUAUUUUUUAUUAAAAAUUUAAAAAUUUACAUGACCAUUUCUAUAAAUAUUUAGGGUAUAUAUGAGCCACGGUGGAGAAGAUUUAUUUAAUAUUAUUGAUUUAAAUAAUAUCUAAUUAAAAAUAUACUGAGAAAAAAUUUCGGUGGGUAUUUUAGUCUUUUCAGCAAUCACAUGAUUAGCCUUUGGGCUUUGGCCUUGAAACGUCGGUCAGAAAAGUUUUAAACUGCUUAAUUGUUUUUCACUUUUAACGUUAGUGGCUGCUUAUAUUUUAGGAAAAUGAGAUUCUCACCACAGUGAGAACCACACUGAGCACAGAACGGUGCGUUUUGUGCUCAGUAUAAAUUCUAACUGUAGCGGAAAUAUCGCAACACAAACGCGCCAUUCCAAACCCACGCGCGUUCUCCCUCACGCCAGCAAAUCUCACCACGCUUCCUCCUCACUGUAAGCGCCCCCCCUCCCCGGGGGCGGUCGGCUGCGUCACGCUCCCUCACGGCGCCUCACUCUCUCGGCUCUCUUAGAAAAUUGAAUUGCGGCUUCCGCCGUGGGGUUCUCUCCUCAACUGCCGUUGUCUCGUCUCUGACAGCUGCCUUAAUCAAAUUCUGAAGGUAGUUUGCUUCAAUUCAUUACAUUAAUUUCAAAUUUGGUUUGUGUGGGAUUAUGAGUUUGUGAAGAUUUAGUUCUGUUUCAUGGUAAACUAUUUUUUGCUCAGUGUGUUGAGAAUAUCAGCACGGUUUAAAAUUCUUUUUAGAUUCUGUCGUAAAGUUUUCUUUGUAUUGGGCAAGUCAGUUACUUUAGUUUUGUGUCUGAAAACAAAAACACUUAGCUUAGUGAGUUUUAAGAGAUUUUGCUAUUUUGUUCAACGAAGCUUAAAAAGGGGAAGCUUUUAUGGCGUCUGUGAGCCGAGGCAAUUUGGAUCGGGUGCUUUUUCAGUUCAUUUGUUUGUUUCUUAUUUGGGUUCUUUAUUGUUAGAUGUUCUUUUGAGAUUCUGGCAUCUGGCAUCUGGCUACUUGCUUUUGUGGAGUUUUUUUAUUAUUUGAAUUCUGUGAAUUCUUUGUUUUCUUUCCCAAAUGAUUCCACUCUAUAAAAUAUAUAUUGUGCUUGGCUAGAAUUUUCUUUUAGAUAAUUGCAUCCUGUACAUUGGCUUAACCUGUCAAGAAUGAGAAUGAUGGAAGAUGCCUAUCUUGGAAAGAAUAUAUUGAGUUACAUAGUACCGGUUCCAAAUGAAUAAAUUGGAACUUGCCUAAAACAGGCACCAAUCCACCAUGACACCAAGCCUUUUUAAAAUUUUUUUUUUUUUAAGUUUAAAGAAACUUAUGUUGCUUCUUUAGAUCUGUUUUAGCUUAUGAUGAAUUUUGCUAAUGGUAAAAUCCCUCCCCUUCAAAGUUGGGGGAGGGGAAGCAUCUAUAUGCAUAUGUGUACAUUAUGGAGCUCGAACUACAUGUCGCAGUAAUACAUUAUUCUCUUUGCUUUGCAGGUUUUGAUCAACAUGAGUGAUUGGGAUGUAGGUCUGUGCUUGAGAGGCCGGAGUGAUGACCAGAAUUCUGUCAACCAGACCAAAGACAAUCAACUGAUGAAGUGUUGUUGUUCUCUAUAUUGAUUGUUGGAAAUUAUGUGUUAUUUCCAGAUUUUUAGAAAAUUAUGAUUGCUGGAAAUAAUUAUAUAUGUACAAUCAUUAUGUCCUCCAGCACAAGUGAAUUUCCAAACCCACAACUGAAAGCUUGCGAAAAAUUUGUAGAAAAUUUGUACAUCAAAUCCACAAGCUAAGUGUUGUAUCAGAAUAUGAAUGACAAUAAAACAAAAAUCUGUGUUCUUCAUUCUUAAAAUACUAAUACAAUACAAGUACAUUCUUAUUCUGAGAAAUAACUACCUAUUAACUCCAUAUUCAUUAUCUUGUUGAAAGAGUAGCUGCUGAAAAUGUCCAUGUCGCUGAGCUUGUAUGUGCUAUUAAAAAAAAAUUAAACAUCUUGUUGUCAUCCGAAAAAAUAAAGAAGGCAAGAUGAACAAAUAAAAAACUUAUCACUACUUACGGUGCAAGAAUUUUAUGUAGAUAUUGAAUAAACAUUAUCCUCAAUUAUUUGUCACAAUAAUUUAUAUUCAAUUCAUGGUGUGUUGCAGCAAGCUUCCAUUGUUUAACUAAAUGACAGCUGAAUCUUUACAACUAAUUAUCUUUACAAUCAAAUUUGGAAUUAAUUAAGCAAAUUACCGCUAGAAAUCGACGAGUGAAGCUAAGAGAGUGAGGCUGCAAGUCGAAUUUUUGAGACAGCCGAGAGAGUGAGGCGCUGUGAGAGAUGCAAUGGACGGGCGAGAGAGAGACGAAGCCGAUGGUGAUUGCUGCAUUGGUAGGAUUGAGGGAGAGAGCGAAAGAGCCAGAGCGUGCGUGCUUGUUCUGCCAGAGAGCGCGUAUGUUUUUUCUCAAUGCGCGUGUUGCGUAAUUAUCCAUCUACAGUGACCAUUUUAUAGUUAUCUUGAAACGCACCGUUCGGUGCUAUAUGUGGGGCUGAAUGUUGUGAGCAUAUCGGUGCUGUAUAUUUUAUUAAAAAUUAAUGCUAACAAGAAAAAACCCCUCAAUGAAUGAGGGUGAGAUUGCUAAAAAUUACGACAGGUGAUAUUUUAUUAUUAUUAUUAUUAUUGGGGGAGAAAUCCUCACCAAAGUGAGGAGAUUUUAUCAAAAUCAAAAUAAAAAUAUAACAAGAACUGAAAGUUGGGCAGCCUAAAAGCUAGAUAAACUAAAAUUCAGGCGCCUAAAAACAACCUUAUGCAAAAGAGAAGCAACAUGAGACCGAUCAAGUAAAAGAAUCCACCGCAACACCUAAAUUGGCCAAAUUAUCUGUUGGUAUUACAAGUUUCUUGUUAUAAAAGUGUAGAAUGAAGAAGGUGACGUAGUUUUAAGUUACAGCUGCAUGCCCGAUCGCAAUAUCAAAUAAUGAUUAAAUAUCAAAUAAUACUUAAAAUAGUUGCCUAGACCCGCCACAAUUUAUAUUAACUCUUAAAUUUAUAAAUAAUUAAAUUUUUAAAAGUUCGGAUUUAUAUUAAAAAAUCUUCAUAUAAAUAAAUAAUAUAUGCACUUUUACAACACAGUCUUUAAAUUUAAAUUUUUCUAGAAAAAUCUUCUGUAUAUCUUUUCUAUUAAAAAAUUUCCAUAUAAAUAAAUAAUAUACCUAAUUUAAUUGGACCCAGCGCAACGCAUAUGCAUAGAACACAUUCCGAAAAGCCAUGAUAUUCGGAAAUUGACGAAUGAAAAGUGAGGAGGCAGCAGUCAAUGCUAUUUCGGCUUGGCCCAAAAUUGAUUUAUCAGUUUGACGUGUGCCAGGAAUGAAGAACUGGAAUAUCACCAUCAAGCAAGCAACCUGCGGAGCAAUACCAUAGAAUGCACAAUCCGGCUUUGCAAGGUGACACUGGAGGCUUUUUGAAAAGUGCUUCACGCUCACUUGACAGAUUGAGCAUCCCCUCUGGAUAUUGCCCUCUCUGAUCGAAUCUGAGCACUCAAAUUUCGGUCCUCAGAUGGAGCUACAGCUUUCUCUCCAAUAACCAACAAUUUUCUAAACUCAGCACCUAGUGUGAUCAGAGUUGUUGAUAUUUGUAAAUGGAGAUCCCCGUAUUUGCAAAUGGAGACAUUUACCAAAUCACCAACAUGCUUCAUCCAGUCUACGAAAUUCUGCAGCUGAUUCAAAUCCGGAACCUGAACAAGAGUCGGAGGUAAAUCUUGAGCCAUAUCUAAAGCAGUCUGAAGUUCAAGUACUUGAGCCCUUGACAAUGGUUUUGAAAUUGGAACAUCUUGGAUUACUGCAGACUUGUGCCCCUUGGUUUCAAAGGUAAGGAAAGGCAUUGCUUGAGUACAAUUUGGAGGCAGCUUCUUCACCAAUUUUAUUUGGAGGCGAUUGGCAGCGGAUCCAGCUGCACCAAUUUCAGAGCAAAUACUGACACUACUUCGAACAGCACACUGAAGAAGUGAUAUGUCUACGGCAAAGGCAAUGCAGUCCUCAUUUUGGCUUGAGAUGCAGUAAUCAUCGAAGAGAGUUUCCUUGUGAAACUGGGCAACACAUUGAAUCCCUUCGCCACUGAGAAGGUUGCGGAGGAAGUAAGCUUUCUCUCUAGUGAGGAAGAGGUGGCAUACCUUCCCCAUGUCUAGGGCAGGUAGGAAUCUUUUUUCUAAGAGAUUUACUUCAUUCUCUGUGAGAAAUGCUUUGAACUUCAUCCCUCUGUCUCUAUCCUCACUUAUCAGUAAAAUAGUUGAAAGUGCUACAAGGAGAGAAAAGAAGAGUAUUAAGAUAUAUAUAGACAAGAAAAACAUUAGAUGUCGAUCUUACAAGCUAAUACUUCAAACAGUAUCCUAGAAAGCUAAAAACUGCAAAAUGGCUUGACAUUUGAAAAGAACACAUGCUUUUCCUCCUUAACUUGAGAAAAUGUUUAAUAUAGUGCACCUUACAGAAACAUUUAAGCAAUUAGAACUUUGCACAAAAAUAUUCAAGAAGACUAAACAAAUCAGAUGCAGUGUAUUUCUCCAAGCACAAAUGGCAUUGCAUUUUUUCCUCAACUGUAAUAUUUAUUGAUGAAAAUCAGUACAGGUCCCUCAUUUGUUAUGGAAAGCUUUCUUGUAGUCUGACUGGUUAAUUCACGGAUCUAUAAUUAUCUUGCAAAGUUACAGGCAUUUCUUUCGAUUUAAAGUCUUUGCAUCACCACCUCAUCACACACCUAGCCAAUAUUCCGUCUACUUCUACAACAAAAAGUUUUAAGUAAACGAUCCUAAUGCAUGCAGCCAAAUAAAAUGCAGUAAGAAUAUUCAACUUAAAACUCUGAAAGCCAUCUUGGUGAAUUGCCUCCUUAGGGGAAGUUCCAUGAUUUACUAUACUUGACAGGACUGAGCAAAAGCUUACAUACAACAGAUUUUGAAAAUGAUGAUGCCAAUAGAUACUCAUACAAUCCAUUGAAACUCCUAAGGUCCAUUGUUCACAGAGGUUUACAGAGUUUUGGUUAUCAAAUAGCUCAGACCUUAAUCCCAAACAAAAAACGAGUGAAAAUUAGAUCACCAGCAGCAAAUUGUAAAUUCUAACUUAACUCUUCAUCUCCUUUGUAAACAGGAGACAAAAUGGAGACACGCAAAAUGAAUAAGGAGAACAUUUGAACUCAAAUGAAAUGAGGGCACGAAAGCAAACAAAUGGCAUGCGCAAACAAACCAAGCCUCAAUCAAAAACUAAUUAACCAUUAAAAAACAAAACUGGUCAGCUUCUGGUGUUCUCAAAUUGUAUAACAAGAGAUCGACACAUCGAAUCAGAAGAACUCAAUUCAAAUUUGUCUCAAAAAUCAAAAUUAGAAGAUUUCACAUUUCGAGAGGAACAAGCGACAGGUCAGAUGCAAAAUUUUCAGCCAUAACAUGCCACAAUUAACGGUUUAUUUCCAUGGAUUUAGAGAGCUGACUGACCUUUUGGCUUUUGGAAUUGAGAAGAUCGCGCGCCAAAAUGGAAGAGGGAAAGCGAAAGUGCGGGUUUUAAUAGGGUAUUGGAUUAGCAAAUUUUAUUAGUUUGCGAGGGUAAAAUAGGAAAGUGAUAUCACUAUUAACCUUUUUUUUAAUAAGAAAAAAGAAUAAUAAAGAAUAUUUUAUUGUCAUUUGCAGCAUUUAUUUUUUUUAAAUGCUAUUAGAAAAAUACGACAACAAAGAAAUGCUCUUUUUUUUUUUUUUUUUUUUCUCGAAGGUAAAAUCAAUUAUUUAGCUCCUUAUAUGUAAUCAAACUACAUUUCUUACUUUAAGUCAUAUCCAACGGACCAACAAAGUAAUUAUUUUUUUUUUCAUUCAUUUUUGCAGAAAAUUAAUAACUUAAAAAUAUUGAAAGCUAUUGUAAAAUUUUUUAUUAUCAACCUCAUAGUUUUAUUUUUUGGGAAGAAUUGAAUUUUUUUUUUUAAUUUCCAAGAAUUUCAUUCUCUAGUUUUUCCAUUAAUAUUACUUAUCUUGAUACCCAUCUUAAUUAAAAUCUGUAGUUUUAUUCAAGAGUCAUGCUAUUCAUUCACUCACAGACCAAAGGCUUUCCGCAGCAAUAUUAUUAUUUAAAUUACAACAAAGGGGAAAUCAAAUACGUCAUACAGAAGCUUAAAGCUGAAUCUACAAAAUCUAGAGCUCUCAACUACAUAAAUUACACUUGAUGAUCCUCUACAAGAUGAAGCUUGUUCAAUAUCUCAUCCAAAGCUUGUAAAGUAACAUUAUAACGAUCUUGAGAUUGCCUGCCUUCCUCGACGACCUGCACGAUGCGUUUGUACAAAUCAUCAUACCUGUGCACCGGAUUUUUAAUAUCAAUGCCACUGCAGCUGUGAUCAAGAACAUAAGAGCGUUUAACAUCUUUUCUCCAUCAAGAAAGAAUGUAGUGAGAUGGGAUCUCCUGCAUGCCACUCUGGUUUAGAACACAAAGAAUGUGUCUGCAUAAAUAUCCUCUGAAAUUGAACAACCCACAAACACAAAGCACCUCCAAGUCGGAGGCAUUGUACAAAACAUCGAAAAUAGUUAUGUUUUACAAUCUAUUAGACAUAUUUUAUUAAAUUAAUAUAAAUUUUCUAUAAAAUAAGAAUAUAAUAUUAAAAUAAAUUCACAAAAAAUUAAAGAAUUUUGAAUGUAAAAUAAUUUUAAUAGAUUAAUACGUGAGUUUUUUUAUUAAUAUAAAAAUUAUUUAACUUUAAGAUUUUUUAAAAUCUUUACAAUAAGUAUGACUAUAUUAUUUACAUUUAAAAAUAUUUAAAUAUUAUUAACCUACAAUUAUAUUUGCAUUUGUUAGAAUUUUUUAAGUCAAAUAUUUUGCACUUCUAUAUUAUUAGAAUUAUUGCACACAAAGAAAGAAACAUAUACCUUUAGAAAUUGUUUUCUUUUAAAAUAGAGAUGAUGAUUAGUAUAAGGAUGAAAAAAAUGAUAAAGAAUAUUAAUGAUUAACGAAAUCUCUAUACAAAUUGAUUUUAGUAGGAAAAGAGUGAGAUGAAUGAUUUCUUUUACGGUUAGAAACAUAGAUGAUGAUUAUUAUAACGAAGAAAAAAAGAUAAAGAAUAUUAAUUAUUAAUGGAAUCUCUAUGCAAAUUGAUUUUAGUAGGAAAAAAAAUGAGUUAAAUGAUUUAGAGUGCGUUUGGAAUUGAGAUUGGGCAGCCAUAGAUUUUAAGUUACAAUACUGAAGUGUUUGAUAAAUACUAGCUGCUGCAGAUUGAAAGUUAUAUUGAUAUGAUUUUUCACAUGUAUCAUAGAAAAUAUAUUACAUCUUUAAUAAUUUUUUUAAAAUUUAUAUUUGCUAUAUAUUAUUAAUUUUUUUUUAUAGUUAUAACUUUUUUUCCACAGCAGUUGUAGCUUAAAAGUCACAGCAUCUCAAUCUCAAACAAAUCCUUAGACAUUCAUAGUGUGUUUAUUUUUUGGAUUGGUGAAUCAAAAUUAUUGACAACGCUAACUUCAUCUUCAUUGUUCGCAAUCCAACAGCAGCAGCAAUUGUCACCAAUAAUGAUAUCUCCAAUGAUGAUGACAAUUAUUAUUAUUAUUAUUAUUAUUAUUAAUUUAUUAAUUAAUAUAUUAAUGUUAAUAAUAUUAUUAUUAAGAUUAACAAUAAUUAGUAGUAAUACAAUUUUUUGAAUAAAAAUAAUCACAAUAAUUAAAAUACAAAUUAAUAAUUAUGACAAUAGUUAAUUAAUGUCUUUUUAGUAAUUUGUAAUAAUCUAACUCAUUUUGAUUCUGAUUAUUACAGCUUAAGUAAACAAAUUAUUAUGAUUCCUAUUUUCCUUUCCUAUUUUAACUCACUUCGAUUCCAAUCUAUUCCAAUUUCUAUCUAAUAAAUGCACCAUUAGUGCUAAAGUAAUAUUUCAUACAUAGAAAAAUAAAAACUACACCUAAGGUUAAGGGAAAGGACUUCAAAACUCUCUUUUGAUCAUAAUACAUUUUGUCCUAAUUAACUUAAAGAUUUUGAAUCUAAUAUUUUAUAAUAAAUAAAAAUAUAUUCCUAAAAUAAAUAUAAUAUCAAUAUUUAAAAUAUGUUUUAAUAUUUUACAAUCUAUCAUACACAUUUUAUUAUAUUAAAGUAGAUUUUAUAAUAAAUACAAACGUACUAUUAAAAUUAAUAUAUAAAAAAUUUAGAAAAUUUAGAAUAUUAUAUAAAAUAAUUUUAAUAUAAUGCGUGAGAUAUAUUUUAUUAAUUUAAAAUUUUAUUUUACCUAAAAAUAUGAUAAAUUAAUAAUUACAUAUUUAAAGUUAUUUCAAAUAUUAAAAAAAUUUAAUAUUAUUAGUUUUUUAGAUAGAUUAAAUUAUUUUUAUAAGAGAUAGAUUAAAUUAUUUUAAAAUACCUUAAUUGUUUUUACUUUUAACGUUACCGGCCUUUCUUUUAUUUUAUUGUAAAUUAAUGCUAACAAGAAAAAGCUAGAUCAUAUUCCACAAAAGCAAAAGUGACAAACACAAUCAGCUGGAAUCUUUUAUAAAACUACAAAUUAAAAUGGUUUUUUUUUUUUUUUGAUAAAUUACAUAUAAAAGUGGAUUCUUUUGAAUAUAAGUGGGGUAGGCUCUUUUAUUUUUUUUUAAUACUGUAUAACAAGAUUGUAGACUCCUUGAUUAAGCACAAGUAUAAAGUAGUCGAGACGAUACUUUAUGCUAGGUGUCCAUUGAAUAUUAGAUCUUCAUUUCUUUGGCCAUUUAAUUUUUUCGAGAAAUUUUUCUUACGAUCCCGGCUAAGCUUGAAGAAAAGACAACUCAACGGUUUUUUUAAAACAAGUUUCCGUUUUGGUUGGUGAAAUGAAAACGAAAUAAAGCACUUCCAUCCAAAAAUCAUUCUUCUGGAGAAAGGGAUGACAGAUUAAAGAAAAGGGGUGUACUGAAAGGAGAAAAAAGGUUCUUGCAUGAGAGCUGGACACGUUAAAAGAAGUUGAACAAAUGUCUCAAAAAGAAGCUAUUUCGCUUUCAUACUAAAGCCUAUUUGUAAUAGCAUCAGCAAUGCUCCACUAUCCACAUUCUUGUGCGGAUAUCAUUGCAAUCUACUAAUGGUAUAUAAACAUGCAUGUUGUCCCAUGAUGAUUAAGUUAACACACACUUGGAGGUACUUAAAUUAUGCCAUAAAGAGAUAUAGUUAUUACGCAUACAAAUGUUAUUCAAUGGUUAAAAUGUAUGAUAAAGAAAUCGCUUGAAUUUUUUAUUUGCCGUUACGUAAUUUUUUUAUUGAUUCCGAGUUUGAAUCUUAAAAGAAAUAAAGGGUUAGAAAAUUAAUUUGAACUUUGUCCACUCUUUAACUUAAUGAGUAUAAAAACAGAAAAUGCAGGUAAUUUAAUUUUGACAUCUAACAUUUAAGAGAUAGAGCUUGAAAGAGUCCAAUAUUAAAUUAUAAAAUAAUUGAAAUAAAGUUUGCCCCAUAAGAAAAAUUGAACAAAAAAUCUUAAGUAUGAUAUGAUGCUAGAGAAAUUAUUUAUCUCAAAACUUUUAUUAGGUAAUUAAGUCCUAAGAAUAUGUAAUUACACAUGUAACAAAAAUUAGAGAUGAGGGUCUUUUAUUAAACUACAAAUUGUAUAGUCUUUUUAAAAUUGUUAUAAAUUGGUGGCCCCUACAAUCCUCAAUAAUUGUGCCGAUAUUCACAAGUUGGUGGCCCCUACAAUUAUCAACUGUGCAAGUGCUCAUUCACAAUCUUCCAGGUCAUGCUCUUAAUAAUUGUUUUUUUUUUCUGCAUUCCCUUUCAUGCUCUUAAUAAUUGAAGAGCAUACUUUUCAAAUAUGGAGCCGCAGCUAAUGUCGCUAAUUUAAUUUGGGAUUAAAUUAGGGGACCAUUAUGUUGCAGUGUGCACUAAUUUUUGUGUUUAUCUAAACUCCUUAAAUUUAAGACAUAUUACGGCAUAAAUAAGAAUAUAACAAUAACAAAAGAGUUAAAAAGUGUAGAGAAGAUCUUGCAGAAAUAUAAAUAAUAUCUAUUUUAAAAUAAUAUCAAUAUUUAAAAUAAUUUUUAAUAUUUUAUGAUCCAUUAGAUAUAUUUUAUUAUAUUAAAGUAAAUUUUAUAAUAAAUAAAACAUACUAAAUUUAGAGUAUUUUAAGUAUUAUAUAAAAUAAUUUUAAUAAAAUAUGUGAGAUAUUCAUAUUUUAUUAAUUUAAAAUACCAUUUAACCUAAAGAUUUAUUUAUGAUAAAUUAAUAAUUAUAUUUUUGAAAUUACUUCAAAUAUUAAAAAAAUUAAUAUUACUAAUCUAUUAGAUAGAUUAAAUUAUAUAUAUUAUUUUCUAUUUAUUAAAAAAUUUUAAAAUUAUUUUUAAUUACUAUUCAAAAAAUAUAAUGAUAAAAAAAAAUCUUAACAUCUUUAUUAAAAAUUUAAAAAUUUUCAUGAUCAAUUCUCUAAAUAUUUAGGGUAUAUGUGAACCACGGUGGAGAAGCUUUAUUUAAUAUUAUUGAUUUAAAUAAUAUGUGACAAAACAACUAGGUGGACUACAAAUUAAAGUGGAUUCUUUUGAAUACAAGUGGGACAGACGAUUAGGCUCUUUUUAAUUUUUAUUAAAGGCAAGUAAAAAGUAGUCGAAUAGUCUUUUUCAAAUUCUUGUUUUAUUGUUUUUCAAAACUAACAAGAAAAAGCGAGAUCAUAUUCCACCCCAAAAGCAAAAGUGACAAAACAACCAGCUGUAUUCUUUUAUUAAACUACAAAUUAAAAUGGAUUCUUUUGAAUACAAGUAGGACAGACGAUUAGGCUCUUUUUAUUAAACGCAAGUAAAAAGUAGUCGAAUAGUCUUUUUCAAAUUCUUGUUUUAUUAUUUUUCAAAAUUAGUUUUUGGUAAUUACUGUUUUUCCUUCAAAAGUUAGCGGUUCAUGUUUGCAAGUGUGAAUGUGCGAUGCUCUUUUCUUAAAGGCAAUUACAGUGGGGCCCGAAUGCCUAAAUCUUUUUAAAAUUUUUGCCGUAUAACGAACAGAGGUCAUUACUAAAAUUUCUCUUCCACAGCCUACAGCAGCUUCAGUUUAUCAAACUCAAUCAAUUUUCUUUCUUAACAAAAUUCCAAAGAUGUGUAGCAUUUUUCAGAUCGCAUGCGAUGGUGCUCUUUUCAAUCGUUGCUUGGAUUGCUUUCUUGGAAAAGCAGCAUACCUUCGUAACCUCCCAGAUAAUCUUGUAGACUUGGAGACUGAACUGGGAAGACUAAUCGCAGCAAAGAACGAUGUGAUGAUGAGGGUUGUCAAUGCUGAACGGCAACAAAUGAGAAGGCUGGGCCAAGUGGAAUGGUGGGUUUCGAGGGUGGAUGCUGUUAAAACUGGAGCCGAUGAACUUAUCACAGACGGCUCUGAAGAAAUUGGCGAAUUAUGUGUUGGAGGCUACUGUUCCAAGAACUGCAGGUCAAGCUACAAGUUCGGAAAACAAGUGGCUAAAAAGCUACAAGAUGUGAAGGCUUUAAUCGCCGAGGGAGUUUUUGAGGCGGUGGCUACUGAGGUGGUGCCCGAGAGAGCUCCGGAACCUGUAGCAGAUGAAAGACCCAUUGAGCGAACAGUAGUAGGCUUGCAAUCACAACUUGAACAAGUCUGGAGAUGUCUUGUAGAAGAAUCAGUGGGAAUCAUUGGCCUAUAUGGUAUGGGCGGUGUUGGUAAAACCACACUGUUGACCCAUAUCAACAAUAAAUUUCUUGAGAGUCCCACCAACUUUGAUUGUGUGAUUUGGGUCGUAGUUUCAAAAGACCUGCGACUUGAAAAAAUUCAAGACGAUAUUGGGAAGAAGAUAGGUCUGUCUGAUGAUUCAUGGAAGAAUAAAAGUUUUGAGGAGAAAGCUGUAGACAUCCUGCGGAGUUUAGGAGAGAAGAGAUUUGUAUUGUUGUUAGAUGAUUUAUGGGAGCGGGUUGAUUUAACAAAAGUGGGCGUUCCACUUCCCGGACCACAAAAUACUACCUCAAAAGUCGUAUUCGCAACCCGUUUCAUCGAUGUUUGUGGUAGCAUGGAAGCUGACAGGAAGUUCCUAGUGGCGUGCUUAUCAGAAAAGGAUGCUUGGGAACUGUUUCGAGAAAAAGUUGGGGAAGAAACUCUUCAGAGUCAUCAUGAUAUCGUUGAGCUAGCCCAAAUUGUGGCCAAAGAGUGUGGUGGUUUGCCACUCGCACUUAUUACUAUUGGUCGAGCUAUGGCCUGCAAAAGGACAGCCGAGGAGUGGAUACACGCAGUUGAAGUGCUAAGAAGAUCAGCUUUUGAGUUUGCAGGUUUGGGAAAAGAGGUGUAUCCUCUUUUAAAGUUUAGCUAUGAUAGUUUGCAGAAUGAGACGAUUAGAUCUUGUUUCUUAUAUUGUUGUUUAUAUCCCGAAGAUUAUGGAAUUCUUAAAUGGGACUUGAUUGAUUGUUGGAUUGGUGAGGGAUUCUUAGAGGAAUCUGACAGGUUUAGUGCAGAAAACCAAGGUUACUACAUUGUGGGCACUCUUAUUCAUGCGUGUUUACUAGAAGGGAUAGAAGAUGAUAGAGUAAAAAUGCAUGACGUUGUUCGUGAUAUGGCUCUAUGGAUAGCUUGUGAAAUUGAGGAGAGGAGACACUUUUUGGUUUGUGCAGGCGCUGGAUUAGAACAGGCACCGGCUGUUAGAGAAUCGGAAAAUGUGACAAGAUUGUCAUUGAUGCAAAACCAAAUUAAAAUUCUGUCGGAGGUUCCCACAUGCCCUGAUCUCCUCACUUUAUUUCUUGACUUUAAUGAGGAGUUGGAGAUGAUCGCGGAUGGCUUCUUCCAAUUUAUGCCUUCUCUCAAAGUUUUGAAGAUUUCAAACUGCGGGAAUUUUACUUUUCAAUUACCUUUGGGGAUGUCAAAGUUGGGUUCACUAGAACUUUUUGAUAUUUCACGCACCGAAAUACAAGAGUUACCAGAAGAGUUAAAGUUGUUGGUAAAUCUGAAAUGUUUGAAUUUGAGGUGGACAAGCAAGUUAAUUAGAAUUCCACGGCAACUAAUAUCAAAUUCUUCAGGGUUACGUGUGUUGAGAAUGUUCGCUACUGGCUAUGAAUGUUUUCAUGAAGCACCAGAAGACAGCGUUUUAUUUGGUGGGGGUGAAGUUUUAGUACAGGAAUUGCUCGGUUUGAAAUAUUUAGAGGUAUUGGAGUUGACCUUGGGAAGUUAUCAGGCUCUCCAAAUCUUUUUGAGCUCAAAUAAGUUAAAAAGUUGUAUUCGAUCUCUUUUCCUCCAGUUGGCCGGAGAUACAAAGUCGAUUAUUGAUGCUGCGGCUUUCGCAGAUCUAAACCACCUCAAUGAAUUAUAUAUUUAUGAAGGUAUUGAGUUGGAAGAAUUGAAGAUUGAUUAUACAGAGAUAGUACGAAAAAGGCGGGAACCUUUUGUUUUCCGCAGCCUUCACCGUGUUACCAUAUUUAGUUGCGGUAAAUUGAAAGAUGUGACAUUCCUCGUUUUUGCUCCAAACCUCAAGUCUCUUGAGCUAUUGCAAUGCGAUGCUAUGGAAGAAAUAAUCAGCGUCGGAGAAAUUGCUGAGACUCCUGAGAUGAUGGGACACAUAAGCCCUUUUGAAAAUCUCCA